rnacentral:lncRNA from 1 species
CUACAUCCACAAUUACUACGAAAAGAAACAUUAAUAUUUUGUCUGUAACCUGAAAAACAACAUAAAGUCUAGCUAAGGAGGGUUCUCUUCCUCUUAUGCCUCCAUUUUUCUGGAAACAAAAUCAACCCAGGAGGUAAGACUUAAGUUUAAAAAAAUUAAUUUCUUAGUUAUCUCAGCAACCAAUUGGAGGGUAACUAAUAUUAUUGAUUUCUGCAAAGAACCCAAUAGAUCUAGUAAAGCCAGAAUCCCAAUUAGGAUAUCCCCACCAAAUGAUAGUACAGAGACCAAGAUUCAAUUUGUGGUCACCCAAUGGGACUUUACUGAGAAAUCUGCAGAACUUACAUAAGCCCAGAAGAACAAACACGAGAUUUGGUCCAACAAUUCAACUCAAAUGAGGAUGGGCAUGGAUAGAUUCAAAUAUGUAUCAGAAAUACAAACUUCAACCCUCAAAACCCUAGAAAAUUGUCUCAUUUUACUCCAUUAUCCAGAAAUUGCUUACAGCAUUGGGUUCAACUGUAGCAAUUGUAGCAGCAAGAAGCAAGAAGACCAGAAUAACUUCAGAGAACACCCAACCCAUCACUCCACCCACCAGUUGUUACAAAAACAUAGCUUUAAAUUAAGAACCCAUUACCCAAUCUGAUAUUCCUGGACCAAUCAAACAACCCAAAAACAAUCAACAAACACCUAAAAAAAAAAGGAAAAAAAGAAAGAAAGAAAAGGCACACAAGUUCAAUAUCAUCACUAAUAGAUAAAUCCUUGACAAAAAAUACUAACAGUCAUUGCAUAUUUGCUUUAUUCUCAAAAAAUCACUAAGUUAAAGGGGGCUCAUAUAUUAGAACUUAGACUUGCUAGUAGAAAAUCAAUUUUACGACCAAUCUGCACUGGCUUUGCUGCAAGAAAUUUCAGAAAAUGUGGCUGUUUUUGCAGGUAUUUGAUGAUAAAAUUUUGAGAAAUGUUUCAGAACAAUGCAUCUCCUUGGUUUAUGGCAACUCUUUCUCUUUAUCCCAAUAGGGGCCAUCCUCAAAGUUCCUGUCAAAUUCAGUUUAUUAUAGACUAAAAAAUCACCCAGAAUCUGAAAGCUUCGAAAAAAGCAACUGCAGCUGCAAGGGAAUUUCAUAUAUAUUUGAGUUAGGUGGGCAUGUGGGUCUGUUGAGUGGAUGAUGAAAUAUCAUCACACUCAUAUGCUUACUGGUGUCUUAUCAUUAUCUUAUUUAAUUAAUUCGAAUAAAGCUUUUCCUUUUUUAAAGAAAACCUUAAAAAUUAAUUAAGAUGAUUAUUCUCAGAAAAUAAUUAUCAUAAUUAAUUUAAAAUAGCAUUAUGAACUUUUUUUUUCUUUUUAAAAUGCUUUCAUUAUCUUAAUGAUAUAUGGAUAUAACAAGAUAAUAAGUAUUAAUAUUAUAUAAACCAUUAAAAACCAGAAUAUGAAUUUAUUAUUAAUUUAUUUAUUAUAUAAAAUAUAUGGACAUGAAUUUAUUUAUUAUUCAUAAUUUAUUAAUAUUAAGAGGUACUUGUGAUAACUUUUUUAUUUAAAAUUUUUUCUUUAUUAAAUAUUAGAAAAUUAUAUUUUACAUAUAAAUUUAUUAUAAAAAUAUAUAAAUAUGAAUUUAUUAUUAUUUUUAUAUCAAAUAAAUAUUAAUAUUACAUAAAUAAAUAUAGUAUGAUAGUAAGUAUUAAUAUUAUGUAAAAAAAUAAAUAUCAUAAAUUUAAAACGAAAUAUGUAUUUUUUAACUUUUUAAUAUCUAUGAAAAGCGUUCAAGAUAUAUAAAUAUAAAUUUAUUAUUAGUUUAUUUAUAAACUCUUUUAUUUAAAAUUUUUAUAUUAUUUUUUAUAUAUUUUUUCACUUUUAUUUAAAAUUUUUCCAUUACAUUUUACAAAGUGUUAACAAAUUAAUUUUUAUCACCCCACAUGAAUGCACGUGUUUUUAGACUCAUUAAAUAAAGGGAAUCAUGUUACCGGACACCAACCCAAAAAAAUUUGAGUUUUUGAAUCUUUAUAUUUGACUUUUGAAUUUAAGUGUCAAAUAGAAAAAAAAAAAAGUCCUUUCUAAUCACCGUCCACAUCUCCCUCCUUCCCCACGAAAAUCGACAAACACUACGCCGACGUCAUCAUCGACCACUACUCACACCUCUCUCUGGUCGGCAAUCUCCCCCUCUCUCCUUUUCCCUUCCCUCUUUCUCUCUGUUUCCUUCAUUUUCCACAUCACCACCGUGGCCCACUACCAGCGACCCACAGCUCUUGCUACCUCUCAUCGGCGGCAAGAUCGAGUGGCAGUUGGUCGACGUCAUCAUUGAUCGCAGCUCACAGCUCUCUCUGCCCGACAACCUCCCCAUCUCUCUCUUUAUAUUCCCGCUUUCUUUUUCUUUCCUUCACUCCCCUUUCCACAUCACCACUGCUUUAAUAAAUUUCAAUUUUCUUAAUUUUUUGAUUUUUUAAAUUGUUGAUGACUUGAUUUUUUUUAAAAAAUAAAAUUGAUAAUGACUUGAUUAUAAAUUGUUGAUGACUAGAUAUGAUAUAUGAUGAUUGAUGACUUCAAUAGAUAAAAAAUUUUGUGAAAAAACCUAACAAAUAAAGUAGAUAUUGUCAAAAUUUAGAUAUAUUUUAUUAUUAUUUUUAAAUUUUAAUAAUAUAUAAAAUAUAUAUUUAUGAGGUUAAAUAAAGAAUCAAUAACUUUUUUGAUUUAAUAAUCGAUCCGAUUCUCAAAAUAUUGGUAACAUCAAGGUCUACUGAUACAAAUAAAUGAAUGUUCACCAUUCAUUUACUUAGACCAUUUGUUUUGGGUGAUGUUGAGGAUAGUCAUCGGCAGUAGACUAACACCUUCUUGACCAAUUAACAUACCAACAGUAGUGAUUAGGUAGACCAUUUGUUUUGGGUGAUGUUGAGGAUAGUCAUCGGCAGCAGACUAACACCUUCUUGACCAAUUAACAUACCAACAGUAGUGAUUAGGUAGACCAUUUGUUUUGGGUGAUGUUGAGGGGAUAGUCAUCGGUAGUAGACUGACACCUUCUCGACGAAUUAACAUACCAACAGUACUGAUUAGGCCAAGGUGGUGAACCAAUUCCAUGGAAGAGCAGUAAGAUAGGUCGUAGGAGGAAUGGUGGAGAGAAAGAAAGCAGCCAACCAAGCAGCAAUAGUUUCCAAACUGGCCCCGAGCCUAAGGAGCAUAGGAUUGACAUUGAAAUCAGUCAUAGGGUGAAAAAUCGGAUUCGGUCCGUCCAAAAUGCAAAAGAAAGGACUCGAUCUCAAACUCAAUGGCCAAGGAUACCAAAAGUUCCUCACAUUCAAAGGGGGACCCAGGAUUUCAAGAAAUUCUACAAUCCGAGGGUAGUUUCAAUCGGUCCUUACCACCAUGGCAAGCCCCACCUUCACCAAGUGGAAAUGAUCAAGCCUCUAUGUGCCCAAAACUUCCUGGCUGAUAGUAACCAGUACAUCGAAGCUUUGUACAAAAAAAUUGAAAGUGAUAUCGAGGCAGUGAGGAACUGCUAUGAUAAGAGACCCACGAACAGGUAUGAUAAUGAGGCACUCGCCUGGAUGAUGCUUCUGGAUGGGUGUUUUUUGCUACGGUUCAUCCGCAGCCCAGCCAAUACGGGUAAAUAUCUUGGAGAUCACCAAAUAAAUUUUGUGGAAGAGGACUUGCUCUUGCUGGAGAACCAACUUCCCUUUGGAGUCCUCAAGUUGAUUUUUGAGGGAGCAAAUUUCAAGGUUGGUCUACCAGUGGAAAAGAAGAUGAAAGAAUUCGUCACUGACGCCGAAUGCCCAGAAUGGUCAACAUCAUAAAUAGAGCCGGAAGAGGACGAAGAGCCCUCUCAUCUCCUCGACCUUUUGCGAAGUGCUCUCCUAGGCCAGAGUCAGCCCAAACAAGAGCAGCAACCUGAGAAAAAAGGAAAGAAGUCAUGUCAAGGAGGAGAUUGGGGGUCUUGUUGCCCAUGGAAAAAAUGCAAACGAGGCAAUUGGCAGUCUUUUCGAAACAUCAAGGAGCUUAAAGCUGCCAGGAUCCAUCUCCAACUGAGUGGAACGAGAUCCUUGAGAGACAUUUCUUUCAAUUCCUACGUCUUCUAUGGCUGCCUGAAACUUCCCCGAAUAAUCAUUGAUGACUUCACGAAGCGGAAGUUCUUGAACAUUUUAGCCUAUGAAAUGGGUCCAGAUGCCCCAGAUGACUAUGGGGUCACUUCUUAUAUAUGCCUCCUUGACGACCUCAUUGAUCAUGCAGACGAUGGCAAGGAGCUGAGAUCUAAGCACAUUCUUUACAAUUGUCUUGGCAGGGAUGAAGAUGUGGCCCAACUUUUCAAUGAGAUCGGCAAUGGCUUGGUAGAUCCCGGUGCUUAUAAAGAUGUGAAAGAUCGUAUUCAGGAAUACUUGGAUAGCUCAAGCCCUUCACAACCAUUUCAUUACUGCAUGGACUAUGAUGGCUUUCAUUGCUGCUGUUUUGAUGCUAUUUAUUGCUGGGGUUCAGACCUACUACGCUCUUCCGGGUAAUUAAAUAAUCAAUAUAUAUACAUGGGUUAAUUAUGACUGUGAUGUGUUUUUUUCUUGUUUGGUGCGUUUAUGUUUGAGACAUGUAAGAUUACAUAUUGAUAAGUUGUAUGAUAUUAUUAGUCUUUUCCUCCCCCCAUGAGUUUGCUCUAAUCUAAUAUGUUUGAACUCACAAUUUCCAGCUACCUUCUUUCUAUUCCUUUUCAUAGACCAGGAUCAUACAUAACACCGUAUCCACAUAGAAAAUUUUCAGCCAACAGUAUGUAAAUCCGUGGAUUGGAUGGGAUUGAAAUUGCGCACACACAUUUUUUUUUCAAUUAAUAAGAAAAUUGUGGAUAAAAUCAUAAUUUUGAUAUAUUUAUAAAUUGAAGGAAGAAUCUCAAAUAUGCCCUCCCAUUAUUAUUAUUAUUAUUAUUAUUUUUUUUUUAUUACAGAAGACAAAAAUAUAAUUUUAGGCAAUUUAAUACUUGAUUUUGGGUCAAAAAGAGAUUUCAUAAAUAAAUACUACACUUUUUUAUUUAUUUAUAAAGUCUUCUAAUCUUCAUUGAAAGAAUCUCUACAAUUUCAACUUCUUUAAGAAAUCUUUGAAUAUUUUUCAGCUCUUCAAAAUUUUUUUAUUCCUUUUUGGAAUCUCUUUAAGAGCUCUUGGACCUUUAAGAAACAAACUAUUGUGACACUUUGAAGCAGAAUUUGUUUAACAUCAUGUGUAUGUCAUGCAAUUUAGUUCAAAAAAUUGUUGAAGGAGCUUAAUUUGCCAUAAAAGGAACCAAUAGAGAUUUACAUGGACAACAAAUGAGUGAUUACAUUAUAAAAAUAAAUAAAUAAAUAAAUAAAAAAUAAAAAAUCCAACUUUCCAUCAUUGAAGUAAAUACAUUGAUAUAAGAUAUAAUUUUAUUAGAGAAUAUUAUCAAGAAAAAAGAAUAAUUAAAAUUUGAAAAAUCUCAAAAUCAAAUUAUAGAUAUUUUUAUCAAACCUAUCAAGAUACUAAUCAAGUUUUAGUUUUUAUGUUUGAGUGGUCAAGUUGUAAAAAAUUUCUAUAUUUUACUAUGAGGAAUUUUUAUUUGAUUGAGUUUAAGUAUUUAUAAAUAAAAAUUAUGUAAUAUUUGUGGGAGUGUCCCUUUUCCAACCCGAACAUCUUGACCGUCUAGCAUAGACAUGCAAUUAGUCCGAAUCAUUCUGUCCGAAUUACAACCAAUAACAAGACCCUUUUCCCCUACAGGGCCAGAUGGCAAGGGGAAGCCGGACUCCCAUAACAGAUAGGACUGUCUAGUCAAGUCUUCAAGACCCAUUGAUAUACGUGAUCAUUCACACUUGACAUGUGAACGACUGAUGAGACCUCUUCUAACCCUCAAGUCCAUGUCAAUUAAUUACUGCACAUAACCUUAGACCAUCAUUAGGUUGAGGGGAUAGGCGACUACACAGUCUAAGAUCAUGGUGCGUCAGUUGAUGACACCUGCCAACCAACCAAAUUGUGAUGAUUGCCCAACAGUCUGUAGAACAAUCAUUAUUACAGAAGAAGGUCAAAGUGUCUAGUCAACACUAUAGUGACAUUUUUGUCAGCACUAUAUAUAACCCUCCAAAAAACACAAACAAGGCACGUGCGCACAUACACCUAUUUACUUUCUCUUACUAAGCAGCUUGAGCUACUCUAGUUUAACUUAAGCUUCAGAGAGGCGUGCCAAGACCAUCUGUCCGGACAUCUUUUUGUGUAGAAAAGGAGUUUACCCAGUCUUGCUACCGUUGGGUGGAUUCUCUGAGAGGCACAAAGAAGAGAGGAAGUUCAUCCAACUUCUAUUAAGCUGGACGAAUCUGACUCCGAUUAACUUAAAAUCAACAAUAUUCAAAUAAGAGACCGGUAGAAUAUAAUAAAUUUUUAAUUCUUUCCAUUCUCAGCUUCUGUCAUAUAAUUAUUUGUAUUCCACUUUCAAUCUCAUAACUUGGACACAAAUGGGGACCAAACAGGAGAGAAAUUUUUUGGUAGGAUGAGUUAUUGAAUAUAAUUUGGUGACGUGUCAGCAUCUUGGGGGGUCCAUGCUUUUAAUAUCAUUAUUUACGUUCUUUUUACUAAAGGUAAUGUUUAAACUUCGUACUCACCUUGGCCCACAUGCGUACUAAAAAGUAUUGAAUUAUUCCAUAAAAGCCACGAGGACAGCCUUUCAAUGCAGCUACUCAUCAAUUCAAUUCAUAGAGGGCCAACUUAAUUAUAUAUAUUUUUAAUUAAAUUUAAUUAUAUUUGAUUUUUUAAAUAUUUUUUUCUUACCUUAUUACUUUUUGAAAGUCAAACAUAACAUAAUUUUUAACUGAUUUAAAUUAUAUUUGAUAUUAAAUAUUAAAUUAUGUAAUUAUUAACAUUAAAUAUUUAAUUAUGUAAAUAUUAACAACAAAUAAAAUCUAAAUAAUUGUACUAAUAUUUUAUAUUUUCAUUUCCAAUUUUUACUUUAUUUUAAUAGAGGCUGAACAUGAUUUUUAAGAUCAUCUUAAUUUUUUAAUUAUAAAAAUAAGAAUUGAAAAAAAAUAAAAUUGGAUGGCUAAUAUUGGAAGGCAUUGUAAAUUUGAUUGUGAGGAGAAGAGUAGAGCGAGUGGUGUGAGGAGGGCAUUUUUGCCCAAAUUUGUGUUUUCGGAAUCCAAAGCAUUUCCUUGCCCACUUUUUUCUCCAUGUUCCAAGUAAACAUGAGAAAAUACUUACAAUAAGAAAUCAAUGAAAGAAAAAGGAUCAUACUACUUUUUCUUCAAUGGAGGUCAAGAUGGAUUCAAGAUACAUUUAUAAUUAAAGGCAAUUAUUGUCUAUUGAUGGAAAAUGUCCUUUGAUCAAGGUAACCCUCUCGUAAUUAAUGUACAAUUCAAUUAUUGUCCGUGGAUAGAAAAUGAAAUCUCAAUCAUACAAAAUUAAGUAUGCGUUUACGAGUGAUUCUAUAAAGCGUUUUUAUCAUUUUUAACACUUGAAUGAUAAAAUUUUUAAAGUAUUAGAAAUAUUAAAAACACUUCAUAUAAUCACUAUCAAACAAGUUCUAAAUCAAUAUAAAUUGUAUAAAGUGUUUUUAACUUUUCUAAUACAUAAAAUAUUUUUAUCAAAAAAGUUAUUUUUAAGUAAUAGAAAGGUUAAAAGAGUUUCCAAAAAUCACUAUCAAACAAAUUGUAAGAGUUUGUUUGGUAGAACGUGUUUUUAAUCUUCCUAACAUUUGACAUUUUUUAGUAAAAUAGUUUAAACCUUUCUAAACUUCCAUUUGGUAGGAAUAAGGUUUAAAACUAUAUUUUACCAUAUUUCCAAUUUAAGCUUCUAUUUUUUUCAAAUCUAUCAACUUUAGCUAAUAAGCUAAUUAUCUAAUAAUCCACUAACUACCUAUUAUUUAAUCAUUCAACUUAUAAUAAAGAGAUUCUCAAUCCUUCCAAAUGACAUUAAUUUAACCCACUUUAUUAAUCAAUUAUACCUUAAUUAAAUUGACGUUCAAAAAUUAAAUCUACAUAAUAUUCAUAUUUAAUCAAUUUAUCUUUUUGUAUAAAUUCCUAAAUUUAUAUAAGAUAAUUAAUUUAUUUUUAAUUUCAUUUCCAUUCAAUUUUAUUUCAUGUUUUAUAAUUUUAUAAGGUUGAAUUCCAAUUAUAAAAAUUAAAUUGAUUCAUAUAAAUUAAAUAUCGUUUGAAAAAUUUAUUAUAACCAUUUGUGUAGACCCCGCAUUUUCGCCUCAUGCUUUUCCCACUCGAUGGCAAAGCUCGAUUUUCAUUUUGAAAAAUGAUUUAAUUUGAUUAAGAAAAUGACUUGGAGUCGCCACUUAUUUUUGUUUUAUUUUUAAAAGGGUAAACAAAAUAAGAAAAAAAAACCCUAAAUGUGACUCCUUAAUUUGGAAAAGACGGUAUGCGAAAAACCAGAUCGAGUUCGGGGGUCAGGUUACUCAUCGGGAAGGUACGGUAAAGACCGUAGCACCCCUCUAAGCCCCUAAAGUCGGGUCUCUACCAAUAAAGUGAAACUGACGUGGCAAUCGAAUAAGUCAAUGGAUACUCACAUCAAUCAUGCAUAUAUGAGAAUCAGAAUAUGUGUAGCGAAUGAUCAGAAUGAGUGAAUGCGUACCUGGGUAGCAAACAGCAACGCGCUGUCAAGAAACGAGAUUAGUGCAUAAUUAAUGAAUACCAAAUAUAGCCCAUGCAUAUCGGAGUGCAAAACGAAGCUCAAGCAAAAAUACCGUAAGCACGAUGAUUGCCAGUCAAAAGGGGUCAAACAUAGGGCCCCCAACAAAGUCCAAUUCAUCAUUCAUGGACUAGUCUCACAAAUUCCGUGUUUCGGGAUCAUGAAGAAUUCAUCAUUGCUUAUGUAAAAUAAAGAAAAUCAUAAGAUUAUUUAGGAGCUGAAAUGGAAUUAAAACUAUUUGAGUGAAAACUGGAUUCUUGGAGUUUGUUUGAAAAUCGGGGGUCUUGGGAAUUAAAUUUAAGAGUUGGAAUUCUGGAGAUUAAAUUAGAAAGAAAUUAGAAUUUCGGAAAUUGGAAAUUAAGUUCGGAAAUUGGAAUUUUAAAGAAUUGUUUAAAAAUGGAAUUUUGAAAUAAACAAAUGGACUAAUAAUAAUAAGGACGAAAAUAAUGAUUAAAUAAAUGAAUGGGAAUGCUGGAAUUUUUGAAAUUGGAAAUUAGAUUUAGAAGUCAGAAAGUUUAAAGAAUUGUUUAAAAUAGAAUUUUAAGAUAAAUAAACAAACUAUUAGUGAUUAAAUUAAUGUGAAUAUGGGAAUUUUCAAGAUUCGGAAUUUAAUUUGUAAAUCUGAAGUUUUAAAGAAUUGAUUUAAAAUGGAGAUAAAAUACUAAUGAUUAAAUAAAUUAAUGAGAACAUGAGAAUUUUUGGGAUUAGGAAUUUAAUUCGGAAAUCAGCGAUUUUAAAGAAUUUGAUUUAAAAUGGAGUUUUGAAAUAAAUAAUCAAAAUAAUAAUAAUUAAAUAGAUUAAAGUGAGUAUGGGAAUUUUCGGAAAUUGGAAUUGAGUUUUAAAGAUCGGAAUUUUGAAGUAUUAUUUGAAGGUUGAAUAAUAAUAAGGUUUUGAAAGUUUUGAUUAAUGAUAAUAAUAAUAAUAAUAAUAAUAAUAAGAUUUUGAAAGUUGAGGUAAUAAUAACAAUAAUAAUGAGAUUUUUGAAAGUUUGGAUUAAUAAUGAUAAUAAUAAUGAUAAAUAGAAUAAUGUUUAAACGAACGAACGUGAAUAGUGAAAAAAAUUUUUAGAUCGAAAAUUAAAUUCGGAAGUCAAAUUUUUGAAUAAUUAAACUUUGAUAAUUGAAAAUUUUAAAAUACAUAAAUAAAUAAAUAAAUAUGGAAUAAUAAUAAUACUAACAAAAAAUAAUGUUUAUGAAUAGUGGAAUUUUUGGAAUAUUGGAACUGAAAAUUUGAAUUUUGGGAAAAUUAAAUUUAAGGUUAGAGUUCUAAAAGAAUUAUUUCGAGAAUUGAAUUUUGAAGAAUUAGAUUUAAAAUAUUAGUUUUGGAAAAUUGAAUGUUAGAUAUAUAUAUAUUCUUAAAAAUAAUAAAUAAAUAAAUGGACAAAUAAAAAUUAAAUGAAUAAAAUAGAUAAAGUGAAUGAAUUUGAAACGUUGGGAUUUUAAAAGAAUUAUUUGAUGACGUGAUUUUUAAAAAAAAAAAAUGAAAUUUUUAACAUGAAAAAUGGGAUUAAGAAGAUGGCACGUGGGAUAAAGUGGAAAAAAUAAUAAUAAACCAUCUUGAAACCUGCUGGAACCCUGCUACUAAUGGAAAAUAAAAAAAAAUAAUAAAAAACUCAUGUCUUUGACUUUUAUCCGCCAAUUUGCUUAAACAAUGCCAUCAGUGGGAAACAAAAGGGCUUCGACAUAUCCCUCCUUGAGGCAAACUCCAGCACCUAUUUCCUUAAAAACUUCUCUUCAAGCUUUGACUUCAGCCUGAACCCAGCUACCAUUUGCAUAAACAUAGCUGCCUCUGUUGGACCGACCAUGCUUCCGCUACGUGCAUGCAUGAAAGUAAACGGAGCAAGUGGGCUUUGGCAGUGGGCUUAGGAGGGUGGCCAUGCGAAAUGAAGCCAUGUGGUUGGAUCCGCGCAUGAGUGUGCCCAAGGUGGAUAGGGAAUGAAGAUAUCGCUGUAGAAAAACGAGGAGGAGAUGCGGCAUCUUGGUUUUGCAAGGGCUGCCAGUUAGUGAGUUUUCCACCAGCCAUCAGAAGAGAGGGAAAGCAAAGGAACUUCCAUGGUUGCUUGGCUGCAUGCAUGCCCCGUCCCUGGACCCAGCUAAGUGGAAUUCCCGGGCAGCCUCCCUGCUCUGUUUGAAGUGCCCGAGAGCCAAACGUUAGGCUGGAAGUGCAGCCGCGUGCAUGGGUAUGGCAGCAACGGGUGAUGAUGGAUGGGAAAUAAAUUCGGUAUGUAUGGGGCGUGAUGAGUGGUGCGUGUGAGGGUAUAGUGAGUGGGAGGGGUCAUGCAUGUGUCGGAGAUAGAAACAUAAGAUGAAGCUCGCGAGGGAAGGCAAUGGGAAAAUGAGAGGGAUGGAUGCUGGCUAUGGGUAACUGGUUUGGGAGUGGAUUGAUAUCAGGAGCAUGAAGAGCAAACAGUUGCUGCAUACAUACCUACCAGCGGAUUCCUCUAAUGCAAACCCAAAACCUUUCCCUCUGGCUGAUAUCCAAUCGAUCCAUACCCUAGAUCGAGCGCAUAAAAAGAACAACAAAAAGAAAAAAACAGAGCCCAGAACAGAGGAGAGCCAGGAAAAGCAAACAAAUAACAUAUGAAUGAAGAGAAAAACCGCAUCUGAUGCUUCUACAAUGGGCUUGCAUUGGUGGGAAAGGGUAGCAAGCAGGUUCAGACGAGAAAAUACCAAUUAAUAUAUUCAUACAGAGCAAAAUGAAACAAAGCUUCUCCAGGUUAAAACCAAUACUAAGAGGGAUAACGAAUGAAACGAUCAGCGAGCAUAUGAAGAAACCAGAAACUGACACUACUCAGACAUAACUCCUGUUAUUCCUAACCAAGCAUAAAAGCGGAACCCUGAACAACUAGAGGAGAAAGAGAAAACAGUGGUGGUAAAAAUAAAGCAAAAGAUGCGUAGUGAGCUUACCUGAAUGCUCCCUCGAGCAAAAAUAAUUGGAUCUCACAGAACCUCCACCUCUGUUCCGCCUCCUCCCCGAGAAAAGAAAACCCUCUAGCUUGCGUCUCCGGAAUACCCCUCAGUUUUCUCUGUUUUUCCCUCCGAGCUCUCUCCUUUUUCUCUCUCGAUCCCUCCUCCCUCUGUUUCUCGUCCUUUCUUUUCUUUUCUUUUUCUCUUUUUCUCCGUUUUCAGUCUUCCUCAGCAAGCCAGCCGUUGCUUCCUGCCAUCCGCCGCACUCCUCUGGCCGAGCCAACCUUCCAUCAGCCGCCUGAGAAAAAAGAAAAAAGAAAAAAACAAAGAAACUCCUCCCUGCUUCGCAGCCUCAGGGGGGGUCUACAAUUUGAUAUAACCAUUUAAUUCUUGCAGGCCCCACCUUCACCCAGGGGAAAUGAUCAAGCCUUUAUGGGCCCAAAAAUUCCUGGCUGACAGUAACCAGGACCUCGAAGCUUUGCACAUAAAAAUUGAAAGUAAUAUAAAGGAAGUGAGGAGCUGCUUGUAUAUGAAUAUAAUAAGAUAAUAAACAUUAAUAUUAUAUAAAUCAUUGAAAAGUAUGACUUGUAUAUGAAUUUAUUAUAAAAUUGUAUUAAUAUUAAUUUAUUUAUUACACAAAAUAUAUGGAUAUGAGUUUAUUUAUUAUUCAUAAUUUAUUAAUAUUAAGAAUUACUCAAGGAUAACUUUUUUAUUUAAAUUUUUUUCUUUAUAAGAUAUUAGAAAAUUAUAUUUUACAUAUAAAUUUAUUAAUCUUCUUCAUAUCAAAUAAAUAUUAAUAUUAGGUGAAUAAAUAUAAUAUGAUGGUACGUAUUAAUAUUAUAUAAAGAGAUAAAUAUCAUAAUUUUAAAAUAUAACGUAUAUUUUUUAACUAUUCAAUAUCUAUGAAUAUCAUUCGAGGUAUAUGAAUAUUAAUUUUAUUAUGAAUUUAUUUAUAAACUCUUUUAUUUAAAUUUUUUAUAUACUUUUUCUCUUUUAUUUAAAAAUUUUCCAUUAUAUUUUAUAAAAUGUUAAAAAAUUAUUUUUAUUACCCCACAUGCAAUGCACGUGUUUUUAGGGUGAAAAAUUGGAUUGAGGCUUUCAAAAAUGCAGAAGAAAGGGCUCAAUCUCAAACGCAAUGGCCAAGAAUACCGAAGGUUCCUCACAUUCUGAAGAAAUUGUACGAACCGAGGGUAAUUUCAUUCGGUCCUUACCACCAUGGCAAGUCCCACCUUCGCCCAGGGGAAAUGAUCAAGCCUCCCUGUGCCCUAAACUUCCUGGCUGAUAGUAACCAGAACAUCGAUGGUACACAAAAAUCGAAAGUAAUAUCGAGGCAGUGAGGAAGGGCUAUGAUUGGAGUAGUACAAGCGAGUAACGUUCUUAUAUGUCACCAAAUUUAUUUUGUGGGGCUGGACUUGUUCUUGCUGGAGAACCAACUUCCCUUCGGAGUUGUUAUAUUGAAGCGCAUAAUUGGUUGAAGAUCACGGAGCGUUUCGAAUAAAAACACUCUGUUUAUUAUUUAGAAUUUUUUAUAUUUCUUAUUAUUUGUUGGACCUAUAAGUCAAAUAAAAUGGAUCAUUCCUAUGUUUAUGGGAAGAAUCAAUCAAAGAAUUUCAUUAUAUCUCUUCUAAGACCGUUCUAUUUCAUUUAGUAUCUAAUAGGGAUAAACGAUACACAGAUACAUUAGAGAAUAUAUUUCUUUAUUUGAUGCUCUUAACGAUAAUUGCUAUUAAUAAAAGUAAUUAAAACUACUACUCUAGCCAACCUUCCUGUAAAAGAUAUUUUCUUAACAUCAAGCGUGUACAAUCAAACUUGAACCCAAGCCUUUUGGCGUGGUUCGAAUGAUUCCCCUUUGCAAGCCACUUUAAUUUAAAGUGCUGGACUGACAACCACCUUAAAUUUGAAAUUUGAAACAUGACGGCAUGGGCAGUGUUAAUUUGAAGCGCGGGCAGUGUUGAUCGAUUAUCCGUGGUUGAUUUCGUAUUAGCCAUCCUUGAUAAAUGAUUAUUUAUCGAUAUUUUGGUGAAAAAUCCUGAUUUUUCAAACACCGGUGGUCUUGCACUUCAUAAGGAUUGAACAAUAAAUAAUGGGUACAGAGAGAUGGGUGAAAUACAAAGUAAUAUGAUACUAUAAUGAUAAAAUAAUAAUAAUAAUAAUGUUAAAUGUUAAGCUAAUAAAUGAAAUAAAAUUAUAGUUUUAUUAAAUUAACUAUAUAUUCUUAGAAACAUUAUAAAUUAGAAACUUAUUAAUUUUACUUAAAUAAGGAAUAAAUGAAUUAAAUUAAUAUUAAUAAUUAGGAAAAAUAAUAUUAAUAAAUAAAGUGAUUAGGAUCAUCAAAUCUAUAUAAUUUUAGUUAAUUGUCUAUAGCAAGAAACUUAUUGAUUUUAAUUAAAUAAAAAAUAAAUUAAUUGAAUUAAUAUUGAUAAUUAAGAAUAAUAAUAUUAAUAAAUAAAAUUAUUAAGAUCGUGGAAUCUAUAAUUUUAGUUAAGCUUCUAUUGUUUUUUCAAAUAUAUUAACUUUAGAUAAUAAGCUAUCCACUAACCAUUUAUUAUUUAAUCAUUCAACUUACAAUAAUGAGAUUCUCAAUCCUUCAAAAUGACAUUAAUUUAACCCACUUCCUUAAUCAAUUAUACCUUGAUUAAAUUAAUCUUUCAAAAAUUAAAUCUACUGAAUGAUAAUAUGCAUAUCUAAUCGAUUUACCUUUUUGUAUAAAUUGUUAAAUUCAUAUUUAAUUUCAUUUCGAUUCAAUUUUAUUUCAUAUUUUAUAAUUUUAUAAGGGUUAUAAAAAUUAAAUUGAUUAAUACUGUAACAUUAAAUUAAAUAUCUUUUAAAAAAUUUAUUAUAAUCAUUUGAUAUAAUACAAAUUUCAUCAAGUUUUUUUAAUUAUGGUUUUCUGAUAAUUACCUUAUAAUAAUAAAAUUAAUUCCUGUAAUACAUAUAAUAUUCAAAUUUCAAAAAUCCAAUCUCAAAUAAUUUAAUUGCUAAAUAUAUAUUUAAUUUUUGAAGUUCCUAAUUUCGAAAUGUGACUUGGCGAGAAUUUAAACUAUUGACCUUCCACUAAGUCACUAACUUCUCAAAAGUGUCGCCUAAUUAAAUAAAAUAUCUGACACGUCAAUGUUCACUAACAUCGUUCAUUUAUUUGGACCAUUCAUUUUGGUUGAUUUUGAGGAUAGUCAUCGGCAGUAGACCUACAUCUUCUGGACCAAUCAGCAUACCAACAGUGAUUAGGCUAAGGUGGUGAUCCAAUUCCAUGGAAGGGCAGCAAGAAAGGAUUGGAGAGAUAGAACCAGUUGGCGGCCAACCAAGCAGGAACAGUGGCCAAACUGGCCUCGAGCCUGAGGAGCAUACGAUUGACAUUGUUGAAAUCAGUGAUGAGGAUUGGUUUAACUCUCUCAGAACGGCAGAAGAAAGCACUCAAUGGCCAAGGAUACCAAAGGUUCCUCAGAUGCUGAGGGGGACCCAGGAUUUCAAGAAAUUCUACGAACCGAGGGUAAUUUCAAUCGGUCCUUACCACCAUGGCAAGCCCGACCUUGGCCGAGUGCAAAUGAUCAAGCCUCUAUGUGCCCAAAAAUUCCUGGCUGAUAGUAACCAGAACAUCGAAGCUUUGUGCACAAAAAUUCGAAGUAAUAUCGAGACAGUGAAAAAGUGCUAUGAUUGUAGUAGUAAAAUAAAGUAUAAUGAUGUGGAACUCGCCAGGAUGAUGCUUCUGGAUGGGUGUUUUUUUACUAUAUUUCAUCCGCGGGGGAGAUGUGAAACAGUUUCUUAAAGUUCACGAAAUAGUUUGUGUGGUGCAGGACUUGUUCUUGCUGGAGAACCAACUUCCCUAUGGAGUCCUCAAGUUGAUUUUUGAGGCAGCAAAAUUCCAGGGUGGUCUACCAAUGGAAAAGAAUAUUAUAAUAAAAUUCGUCUCUGACAUCGGAAUGCCAGAAGGGUUGUCAUCAGAAAUACAGCUGAAAGAGGUGAACGAAGAGCCCUCUCAUCUCCUCGACCUUUUGCGAAGUGCUCUCCUAGGCCGGUUCCACAUGAUUAGGAGUCAGCCCGAAAAAGAGCAGCAACCUAAGAAAAAAGGAAAGUCGUCGUGGAAAAAAGGCAAACAACGGGGCAUUUGGCAGUCUUUUCGACACAUCAAGGAGCUUAAAGCUGCCGGGAUCUAUCUCAAACCGAGUAGAACGUGUUUCUUGAGAGACGUUUCUUUCAAAUCCUACUUCUUCUUUGGCCACCUGAAACUUCCCCCAAUAACUAUUGAUGACUUCACGAAGACCAAGUUCUUGAACAUCGUAGCCUAUGAAAUGUGUCCAGGUCCAGGUGCCCCAGAUGACUAUGCGGUCACUUCUUAUAUAUGCUUCCUUGACGACCUCAUUGAUCAUGCAGACGAUGUCAAGGAGCUGAGGUCUAAGCACAUUCUCCACAACCUUCUUGGCAGCGAUGCAGAUGUGGCCGAAAUUUUCAACGAGAUUGGCAAUGGCUUGGUAGAUCCCGGAAUUUAUGAAGAUGUGAAAGCUCGUAUUCAGAAACACUACAAGAAGAGAGUGAAUACUUGGAUAGCUCAAGCCCUUCACAACCAUUUCAGGUCUCCAUGGACUGUCAUGGCUUUCAUUGCUGCUCUUUUGGUACUAUUUCUUACUGCGGUUCAGACCUACUACGUUGUUUGGUGUGUGUGAUUAGAAAAAUAAAGAUUCUUGUUUGGUGUGUGUGAUUAGACAAAUAAAGAUGCUUAUAUUGUUAAGUUGUAUCACUGGAUUUCAUGCAUGCAAUAUUAUGAGUCUUUGAAUACUCUUCAACUCUUUUAGAAAUUUUUAAUCUUCUUGGAAUCUCUUUUAAGAGAUUUAGGGCUUUUCUUUAGUUUUUUUUGUCAAAACCCCAUGCACAGAGAUUGAGUUAGAAAUGAAAAUGGAGAAAAGAAAAGUACUCGAUAGUUUUGCAUAUUACUUGAUAGAACUCGUUAAAAUUGUUUAUGUCUCUGGCACUAAAAUACACCUUGUAGCACUUAGCAAUCAAAGCCUGUUUUUCCUCCUUACUUCCAAUUUAGACAUGGAGAGGUGACACAAACUUUGGGAUAUUCAAUGAUUCAACAAAGCAUUCAUCAAAUAUUAUAUUGUUUGCUUUGAUGGAGGGGCAAAGAUGAUGAUACCAGGAGUUAGUUUCAUGAGGGAUGCGCCUAUCUUUUGAGUGGUUGGAUAUGAUGACGUUGUUGGAAAGUGUCUUAGAAAUUAUUUUUGAGUCAAUUGAAAAAUUAUAGAUAAUCUCCUAAUACAAAAUAUUAUUAUAUUUGAGUUUUCUAUUAUUAUAUAAUGGGAAUAUUAUAUUAUAAGAAUUUUUUUUUUAGGAAAAGACACAUUUGACAAUUAUACAUUUAGUUUUCUAUAUGCAAUCUUCCUAUAUAUGUAAUUAGGAAAAUAUACAUAAGAAGACAUUUAAAAAAAAAAAAUUAUCUAUCAAAUGUUUUUCUAGAAAACAUUAUAGGUGACAAAUAUAUGAAUUUUGGAUGAUCACGAGGGAUAGUCAUCGGCAGUAGACCGAAGUUUAUGAAGAUGUGAAAGCUCCUAUUCAGAAACACUACGACAAGAGACUGAAUGCUCGAGCCCUUCAGGACCAUUUCAUUACAGCUGUUUUGAUACUAUUUCUUAAUGGGGUCAGACCCACUACCGUACUACGCUCUUGACCCACAUCGAAUUAUUGCUGCUACUCAUCCAUUCCUGGAGUGCCAGCUUGCAUCUGGUUACAAAUAUAUCCUGGAAUCCAUCCCCACAUUUCCCCGUGAACUAAUCUGUUUGGUUCCGGAAACCACUAAAAAAAAUAAAAAAGGAAAAUGCUAAAAAUAUAUUUCUUUAUACUUGAUUUUGUUAAAAAAAAAAAAAAAAAUGUCAAAGAAAGUCUGAAUAUAAAUAAAAUUAUUAAAAUUUUUAUAUAUUUUUUUAAUCCUUAUAUAAAAGAGUUAAAUAAUUUAAAAAAGUUUAAGGUACUAUAUACUAUUGAUUUUAAUUUUUGAAAUUUUAAUUUUUAUUAUUUUUCCUUUUAUCUUUUCUUUCUAUUUUCUUUCUUUUAUAAUUUUCUUUAAACUUUUCGGGAACUAAAUAUAACUUAAAUAACCUAUUAAUUUGAGGUUUAUUGUUGUUGUGUUUUUUUUAUUUAAAUCUAAAUAAAAUUUAAUUUAAUUUAAUUCUACAUAUAAUUUAAUACUAUUAAGUUGUUUAUUUUUUAUUAUUUUAUUUUUAUUAAGUAUUAAGUAUGAAUAGGUGGGAGUUGCGUUGAGGUUGUGUUUUAGUUAUUUUAAAAAGCGGUGAUCCAAUUCCAUGGGAGACCUGCAAGAAAGGAGGAACGUUGGAGAGAAAGAAGGCGGUCAACCAAGUAGGAACAAUGGCGAAACUGGCCCCAAGCCUAAGGAGCAUAGGAUUGACAUUGUUGAAAUCAAUCCUACGGUGAAAAAUUGUGGAUAAAAAUUGUGCACAUCACUAAAGAAAGUGUUUUCUAACUUUUUUAAUCCAAUAUGCAUUAAAGGUGUUUCUUGAAGAGACACAUUCCAUAAUUUAACAAAUUUGAAUGUCUCAUGAAUUUGAUUUUAAAGCUAAAGAUGUCUCUUGAAGAGAUAUUUUCUACAAUUCCUAAAAAUUUUAAUUUAUACAAAAGGUGUCACUUGAAGAGACACUUACCAUAGUUCCACAAUUUCACAAAUUCCAAUAUAUAAUAAAGGUGUCUUCUUCAAGAGACACCUUCUACAAUUCCAAAAAAUUGGAUUUAUACUAAAGGUGUCUCUAGAAAAGACAUUUUCCACAAUUCCACAAAAUCCAAUAUGUAUUAAAAAUUGUGUACAUGAUUUUAAAGCUAAAGAUGUCUUUCUUCAACAUAAAUUCGAAAUUUUCUACUGUGUAUGAAAAUUGUGGAAAGUGUUUCUUCAAGAGACACUUUCAGUAUAAACUCAAUUUUUUUUUAAAUUAUGGAAGGUGUCUCUUCAAGAGACACCUUCAGUGUAGUUCCAUUUUUGAGAAUUGUGAAAGGUGUCUCUUGACACCUUCCACAAUUUUAAAAAAAUUGGGUUUAUACUAAAAGUGUCUCUUCAAGAGACACUUUCCACAACUUAACCUCUAUUGAUGGUGACCUUUUAGUAUAAAUCCAAUUUUUUGGAAUUAUAAAAGGUGUACCUUUAGUAUUGUGGACCCGCAUUUUUCACGUGCGUCCCCAUUCGGUCGGCGAGACUCUCUUUUUAUUUGUGAAAAAUUAUUUAGUUUUGGAAAAGUUGGAGCCGUCACUUAUUUUAUUUUUAUUUUAAAGGGAAAAUAAAACAAGAAAGAAAAACCCUAAAAUGUGACUCCAUAAUUUUUGGAAAAAAACAUGUCUUUGAAAAACCUGAGUCUAGGUCCGAGGAUCAGGUUACUUAUUGGGAAGGUACCUCUAGGAGGUAGCACCCUUCUAAGCCCUAAAGAGGUCUUACUAAAUUGGGGAAAUGGGGCAAUUAAUUGAUUAAUUGUAGAUACCUAAGUAAGCUAGGUGAUUUUCAGAAAGUAGCAUGCUAAAUAAGGAGAUCAAUCACAAUAAAGGAGAGUUAGGGUGCGUACCUGAACCACUUCUUAAGCGCUAUCAUAAAAUAUCAAUGGUUAAUUCAGAAAUAUGACACACGACAUGCAUUUUAUCAAGGAUGAUCAAACAAGCAUCGAGACAAUCAAGUAUGGCAUCAAACAAGGGCAAUGACAUGCAUAUUCAUGAAAUUUUGGGAACGUACCUGGAUAGCAUAUAUAACUCCUAAUGUGCUUCCUCAGGAUUAGAUAAUAAAUAAUAAAUAAUAAAUCCUAGCAUGCUUAUCUAAUUAAUUAGCAAAAAUUAUCAGAAUUGGGAAUAAUUAAUUAUCAUACAUAUCUUGUAUACAAUUCCUACAAAGAAAAAAUGUAAAUAUGAUUACGAUAAAUAGCAGGGUGGUAGCAAAAGUAAAUUUUGAAAAAAUUUUCUUAUAUAGGGGUUUCACCAAUUCCCCAAAUUAAUAUACACGAAUUUAGCCUAAAAUUGUCCCAUUUAUUUGGGACCAUAAGCUUUGAUUCGCGUUUUGUUUAAAACCAAAAUUUUUGUUGAAAAUUGAGAAGGAUGCAAACCGAUUAAGAUAUGGUUGCAUAUUAUUUUUUAAAAAGAAAAUAGAUUUUGAUUCUAAAGGCUUUAAAUGAAUAAUAAAAAAAAAUUUUAAAACGAUUUUUUUGAGAAAAAGAGUUUUGUUUUAAAAUAAAAGAAAUUAAUUUUUAAAAUAACAAAAAUAGAAAACAAAAUAUCAAUCAAAACAAAAAACAAAGAUCACGAAAUAAAGAUUUUAGAAAAUCUUGUCAAUUAAAGUGGUGAGAGUAAAGGCCAACCUUCAUGGAUUUCCAGUGGCCCUAAAAAAAAAUUUGACCAACAAUCACUAAGGCAACAAAUUUAUGACUUCCUAAUAAAACAAACUAACAAAAUUAUCAUCCAAAAACUAACAUUUAAAUUUCAAGAAACACAUGAAUAACUAGAAUUAGACUAAUUGAAAUUAAAAAUGUAAACUUUACCUCACAAGAUCGAUUAAACUAAAGAAUUAAGAUCAAUAACACAUUCAAAUUAAAAAUAAACUAGAAUUUAAAAUAAUCGGAAUUAAAAAUAUAAACUUUACCUUACAAAACCAAUUAAACUAAUAGAUUAAGAUCAAUGACUCAUUCGAAUUAAAAAUAAACUAAAAUUAAACUAAUUAGAAUUAAAAAUAUAAAUUUUAUCUCGCAAGAUCAAUUAAACUAAAGAAUUAAGAUCGAUAACACUAUUCAAAUUAAAAAUAAACUAGAAUUAAACUAAUUGAAAUUAAAAAUAUAAAUUUUACCUUACAAGACCAAUUAAACUAAAGAAUUAAGAUUAAUAACAUAUUCAAAUUAAAAAUAAACUAGGAUUAAACUAAUUGAAAUUAAAAAUAUAAAUUUUACCUCACAAGAUCAAUUAAACUAAUAGAUUUAAGAUCAAUAACUCAUUCAAAUUUAAAAAAAACUAGAAUUUAAACUAAUCGGAAUUAAAAAUAUAAACUUUACCUUACAAGUCCAAUUAAACUAAAGAAUUAAGAUCAAUAACAUAUUCAAAUUAACAAUAAACUAGGAUUAAACUAAUUGAAAUUAAAAAUAUAAAUUUUACCUCACAAGAUCAAUUAAACUAAUAGAUUUAAGAUCAAUAACUCAUUCAAAUUAAAAAAAAAACUAGAAUUUAAACUAAUCGGAAUUAAAAAUAUAAACUUUACCUUACAAGUUCAAUUAAACUAAUAGAUUUAAGAUCAAUAACUCAUUCAAAUUAAAAAUAAACUAGAAUUUAAACUAAUCGGAAUUAAAAAUAUAAACUUUACCUUAGAUCAACAACUCAUUCAAAUUAAAAAUUAAACUAGAAUUUAAACUAAUCGGAAUUAAAAAUAUAAACUUUACCUUACAAGUCCAAUUUAACUAAUAGAUUUAAGAUCAAUAACUCAUUCAAAUUAAAAAUUAAAGAUCAAUAACUCAUGCAAAUUAAAAUAAACUAUAAUUUAAACUAAUCGGAAUUAAAAAUAUAAACUUUACCUUACAAGUCCAAUUAAACUAAUAGAUUUAAGAUCAAUAACUCAUUCAAAUUAAAAAUAAACUAGAAUUUAAACUAAUCGGAAUUAAAAAUAUAAACUUUAUUUAAACUUUCAUGUAAAUUAAAAAUGAACUAGCAUAGAACUAAUGAAUUGCAAUCAUAAAAGAGAGACAUUUAAUCUAAGAAAAAUAAAAGAUCGUUCGAAAUUGAGAUUUAAAAGAAUUUAUCACAAACAAUUAAUUAAACCAAACAACUAAAACCCAAAAAAAAAGGAAAUACGGUAUCAAAAAUCGAAAACUAACCUGUAUUGUAUCGGAAAAAAUACUCUCUUGAUGUUUCAAAAUGGCAACCCAAUUAGUCUUUCAGGUCUUCUACCGCUCCCUCCUAAAAAAAUUGCGUGUGUUCCUCUCCUUUAAAAAAGAUUGCUUUUUGUAUGUGAAUUUCUGCUCCCAAAAGAAAAAAAAUCUCCCUGCCAAAGAAAAAGUCCCCCACUUGUCUUCGAUCUCUCUCCUCCAGAAAAACAAUCCCCCCUCUAAAAAUAAAACUUCUCUGAUCCAAAAAAAGGAAACCCACUUUUCUUUCUUAUUUUCUACCCUUUUAUAACCAAUUUUCCCAUGGAAAUAAUAUAUGUGCUAUCAUUCUAAAAACAAAAUCUCCUCUUUUUCAAAAUUCUGUUGAUUCUCCUUCCAAAUAGAUGGCGACCCGUUUCCUCAUGCCCAAAAAGCUAAGAAAUAUGAUUUAGAAAACUAGUAAUAAGAUAAAAUAAAAUAAAAUAAAAAUAAUAAAGAAAUUCAUAUAAGCCACACAAGUCAUGUAGGCCAUGCAAUCAUGCAAGUCAUAUAAAAAGUGGGUUUAAAAAUGCUUAAAUGGGCCUAAGGCGUUCAAGAAAGUGCCUAAGUCUAAAUUAGGGCUGCCAAGGUCAUAAUAAGGGGUUAGGCAAUCCUUCAACCAGAGUCUCCGAGGUGGUUCAAGAAAGGUAAGUAGUGUGAGUAGAUAUGGGCCACCAAUGAGCUAACUGUAAAGUAUCGAACAAGUAUCUAAUAAGACAUGUGCUAGGAGGACAAAAUUGAGGGUUUACAAAUAUGCCCCUCUUCGGUAGAGAUCACGAGUGUAAGGAAUGUGAGUAAAAAUACGAACAAAGAAUGGAACGAAGUGAACUAUAUCGAAGAACUAGAGAAUGACCAGAGAUUUUGUCCUAGCACAUGACGAGAGUAAGAUCGGAACAUGGGUUUGUGACGACAAGAAUGGAACAACUCUACGUAGGGGAAUGAUAGUGAAGAGAGAAAGGUAUGUGAUGAGUAGCACAAGAAUGAGAAAAAAAAAGAUGAAAAUGAUGACCCAAAGUCAUGGAUGAGAUGAAUAACUCUAGGUCAUGGACAAGAUGAACGACUCUGGGUCAGAAAUAAGAUGAACGACUCUGGGUCGGAAAUAGGAUGAACGACUCUGGAUCAUGAGCUCAAGGCUAUAAAUUUUAAGAAUGACUCUAGGUCAAGAUGGAGUGAAUGACUCUAGGUCGUGAGCUCCGGGCUCUAAACGGAAAAGAAACGACUCUGGGUCAUAAAUGAAAAUUGACUCUGGGUUGAGAACUCAGGGCUCUAAAUGGAUAGCCGAUCAGGAUGCUUUCCGACUCAUGGUGCCGGGUCGAGGCCACUCACAAGUGGCUAAAAUGAUGAAACGAAACAUCUCAAGGAUGUGAAGGAUGCAAACGACUCUGGGUCGUAAGCUCAGGGCUCGGGAUGCUAUGAAUGACUCUGGGUCAUGAUGCGAUGAGUAACUCAGGGUUAUGAUGAAUAGCCCAAGGCUAUGGAUGGAAUGAAUGACUCUGGGUCAUGAUGCAAUAAGCAACUCAGAGUUACGAUGAAUAGCUCAGGGCUAUGGAUGACAUGAAUGACUCUGGGUCAUGAUGCAAUGAGUAACUCGGGGUUACAAUGAAUAGCUCAGGGCUAUGAGCUCCAGGCUCUAUGACUGAUCGGCUAGAAGGAGAAUGCGAUACGCAAACUCCUGGUCAAACCACUCAUGGGCGACCAAAUGAUGAAGGCUUAGCUCAGGGUUGGAAAGACUCUGGGUCUAUAGGAAACGAUAGCUCAAGGCUACCAGGCGCAGGACCUAAGGGAAGAAAGAGAGCUCAGGGCUAUAAGACUCAGGGUCUAGAAGGAGUGGAUAGUUCAAGGCUAUGAGGCUCAGGGCCUAGAAGGAACGGAUAAAGAAGACCAACUCGAAAGUGGAUAGGAAGUAAAUGGGCUCAAAGUCGUAUACUCAAAGUGACAAGAGUCGGACUACUGAGCUCAAGAAGGGAAAUAUGACCCAGUAUCCAGGGUGCUCACACUGCUAAAACAACCAAUAAAUCAAUCAUCCGCUGAAAUCAAUAGGUCAGAAACUGAUGCAUCAUGACAAACCUCUGAAAAGUCUAAGCUGAAAGAACUCUCUGUGUCUGAAAAGCUGCCCUAUCGACGGAUCUCAAAAGGUAAAUUUCAAAGUGCAUAAAAUACUGCUCAUUCGGGUAAUCCAAUCUGCAAGGUGACAAUGAUGAAAACAAAUCUAUCCCAUGAACAUCUGGCUAAAGGACCCACCCACGUUCCUCUGGUGAAAGCCGAUGUGAUCCAUCUCUAUCUCGAAAAAUCCAUGUAAGGAGGUCCUGAUAUAAUUAAUCUCCGAAAGCUCCAAAUUAAUCUCAAUCUAAAACCAAGCUGGCCACUGUCUCGAUCUCAAGGAUACUCAAAGAAAAUGGGGAAAUAUGCCCCAGUAUAAGAUUCAGUAUCAAAAUCAUGAGGUAAACAUCCGACACUAAUCACCCAUCCUCAUACCACUGCCCAAACAAAUCUCGCAAAGGAGAGGGGAAUAUGCCCCAGUAUGGAUAUCUGAUGUCGAAGUUAUGAGAUAAACAACCAACAAUGAUCAUUCAUCUAUGUACUGCUGCCCGAACAUAAUCUCAUCAUGGAGUAUGUUCACAUCAUUUGUUUGCUAUGAAUCUAAUAUGGUUAAUGUAAACACCAACACAUGGUGGAUUGAUUCUGGAUCUACAAUCCACAUUUCAAAUUCCUUGCAGGGUAUGUAAAACCUAAGGAAGCCAGUGAAAAAUGAGCAAUUCAUCUUAUCCGGAAACAAGAUGGGCUCGCAUGUGGAAGCAAUAGGGACAUGUUAUUUAACUUUAUAUGGUGGUUUUAUUUUGGAAUUACAAAAGACCUUUUAUGUACCAAGUUUCUCACGAAACUUGAUUUUAGUUUCUAGACUUGUACCGUUUGGAUAUUCCUUUCAUUUUUCAGAAACAUCUUUCAGUUUGAUUUAUAAAUCUGAUUGUGUUGGGAAUGGUAUCUUGUCUGAUGGUCUUUAUUGUAUAUUCUUACAAAAUGAUACCGCUCAUAAUUCAUUACAUGCCCAAACUGGCAUUAAGAGAUGUGUUGUAAAAGAGGAUUCCUCUAUAUUGUGGCACCGGAGAUUAGGUCAUAUCUCCAUAGAUAGAAUCAAAAGAUUGGUGAAUGAUGGGGUACUUAGUACUCUAGAUUUUACUGACUUUGAGACUUGUGUGGACUGCAUUAAGGGUAAGCAGACCAAUAAGUCAAAGAGAGGUGCUACUAGGAGUUCCACCAUACUAAAGAUCAUACAUACUGAUAUAUGUAGUCUUGACAUGGACUCUCAUGGUCAGAAAUACUUCAUCUCUUUCAUAGAUGAUUUCUCACGAUACAUGUAUCUCUACAUACUUCAUAAUAAACAUGAAGCUUUAGAUGCCUUUAAAGUCUUCAAGGCAGAAGUAGAGAAACAAUAUGGUAAACAAAUUAAGAUUGUGAGAUCAGAUAGAGGUGGAGAAUAUUAUGGUAGAUACUUGGAAGAUGGACAAUCACCUGGGCCAUUUGUGAAGUUUCUUCCACCAUGUCUGGUUCUCCAGACCAAAAUGGUGUAGCAGAAAGAAGAAAUCGAACUUUAUUGGACAUGGUGAGGAGUAUGCUUAGUAGCUCAAAACUUCCUAAAUUCUUGUGGACUGAAGCACUUAAGACAGCUGUGUAUAUAUUAAAUCGAGUUCCAACACAGGCUGUUCUAAAAACACCAUUUGAGUUAUUGAAAGGUUGGAAACCGAGUUUGCGACAUAUGCGCGUUUGGGGAUGCUCGUCUGAAGUGAGAAUUUAUAAUCCACAAAAGAAGAAACUGGACCCAAGGACUAUUAGUGGGUAUUUCAUUGGAUAUGCUGAAAAAUCCAAGGGGUACAGAUUUUAUUGUCCAUCUCAAAACACUAGGAUUGUGGAAUCAAGAAAUGCUAAAUUUCUUGAAUAUGACUUGGUCGGUGGGAGCGAUCAAUUUAGAAACAUAGUUUCUGAUAUUGAUCAUACAGAGUCUUAACCUUCCACUUCAAGCGAUAGAUUGUUUAUUGUUCAUAACACCCCUCAAGUACAAACGGGUGUUGAACGAACAAUCGAUGAAGUUCAACCAGUCAUUGAAGUUUCCACAAGUUGUUGACAACAUUCCAAUAGACCAAGUUGAUUAGGAGUUGCCUAACACUUCUGAACAACAAGUUGAACCUCAUACUUCCUCGGAAGAUAUUGGUGCAACCUUAAGAAGGUCUGCUCGAACUAAGAGGUCAGCAAUUCCUAGUGAUUAUGUAGUGUAUCUACAAGAAUCUGAUUACAAUAUAGGAGCCAAAAAUGAUCUAGAAUCAUUUUCACAAGCCAUGAGUUGCAAAGAAUCAGAAUUGUGGUACAAUGCCAUGAAGGAUGAGAUGAGUUCCAUGAGGUGCAACGAUGUUUGGGACCUUGUUGAGUUGCCUAAUGGUGUAAAAACCAUUAAUUGUAAAUGAAUGUUGAGAGAUACAAGGCCAGACUUGUUGCAAAGGGGUUCACUAAAAAAGAAGGAAUCGAUUACACGGAAACCUUUUCUCCUGUAUCUAAAAAGGAUUCCUUGCGCAUUAUAUUGGCAUUAGUAGCCCACUUUGAUUUAGAAUUGCAACAAAUGGAUGUGAAAACAACAUUUCUUAAUGGAGAGCUAGAGGAGGAGGUUUACAUGAAACAACCUGAAGGAUUCCCCUCUAGUGAUGGUGAGCAAUUGAUUUGUAAGCUUAAGAAAUCCAUAUACGGUUUGAAACAAGCAUCUCGCCAAUGGUAUUUAAAAUUCCAUAACAUAAUUUCUUCAUUUGGUUUUGUUGAAAAUGUUAUGGAUCAAUGCAUAUACCUUAAGGUUAGUGGGAGUAAAGUUUGUUUUCUUGUUUUAUACGUGGAUGACAUCUUACUUGCAACCAAUGAUAAGGGUUUACUUCAUGAGGUGAAAAAAUUCCUCUCUAAAAAUUUUGACAUGAAGGAUAUGGGUGAGACAUCUUAUGUCAUUGGCAUUAAGAUCCAUAGAGACAGAUUUAAAGGUAUCUUAGGUUUGUCUCAAGAAACCUAUAUCAAUAAAGUUUUAGAGAGAUUUCGGAUGAAGAAUUGUUCACCUAGUGUUUCCCCUAUAGUGAAGGGUGAUAAGUUCAAUUUGAACCAAUACCCGAAAAAUGAUCUUGAGAGGGAACAGAUGAAGAACAUUCCAUAUGCUUCUGCAGUCAGAAGUUUGAUGUAUGCUUAGGUCUGCACAAGGCCUGACAUUGCAUUUGCUGUUGGAAUGUUAGGACGAUAUCAGAGUAACCUAGGUAUAGACCACUGGAAAGCUGCAAAGAAAGUGAUGAGAUAUCUUCAAGGAACCAAAGAUUACAAGCUUAUGUACAGACGAACAAGCAAUUUAAAGGUAGUUGGCUACUCAGAUUCAGACUUUGCUGGCUGUGUUGAUUCACGUAGAUUAAUAUCUGGAUACAUUUUUAUAUUGGCCGGUGGAGCUAUAUCUUGGAGGAGCGUUAAGCAGACCAUGACUGCUACUUCUACUAUGGAAGCUGAGUUCAUAUCUUGUUUUGAGGCUACUUCAAAUGGUGUAUGACUUAAGAGUUUCAUUUCUGGACUUAGAGUUAUGGAUUCAAUAUCUAGGCCAUUGAGUAUAUAUUGUGACAAUUCAGCUGCAGUCUUUAUGGCAAAGAACAAUAAAAGUGGAAGUCGAAGCAAGCACAUCGACAUUAAGUAUCUAGCCAUAAGAGAACGUGUUAAAGAAAAGAAAGUGGUCAUUGAGCACAUUAGCACUGAAUUGAUGUUUGUUGAUCCUUUGACUAAGGGCAUACCGCCGUUGAAAUUCAAGGAUCAUGUAAUGAACAUGGGACUUAGUUCCCUUAUUUAGUUUUUAUUGUACAAACUCUUAUUAUGAUGUUUUCUCAUAUUGAUGUGCACCUUUAUUUAAUUUUGAGAAAAUUCAACUUCAUUGGACCAAGAAUGAACAUAGGGUUUAUUCAUUAAGUAAUAUUAAUAUUGCCACAUAAAGUAAAAUGUUAAGAAAUGAAUGCACUGUAAUACAUGGAAGAUAACACUCGUUAUAUAAAGGACUUAUCGCCAUGAUUCAUGUAUUUGUUACUUAAUAUGGAUAAUUGAUGGAUUAAGAUAGGACAUAAGUUAAAGGUGUGGACCAAGUGGGAGAAUGUUAUCACCACCCCAUGUCGUCUCCACGUUCACCACCAUGAAAAGGUGAUUCUGAAGUGGUCAGACCCACGUCCUCCACCAUAAUCACACUUUUUCUAUUGCGUUAAAGGAGGGUGUGGCAAAUCUGCAGAGACGUGGUAUGAUGGGAAGCCAUGCAUAUAUAUUUCACAUAUGGUCCCGAACUCGUGAUCUACCAUUUUUCUUUCUUCAGUAAUACACCAUUCAUAGGAGAUCAUCAGAGUUUGGAAACCGAUUACAGCAACUUGAAUCAAUGGUUGGAGGUAAGUAGACUAUGCCUAGUCUUUUACAGAUUCAGUUCAUCUUGCAAGUAUUAAUUUUGAAUUGAAUGUAUCAUAUGAAUUUCUCACAUAUCAUACCAUUUUAGUUCAUAAAAUUAUUGAAGGAGCUUAAUUUGUCAUAAAAGGAACCAACAGAUAUUUACAUGGACGAUAAAUGAGCGAUUACAUUAUAAAAAAAAAUUCCAACUUUCCAAGAUUGAAGUCAAUACAUCAAGAUAUCAUUUUAUUUGAAAGUAUUAUAAAGAAGGAAAAACAAUUAAAAUUUGUAAAAUCUUGAGAUCAAAUUACAAAUAUUUUGAUCAAAUUUAUCCGAUUUAAAGAUUUUAGAAGGUUAAAGAUAUUAUUGAGAUAUACAAAUCAAGUUGUAGUUUUUAUAUUUGAGUAAUCAAAUCGCAAAAAAUGUCUAUAUUUUACUUUGAGCAAUUUUAUUUGAUGAAGUUUAAGUAAUUAUAAAUGAGAAAUUUUGUAAUAUUCGAAUAAGAGAUGAUAUAAUAAAUUUUUAAUUCUUUCCGCUUGUAAUCCUUUUCUAUAAUUAUUUGUAUUCCACUUUCAAUCUCAUCACUUGAACACAAAUUAGGGUUAGCCAGGAGAGAGAUUUUUUGGUAGGAUGAGUUAUUGAAUAUAAAUUGGUGAUGUGUCAGCAUCUUGGAGGGUCCAUACAUGGUUUCGAUAUCAUUAUUUACGGUUCUUUUUAAUAAGAAUAAUGUUUAAACUUUGUAGUCAUCGAUCUUGGCCUACAUGCUUACCAAAAAGUAUUGAAUUAUUGCAGCUACUCAUCAAUUCCAGGAGGGCCAGCUUAAUUAAACAACACAUCCCAACAUUUUCCAUGAAAGGACAAUAAUUGCAUUUGAUUACAUAUAUAUCCUGGAAUCCAUCUCCACAUUUUCCACAUGUACUAAUCUAUUUUAAGAGUAUGAGUCCGUUUGAUAGUGAUUUUAGGAAGCACUUUUAACUUUUUUAACACUAUAAAAUUUUUAUAUUUCAAGUAUUAAAAAAAGGUAAAAACAUUUCCUAGAAUUAUUGUCAAACACACUCUAUAUUUGCCUUCGGAAACCACAAAAAAAGGAAGGAAAAUGCUAAAAAAAUAUUUCUUUAUAUUUGAUUUUGUUACAAAAAAUGUCAAAGAAAGUCUUAAUAUAAUUAAAAUUAUUAAAUUUUUUUGUAUAUUUUUAAAAUUAUUAAUCCUUAUAAAAAAGAGUUAAAUACGUUAAAAAAGUUUAAGGUAGUAUAUAUCAUUGAUUUUAAUUUUUAAUUUUAUUAUUAUAUUUUUUUGCAUUUUUUUCCUUUUACCUUUUUUCUCUAUUUUCUUUCCCUUGUAAUUUCCUUCAAACUUUUCGGGAACCAAAUAUAGCCUAAAUAAUCUACUAAUUUGGUGUUUGUUGUUGUUGUUUUUUUUUUUUUUUUACUUAAAUCUAAAUAGAACUUAAUUUAACUUAAUUCUAAUAAGUUGUUUACUUUUUAUUAUUUUAUUUUUAUUAAGUUUUUGUAUUUUACAUUAGAGAUCUCAUUCCUUUCUUAAUUCGCCCAUUUUGGGUCUUUUCAUUUCUAAUUUUCUUUUCUUUUCAUUUUUUUGCCCUCAUUCUCAUUUCCAUUUCAUAUAACAAGUUCUCUACUUUUCUUUCUAUACAACCAUGGAUGCAAAAUGAAUCCGAUAUAAUAUUAUUGUGUAAUCCAAACUCAAAUGAUAAUACCCAGUAAUAUAAAACAAUUAUUUUAAACCUAUAACAAUACUAAAAUUUUUUUACAAAUAAUUACCCUUAUUUUCAACAUUGAUAUAUUACUAACAAGAAAUUACCUUGAUCUCAUUGGUAUGUGUUUUAGAACGUAAAAGGAAUCCUUGGGUUUACCCAAGUCCUUACAAUAAGGAAUUAAUAAAAGAAAAGGAAUAUGCCACUUUUUCCUCCAUGUUCCAAGUAAAUAUGGGAAAAGACUUAUAUAAAGAAAUUAAUACGUGUUCCAAGUAAAUUUCGGAAAAGAUUUGUAAUAAGAAAUUAAUAAAUGUUCCAAGUAAAUGUGGGAAAACACUUACAACAAGAAAUUAAUAAAUGUUCCAAGUAAAUGUGGGAAAACACUUACAACAAGAAAUUAAUAAGAGAAAAGGACCAUACCACUAUUCUAUGGGAAAAAACUUACAACAAGAAAUUAAUAAAAGGAAAGGACCAUACCACUAUUUCCUUGACAGAUGUUAGGAUGGAUUUAAGAUACAUUUAUAAUUAAUGGUGGAAAAUGUCAAGAUGCAAAAUAUCCUUUGAUCAAGGUAAGAUUGAAUAAAUCGUUUGGUAAGGGCUAGGUUUACAGUACUCAAAUAUGUUUUUUUUCAAUAGGUAUGAGAAAGACAUCAUCAAUUAACUAGUGUCAAGUAUAUAUUUUUAAGUCUUAUUAUUGUACCCCAAUCUUAUUUGUUUGUACUCUUAUACGUUAAUAUCAUUAAUAUGUAUCCUCAUUGUAAGUAAAAAAAGGGUAUUUUACUUUAGUUUUAUUUAUUUGUAUUUCAAAAUCUAAUAGAUUUCGUUAGGUUUAUAUAAGCUCUUACAAUGAGGAAUUAAUAAAAGAAAAGGAUCAUACCACUUUUUCCUUGAUGGAGGUCAGGAUAGAUUCAAGAUACAUUUAUAAUCAAACGAAAUUAUUGUGUGUUGAUGGAAAAUAUCAUGAUGUGGAAAAUGUCCUUUGAUCAAGGUGACCCUCUUGUAAUUGAUAUCGGAUUCAAUUGUUGUUUGUCAAUGGAAAUUGAAUUCCAAACCAUAUAAAAUUAAAUUAAUACAAAUGGUCCAUUUUUUUGUUUUAAUUAUUUAUAUUAUGUCAAAUAUUUCUAAUUUUAUUGUACAAAAUAAAUAAAUUAUUUUAUUCUCUAAUUAUAGAUUUAAACAUAUAAUUGAUAUCAUUCAAUCAAUUGAUACAUAAAUCAUUCUUCCAAAUUUAAACAUAAUGUAAAUGCAUACACACAAUUAAGCGGUGCAAUAUUGUUCUUAGGUUUUCACUGAAGAAUACACGUGUAUACCAAAAUACACUUCUCAUUUGGAGUGUUCUCGGGGUAAGUUUUUGUAUUUUAUAUUAGAGAUCUCAUUCAUUUCUUAAUUCGCCCUCUUUGGGUCCUUUCAUUUCUUAUUUUCUUUUCUUUUCAUUUUUUUGCUCUCAUUCUCGUUUCCAUUUCAUAUACAAGUUCUUUACUUUUCUUUCUAUACAACCAUGGAUGCAAUAUGAAUCCGAUAUAAUAUUAUUGUGUAAUCAAAACUCAAAUUAUAAUACCAAAUAAUAUAAAACAAUUAUUUUAAACCUAUAACAAUACUAACAUUUUUUUUACUAAUAAUUUCCCUUAUUUUUAACAUUGAUGUAUUACUAACAAGAAAUUACCUUGAUCUCAUUGGUUUGUUUUUUAGAAUGUAAAAGAAAUCCUCGGGUUUAUCCAAGUUCUUACAAUAAGGAAUCAAUAAAGAGAAGACCAUGCCACUUUUUCCUCCAUGUUCCAAGUAAAUAUGGGAAANNNNNNNNNNNNNNNNNNNNNNNNNNNNNNNNNNNNNNNNNNNNNNNNNNNNNNNNNNNNNNNNNNNNNNNNNNNNNNNNNNNNNNNNNNNNNNNNNNNNAAGACUUACAACAAGAAAUUAAUAAGAGAAAAGGACCAUACCACUAUUCCAUCUGUGUAUUUGUGUUCCAACUAAAAGUGGGAAAAAACUUACAACAAGAAAUUAAUAAAAGGAAAGGACCAUACCACUAUUUCCUUGACAGAUGUCAGGAUGGAUUUAAGAUACAUUUAUAAUUAAUGGUGGAAAAUGUCAAGAUGCAAAAUAUCCUUUGAUCAAGGUAAGAUUGAAUAAAUCGUUUGGUAAGGGCUAGAUUUACAGUACUCAAAUAUGUUUUUUCAAUAGGUAUGAGAAAGACAUCAUCAAUUAACUGGUGUCAAGUAUAUAUUUUUAAGUCUCAUUAUUGUACCUCAAUCUCAUUUGUUUGUACUCUUAUACCUUAAUAUCAUUAAUAUGUAUCCUCAUUGUAAGUAAAAAAAGGGUAUUUUACUUUAGUUUUAUUUAUUUGUAUUUCAAAAUCUAAAAGAUUUUGUUAGGUUUAUAUAAGCUCUUACAAUGAGGAAUUAAUAAAAGGAUCAUACCACUUUUUCCUUGAUGGAGGUCAGGAUAGAUUCAAGAUACAUUUAUAAUCAAACGAAAUUAUUGUGUGUUGAUGGAAUAUAUCAUGACGUGGAAAAUGUCCUUUGAUCAAGGUGACCCUGUCGUAAUUGAUAUCGGAUUCAAUUGUUGUCCGUCAAUGGAAAUAGAAUUCCCAACCAUAUAAGAUUAAAUUAAUAUAAAUGCUCCCUUUUUUUGUUUCAAUUUUUUAUAUUAUGUCAAAUAUUUCUAAUUUUAUUGUACAAAAUAAAUAAAUUAUUUUAUUCUCUAAUUAUAGAUUUAAACAUAUAAUUGAUAUCAUUCAAUCAAUUGAUACAUAAAUCAUUCUUCCAAAUUUAAACAUAAUGUAAAUGCAUACACACAAUUGAGCGGUGCAAUAUUGUUCCUACGUUUUCACUGAAGAAUACACGUCUAUACCAAAAUACACUUCUCAGUUGGAGUGUUCUCGGGGUAAGUUUUUGUAUUUUAUAUUAGAGAUCUCAUUCAUUUCUUAAUUCGCCCUCUUUGGGUCCUUUCAUUUCUUAUUUUCUUUUCUUUUCAUUUUUUUGCCCUCAUUCUCGUUUCCAUUUCAUAUACAAGUUCUUUACUUUUCUUUCUAUACAACCAUGGAUGCAAAAUGAAUCCGAUAUAAUAUUAUUGUGUAAUCAAAACUCAAAUUAUAAUACCAAAUAAUAUAAAACAAUUAUUUUAAACCUAUAACAAUACUAACAUUUUUUUUACUAAUAAUUUCCCUUAUUUUUAACAUUGAUGUAUUACUAACAAGAAAUUACCUUGAUCUCAUUGGUUUGUUUUUUAGAAUGUAAAAGAAAUCCUCGGGUUUAUCCAAGUUCUUACAAUAAGGAAUCAAUAAAAGAGAAGGACCAUGCCACUUUUUCCUCCAUGUUCCAAGUAAAUAUGGGAAAAGACUUAUAACAAGAAAUUAAUAAAUGUUCCAAGUAAAUGUGGGAAAAGACUUACAACAAGAAAUUAAUAAGAGAAAAGGACCAUACCACUAUUCCAUCUGUGUAUUUGUGUUCCAACUAAAAGUGGGAAAAAACUUACAACAAGAAAUUAAUAAAAGGAAAGGACCAUACCACUAUUUCCUUGACAGAUGUCAGGAUGGAUUUAAGAUACAUUUAUAAUUAAUGGUGUAAAAUGUCAAGAUGCAAAAUAUCCUUUGAUCAAGGUAAGAUUGAAUAAAUCGUUUGGUAAGGGCUAGGUUUACAGUACUCAAAUAUGUUUUUUUUCAAUAGGUAUGAGAAAGACAUCAUCAAUUAACUAGUGUCAUGUAUAUAUUUUUAAGUCUCAUUAUUGUACCCCAAUCUCAUUUGUUUGUACUCUUAUACCUUAAUAUCAUUAAUAUGUAUCCUCAUUGUAAGUAAAAAAAGGGUAUUUUACUUUAGUUUUAUUUAUUUUUAUUUCAAAAUCUAAAAGAUUUCGUUAGGUUUAUAUAAGCUCUUACAAUGAGGAAUUAAUAAAAGAAAAGGAUCAUACCACUUUUUCCUUGAUGGAGGUCAGGAUAGAUUCAAGAUACAUUUAUAAUCAAACGAAAUUAUUGUGUGUUGAUGGAAAAUAUCAUGACGUGGAAAAUGUCCUUUGAUCAAGUUGACCCUCUCGUAAUUGAUAUCGGAUUCAAUUGUUGUUUGUCAAUGGAAAUUGAAUUCCCAACCAUAUAAAAUUAAAUUAAUACAAAUGGUCCCUUUUUUUGUUUUAAUUAUUUAUAUUAUGUCAAAUAUUUCUAAUUUUAUUGUACAAAAUAAAUAAAUUAUUUUAUUCUCUAAUUAUAGAUUUAAACGUAUAAUUGAUAUCAUUCAAUCAAUUGAUACAUAAAUCAUUGUUCCAAAUUUAAACAUAAUGUAAAUGCAUACACACAAUUAAGCGGUGCAAUAUUGUUCCUAGGUUUUCAUUGAAGAAUACAAGUCUAUACCAAAAUACACUUCUCAUUUGGAGUGUUCUUGGGGUAAGUUUUUGUAUUUUAUAUUAGAGAUCUCAUUCAUUUCUUAAUUCGCCCUCUUUGGGUCCUUUCAUUUCUUAUUUUCUUUUCUUUUCAUUUUUUUUGCCCUCAUUCUCGUUUCCAUUUCAUAUACAAGUUCUUUACUUUUCUUUCUAUACAACCAUGGAUGCAAAAUGAAUCCGAUAUAAUAUUAUUGUGUAAUCAAAACUCAAAUUAUAAUACCAAAUAAUAUAAAACAAUUAUUUUAAACCUAUAACAAUACUAAAAUUUUUUUACUAAUAAUUUCCCUUAUUUUUAACAUUGAUGUAUUACUAACAAGAAAUUACCUUGAUCUCAUUGGUUUGUGUUUUAGAAUGUAAAAGAAAUCCUCGGGUUUAUCCAAGUUCUUACAAUAAGGAAUCAAUAAAAGAGAAGGACCAUGCCACUUUUUCCUCCAUGUUCCAAGUAAAUAUGGGAAAAGACUUAUAACAAGAAAUUAAUAAAUGUUCCAAGUAAAUGUGGGAAAAGACUUACAACAAGAAAUUAAUAAGAGAAAAGGACUAUACCACUAUUCCAUCUGUGUAUUUGUGUUCCAAGUAAAAAUGGGAAAAAACUUACAACAAGAAAUUAAUAAAAGGAAAGGACCAUUCCACUAUUUCCUUGACAGAUGUCAGGAUGGAUUUAAGAAAAAUUUAUAAUUAAUGGUGGAAAAUGUCAAGAUGCAAAAUAUCCUUUGAUCAAGGUAAGAUUGAAUAAAUCGUUUGGUUAGGGCUAGAUUUACAGUACUCAAAUAUGUUUUUUCAAUAGGUAUGAGAAAGACAUCAUCAAUUAACUAGUGGCAAGUAUAUAUUUUUAAGUCUCAUUAUUGUACCCCAAUCUCAUUUGUUUGUACUAUUAUAUCUUAAUAUCAUUAAUAUUUAUCCUCAUUGUAAGUAAAAAAAAAGUAUUUUACUUUAGUUUUAUUUAUUUGUAUAUCAAAAUCUAAAAGAGUUCAUUAGGUUUAUAUAAGCCCUUACAAUGAGGAAUUAAUAAAAGAAAAGCAUCAUACCAUUUUUUCCUUGAUGGAGGUUAGGAUAGAUUCAAGAUACAUUUAUAAUCAAACACAAUUAUUGUGUGUUGAUGGAAAAUAUCAUGACGUGGAAAAUGUCCUUUGAUCAAGGUUACCCUCUCGUAAUUGAUAUCGGAUUCAAUUGUUGUCCGUCAAUGGAAAUUGAAUUCCCAACCAUAUAAAAUUAAAUUAAUAAAAAUGGUCCUUUUUUUGUUUCAAUUAUUUAUAUAAUAUAAAAUAUUUCUAAUUUUCUUGCACAAAAUAAGUAAAUUAUUUUAUUCUCUAAUUAUAGAUUCAAACAUAUAAUCGAUGUCAUUCAAUCAAUUAAUACAUAAAUCCUUUUUCCAAAUUUAAACAUAAUGUAAAUGCAUACACACAAUUAAGCGGUGCAAUAUUGUUCCUAGAUUUUCACCUAAGGAUACACAUCUAUAUCAAUACACUCCCCAUUCUGAGUGCUCUUGGGUUUUGUAUUUUACAUUAGACAUCUUACUCCCUUGUUAAGUCGUCCUCUUUGGUCUUUUCAUUUCCUUUUCAUUUUUUUUUUCCCUCAUUCUCAUUUCCAUUUCAUAUAACAAGUUCUUCACUUUUCUUUCUCUACAACAAUGGAUGUAAAAUGAAUGCGAUCUAAUAUUGUUGUGCAAUCCUAACUCAAAUGAUAAUACCGACUAAUAUAAAAUAAUUAUUUUAAACCCAUAACAAUACUCAAAAUUUUCGACAAAUUAUUUCCAUUAUUUUCAACAUUGAUAUAUUACUAAUAAAUUUUAAUUUUAUCUUCCUAACACAAUCCAAAUAAUUAUAACACUUCACACAAAUAUUUAUCUUUGAUUCACAUGAAUUGAAUUUUCUCCAAUAUAAUUUCCCCUAAAAAUCAAUAAAAAAUUCAUAUCAUCAUUCAAAAAAUAAAAUAACUACAUAACUAGAAUCACUUGCAAAAAAAUAUUAUAUUAAAAGUUAGUUUGAUAGUGAUUUUAAAAAAUGUUUCUAACAUUUUUAACACUUAAAUUUUUUUAUUAAAAUAAUCAUGUUGAAAUAUUAAAAAGGUUAAAAAUGUUUACAAAAAUCACUAUUAAACAAGCUAAAAAAAUUUGUUCUACAAUGAUUUUAGGAAGCCCUUUUAGUCAUCCCAACAUUUGAAAUUUUUUAGUAGAAUAGUUGUAACCUUUCUAUCCUUCCAUUUGGUAGGAAGCGUUGGUAGUGAUUAUUAGUAUUAAGGUCGAAUGGGAAGGUGUUGUUCAUGAUGUGUGGGUCUUUUUAGAGGCAUUAAGAAGGCCAGAAUUGGGUUUUCCUCAUCCACCUAGAGGUUUGUGAAUAACAAUAUCAAACUUGUUUUUGUGAUUGAAUUUUUAUUAUCUAAUAUAUAUUUUUGUUUUUGUUUUGUUGGUAAAUAUUAUUUGGUCGAUGUUGGUUAUCCUCAAAUGAAUGGAUAUUUAGGCAGUUAUAAACGCGAGUGUUACUAUCUUCUAGAUUUUUGAUGAGGUAGUUCACUUUGAGGUAAAAAGGAAAUAUUUAAUCAUAGGCAUUCAUCAUUGAGGUGCACAAUUGAAAGAACGUUUUGUCAUUUUGAAGAAUAGAUGGAGAAUGCUACGAGAAAUGCAUAGUUUUUCUCUUGAAAAACAAGUAAAGAUUGUUAUUGCUUCCAUGACUCUUCAAAACUUCAUAAGGAUUAAUGCUAGAAUGGAUAUGGAAUGUAAACCUUAUGAUGAUGAUCAAGGGUUGCUUCCACUUAAUGAAGAAGAGAGUAGAAUAGAUUCACUUGUUGAGGAAGAUGGUUCACAUCAUGCAAGAGAGAUGGAAAAAAAAUGUGAUCGAAUUGCAAAUCUUCUUAUAUUUCAUUGAUGUUUGAUUAUGACUCUAAUAUGUAAUAAUAUAAUUUUCCCUCUAUGAAAACAUUUGUCUUCCAAUUUACUUUUAAUUAGAAAAGUUUAUGUUCUGCAAAAUAGAUUUCAUUGUUGUGAGAAACAAAAUGUUUGGAAAUUGUUUUCUAAAAUAAUUUUUAAUAACAGUUUUUGAAAACCGUUCUUUAAUAUUUUAUAAAAUAAAAGUCUAUUUAAAAACUUAAAAUAUUUUUAACUUAUUUUUAAUAAUUUUAAAUAUGUUUAAAUUUUUUUUAUGUAUAAUGUUUUAUUUUUAGAAUUCAUUUGAAUGAGAAAUAUUUCUACAUUUUCUAAUACUUGAAAAAUAAAGAAUUUUAAAUGUUAAAAAGACUAAAAACACUUUCUAAAAUCAUUGUUAAAUACACUUUUAAAAUAUGUUUGAUAGUAAUUUUAAAAAACGUUUUUGCUCUUUCUAAUAUUUGAAUGAUAUAAAUUUUUAAGUGUUAAGAAGGUUAGAAACACUUUUUAAAAUCGACAUGAAUAAAAACAACAUAAGCCAACUAAAAAGAUGUUAUAUGAAAAUACUCUAUUUUAUAUUAUUAAGAAUAGAAAACAAAAAACAAUUUUGGUUGCCAUAUGCGUUUUUAUAUUUUUUUUUUUUGAAAAACAAAAAAUUAUUCUCGAAAAAACAUAUUCCACAGUAACUCAAAUUAGUUUUCUAUGUUUAUUCCCUAUAAAAGAUAUAUAUAUUUUUUUAUGUAUAAUGCAAAAAAUAUAUAUUUAUUUUUACAUUAUUAAUUAUUGUUCAAAAACACCUAAAAUCAUUUUUAAAAAACAACCUGAUUUCAAAAUAAAUUCUUAAAAAAUUAUUUUCUAAAAAAAAAAUUAUCAAAUGCUUUUUCUGAAUCAGGAAAUUGUUUUUCGUUCUAAAAACAGAAAAAUAUUUUUAAUAACAAUUUUCAAAAGAAGACCCAAUCGAAUAAGGGUUCAAUUUAGGAAUUCCACAACUUAAAGCUCUAUUUACUGGAUGGGUGUUUUUUACUACAAUUUCAUCCGCAGCACAGAAGACGGCAGCACAAUCAAUUUGAGUAACGUUCUUAGAUGUCACCAAAUUUAUUUUGUGGGGCUGGACUUGUUCUUGCUGGAGAACCAACUUCCCUUCGGACUCCUCAAGUUGAUUUUUGAGGAAGCAAAAUUCAAGGGUGGUUCAUUAAUGCAAGAGAAGAUAAAAAAGUUGGUCACUCUUGACACCAGAAGGCCAGAUGGGUCGACAUAAAAAAGUAAUGAAUUAUUGCAUACAAGGCACGAAGACAACCUUUCAAUGCUGCUACUACUCAUCAAUUCCUGGAGGGACAACUUAAGGGGUUGAAGGGCGAUAACUGCACAUCCUGACAUUUUCCAUGAAGGUACAAUCAUUGCAUAUGUAUUUUGGAAUCCAGUCUGACAUUUUCCAUGAAAGAACAAUAAUUGCAUCUGAAUAUAAAUGUAUUUUGGAAUCCAUCCUGACAUUUUCCUCGUGAACCAACCUUUUUCAUACUAUGUUUGGCUCGGAAGUACCAAAAAAAGAUACAUUUGCCAGUGGAAAAAAAAAAAAGAUGCAUUCGUUCCAUGGAGAGAAUGUGUGGUCUGUAAAGAUUGAAGAGAUGGAUUGCAGGCGAAGACGGGGUGUUGUAGUGGCCUUGCACUUCAUAAGGAUUAAACAAUAAAUAAUGGGUGUGGAGACUUGGGUGAAAUACAAAGUAACAUGAUACUAUAAUGAUAAAAUAAUAAUAAUAAUAAUAAUAAUAAUAAUAAUAAUAAUAAUGUUAGAUGCUAAGUUAAUAAAUGAAAUAAAAUUAUAGUUUAAUUAAAUUAGCUAUAUAUUCUUAGAAACAUUAUAAAUUAGAAACUUAUUAAUUUUAAUUGAAUAAGGAAUAAAUGAAUUAAAUUAAUAUUAAUAAUUAGGAAUAAUAAUAUUAAUAAAUAAAAUUAUUAGGAUCAUCGAAUCUAUAUAAUUUUAGUUAAUUGUCUAUAGUAAGAAACUUAUUGAUUUUAGUUAAAUAAGGAAUAAAUUAAUUGAGUUAAUAUUGAUAAUUAAGAAUAAUAAUAUUAAUAAAUAAAAUUAUUAAGAUAGUGGAAUCUAUAAUUUUAGUUAAGCUUCUAUUUUUUUUUUUUCAAAUAUAUUAACUUUAGAUAAUAAGCUAUCCAUUAACCAUUUAUUAUUUAAUCAUUCAAUCCUUCAAAAUGACAUUAAUUUAACCCACUUCCUUAACCAAUUAUACAUUGAUUAAAUUCACCUUUCAAAAAUUAAAUAUACUAAAUGAUAAUAUUCAUAUUUAAUCAAUUUACCUUUUUGUAUAAAUUCUUAAAUUCAUAUUUAAUUUCAUUUUGAUUCAAAUUUAUUUCAUGUUUUAUAAUUUUAUAAGGUUGAAUUUCAAUUAUAAAAAUUAAAUUGAUUCAUAUGGUAAUAUUAAAUUAAAUAUCUUUUGAAAAAUUUAUUAUAACCAGUUAAUAUAAUACAAAUUUCAUCAAGUUUUUCUAAUUAAGGUUUUCUGAUAAUUACUUUAUAAUAAUAAAAUUAAUUCUUCUAAUACAUAUAAUAUUCAAAUUUCAAAAAUCCAAUCUCAAAUAAUUUAAUUGCUAAAUUUAUAUUUAAUUUUUGAAGUUCCAAAUUUCGAAAUGUGAAGAAUUUAAACUAUUGACCUUCCACUAGGCACUAACUUCUCAAAAGUUUCGCCUAAUUAAAGAAAAUAUCGACACGUCAAUGUUCACUAACAUCGUUCAUUUAUUUAGACCAUUCAUUUUGGUUGAUUUUGAGGAUAGUCAUCGGCAGUAGACUUGUAUCUUCUAGACCAAUUAGCAUGCCAACAGUGAUUAGGCUAAGGUGGUGAUCCAAUUCCAUGGAAGAGCAUCAAGAAAGGAGGAACGGUGGAGAGAAAGAAGGCGGCCAACCAAGCAGGAACAGUGGCCAAACUGGCCUCGAGCCUGAGGAGUAUAGGAUUGACAUUUUUGAAAUCAGUCAUAGGAAUUGGAUUGAGUCUCUCAGAACGGCAGAAGAAAGCACUCGAUCUCAGAGUCAAUGGCCAAGGAUACCAAAGGUUCCUCAGAUGCUGAGGGGGACCCAGGAUUUCAAGAAAUUCUACGAACCGGGGUUAAUUUCAAUCGGUCCUUAUCACCAUGGCAAGCCCCACCUUCACGCAGGGGAAAUAAUCAAGCGUCUAUGUGCCCGAAAAUUCCUUGCUGAUAGUGAGCAGGACAUGGACGCUUUGUACACAAAAAUUCAAAGUAAUAUCGAGGCAGUGAGGACGUGCUAUGAUAUGAUACCGACGAACAAGUAUGAUGAUGAGAAACUCGCCCGGAUGAUGCUUCUGGAUGGGUGUUUUUUACUACAAUUUUUCUGCGGGCAGGGUAAUGAAAACUUUCUUAGAUGUCACCAAUUAUUUUUUGCGGAGCUGGACUCGUUCAUGCUGGAGAACCAACUUCCUUUUAGAGUCCUCAAGUUGAUUUUUGAGGGAGCAAAUUUUAAGGGACCAGUGGAAAAGAAAAUAAAAAAAUUCGUUACUAGCACCCUAUGGCCAGAAAGGUCGACAUCAGAAACAGAGCUGGAAGAGGACGAAGAGCCCUCUCAUCUCCUCGCCCUUUUGCGAAGUACUCUCCUAGGCCGGCAACCUGAGAAAAAAGAAAAGUCGUCGUCGUGUCAAGGAGGAGAUGGGAGGUCCUGUUGCCCAUGGAAGAAAGGCCAAAAACGAGGCUUUUCAAGGUCUUUUCGAAACGUCAAGGAGCUUAAAGUUGCCGGGAUCCAUCUCCAACCGAGUGGAACGAGUUUCUUGAGAGACGUUUCUUUCAAUUCCUACUUCUUCUAUGGCUGCAUGAAUCUUCCCCCAAUAAUCGUUGAUGACUUCACGAAGCCCAAGUUCUUGAACAUUGUAGCCUAUGAAAUGUGUCCAGAUGCCCCAGAUGACUAUGCGGUCACUUCUUAUGUAUGCUUCCUUUACGAGCUCAUUGAUCAUGCAGACGAUGUCAAGGAGCUGAGAUCUAAGCACAUUCUCUACAACUGUCUUGGAAGCGAUGAAGAUGUGGCCAAAAUUUUCAACGAGAUCGGCAAUGGCUUGGUAGAUCCCGAUGCUUAUAAAGAAGUGAAAACUAGUAUUCAGAAACACUACGACAAGAGAGGGAAUACUUGGAUAGCUGAAGGCCUUCACGAGCAUUUCAGGUCUCCAUGGACUAUCAUCGCUUUCAUUGCUGCUGUUUUGAUACUACUUCUUACCGGGUUUCAGACCUACUUCGCUCUUCCCGCUAAACCCAAAUGAGUCAUGGUAAUAUAUGUUGAAGACUGAUUCAAAGUGGCUGUUGGUAUAUUCCUAUUCUUAUGGUUGAGUUAGUCAAAUAAGGAGCUUGUUGCUAAAAUCGAGUUAGUGGGUGUAGUGGGUCAAGUGUUAGUGGUGUAGUGGGGCAGAUUGUGUCCUCUUUGUUUUUUUUUAUAAAUAGACAUGUUUGCUGUAGUGGAAAAAUGACUGCAAUAAAAUAUCCAGAAGCAUUUUCUUUGGUCUGGUGAAGCUCUGUUUUUUAGAGUUAAAGAGCUCUAUUUUUUUCCUUGCUAUUGUUUUGUCUUGUUUUUGUCCAACAAUUUUUGGUAUCAGAGCAACCAGGUUCCUUCUGAACUGGGCGAAUAAUGGCAACAACCAACGGCAGUAUGGUGAGUGUGUCUCAACCAGCAAUUCCCAUUUUCAAAGGUGAGUGCUAUGAGUUUUGGAGCAUCAAAAUGAAGACUUUAUUCAAGUCUCAAGAUCUGUGGGACUUGGUUGAAAAUGGCUAUCCUUAUCCGGACGAAGAAGCUAGGUUGAAAGAAAAUACGAAGAAGAACUCCAAGGCAUUGUUCUUUAUUCAACAGGCUAUACAUGAAUCAAUCUUCUCAAAGAUUGCAGCAGCAACCACAGCAAAAGAGGCGUGGACAACCUUGAAAACUGCAUUUCAGGGUUCCUCUAAAGUGAUCACGGUGAAGCUCCAGUCCUUGCGCCGUGACUUUGAAACCUUGCACAUGAAAAAUGGAGAGUCAGUGCAAGAUUUUUUGUCAAGAGUUGCUGCUAUAGUUAAUCAAAUGAGGUCGUAUGGUGAAGAUAUUCUUGAUCAAACUGUCGUAGCAAAGGUGUUAAGGAGUUUAACGCCUAAGUUUGAUCAUGUAGUUGCAGCCAUUGAGGAGUCUAAGGAUCUGUCAACCUAUUCAUUUGAUGAGCUCAUGGGAUCCUUGCAAUCUCAUGAAGUGAGGCUGUCCAGAACAGAGGAGAAGAAUGAAGAAAAGGCAUUUUACACGAAGGGGGAGACAUCAGAUCAGAAGAAUGGAGGCAGAGAAGCUACUGGUAGAGGACGUGGCAAAGGAGGUGCUCAUGGAAGAGGUGGUCGUGGCAGAGGCCGAGGUGAUGCACAAGGUGACCAAAGGCAGUCAACUGAGAAGAGCAGAAACAAGAGUAAUAUCCAGUGCUACUACUGCAAGCGGUUUGGACAUGUUCAAGCUGAAUGUUGGAAGAAAGAAAGGCAAGAAAAACAAGCUAACUAUGUCGAGCAAGAGGAAGAUCAAGUCAAGUUGUUCAUGGCCUAUAAUGAAGAGGUAGUAUCUUCCAACAAUAUUUGGUUUUUGGAUAGUGGAUGUUCUAACCACAUGACAGGGAUAAAGUCACUCUUUAAGGAGCUGGAUGAAUCACACAAGUUGAAGGUGAAACUUGGUGAUGACAGACAAGUGCAAGUGGAAGGCAAGGGGACCGUGGCAGUAAACAAUGGUCAUGGUAAUGUAAAGCUCCUUUACAAUGUGUACUUUAUUCCUAGUUUGACUCAAAACUUGUUAAGUGUGGGGCAACUUAUGGUUAGUGGAUACUCCAUUUUGUUUGAUGGUGCUACUUGUGUGAUCAAAGAUAAAAAGUCUGAUCAAAUAAUAGUUGAUGUUCGUAUGGCCGCAAACAAGUUGUUUCCUCUUGAAGUGUCAAGUAUAGAAAAGCAUGCUCUUGUUGUUAAAGAGACUAGUGAGUCUAAUCUGUGGCACUUAAGGUAUGGUCAUCUAAAUGUCGAAGGGUUGAAGUUACUAAGUAAAAAGGAAAUGGUGUUUGGACUACCUAAAAUUGACUUGGUGAAUGUGUGUGAGGGCUGUAUUUAUGGGAAACAAAGCAAGAAACCAUUCCCUAAGGGAAGGUCAAGGAGGGCAUCUAGUUGUCUUGAGAUUAUACAUGCUGAUCUAUGUGGUCUUAUGCAAACUGCUUCAUUUGGUGGCAGUAGAUAUUUUUUGUUGUUUACAGAUGAUCAUAGCAGGAUGAGUUGGGUGUAUUUUCUUCAAUCAAAGGCAGAGACUUUUGAGACCUUCAAGAAGUUCAAAGCAUUUGUAGAGAAGCAGAAUGGCAAGUGCAUUAAGGUGUUGCGGACUGACAGAGGUGGAGAGUUCUUAUCAAAUGAUUUUAAAGUAUUUUGUGAAGAGGAAGGCUUGCAUAGAGAGCUGACUACUCCUUAUUCACCAGAGCAAAACGGUGUGGCUGAGAGGAAGAAUAGAACGGUGGUUGAGAUGGCUAGAAGCAUGAUGAAGGCCAAGAACCUUUCAAACCAUUUUUGGGCAGAAGGAGUUGCUACAGCUGUAUACUUGUUGAAUAUUUCUCCAACCAAGGCAGUGUUGAAUAGAACUCCAUAUGAAGCUUGGUAUGGGAGGAAACCUUGGGUAAGCCAUUUAAAGGUUUUUGGUAGUGUUGCCUAUACGUUGAUUGACUCACAUAACCGUAGUAAGCUUGAUGAAAAAUCAGUAAAGUGCAUCUUUAUUGGUUAUUGCUCUCAAUCAAAAGGAUAUAAGCUAUAUAACCCUGUUAGUGGUAAGAUAAUUGUUAGCAGGAAUGUGGUGUUUGAUGAAAAAGCUAGCUGGACUUGGCGUGUAAGUGAAGACGGUGCUCUUGUGGAGAUUUCAAGUGAAAGUGAAGUGGCACAGAGUGAAGAUCAGCAGCCUUCUGUUCAGAUUCCAGCAAGUCCAACUCUCUCGCAUUCACCUAGUUCCCCAAAUUUGAGUAGCAGCAGUUCUUCACAAUCUUUAGAGGAAACCCCUCUAAGGAAAUUCAGAUCUUUAAGGGACAUCUAUGAGACUACACAAGUCUUGUUUGUAGCUGAUCCAACAACCUUUGAAGAAGCAGUGGAGAAGGAAGAAUGGUGCAGUGCUAUGAAAGAAGAGAUAGCUGCCAUUGAGAAGAAUGAGACUUGGAACUGGUGGAGCUUCCUGAAGACAAGAAUGUGAUAGGUGUUAAAUGGGUUUUCAGAACCAAGUACUUAGCAGAUGGUAGUAUACAAAAGCACAAGGCACGGUUAGUGGCAAAGGGCUAUGCACAGCAACAUGGAGUUGAUUAUGAUGACACCUUCUCACCAGUUGCACGGUUUGAAACAGUAAGGACCUUAUUAGCCUUAGCUACUCAUAUGCAUUGGUGUGUUUAUCAGUUUGAUGUCAAGUCUGCUUUUCUUAAUGGAGAGCUAGUAGAGGAGGUGUAUGUAUCUCAGCCUGAAGGCUUCAUAGUUCCUGGUAAAGAAGAGCACGUGUAUAGACUAAAGAAGGCCCUUUAUGGGUUGAAACAAGCCCCACGAGCAUGGUACAGUAAGAUAGAUUCUUACUUUGUUGAGAAUGGCUUGGAAAGGAGCAAGAGUGAGCCAAAUCUUUACCUGAAAAGGCAAGGUAAAAAUGAUCUUCUUAUUAUUUGUCUUUAUGUAGAUGACAUGAUCUAUAUGGGUUCAUCCUCUUUUCUUAUUAAUGAGUUUAAAGCCUGUAUGAAGAAGAAGUUUGAGAUGUCAGACCUAGGGCUGUUGCAUUCUUUCUUGGUUUAGAGGUAAAACAAGUAGAGGAUGGAGUCUUUGUUUCACAAAGAAAGUAUGCUGUUGAUUUGCUUAAGAAGUUCAAUAUGUUAAAUUGCAAAGUAGUAGCUACUCCUAUGAAUUCAAAUGAGAAGUUGCAGGCUGAAGAUGGCACUGAAAGAGCUGAUGCUAGGAGGUUUAGAAGUCUGGUUGGAGGCCUCAUUUAUCUGACACAUACACAGCCAGAUAUAGCUUUUGCAGUUGGGGUGAUCUCCAGAUUUAUGCAUUGUCCUUCGAAGCAACAUCUUGGAGCUGCAAAGAGAUUGUUGCGAUACAUUGCUGGAACAUAUGAUUUCGGGAUAUGGUAUGGUCAUGUUCAAGAGUUCAAAUUGGUUGGCUACACUGAUAGUGAUUGGGCAGGGUGCUUAGAGGAUAGAAAAAGCACUUCAGGCUAUAUGUUUUCUCUUGGGUCAGGUGCAGUCUGUUGGAGUUCAAAGAAGCAAGCAGUGACAGCCUUGUCCUUUUCUGAAGCUGAGUAUACAGCUGCAACCUCAUCCGCAUGCCAGGCAGUGUGGUUGAGGCGAAUUCUUGCUGAUAUUAAUCAAGAACAUGAGGAGCCAACUGUAAUUUACUGUGACAACAAAGCUGCCAUAGCAAUGACCAAGAAUCCAGCCUACCAUGGAAGGACAAAACAUGUUGAUAUUCGGGUUCAUUUCAUAAGAGAUCUUGUGGUUGAAGGUAAAGUUGUUUUGCAGUAUUGUAACACAAAUGAGCAGGUAGCGGAUGUGCUGACAAAAGCUUUAUCUAGAGACAAGCAUGUCUACUUCAGAAGCAAGCUUGGAGUUUGCAACUUUGAAUCAAGGGGGAGUGUUGAAGACUGAUUCAAAGUGGCUGUUGGCAUAUUCCUAUUCUUAUGGUUGAGUUAGUCAAAUAAGGAGCUUGUUGCUAAAAUCGAGUUAGUGGGUGUAGUGGGGCAGAUUGUGUCCUCUUUGUUUUUUUUUUAUAAAUAGACAUGUUUGCUGUAGUGGAAAAAUGACUGCAAUAAAAUAUCCAGAAGCAUUUUCUUUGGUCUGGUGAAGCUCUGUUUUUUAGAGUUAAAAAGCUCUAUUUUUUUCCUUGCUAUUGUUUUGUCUUGUUUUUGUCCAACAAUAUAUAUAUAUGGGUUAAUUAUGAAUGUGAUGUGUUUUUUUCUUGUUUGGUGUGUAUGAUUCUUGUAUCACUGGAUUUCAUGGAUGCAAUAUUAUUCGUCUUUUCCUCCCAUUGAGUUUGCUAUCAUCUAUAAUAUCUGUUUCAACUCGCAAUUUCCAGCUACCUUCUUGGUAUUCUUUUUCAUAGACCAGGAUAAUAGGUUGUUAAACAUCCACAUAGAAAAUUUUCAGUCAACAAUUUGUAAUUCCGUGGAUGGGAUGGGAUUGAAUAAUAUUUUUCAAAUGAGAAAAAAGUGGAUAAAAUCAUAAUUUUUAUAUAUUUAUAAAUUGAGGGAAGAAUCUCAUAUAUGUGCUCUAAUAUUUUUUUUUUUAAUAAAAGACGGAAAUAUCAUUCUAAGCAAUUUAAUGCUUGAUUUUGGAUCAAAAGAGAUUUCAUAAAUAAAUAGUACAUUUUUAAUGAAGUCUUCCAAUCCUCGUCUAAGAAUCUUCAAGUUUUCAAUUUCUUUAAGAAAUCUUGAAUAUUCUUCAACUCUUCAAAAAAUUAUUCAAUCAAUAGUUUGUUAUUCCAUGGAUAGGAUGGGAUUGAAUAUUUUUCAAAUGAGAAAAUAGUGGAUAAAAUCAUAAUUUUUAUAUAUAUUUAUAAAUUGAGGGAAGAAUCUCAUAUAUUCUCUCUGAUAUAUAUAUAUAUAUUUUAAUGAAAGACAGAAAUAUCAUUUUAAGUAAUUUAAUGCUUGAUUUUGGAUCAAAAGAGAUUUCAUAAAUAAAUAGUACAUUUUUAAUGAAGUCUUCCAAUCUUCGUCUAAGAAUCUCUUCAAAAAAAUUUAAUAUUUUUUCAAUCUCUUUUAAGAGAGCUCUUGGACCUUAAAGAAAGAGCCCAUCGUGAUACUUUUAGGGGGUGUUUGGUAUACGGGAAUAGGGAGUGGGAAUAGACAUCUCAUUCCUUUUCUCCCUUAUUCCUAUGUUUGGAUAAAUGUUAAGAAGGCGGAAAUGAAAUAAAAAAUUAUUCCGUCAGAAAUCAAAUUCAACUUAUGAGUCGGAUUUGCAUUCAUUAAAAGUAGGUGGUAUUCUGAUUCAUUAAACCUAUUUGAUAAUAUAAAAUAACCUAAAUUACUAUUUUACCCUCUUAUCUUGUUCUUCAAACCCGAUGUUUAUCUUCUUUGCAAAGGUAGAGAUCCAUUCAUCAUCCACUUCUUAUCUUCUUUGCAAAGUUAGAGACCCACUCAUCUUCCAAUUCUCUGCAACAAGUGAUUCUUCCAAAUUGAAUCAAUUAAACCUUCCACGAUAUUUAAAAAAAAAAAAUCAAUUUCUAAUUUAUAGGGUUUUGGAUGUUCAUUUUGAUUGUUGGAUCUAGGAUUCGUCAUUGUUUGCUGUAACUAGGUUCUGAAAACUCCCUUCUACAUCUUCGAUCAGGUUUACCUUAUUUUCUCUUUCUUCUUCUACUUCUUUAUAUGUGUUUCUUCUUCUCUAUAAAUCGAUUAAAUUUUUUUUAUUAAUUUAUGUUUGGAAUCUUUGAUGUUUCUUUAUCUUGUAUUAAUGGAAACUGGAGAGAAAAAUUGAAAUGGUUGGAAAAAGAUUUUUCGAUUUCACGUGUUUACAAUAUUGAAAAUUUUUAAUGGUUAGGAAAAAAAUAAAAAGAAAAAAACAAACAAAAACAAAACUUUUGGUUUUUUUUCCCCUUUGUUUAUUAUUACCGGCAUCUUCCUUUCCUAGUUGAAAAUAGGAAAAACAUUUGCUAGCUUUGAGAAUUUAAAUAUUAUAAUAAAUAAUUUUUUUUUAAAAAUAUAAUUUUAUAACUACUUAAGCAUGACAAAUUAUUCAAAUUUUUAAUAAAAAUAAUAAUUGAAUAUUUGUGCAUUAGGGUUAUACGAUUUUUUAUGGUUAAUUUUUUAUUUAUUGAGUAUAUAUAUAUUUUUUAGUCUUAUUAUUUAAUAACAAAAAACCUCUCAAAUUUUAUUUUUUUAAAUAAAAGUAAAAAUAAAAAAAUAUUUUAAAUUAUAUGUAAGGAUAUUAUUGUAAAUUUAUUUCUUUUUCAUUUCUAUUCAUAUUAUUAUCAAACAUUGGAAUGGAAACAAAUAAUCAUUUCAAUCUUGCAUUCUUAAGUUCAUCCAAAUGCUAGAAAUGAAAUCAUCAAAUUCAUUCCAUUCCACUAAGAAAUAGGAAAGGAAACAAAAUAUUAUUUUCAUUCCCUAUUCCGACGUACCAAACACCCCCUCAAUAUUAUGUGUAUGUCAUGGAAUUUAAUUCUAAAAAUCCUUAAAAGAGUUUAAUUUACCAUAAAAGCAACCAACAGUGAUCUACAUGGACAAUAGAAAAAACAAAAAUCCAACUUUCCAUGAUUGAAGUAAUGAAUUGUACAGACUUUAUGCUGCUACUCAUCAGGAAGGCCAACUUAAUCAAAGGGCCAUAAGUACUGCACAUCCUGACAUUUUCCUCGUGAACCAAUUUUUUUUUUUUUAUGCUACGUUAUGACAUUUUCGUCGAGAACCAAUCUUUUUCGAUACUAUGUUUGGUUCAGAAAUUCUUAGAAAAAAAAAAAAAGAAAUAAAAAAGGAAAAUGCUAAAAAAAAAAAUUAUAUUUAAUUUCAACAUGAAAAAUGUGAAAGAAAGUCUCACUAUAAUUAAAAUCAUUAAAAAACUUUAUAUAAUUUUAAAUUAUUCAAUCACCACAUUAAAGAGUUAAAUAUAUGAAAAAAGUUGGAGACAAUACAUAAAACUAAUUCAAUGAUUUUAAAUUUAUUUUUUUUCUUCAUUUUUUCUUUUCUUUUGUUUUUCUUUUUCUAGUAUUUUCCUUUAAUUCUUUCAAGAAUCAAACAUAACCUAAAUAACCUACUAAUUUGGUGUUUGUUUUUGUUUUUUUUUUACUUAAAUCUAAAUAUAAUUUAAUUAUAAAUACAAUUUAAUAGUAUUAAAUAUUAAGUUAUUUAUUUUUUAUUAUUUUAUUUUUAUUAAAUAUUAAUAAGAUAAGAGUUAUGUUGAAGUUAUAUUUUGGUUAUUUUAAAAAAUUAUUUCUAACAUUAAAGCAAAAAAUAAAAUAUUUUGAUUUUUUUAUUUAGUCAAAAAGUUUAAAAAAUAAUUAAUAAGUAAAAAGAAUUUAAAAAAUUAUUUAUAGUUUGAAAGCAAAUUACAUUCAACAUUAAAUAAAAAAAUCAAACGUCACGUUAAGAUUCAAAAUGAUUAUAAAUGUGUGACACUAAGCUUAAUAUAAACUUUUGUAUAUUUCACAUUAAGACUUCUUAAUUUAUUCUCUUUAGUUAUUUCAUUUUUUUUCCUGACAUUUUUUGAGGUCUUUUUAUUCUCAUUUCUGUUUCAUAUAACAACUUCUUUAGUUUUCUUUCCAUAUAACCAUAGAGGCAAAAUGAGUGUAAUAUAAUACAAUUGUCCAAUAAUAAUAUCUAAUAAUAUAAAACAAUUAUUUUAAAUAUAUAACAAUAUUUAAAAUUUUAGACAAAAAAUAAUAAUAUAUGUAUGGUAUAGUUUAUUAUAUUUGAAAAUAAUAUUAUAUGCGUUGAUAAAAAAAUAUUAAUUUUGUAAGUGUAUAUUUAUUAUUAAAUUACAUCAAAUAUUGUCCGAUAAUAAUAUUAUGAUAUUUGAUUAUAAUAUAUUUAAUAUUAAAAUUAUGAUACAUUUAAUUCAAUUAUAUUAAAUGAUAUAAAAUAAAUAAUAAUAUAUGUAUAAUUUUUUAAUAUUUAAUUAAUAAUAUUAAAAACACUAAAAAAAAGUUCUCAUGAUAAUUUUUAUAUUUUUAGUAAUUAAUUAAAUAAAAAAAAUUAUUUAAUUAUAAAAUACCUAUAAUUAAUUUGUUCUUCAAAAUAUAUCACGGUGGAAUAUAUUUAUGAAGGGUGAGCUUGCCCUAGUGGUUGGCAAAGUUUAUUUCGAACCUUUUGUUUGAGUCCCCUCAUCUGCAACACAAAAUUAAGAUAUUUUGAUCUUUGACCGUCCCUACCUCGCGUUGCAGCCUAUUUGAGCGCGCCCCCCAACCUGCAUUGCAACCUGUUUGAUCGCCCACGACCCGCGUUACAGCCCGCAGUUGGCAGACCGUCGUUGCAGUGGGUCGACUUUCUUUGCUGAAAUUUCAUCGAAAUUUGCCAAAUUUUCAUCGAAAAAUGCCAGUAGCUGGAGAUAUUUUUUCUAUUUUGUCAAUUAAUCAGCAAAUUCUGAAAUUUCGAAACUUGCCCGUGUGUGUUUUUUUUUUUAAAAAAAAAUCACCUCAUGGAUUUUGAGCUUUUAUUUUUUCAAAUAUAUCAACUUUAGGGGCUAACCAUCAAUUAUUUAAUCAUUCAACGUACAAUAAUGAGAUUCUCAAUCCUUCGUAAUGACAUUAAUUUAAUCCACUUCUGUUGUUAAUUAUACUUCAAUUAAAUCAGCCUUUCAAAAAUUAAAUUAAAUCUAUUAAAUGAUAAUAUUCAAAUUAAUUAAUCAAUUUACCUUUUUAUAUAAAUUCUUAAAUUUAUAUAACAUAAUGUAAUCUUGAUUUCAUUUCGAAAGAAUUUUGCUUCAUGUUUUGUAAUUUUAUAAGGUUGAAUUCCAAUUAUAAUUAAAAAAUAAAUUGAUCUAUUAUAAUAUUAAAUUAAAUAUCUUUUAAAAAAUUUACUAUAACGAUUUGAUAUAAUAUGAAUCUCAAGUAUUUGUAAUUAAAGUUCUUUGAUAAUUAGCUUAUAAGAAUAUAAUUAAUUUUUAUAAUACAUGCAAUAUUCAAAUUUCAAAAAUCCAAUCUCAAAUAACUUUUAAGUUUAAUUUUUGAAAUGUGACUUGGCAAGAAUUUAAAUUAAUGACGGCUUGGCCUAAUUAAAUAAAAUAUUUACACGUGAAUGUUCACUAACAUCAUCAUGAAUGGUCUAAAUAAAUGAAUGUUCUAGACCCUUCAUUCUGGAUGCUGUUGAGGAUAGUCAUCGGCAGUAGAAACAUCUUCUGAACCGAUUAAAAUACCAACAGUCACCAUUCAUUUAUUUAGACCAUUCAUUUUGGUUGAUGUUGAGGAUAGUCAUCGGCAGUAGACCUACAUCUUCUGGACCAAUUAGCAUACCAACAGUGAUUAGGCUAAGGUGGUGAUCCAAUUCCAUGGAUGAGCAGCAAGGAAGGAGGAACGUUGGAGAGAUAGAACCAGUUGGCGGCCAACCAAGCAGGAACAGUGGCCAAACUGGCCUCGAGCCUGAGGAGCAUAGGAUUGACAUUGUUGAAAUCAGUCAUAGGGAUUGGAUUGAGUCUCUCAGAACGGCAGAAGAAAGCACUCAAUGGCGAAGGAUACCAAAGGUUCCUCAGAAGCUGAGGGGGACCCAGGAUUUCAAGAAAUUCUACGAACCGAGGGUAAUUUCAAUCGGUCCUUACCACCAUGGCGAACCCAACCUUGGCCCAGUGGAAAUGAUCAAGCUUCCAUGUGCCCAAAAAUUCCUGGCUCAUAGUAACCAGGACAUUGAAGCUUUGUACACAAAAAUUCGAAGUAAAAUCGAGGCAGUGAAAAAGUGCUAUGAUUAGAGUAGUACAGAAAAGUAUGAUGAUGAGAAACUCGCCAGGAUGAUGCUUCUGGAUGGGUGUUUUGUACUACAAUUCAUCCGCUGGAAAGGUAUGAGAAAAUUUCUUAGAAAUCACCAAAUAAAUUUUGUGAUGCAGGACUUGUUCUUGCUGGAGAACCAACUUCCCUUUGGAGUCCUCAAGUUGAUUUUUGAGGGAGCAAAUUUCCAGGGUGGUCUACCAAUGGAAAAGAAUAUAAAAAAUUUCAUCACUUACUUCGGAAUGCCAGAAGGGUUGUCAUCAGAAAUACAGCUGUAAGAGGUGAACGAAGAGCCCUCUCAUCUACUCGACCUUUUGCAAAGUGCUCUCCUAGGCCAGAGUCAGCCCGAACAAGAGCAGCAACCUGAGAAAAAAGGAAAGUCGUCGUCGUCGUCUCAAGGAGGAAAGUGGGGGUUCUGUUGCCGAUGGAAAAAAAGCAUACAACGGGGCAUUUGGCAGUCUUUUCGACACAUCAAGGAGCUUAAAGCUGCCGGGAUCUAUCUCAAACCGAGUAGAACGUGUUUCUUGAGAGACAUUUCUUUCAAAUCCUACUUCUUCUUUGGCUACCUGAAACUUCCCCCAAUAACCAUUGAUGACUUCACGAAGACCAAGUUCUUGAACAUGGUAGCCUAUGAAAUGUGUCCAGAUGCCCCAGAUGACUAUGCGGUCACUUCUUACAUAUGCUUCCUUUACGACCUCAUUGAUCAUGCAGACGAUGUCAAGGAGCUGAGAUCUAAGCACAUUCUCCACAACCUUCUUGGCAGCGAUGACGAUGUGGCCCAAAUUUUCAACGAGAUCGGCAAUGACUUGGUAGAUCCCGAUGCUUAUAAAGAUGUAAAAGAUUGUAUUCAGAAGCACUACAAGAAGAGAGUGAAUACUUGGAUAGCUCAAGCCCUUCACAACCAUUUCAGGUCUCCAUGGACUGUCAUGGCUUUCAUUGCUGCUGUUUUGAUACUAUUUCAGGUCUCCAUGGAUUAAUUAUGACUGUGAUGUGUUUUUAUCCUGUUUGGUGUGUGUGAUUAGAGAAAUAAAGAUGUGUAGAUUGUUAAGUUGUAUCACUGGAUUUCAUGCAUGCAAUAUUAUGGGUCUUUUCCAGUUUUCCUCCCCACAUGAAUUUGCUAUACAAUCUCCAGCUUGCUUUUUUCUGUUCUUUUUCAUAGAGCAGGAUCAUAGAUAACACAACAUCAACAUAGAAAAUUUUCGGUCAACAGUAUGUGAUUCCGUGGAUGGGAUGGGAUUGAAUUUGCUCACACACUUUUUUAUCUAAGGAGAAAAUUGUGGAUAAAAUCAUAAUUUUGAUAUAUUUAUAAAUUGAGGAAGGGCUAUCUCUAAUUUAUUUUUAAUAUAAAAGAUAAAAUCAUAAUACAUAACUAAGAAAGGGGAGCGAAGACAUUUUUUAUUUCAUUGUUGAACUUGUUUCAAAAAAAAAAUCCACACACAGAGAUUGAGUUAGAAAUGAAGGUAGAGAAAAGAAUGAUAGAACUCGUUAAAAUUGUUUAUAUCUCAGGCACUAAAAUACAUCUUGUAUCACUUUUUAGGGUAAAAGUGUUUUUAAAGAGCAUUGCCAAUUGGAUUUUAAAUAAUCUAGAUUGUCACUUUUUUUUUUCAAUUAUAUAUAUUAUAUCAAAUAUUUCUAUUUUUUUUGUACAAAGUAAAUAAAUUAUUUAAUAUAUUCAAACAUUGUCAUUCAAUCAAUUGAUAUAAAUCUUUCUUUUAAAGUAAACAUGAUGUAAAUAAUUACGUAUAAUCAAGCAAUCAACUAUCGUUCUUAAUUUAUUUUCUUUGGUUAUUUCAUUUUUUUUUUUUUUUUUUUGCCCUUUUAUUCUCAUUUCUGUUUCAUAUAACAUUUUCUUUACUUUUCUUUCCAUAUAAAAUGAGUGUGAUAUAAUACUAUUGUCCAAUAAUAAUAUCUAAUAAUAUAAAACAAUUAUUUUAAAUAUAUAACAACAUUUAAAAUUUUAGACAAAUAAUUUUCGUUAUUUUCAAUAUUGAUGACACUAAUAAAUUUCAAUUUUAUCUUCAUACAAGCCAAAUAACUCUUAACACUUCACACAAUUUAUCUUUCAUUCACUUGAAUUGAAUUUUUCUCCAACAUCAUUUCCACUAAAAAUCAAUUAUUGCAAAAAAAUAAAAUAAAAUGACAACUAUACACGUAGAAUCCCUUACAAGUAGAAUCACUUGCAAAAAAACACCAUGAUAAGUAAAUCUAAAUCCAAAAAAUAAUAAUCACAAAUUUUUUUAUUAAAAUAUAUUUAUGGACCCCGCAUUUCGGCUUAUACGCCUCCACUCGACGGCGAGCUCGAUUUUUAUUUGAAAAUGACUUGGAGUCGCCACUCAUUUUUGUUUUAUUUUAAAAAGGGUAAGCGAAAUAAAAAAGAAAACCCUAAGUGUGACUCCUUAUUUUGGAAAAGAUGGUUUGUGAAAAACUGGAUCGGGCUUAGGGGUCAGGUUACUUAUCAGGAAGGUACGACAUAAACCGUAGCACCCCUCAAAGUCCCUAAAGUCGGGUCUCUACUAAUACAAUGAAACUGACGUAGCAAUCGACGAGAAAGUCAAUGGAUACUCACCUCAAACACGCACAAUAGGUGAAUCGGAACAUGAAUAGAGAAUGAUCAGAAUGAAAGUGUAUGCGUACCUGGGCCACGGACCAUAAUGCGCUAUCCAAAAAUGGGAUUAGCACACAAUUAAUGAAUACGGAAUAUGGCUCAUGCAUAUUGGAGUGCAAAUCGAAGAUCAAACGAAAUACACUAAGUACGACAGUUAUCAAUCAAAAGGGAUCAAACAUCGGGCCCCCACUAAAGCCCAAUUUAUUGUUCAUGAAUUAGUCUUACAAAUUCCGUGUUUAAAAUUAUGAAGACUUCACUUCUUGCUUAUGUAGAAUCAAGAAGAUCAGAAGAUUAUUUAAUAACCGAAAUGGAAUUAAAACUAUUCGAGUGAAAACUGGAUUCUUGGAGUUUAUUUGAAAAUUAGGAUCUCAAAAAUUACUUGGAAAUUGGAGCCUGGGGAACUGAAUUUAAGAAUGGGAAUUUUGGAAGUUAAGUUUCAAAAAUUGGAAUCCUGAAGAAUUAUUUAAAGAUUGAGUUUCAAAAAUAAACAAAUAAAUAAAAUAAUAAUGAUUAAAUAAAUCAAUAUGGGAAUUAAAUAUUUUGGAAAUUGGAAUCUAAAUUUAGAAAUCGGGAUUUUGAAGAAUUGUUUGAAGAUUGAAUUUUAAAAAUAAAUAAAUAAAUAAAAUAAUGAGGAUUUAAAUAAAUUGACAUGAGAAUUAAAAUUUCGGAAAUUGGAAUUUAAUUUAGAAGCCAGAAAAUUGGAACUGUUUUAAAGAAGGAAAUUUUGAAAUGGAUAGCUGGAAUAAUAAUAGUGAUGAUAAUAAUAAUUGUUUUGAAAGCUAAAUUUUAAAUAUUAAAACUUUGGUAAUUAGAUUGAAAUUCGUAUUUUUGACAAUUAACUCUGGAAGUUGAGAAUUUAAAAAUUAUUCCAAAAUGAAGACCUUGAUAAUGAGAUUUAAGAAAUGAACCCUAGGAAAUUAAACUGCGAGAAUAUGGAUUUUGAAAGUUGAAUUUGAAGAUUUAAGUAGUAGUAGUAAUAAUAAUAAUAAUAAUAACAAUAACAGUAAUAAUAAUAUUAAACUGCGAGAAUAUGGAUUUUGAAAGUUGAAUUUGAAGAUUUAAGUAAUAAUAAUAAUAAUAAUAAUAAUAAUAAUAAUAAUAAUAAUAAUAAUAACAACAACAAUAAUAAUAAUAAUAAUAUUAAACUGCGAGAAUAUGAAUUUUGAAAGUUGAAUUUGAAGAUUAAAAUAGUAAUAAUAAUAAUAAACUACGAGAAUAUAGAUUUUGAAAGUUGAAUUAGAAGAUUUAAGUAAUAAUAAUAAUAGUAAUAAUAAUAAUAUUGAACUUGAAUAUUUAAGUAAUAAUAAUAAUAGAAAUGGGCUUAAGACAAUGGCUAGAAAUGGGCUUAGGACAAUGGCUACUCAAAUUGAGCCCUUUAAUGGGCCUAGGGUGGGAAGAUUGAAUUUGAAGAUUUAAGUAAUAACAAUAGAAAUGGGCUUAGGACAAAAUGGGCUUAGGACAAUGGCUACGACUUGAGCCCUUUAAUGGGCCUAGGGUGGAAAAAUUGAAGAUUUAAGUAAUAACAAUAGAAAUGGGCUUAUGACAAUGGCUACAAAUUGAGCCCUUUAAUGGGCGGGAAAAUUGAAGUUGAAGAUUUAAGUAAUAAUAAUAGAAAUGGGCUUAGGACAAUGGCUACAAAUUGAGCCCUCUAAUGGGCUUAAGGUGGGAAGAUUAAAUCUCAAAGAAAGAUAGUGGGCCUUGGGCAUCUUGGUGGUGCAUGGAUUCUCUAUAUUGUAGCCAUAGUUUCAAGGUGAACAAGAGGGAACGACGGCACGAACCAGCUCCAGGGGUAUAACCGAAAGUGUAGAGAUGGCGCGGAGGUUGGGGCUUGAUGAACAGCAUGGGAUAGGUUGAUGGUGAUGAGCUUGUGGUACGAGAGAUAAGAUGAGCUUGGUGAUGGAAACGAGUGAGCAUGCAACUUGGAGAGGUGAGGAGAGUAGGAUAUGCGACUUGGAGCAUUAGUGGGUAUGAUUGUGGUGUAGAGAGGGAAGAGGUGGUGGGACGAAGUGCGCAUAAGAGAUUUGACACAAAGAGGCGAUAUGGGAAGAGUGGAGAUGGGUGGUAUGAAAAGUGAGUACAUGCGGAUAUGAGUGUGAAGAGGUUGGUGAGAAGCGGAGAUGUCCAUGCAUGCUUGAAAUGGGUGACAAAAUAAUGAUAUAAGGGGUAGUGGAAGGUGAUGACGGGAAGUGGGUUCAAUGAAACUGUUAGAGAGAGAAAGGGGUGCUAUUGGUAGUGAGAAGAGUGGAAGCACGAGCGUGAGUGAUGGUGAGUUUGAGUGGGUUUGGGUGAUGAUGUAGAUAUAGAAAGUGAAUAAAUAGAAGAGGUGGGUGAAGAAUAGGGCAUGAAACGUAUGAGGUGUGUAGAUGGUAUGAAAAGGUGGACAUGGUCUCCAUGGACUAUCAUGGCUUUCAUUUCAGCUGUUUUGUAGUCCACUUUCAAUCUCAUCACUUCAACACAAAUUGGGGCCAGCCAGGAGAGAGAUUUUUUGGUAGGAUGAGUUAUUGAAUAUAAAUUGGUGACGUGUCAGCAUCUUAGAGGGUCCAUGCAUGGUUUCAAUAUCAUUAUUUACGGUUCUUUUUAAUAAGAAUAAUGUUUAAACUUUGUACUCAUCCAAAAAGUAUUGAAUUAUUGGUACUAAACCGCACAUCCCAACAUUUUCCAUGAAAGGACAAUAAUUGCAUCUAAUUACAAAUAUAUCCUGGAAUCCAUCCCAUAUUUUUCUCGUGAACUAAUCUGUUUGGUUCGGAAACCACUGAAAAAAGAGAUGGAAAAUGCUAAAAAUAUAUUUUUUUAUAUUUGAUUUUGUUACAAAAAAAAAAAAAUUAACCAUGAAAGUCUGAAUAUAAUUAAAAUUAUUUAAAUUUUGUAUAUUUUUAAAAUUAUUAAUCCUUAUGUAAAAGAGUUAAAUACUUAAAAAUAAUAUUUAUCAUUGAUUUUAACUUUAAUUUUUUUUUCCUUUUACCUUUUCUCUCUAUUUUCUUUCCCUCACAAUUUCCUUCAAAAUAUUCCCUCAAUAACCUACUAAUUUAGUGUUUGUUGUUAUACUUUUUUUUUUUUUUAAACUUAAAUUUAAAUAAAAUUUAAUUUAACUUAAUUAUAAUAAAAGAAAAGGAUCAUACCACUUUUUUUUUUUUUUUUUUUUUUUUUUUUUUUUAUGGAUGUCAAGAUGGAUUUAAGAUACAUUUAUAAUAAGAUGAAAUUAUAGUCUGUUGAUGGAAAAUAUCAUUAUAAAAAAUGUCAUUUGAUCAGUGUGACCCUCUCGUAAUUGAUAACAAAUUCAAUUAUUGUCUGUCGAUGGAAACUGAAUUUCCAACCACACAAAAUUAAAUUCAUAUAAACAAUGACUUUUCUUGUUUCAAUUAUUUAUAUUAUAUCAAAUAUUUCUAAUUUUUUUGUAUAAAUAAAUUAUUUUAUUCUCUAAUUAUAGAUUCAAACAUACAAUGUCAUCCAAUCAAUAGAUACAUAAAUCUUUUUUUCAAAUAUAAACAUAAUGCAAAUAUAUACACACAAUCAAGUGGUGCGAUAUCGUUCCUAAGUUUUUACUGAAGAAUACACGUUUAUACCUAAAUACACUUCUCAUUUGGAGUGUUCUCGGGGUAAGUUUUUGUAAUUUAUAUAAGAGAUCUCACUUAUUUCUCAAUUCGCCCUCUUUGAAUCUUUUCAUUUCGAUCUUAUUUUCUUUUCUUUUAAUCUUUUUGCCCUCAUUCUCAUUUCCAUUUCAUAUAACAAGUUCUUCACUUUUCUUUGUCUACAACCAUGGAUGUAAAAUGAGUGCGGUAUAAUAUUGUUGUGCAAUCCUAACUCAAAUGAUAAUACCAACUAAUAUAAAAUAAUUAUUUUAAACCAAUAGUCAUCGGCAGUAGACUUAUAUCUUCUGGACCAAUUAGUAUACCAACAGUGAUCAGGCUAAGGUGAUGAUCCAAUUCCAUGGAAGAGCAUCAAGAAAGGAGGAGGAACGUUGGAGAGAAAGAAGGCGGCCAACCAAGCAGGAACAGUGGCCAAACUGGCCUCGAGCCUGAGGAGCAUAUGAUUGACAGUGUUGAAAUCAGUCCUAGGGUGAAAAAUUGGAUUAAGUCUCUCAAAAACGCAGAAGAAAGCACUCAAUCUCAAAGUUCAUGGCCAAGGAUACCAAAGGUUCCUCAGUUGCUGAGGGGGACCCAUGAUUUCGAGAGAUUGUACGAACCGAGGGUAAUUUCAAUCGGUCCUUACCACCAUGGCAAACCCCACCUUCAACCAGUGGAGACGAUCAAGCUUCAAUAUGCCCAAAAAUUCCUGGCUGAUAGUGACCAGGACAUCGAAGCUUUGUACACAAAAAUUGGAAGUAAUAUCGAGGCGUUGAGGAAGUGCUAUGAUAAGAUACCGACGGAUGAUGAGAAACUCGCCUGGAUGAUGCUUCUGGAUGGGUGUUUUUUACUACAAUUCAUCCGCAGCAGAAAGGACGGCAGCACAGUCGAUUUGAGUAACGUUCUUAGAAUUCACCAAAUAAAUUUUGUGGAGCGGGACUUGUUCUUGCUGGAGAACCAACUGCCCUUUGGAGUCCUCCAGUUGAUUUUUGAGGGAGCAAAAUUCAAUGAUGGUUCAACAAUGGAACAGAUGAUAAAAAAUUUCGUCACUCGCAUCGCAAGUCUACAACCGUCAUCAGAAAAACCGCUGGAUGAGCGCUCUCAUCUCCUCGACCUUUUGCGAAGUGCUAUCCUAGGCAAGAGUGCGCCCAAACAAGAGCGGCAACCUGAUAAAAAAGGAAAGUCGUCGUCGUCUUCAGGAGGAGAUGGGCGGUUCUGUUGCCCAUGGAAAAAAGGCAAACAACGAGGCAUUCGGCAGCCUUUUCGAAACAUCAAGGAGCUUAAAGCUUCCGGGAUCCAUCUCCGACAGAGUAGAACGAGUUUCUUGACAGACAUUUCUUUCAAUUCCUACUUCUUCCGUGGCUACCUGAAUCUUCCCCCAAUAAUCGUUGAUGACUCCACGAAGUCCAGGUUCUUGAACAUUGUAGCCUAUGAAAUGUGUCCAGAUGCCCCUGAUGACUAUACGGUCACUUCUUAUUUAUGCUUCCUUCACGGGCUCAUUCAUCAUGCGGACGAUGUCAAGGAGCUGAGAUCUAGGCACAUUCUCAUCAACCAUCUUGGCAGCGAUGAAGAUGUGGCCCGACUUUUCAACGAGAUCGCCAACGACGUGGUAGAUACCGGAGUUUAUGGAGAUGUGAAAGCUCGUAUUCAGAAAGACUACGACAAGAGGGUGAAUACUUGCAUAGCAGCCAUUAACGGAUUGGCACUGCUUUUACGGCUGUACAAUUGAUACUAUUUCUUACUGGUGUCCAAACCUACUACGCUCUUCCAGGUAAUUAAUGUAUGUGUGUAUGUAUGUGAUUAAUUAUCAUUGUGAUGUGCUUUUUUUUUCUUGUUUGGUGUGUUUAUGUUUGAAAAAAAUCCAACUUUCCAUGAUUGAAGUAAAUAUAUCAAUACAAGAUAUCAUUUUAUUAGAGAGUAUUAUGUAGAAGGAAAAACAAUUAAAAUUUGUAAAAUCUCUAGAUCAAAUUACCAAUAUUUGUAUCAAACCUAUCAAGUUUAAAGAUUUUAAAAAUUAAAGGAUGUUAUUCAAGAUAUACAAAUCAAGUUUUGAGUAGUCAAAUCAUAAAAAAAGUUUGAGGUAACAUAUAAAAAUAAUUUAUUAAUUAAAAUUUUUUUUCUUUCUCUAUUUUCUUUUUCUUAUAUUUUCUUUCAAACUUUUUAGGAACCAAACAUAACCUACUAAUUUAGUGUUUUUCUUUUACUUAAAUCUAAAUAGAACUUAAUUUUACUUAAUUCUAAAUACAACUUAAUAAUAUUAAGUAUUAAGUUGUUUAUUUUUAUUAUUUCAUUUCUUUUAAGUAUUAAGCAUUAAUAGGUGGGAGUUGCAUUGAGGUUGUGUUUUGGUUAUUUUAAAAGGUUACUUCUAGCAUUAAGUAAAAAAAAUUAAAUAUUUUGACUUUUUUCAUUCAAUCAAUUUUUUUUAAAAAAAAUAAGUAAUAAGUAAAAAAUAAGUAAAUCAUCUCAAGUCUGAAAGCAAAUUAUAUUCAAUAUUAAAAGAAAAAAAAAUCAAAACAACCGUAGAACCCCAUCUAGUUGCAGCUCGUUUCUUAUCAGGUGCAGCAUUUCUGAGGUUUUAUGCGUGUCAACUCGAGAAAGGCUGGGGCGGGGACCGUUUUCUGGAAACAUCAGCUGCAUGAAACGUGUGGGGAGCAACUGACCACAGCCAUAGUGGUGGUUGGGGCUCCAGACAUGCUGAGCGGGGGAACAGGGGAGUGGAUAUUGGCUUGUGAGAGGAGAAAAAAAGAAAGAGUUGCUUAUCUUCCCACCCAUUCACCUAUCCCACAUUCUCUCACGUCCGUGCAGCCCACAUGCUCCCCUCAUGACAUUCCCUUGCUCAUCCUAUCAUGCAUUUUUCACUCCCAUGUUCAUGCCAUACUCACCGCCAUCUUUUCUCUCUCUACACCGUGUCAUGCACCCAUUUGUUUUCCUAAAAAGACCACAACCCCUGUUUUGUGCUCCAUCACAGCCCAUGCUUGUGCCACCACAUAACCCUCGUUUUCACCCCCACUUUCAUACCCAUGCAACCAAUCUUUCUCACCCUCUCAUCACCCACUGAAGUGUAUGGAAGUCGUGGUGAUUUCCCUCCAUCUCGCGUUGCCUAGGCUGUCCUCAGUCCGCGUGUUUUCCUGCGCGCUUGCUUCAGAUUAAACUUCGUUCGUCGGCUUCUUUAAAACCCUUUCAACUCGUGUUGUAGUUUAAUGGAUCAAAGCCCAAAUCAGAGAGGAAGGCAAACCUGGGUUCUUGGGUGCAAGUGUAUGCCAAAGGGGAGGUGUAGGAGGGUGAAUUUCACGAGUGGUGGUGUUCAGGAAGUGGGGUUUAUUAUUAUCAUAGGAGUGGGAGGAUAUGUGGGCAUGGAUCAACCUACAGGUAUGGGCAUAAAAGUGGGCCUGAGCAUGGGCCUGAGCCUGGGGGUGAAUGUGGGCCUGAGCAUGGGUUUGAAUAUUGAAAUGUGGCAAGUAGCCCGGAUGCAACAACCAACUUUGCCUCCUGGAGGUUAUAACCUCAUGAUGGGCUCAGGUGGUUAUACUCUUUAGCAACCAACCAUAUGGUAAUGGCUACCAUUAGGAAUGCUAUACACGUAAUGGAUGCCUAUUAUUUCAAGUGAUUCCUAUAUUCCCAAUUUACGCAAUUUAAUUCUUAAAGCCCUAAUUUCUCGAUAUUCUUUCAAAUUUCGAUUUUCACACUAAUAUAUUUGAUCACUAUUACCAUUAUUUCAUUAUUAUUUGUUUAUUUCUAAAAUUCGAUCUUUAAACACAUCUUCAAAAAUUCCAUUUUUUUAAAAUUUAAUUUCUAAUCCUGAUAAUUCCCAUACUCGCUUUAAUUUAUUUAAUCAUAAAUAUUUUAUUCAUUUAUUUUAAAACUCUAUUUUUAAUCUAUUCUUUAAAAUUCCCGAUUACCGAAUUAAAUUCCGAAAAUUCCCAUACUCACUUUAAUUUAUUUAAUCACUAAUAUUUCAAUCAUUUAUUUUAAAAUUCCAUUUUUAAUCUAUUCUUUAAAACUUCCGAUUUCAAAAAUUCCAAAAUUCACGUUUAUUUAUUUAAUCAUUAUUUUCGUUCCGUUUUAAACAAUUCAUUAAAAUUUUCGACUUCCAAUUUUAAUUCCGAAAAUUCCAAUAUUCACAUUAAUUUAUUUAAUUAUUAUUAUUUUAUUUAUUUAUUCUAAAAUUCCAUUUUUAAACAAUUCAUUAAAAUUUCCACUUUUGCUAAUUCCAAAAUUCCAACAUUCACAUUAAUCUAUUUAAUUAUUAUUAUUUUAUUUAUUUAUUCUAAAAUUUCAUUUUAAACAAUUCCAACAUUCACAUUAAUCUAUUUAAUUAUUAUUAUUUUAGUUAUUUAUUUUGAAAUUCCAUUUUAAACAAUCCUUCAAAAUUCCAAUUUCUGAACUUAAUUUCCAAUUUCCAAAAUUCUAAUUUCUUUCAAAUUUAAUAUCUAAAAUUCCAAUUCUUAAAUUUAAUUUUCAAGACUCCAAUCUUCAAAUAAUUUUCGAGACUCUAAUUUUCAAAUAAAUUUGAAAAAUCCAGUUUUCUCUCGAAUAGCUUUAAUUCCACUCCGAUUUUUAAAUAAUGUUCUAUUUCUUUUGAUUUUUUUACACAAGCAAGAAUGAUGAAUCUUCAUAAUUCCGAAAUAAUGGGAUUCGCGAGAUUAAUUCAGGCAAGAUCAAUCGGGCUUUGGUGAGGGCCCCACAUAUGUGAUUUUAUGACUGACUGAUUGAUUAAUUAAUUUAUUUACCAUGCUUGUUUGAUUUAUUCUGUUACUUGACAUGCGCAUAAUUUUAUCUAUUCGUCAUUCACUAAUCCUGUUUCAUGAUAGCGCAUUCGUGACUUGAGGACCAGGUACGCAUCCACUCAUAUUUUGUUCGUUCUUUAUACAUGCUCUGCUUCCCACGUCGUGCAUGAUUAAGGUGAGUAUUCAUUGGCUUUCUCAUUGAUUGCCGCGUUAGCUUCAUUCUAUUAGUAGAGACCCGAUUUCAGGGACUUAGAGGGGUGCUACGGUUCAUGUCAUACCUUCUCGAUAAGUAACCUGACCCCCGAACUCGAUCCGGUUUUUCGUAGAUCACCUUUUCCAAAUAAGGAGUCACACUUAGGAUUUUUCUUUCUUAUUUUGUUUACCCUUUUAAAAAUAAAACAAAAAUAAGUGGCGACUCCAAGUCAUUUUCUUAAUCAAAUAAAAUCAUUUUUCAAAUAAAAAUCGAGCUCGCCAUCGAGUGGGAAAUACAUGAGCCGAAAUGUGGGGUCCACAACAACAUAAGAUUUAAAAUUCAAAAUGAUUAUAAAUGUGUGACACUAAGCUUAAUGCACGCGUGCUAAAGGUCACUAAUGUUAUUCGUAGUUUUCCCAUGGCAAUUGGUAUGUUUCACAAUCUUUCUUGGACGUGGGAGGGGCUUGGGUUUUUGAAUGAGAAUGAAGCUUUUUGAAAGGUUUGUAAUAAUAAAAUAUAACAUCAAAAAUAAAAUGAGGUAUUUAUGUAAAAUAAAAAGAAAAUUGUCUAAAAAAAUUCAUUAAGGCUGUGUCUCUCUGGUUUAAAAAAUUUGAGGGAAAGAAAAUAGAUAAAAAAAAGUGGAAGGAAAAAAAAUGAAGGAAAAUAAAAAAUAAAUUAAAAGUCAAUAAAUUAUUUUUAUAUUCUUCUUCAAAUUUAUUUCACUUGCUCUUCUUCAUUAUAUAAAGAUUAUAUAAUUUUAAAAUGCAUAUAUUUUUAACUAAUUUGAAUUAUAUUUGAUUUUUUUUUGUAUUUUUUUUAUAGUAAAACCAAAUAUAAGAAAAUCAUUUUCCUUAAUAUUUUUUCAUUUUCUUAGUACUUUUUGAAAACCAAAUAUAACCUAAUUCUUAAUUAAUUUAAAUUAUAUUUGAUAUUAAAUAUUUAAUUAUGUAAAUAUUAAAAAUAAAUAAAAUCUAAUAAUUGUACUAAUAUUUUAUAUUUUCAUUUUCUAAUUUUUACUUUAUUUUAAUAGAUACUAAACAUGAUUUUUAAAUUUUAAAAAAUUUUUUAAUUAUAAAAAUAAGAAUGGAAAAAUAAAUAUCGGAUAGCUAAUUUUGACAGACAUGUAAUUUUGAUAGUGAGUGGUGUGAGGAGGGCUUUUUUGCCCAAAUUUUUGUGUUUUCCAAAUCUAAGCCAUUUCCUUGCCUACUUUUUUUCUCCAUGUUCCAAGUAAACAAGGGUAAAUACUUACAAUAAAAAAUUAAUGAAAGACAAAAACCAUACAACUAUUUCCUCCAUAGAUACCAACAUGGAUUCGAGAUUUAAGAUACAUUUAUAAUUAGACGAAAAAUGGCACGAUGAAAAAUAUCAUUUGAUUAAGGUAAGGUGGAAAAAUAAGGGCUACAUUUAAAGUACUCGAGUAUAUUAUAUAUGCUCCCUUUAGGGUGAUUCCCAUAUCAUUUAUAUAUUUCUUUUUAAUUCAAUUUGAAAUUUGAAUUCAAUUUUAUAUUUAUAUUGUAUAUAUUUAUAAUAAUAUAUAUUAUAUAUAAUUAUUUAUAAUAAAAUAAUAAAAAUUAUAAUAUUAAUUAAUUUAAUAGGAUUAAAAAGGACUAAUUUUUUUUAAAUUAUUAUAUAUAUAGGUCUGAAUGGAAAAAAUAUCAUCCAUUUAUUUAUACUCUUAUAUGUUGAUAUCAUUAGUUUGUACCCUCAUUCUAAACAAGGGUACCUUAUCUUGAUCUCAUGCAUUGGUUUGUGUUUUGGAAUUUGAAAGGUUUCCUUAGGUUUAUUUAAGUUUUGACAAUAAAUAAUUAGUAAAAGAAAAGGACCAUACCACUUUUUCCUCCAUAUUCCAAGUAAAUAUGGGAAAAGACUUACCACAAGAAAUUAAAGAAAGGAAAAGAACCACACCACUAUUUCCUCAAUAAAUGUCAAGAGGAUACAUUUGUAAUCAAUGUUGGGAAAUGUCAACAUGGAAAAUAUCCUUUGAUCAAUGUAAGAUGGAAAAGAUCAUUUGACAAGGGCUACAUUUACAGGACUCAAAUAUAUUUUUUUCAAUAGGUAUGAAAAAAACAUCAUCAAUCAAGUGGUGUUAAAUAUAUAUUUUUUAAUCUCAUUAUUUGUACCACAAUCCUAUUUAUUUAUACUCUUAUACCUUGAUAUUAUUAGUUUGUAUCUUCAUUCUAUCUUACCUUGAUCUCAUUAGUUUGUUUUUCAAAAUAUGAAAGGCUUCCUUAUGUUCAUCCAAGUCCUUAGACUCCUUACAAUAAGGAAUUAAUAUAUGAAAAUGAUCGUACCAUUUUUUUCUUGAUGGAUGUCAGGAUGGAUUCAAGAUACAUUUAUAAUAAGAUGUAAUUAUUAUUUAUAUAUUGAGAUUGAAUAUUAAGAUUAUUUUAAUUUUUUAAUUAUAAAAACAAGAAUUGAAAAAUUAAAAUUGGAUAGUGUCAACCCCUUAGCCUUUUGACCCAAUUUUGGAGAAAAGGGUCUCAUGGGUAGGCCUUGCACCCAUGGGAGCCUAGAUAGAGAGCAAGAAUGGCCUGGAGGUUUGGCGGUUCAAACCCCAAGAGUUAUAAUGAGAAGGCCAUGUUUGAGCCAAACGUGCACCACAUGCGAGCUAGAUGCGUACCGCGUGCACACUACAGACAAGCUAAACAGGCACCGCACGCGCACCUCGAGUGAGCCAAACAGGUACCGCGCAUACACCAGGCAUAUGUUGGCUAUGGAGUUGGUGUAGUUGGAGGGCGAGGUUUAUUUUGAAAUAUAAUUUAUAAUUAUUUAAAUGUUUCAUUAUGUCUCCUCCAGACAUCUUGAUAACGAUCCGUAUUGCUCUUUAAGGGGGAAAGGGGAUAGGUAAUUCGAGGGGGCACCAAGGGAAGGCCUUGAUCGCACCAAGGGAGCACCAUGGCACGACUCGUGGCGUGCCUAGGACACACAGAUAGACACUCAAGCACACACACAUGGGUUCCACAAUAUGUGUGGCGUGCACCCUGUGGCUGCAACAGCCCGGGGUCUGGUACAACCUACCUCCUCCCCGCACAGGCAUGAAGGGGCCUAAGCCUUGUGCAACUAGCUAACUGAGGAAGCCAUGGUUUGAUGAGGCACUAGACAGACAGUUGGCUUGUACCCAUAAUGCUUACGCACGACACAGGAGCGCAAUGCCAUAGUUCAUUGCUAUAGAGCUUGACCUGACAGUGGGAGAUAGACAUAGGCCCAUACCAUGGGCACCUUGACAUGGCAUGGACUGACACGUCAGUGUGGGGAAGACACACUGAUGCACCAAGCACCUGGUCAGUUGGUUGGUGCAUGUUGCUAGUUCAGAUGACAGCUAGCUAGUGGUAGCAAGUGUGUGAUCCGGACAAUAGUCAGUUUCAAGGGAUUGACAGAUGGUUGGUGCGAAGAGACGCCUUGGACUAAGGGAGUGUCUCCAGCUAGGUGGUUACAUGAGCAGUUCACCAGUUGGGUGGUUAUGCAAGCAGUUUAUGGGCGAUUGUGGCAGUUGCAAAACCACCAGAUUGGCUCCUUGGUUUUGAAUUUUGAAAUUUGAAAUUGUAACUUGCAGGCUGGUCAUUUAAAAAGGGGCCUCUUCCAUCUUUGAGAUAGAGGAUGAGAGCAUGGGAUAUGUCUUUGAAUGCUUAAGGGUUCUAAGCAUUGUACUCUGACUUAGACCAAGUGUUGAGACACUUUGGAAAACGAUUUUAUAUCUUGUAGUGACUGAAAUAAUACAAGUUAGGAAGGGUUCCCGUAAUUGUUGUGUCAUGUUACUUUGUUUUUCUAAGGGUUGGGAAGAAAGGUUAGCUAAGGAAAGGUCCUUAGUACUGCACACUCGAUGAAAAAAUUAAUGCAAUUAUCAGGGGUGUGAUAGAUAGCUAGUAUUUACAGGCAUAUGUAAUUUUGAUAGAGAUGAGAAGAGAAGAAUGAGUGGUAUGAGGAGUGCAUUUUUGCCCAAAUUUUUGUGUUUUAGGAAUCCAAAGCAUUUCCUUUCCCACUUUUUUCUCCAUGUUCUAGGUAAUCAUGGGAAAAAAGUUGCAAAAAAAAAUUAAUUAAAGAAAAGGAAUAUACCACUAUUUCCUUGAUAGAUAUUAGGAUGUAUUUAAGAUUUAAGAUACAUUUAUAAUCCGCAGUGGAAAAUAUCAAGAUAGAAAAUAUCAUUUGAUAAGGACUACAUUUUUAGUACUCAAAUAUACUUCUUUUUAUAGGUAUGAAUGGAUGAAAAGAUAUCAUCAAUCAAUCAAGUGGUGUCAAAUUUAUAUUUUUAAGUAUUAUUAUUUGUGCUCAAAUCCCAUUUAUUUAUACUCUUCUACCUUGAUAUUCUUAGUUUGUACCCUCAUUAUGUGGAAACAAGGGUACUUUACCUUGAUCUCAUUGGUUUUAGUUUGAAAAUUUAAAAGGUUUCCUAAGGUUUAUCUAAGUCCAUACAAUAAGGAAUUAAUAAUAAAAAAAAGGACCAUGCCACUUUUUCCUCCAUGUUCCAAGUAAAUAUGGGAAAAGACCUACAACAAGAAAUUAAUAAAAGAAAAGGACCAUACCACUAUUUCCUUAAUAGAUGUUAAGAUGGAUUCAAGAUACAUUUAUAAGUAAUGGUGAAAAAUGUCAAGAUGGAAAAUAUCCUUUGAUUAAGGUAAGAUCGAAUAAAUCCUUUGCUAAGGGCUAUAUUUAUAGUACUCAAAUAAGCUCUUUUUUGAUACGUAUGGAAAAGACAUUAUCAAUUAAUUGGUGUCAAGUAUAUAUUUUUAAGUCUCAUUAUUAAUGGACCCCAAUUCCAUUUAUUUAUACUCUUAUACCUUGAUAUCAUUAAUAUGUAUCCUCAUUAUAAGUGAAAAAGGGUACCUUACCUUAGUCUUAUUUAUUUGUAUUUCAUAAUCUAAAAGAUUUCCUUAGGUUUAUAUAAACCCUUACAAUAACGAAUUAAUAAAAGAAAAAGACCAUACCACUUUUUCCUUGAUGGAUGUCAAGAUGGAUUCAAGAUAUAUUUAUAAUUAGAUGUAAAUAUUGUCUGUUGCUGGAAAAUAUCAUUAUGGAAAAUGUCCCAUGAUCAAGAUAACCCUCUUGUAAUUGAUGUCGAAUUCAAUUAUUGUCAAUCGAUGGGAAUUGAAUUCCCAACCAUACAAAAUUAAAUUAAUAUAAAUGGUCACUUCACUUUUCUUAUUUCAAUUAUUUAUACCAUAUCAAAUACUUCUAAUUUUUUUGUACAAAAUAAAUAAAUUAUUUGUUAUCUAAUUAUAGAUUCAAAUAUACAAUUGAUGUCAUUGAAUCAAUUGAUACAUAAAUCCUUCUUCCAAAUAUUAACAUAAUGAAAAUGCAAACACACAAUCAAGUAAUGCAAUAUUGUUCCUGAGUGUUCAUAUAAGGAUACACGUGUAUAUCUAAAUACACUCCCCAUUUGGAGUGUUCUUGAGGUAAGUUUUUGUAUCUUAUAUGAAAAAUCUCACUCCCUUCUUAAUUCAAUUUCUUUGGGUCCUUUCAUUUCUCAUUUUAUUUUCUUUUAUUUUUUUUGCCCUCAUUCUCAUUUCCAUUUCAUAUAAGAAGUUCUUAACUUUGCUUUCUAUACCACCAUGGAUGCAAAAUGAAUGAGAUAUAAUAUUAUUGUGCAAACGAAACUCAAAUGAUAUAUAAUACUCAAUAAUAUAAAAUAAUUAUUUUAAACCUAUAAAAAUACUCAAAAUUUUCAAUAAAUAAUUUCCAUUAUUUUCAACGUUGAUAUAUCAUUAAUAAAUUUCAAUUUUAUCUUCCUAACACAGUCCAAAUAAUUAUAACACUUCACACAAAUAUUUAUCUUUGAUUAAUAUGAAUUGAAUUUUUCUCCAACAUAAUUUCCACUAAAAAUCAAUUAAAAUUUCAUAUAAUCGUAAAAAUAAUUAAAAUAACAACUAUAUACUUAGAAUCACUUGCAAAAUAUUAUCAUAAUAAGAGUUUGUUUGAUAGUGAUCAUAAAAGAUGCUUUUAAUAUUUUUAACAUUUAAAAUUUUUUACCAAAAGAAUUGUUUUAAGUACUAGAAAAACUAAACACGUUUUCAAAAAUCACUAUCAAACAAGUUGAAAGAACAUGUUUGAUAUUAUGAAACCCUUUUAACCUUCCCCACAUUUGAAAAUUUUUAGCCAAGUAUUUGUAACCUUUCUAACCUUCCGUUUGGUAGGAAGCGGUGGCAGUGAUUGUUAGUAUUAGUAAUAAUCACUAGACGAAGUCAUGGGCAGUAGACCAAGUCAUCCCUCUUGGUAGGAAGCGCUUUUAACACCAAGCCAUCGGCAGUAGACUUACCUCUUCUGAACCAACAUAUUAACAGUGAUUAGGCCAAAGUGGUGACCCAAUUCCAUGGAAGAGCAGCAAGAAAGGAGGAACGUUGGAGAGAUAGAACUAGAAGGCGGACAACCAAUCAGGAACAGUGGCCAAACCGGCCCCGAGCUUAGGGAGCAUAGGAUGGACAUUGUUGAAAUCAGUCCUAGGGUGAAAAAUUGGAUUGGGUCUUUCAAAAAAGCAGAAGAAAGUACUCAAUCUCAAACUCAAUGGCCAAGGAUACCAAAGGUUCCUCAGAUGCUGAGGGGGACCCAGAAUAUCAAGAAAAUCUACGAACCGAGGGUAAUUUCAAUCGGUCCUUACCACCAUGGCGAGCCCGACCUUGGCCCAGUGGAAAUGAUCAAGCCUCCAUGUGCCCAAUAAUUCCUGGCUGAUAGUAACCAGGACAUCGAAGCUUUGUACACAAAAAUUGGAAGAAAUAUCGAGGCAGUGAAAAAGUGCUAUGGUUGGAGUAGUACAAAAAAGGAUGAUGGUGAGGAACUUGCCUGGAUGAUGCUUCUGGAUGGGUGUUUUUUACUACAAUUCAUCCGCUGGAAAGGUAUGAGAAAGUUUCGUAGAAAUCACCAAAUAAAUUUUGUGGUGCAGGACUUGUUCUUGCUGGAGAACCAACUUCCCUUUGGAGUCCUCAAGUUGAUUUUUGAGGGAACAAAUUUCCAGGGUGGUCUACCAAUGGAAAAGAAUAUAAAAAUAUUCAUCACUUACUUCGGAAUGCCAGAAGGGUUGUCAUCAGAAAUACAGCUGGAAGAGGUGAACGAAGAGCCCUCUCAUCUCCUCGACCUUUUGCGAAGUGCUCUCCUAGGCCAGAGUCAACCCGAACAAGAGCAGCAACCUGAGAAAAAAGGAAAGUCGUCGUCGUCUCAAGGAGGAAAGUGGGGGGUCUGUUGCCGAUGGAAAAAAUGCAAACAACGGGGCAUUUGGCAGUUUUUUCGACACAUCAAGGAGCUUAAAGCUGCCGGGAUCUAUCUCAAACCGAGUAGAACGUGUUUCUUGAGAGACAUUUCUUUCAAAUCCUACUUCUUCUUUGGCUACCUGAAACUUCCCCCAAUAACCAUUGAUGACUUCACGAAGACCAAGUUCUUGAACAUGGUAGCCCUAUGAAAUGUGUCCAGAUGCCCCAGAUGACUAUGCGGUCACUUCUUAUAUAUGCUUCCUUUACGACCUCAUUGAUCAUGCAGACGAUGUCAAGGAGCUGAGAUCUAAGCACAUUCUCCACAACCUUCUUGGCAGCGAUGACGAUGUGGCCAAAAUUUUCAACGAGAUCAGCAAUGACUUGGUAAAUCCCGAAGCUUAUAAAGAUGUGAAAGAUUGUAUUCAGAAACACUACGACAAGAGAGUGAAUACUUGGACAGCUCAAGCCCUUCACAACCAUUUCAGGUCUCCAUGGACCAGGGUUCAAAGUCGCAGUAUCGGUCAUUGACUCGGGAGGUCCUGAGACACAUCGGUCUCGAUAUCUCGGAUCGGUAUCGGGUGAUACGCAAAAAAUUUUAAUUUAAGAGCUCAAAAUAAUUUUCAAAAAUUAUGAAAAUUAUUAAAAAAAUAAAAUACAAAUAAGAAGAGUAAAAAAAUUAAUAAAAUAAACUUCUAUUAUAUUAAAAUUAUUCAAAUUAUAAUAAAAGCAUAUUUUUGGGAUGAUUUAUAAUAAUAUUAAAAAUCUUUAAAAAUAUUUUAAUUUAAUUACUUGAUGAUAAAUAUUUCUUAUUGAAGAUGAAAAUAAUAAAAAGUAAAUUUUUUUAAUAAAAAAUUAUUUAAAUUAAAUAUUUUGAAUUUUUUUAAAAAUGUUUUCAAUUAUUAAAAAAAUAAAACCAUGAUUCAUCUUUAAAAAAAUAAAUAUAAUUUUUCUUAUAAAAUGUAUUCAUUAAUUUUAAUUUUUAUAUAAAUAUUUAUUUGAUAUAAGUCUAAUAUUUAUUAUUUAUUUUUUAUCAUUAUAAUUUUUAUCAAAUUAUUUAAAAUCCAUAUCCCAUCAAAUACUCAUAAUCUAAUUAAAAAAUAAAUACAAAUUAUUUAAACCUAAAUCCUCCAAAUAUCCAUAACCCUCCGGCGUGAAAUGGUUUUGGAAAGCGAUUUGAGAGUGAGUUAGGACAGCAUGCCUUCGGUGAAAAGCUUGGCCUCUGCCCCUCUGGAUUGUGGUGCCUCAACAGGUGAUUGUAGAAGUGGGAUGUCAGCCUACAUGAUCACCGGAGGCAAAUCCUUGCAGAAGUUCCAUAACACAGUCUGUCCCGACUGCAAACCCAUCAGGACCGUUGAUGAUAACAGCGGUGCCGAAGUCCGGCGACUCUACUCCUCAUGUCGCUCAAAUCCAUCUCCGGCGGGAACUUGGGCGAUCCGAACAAGCAGGCGUGCUUCUUCAACCUCGCCGGCGACUCCAAGAUGCAAGGUUCUAACUCUGUAUUUUUCAUUUUCGUGGGUUUUGAUCCUCUCAUCUGAUCUUCUCCACAAUUUCUACUCCAACUCGGGUAUCGGUCCGGUACCGACCAUGGUCGAGGCGGAUACGACUCGGCCGAGUCGUACCGGUCUCGACCGAGAUUUUGAACCAUGCCAUGGACUGUCAUGGCUUUCAUUGCUGCUCUUUUGAUACUAUUUCUUACUGGGUUCAGACCUACUACGCUCUUCCCGGUAAUUAAUAUAUAUAUAUACAUAUAUAUAUAUAUAUAUAUAUAUAUAUAUAUAUAUAUAUAUAUAUAUAUAUAUAUAUAUAUAUAUAUAUAUAUAUCUGGAUUAAUUAUGACUGUGAUGUGUUUUUAUCCUGUUUGGUGUGUGUGAUUAGAAACAAAGAUGUAUAGAUUGUUAAGUUGUAUCACUGGAUUUCAUGCAUGCAAUAUUAUGGGUCUUUUCCAGUUUUCCUCCCCACAUGAAUUUGCUAUACAAUUUCCAGCUUGCUUUUUUCUAUUCUUUUUCAUAGACCAGGAUAAUAGAUAACACAACAUCAACAUAGAAAAUUUUCAGUCAACAGUAUGUGAUUCCGUGGAUGGGAUGGGAUUGAAUUUGCUCACACACUUUUUUAUCUAAGGAGAAAAUUGUGGAUAAAAUCAUAAUUUUGAUAUAUUUAUAAAUUGAGGAAGGGCUCUCUCUAAUUUUUAUUUUUUAUUUUUUAUUUUUUUUAUAAAAGAUAAAAUCAUAAUACAUCACCCAAGGAAGGGGAGUGAAGGCAUUUUUUAUUUCAUCGUUGAACUUGUUUGAAAAAAAAAAAACCCCACUGUAGACCCCCCCGAGGAGCUGAGAGUUUUUUUUUUAUGAUUAUUCUUUUUGCUAUUUUUCUGACUCCUCUGAAGUGGGCUGCUCUCGGGCGGCAGAUGGGACGGGGGUAAGGAGAUGGCUUGGAGGAGAAGCUAAAAAAGAAAAGAGGAAAAGGAAAGAAAAGAAGGGGAAUCCAGAGAGAGAGGGAGAGAGCUCGGAGGGAACAACAGAGUAAGCUGAAGAGUAUUCUCAGGUAUGAAUGUAACAGGUUCAUUGUUAGAUUUAGAUCCUUGCUAUCCCUCCGCAUUUUUUUCUUGUUGAUAUUUUGGAUAUUUGUUGUUUUGCUUGGGGUGGAUUGUUGCUUGUUGAGAUAUAACCUUGAAUUCAUGCUUGCCAUCAUCCAUCUUAAUAUGCUCUGUUUCUAUUGUGAUUGCGGAAUGCCCGAGAAACCCCUCCAAUAUUUACACUUGAUGCUGUUUUUCUCACCUAAUGAGAAGAUUCACUGAUGAUUCAUGAUGUGAAGCUUCCUUUGAGAACCUUACUAUUUGUUUUCUGCUAUGCUCUGUUCCAUGUUUUUUUUUUCUUUUUUUUUCUUCUUUGUUUUGACUACUCUUUGUCCUUGGACCGUGUUCAAUGCAUAGAUGGUGGGAGAGGAGCAACUCUUGGCUUGAGGAGAGCUUCCCAGAAAAACGGGCAGAGAAAACUUUUCGGGGAUGGUCCGAAACAAAGAAGAAAGGAGAAAUGAGCUUUUCUGACGCUUAAGAGGAUUCCGAAAAUUUUUCGAGGCUGGUGCUGGUGCUGGCUGGUGCUGGUGCUGGUGCUGGCUGGUGCUGGUGCUGGUGCUGGCUGCUGGCUGGUGCUGGCUGGUGCUGGUGCUGGCUGGUGCUGGUGCUGGCUGCUGGCUGGUGUUGGCUGGCGUCGCCGCUGCCGCCGCGGGGAGGUGGUGAUCGUGCUGGAGCCAGGCGGGAGGAGGAGCUGUGGAGAAGAUGAAGUUUGGGCUUGGGCUUGAGUUGGGGUACUAGGCCCAAUUUUGUGAUGAAGCCCAGGCCCAAGUGGAAAGAUAUAAAAAAAAGAAGAGAACGAAAGAAGGUCUAAGGCUUAAGUGUUUUUGCUAUUGGCUUUGGGCUUGAUGGAAAUGGGCUCUUUUUAAUAAAAUGGACAUGGGCUUAGGCUUAUAGAUUUGGGCUUGAUGGAGAUGGGCUCUUUUUAAUAAAAUGGACGUGGGCUUUAGGCUUAUAGACUUGGGCUUAAUGAUAUGGAUAUUAUUAUUAUUAUUACUAUUAUUAUCAUGGUUAUUAUUAUUAUUAUCAUUCUUAUUAUCAUUAUUAUUAUUAUUAUUAUUAUUAUUAUUAAUUCAACUUUUAAAAUCCUAUUAUUAUUAUUACUAACCCAACUUUCAAAAAUCUCAUUACUAUUAUUAUUAUUAACCCAACUUUCAAAAUCUCAUUAUUAUCAUUAUUAUUAAUUCACACUUUCAACAUCUAUUUAUUAUUAUUAUUAUCAUCAUUAACCCAAACUUUCAAAAAUCUCAUUAUUAUCAUUAUUAUUAUUUCACACUUUCGACAUCUAUUUAUUAUUAUUAUUAUUAUUAUCAUUAAUCCAAACUCUCAAAAUCUCAUUAUUAUUAUUAUUAAUUCACACUUUCAAAAUCUUUUUAUUAUCAUUAUUAUUAAUUCAACUUUCAAAAUCCUACUAUUAUUAUUAUUAACCCAACUCUCAAAAUAUUAUUAUUAUUAUUAUCAUUAAUUCAACUUUUAAAACCUUAUUAUUAUUAUUAUUAUUAUUACUAUUAUUAUUAUUAUUAAUUUGAUUCUCAAAAUCUUAUUAUUAUUAUUAUUAUUAAUUCACAUUUUCAAAAUAUUAUUAUUAUUAUUAUUAUUAUUAUUAAUUCACACUUUCAAAAUAUCAUUAUUAUUAUUAUUAUUAUUAAUUCACGCUUUCAAAAUAUCAUUAUCAUUAUUAUUAUUAUUAUUACCUCAACUUUCAAAAUAUUAUUAUUAUUAUUAUUAUCAUUAAUUCAGACUUUUGAAAUCAUAUUAUUAUUAUUAUUAUUAAUUCAAACUCUCAAGACCUUAUUACUAUCAUUAUUAUGAAUUCAACUUUCAAAAAUCUAGGGUCUCGCAAUUCAAUUUCCUAAAGUCCGUUUCUCAUUUUCUUUAACAAAUUUCAAUUUAAUCAUCGGAGCUGUAAUCUUCAAAAUUUAAUUCCAAAUACUCCAAUUUUCAAAUAAGCUCCAAUAAUUCGAUUUUCACUCGAAUAGUUUUUAAUCACAUUUCAGUUCCUAAAUAAUCUUUGGAUCUUCUUGAUUUUACAUGAGCAAUAGCGAUUCCUUCAUAAUUCUAAAACGCGGGAUUUGUGAGUUUAGCUCAUGAAUAAUAAAUCGGGUUUUGUUGGAGGCCCUGUGUUUGACCCCUUUUGACUGUCAAUUAUCGUGCUUACUGUAUUUUGCUUGAGUUUCAUUUUGCACUCCGAUAUGUAUGAGCUAUGUUUUGUAUUCAUUAAUUGUGCACUAAUCUCGUUUCUUGAUAGCGCAUUGUGGCUCGUGGCCGAGGUACGCAUCCACUCCCUUUUCUAGUCAAUCUCUAUUGCGUGUUUUGAUUCCCAUAUUGUGCAUGAUUUAGGUGAAUAUCCACUGACUUUCUCGUUUGAUUAUCACGUCAACUUCAUUUUAUUAGUAGAGACCCGACUUUAGGGGCUUAGAGGGUUGCUACGGUCUUUAUCGUACCUUCCCGAUGAGUAACCUGACCCCCGAACCCGAUCCGGUUUUCACAGACCACCUUUUCCAAAACAAGGAGUCACACUUAGGGUUUUUCUUUCUUAUUUUGUUUACCCUUUAAAAAUAAAACAAAAAUAAGUGGCGACUCCAAGUCAUUUUUUUAAUCAACAAAUCAAUUUUUCAAAUAAAAAUCGAGCUCGCCAUUGAGUGGGAAACGCAUGAGCCGAAAUGCGGGGUUCACACCCAUGCACAGAGAUUGAGUUAGAAAUGAAAGUGGAGAAAAGAAUGAUAGAAAACAUGUCAUUCAAUCAAUUGAUAUAAAUCUUUCUUUUAAAGUAAACAUGAUGCAAAUAAUUACAUAUAAUCAAGCAAUGAACUAUCAUUAUUAAUUUAUUUUCUUCGGUCAUUUCAUUUUUUUUUUUGGCCCUUUUAUUCUCAUUUCUGUUUCAUAUAACAUUUUCUUUACUUUUCUUUCCAUAUAAAAUGAGUGUGAUAUAAUAUGAUUGUCCAAUAAUAAUAUCUAAUAAUAUAAAACAAUUAUUUUAAAUAUAUAACAACAUUUAAAAUUUUAGACAAAUAAUUUCCGUUAUUUUCAAUAUUGAUGACACUAAUAAAUUUCAAUUUUAUCAUCAUAACACUUCACACAAAUAUUUAUCUUUCAUUCACAUGUAUUGAAUUAUUCUCCAACAUCAUUUCCACUAAAAAAAUCAAUUAUUGCAAAAGAAAAUAAAUCCAAAAAAUAAUAAUCACUUGCAAAAAGACACCAUGAUAAGUAAAUCUAAAUCCAAAAAAUAAUAAUCACAAUUUUUUUAUUAAAAUAUAUUAUAUGAAAGUUUUGGGGAACAAACUAUUCUAUCAAAAAUCGAGAAUCUAAUCGAUAAUUUUGAAAUUAGACUUCAUGAUAUUUCUCACAUAAAAUAAAACAUUCUCCUAAAAUUUCAUACAAAAAAUCAAAUUUAUUUGCUUCAUCAAACAGCCUUCUGAAGAUCUAUGAUACUGAAUGCUCAGUCUUUUUUUUUUUUUUUUCCUUUUAAUUCAUUCUACACCUCUCUUUCUCUCUCCUAAUACUAGACUUUUUCUUUCUGUUUAUUAUUAUUAUUUCCCUUAGUUGAUUUUUAUCGUUUCUCAUUCAGGAUUUCACACCACUUUCAUAUCAUAAUAAAACUGUAUUUUACCAUAUUCCCAUUUUAAGCUUUUAUUUUUUCAAAUAUAUCAACUUUAGCUAAUAAUAUAAUAAUCCACUAACCUUCGUUCAAUUUACAAUAAUAAGAUUCUUAAUCCUUUGAAAUGACAUUAGUUUAAUUUACUUCUUUUAUUAAAUAUACUUCAAUUAAAUCAACCUUUUAAAAAUUAAAUCUACUAAAUGAUAAUAUUCAUAUUUAAUUAAUUUACCUUUUUAUAUAAAUUCAUAAAUUUACAUAACAUAAUUCAAUUUUAAUUUCAUUUUAUUCAAUUUUGUUUUGUGUUUUUAUAAUUUAUAAGGUUGAAUUCCCAUUAUAAUUAAAAAUUAAAUUGUUUUAUUAUAAUAUUAAAUUAAAUUAAAUAUCUUUUGAAAAAAUUAUUAUAACCAUACAACAUAAUACAAAUUUCACCAAGUUUUUCUAUCAAGGGUUUUCGGAUCAUUACCUUAUAAUAAUAAAAUUAAUUUUUACCAUAUAUGUAAUAUUUGAAUUUCAAAAAUCCAACCACAAAUAAUUUAAUAGUUAAAUUUAAAUUUAAUUUUUGAAAUUCUUAAUUUCGAAAUGUGACUUGGCAAGAAUAUAAACUUUCUAUUAGCUUUGCAAAAAUUACACACAAUUAAAUAAAACGUUGACACGUGAAUGCUUAGUAACAUCAUGGCAGUAGAUUGACAAAUAUAUGAAUUUUGGAUGAUCACGAGGGAUAGUCAUCGGUAGUAACAUCAUGGCAGUAGACUGACAAAAAGCCCAACAUUUUCCAUGAAAGGACAAUAAUUGCAUCUGAUUAUAAAUAGGGAGAAUUACCCUUAAGGGUAGGCUGGGGAAAAAAAUUACUGAAAAGGGUGGGUAGAUUUGAUAAUUCUUAUAAAGGCCUUAUAUUUUUAUUAGACCAAUUUACCCUGAUUUCUCAAGUCCAUUUACCUAUUGAAAAGUACAUCUUCUUUCUUGAUAAUCAUAAAGUAUAAGUACAAUACAAAUGCAAUAAAGUUACAAUGAAAAAAUAUUAACAUUACAAUACAUUACAAUAUACCAAAAUGACAAAUUAUUGAAUUCGUUUUUUUUACUGAACUAGUAUUUCUAGGCUAUCAUGUUAUAUUCCUAUCAUAAAGCAUCCUUGCAAGCCAAAAUUAUAAAAAGACAAUAAAAAUACAUUAUUAUAAUUUUAAUACAUAAAGUUAUUCAUGGUAAUCCAAUGAUAUAUAUAAAAAAAAUCUAUAAAAUUAAUUUUUUAUAUAAAAAUAUAAAUGUACAAUAAAAAUACACUACGAUUAUAAUAUAAAUACAAUAACAUUACGAUAAGGUAAAAUUUUGAAAAUUUCAAAUUUCUUAUGAAAUUGGGCAGUUGUCUAAUAUACAUGUCUAAUAUACAACAAAUAUUGUUCUUUAUUAUAUAAAAUAUGUUUCAAUUGAUUAUAAUUUUUAGUUUUCAAUGAAAAUCCGAAUAUGUUAAUAAAUACCCAAAUAAGCAUGAAACAACUGAGAAAUUUUUUUAUUCUGCCAUGCCAAACAAGUCUCAACAACAAAAUUAAAGUGCAAACCUUUUCAAUGGAAAUCAAUAAUAAUCAUAUCAAACAACCCACCCAGAAAAUAAAUUAAAAAUAAAAACACAUCUUCAAUAUGACCAAAAUAAUAUAAAAAAAUUCAAAAAAAAAAAUUUAAUAACAUUUUACACAAAAAAAAAAUGUAAUUUCUUUCUCAAAACCUCCUUCAAUAUUUCAGAUCUACAUUGUUAAAAUUAUUAAUAGUUCUUUCCUUCAAUCCAAAUUUUAAAUUAUUUAUUUAUUUGCAUAAACUAACGUAUUUUUUUUUUUGGCAUUUUUUUUUUAAAAAUCUUACAUUUAAUGGAUUUCUUGCUAGAUUCACACAAAAAUACAAGCUUUGUGGAGACGGUUCAGAUCAUAACCUGAAGUGCUGGAGUUUUUUCCUCUUUCCCUUUUCUUCUUCAAUACCGAUAAGCUACAGUUGGAUUAAAAGAAGAUUUUUUUUUUUAUGCAUAUUUUUUUUAAAUCUUACCUUUAAUGGAUUUCUUGCUAGAUUCACACAAAAAUACAAGCUUUGUGGAGACAGUUCAGAUCAUAACCUGAAGUGCUGGAAUUUUUUCCUCUUUUCCUUUUCUUCUUCAACAUCGAUAAACUACAGCCGGGUUAAAAGAAGAUUUUUUUUUUGUUUGCUGGCUUUUCACUUGUUAAGGGUAGUCUUGGCAUUUAAACAAAAUAAAGCCUUUGAAAGAAUUAUCAUAAUUCCACCCUACCCUUCAUAAGAAUUAUUAAAUAUACCCACCCUUUUGGAUCAUAUGUUUUCCCAGUCCACCCUUAACAGGAAUUCUCCCUUACAAAUAUAUCCUGGAAUCCAAUCCCCAUAUUUUUCCCGUGAACUAAUCUGUUUGGUUCCAGAAACCACUAAAAAAAAAAAAGGAAAAUGCUAAAAUUAUAUUUCUUUAUACUUGAUUUUGUUACAAAAAAAAAAAAAAAAAAAAAAUCAAAGAAAGUCUGAAUAUAAAUAAAAUUAUUAAAAUUUUUGUAUAUUUUUUAAAUUAUUAAUCCUUAUAUAAAAGAGUUAAAUAAUUGAAAAAAAGUUUAAGGUACUAUAUACUAUUGAUUUUAAUUUUUAAAAUUUUGAUUUUAAUUUUUAAAAGUUUAACUUUUUUUUUUUUAAUCUUUUCUUUUUAUUUUCUUUCUCCCGUGAUUUUCUUCAAACUUUUUUGGAACUAAAUAUAACCUAAACAACCUAUUAAUUUGAGGUUUGUUGUUGUUGAGUUUUUUUUUUACUUAAAUUUAAAUAAUAUUUAAUUUAAUUUAAUUCUAAAUAUAACUUAAUACUAUUAAGUUGUUUAUUUUUAUUAAAUAUUAAGUAUUAAUAGGUGGAGUUGGGUUGAGGUUGUGUUUUAGUUAUUUUAAAAAGUGGUGAUCCAAUUCCAUGGGAGAGGGGCAAGAAAGGAGGAACGUUGGAGAGAAAGAAGGCGGUCAACCAAGCUGGAACAGUGGCGAAACUGGCCCCGAGCCUAAGGAGCAUAGGAUUGACAUUGUUGAAAUCAAUCCUACGGUGAAAAAUUGGAAUCGGUUCAUCCAAAAAGCAAAAGAAAGGAUUCAAUCUCAAAGUCAAUGGCCAAGGAUACCAAAGGUUCCUCAGAUGCUGAGGGGGACCCAGGAUUUCAAGAAAUUCUACGAACCGAGGGUAAUUUCAUUGGGUCCUUACCACCAUGGCAAUCCCCACCUUCGCCCAGGGGAAAUGAUCAAGCCCCUAUUUGCCCAAAAAUUCCUGGCUGAUAGGAACCAGGACAUCGAUGCUUUGUACACAAAAAUUGAAAGUAAUAUCGAGGCAGUGAAGAAGUGCUAUGAUUGGAGUAGUACAAGCGAGUAUGAUGAUGAAGCACUCGCCUGGAUGAUGCUUCUGGAUGGGUGUUUUUUACUACAAUUCAUUUGCGGUACAGGUAUGAAAAACUUUCUUAGAUAUCACCAAAUAGGUUUUGUGGAGCUGGACUUGUUCCUGCUUGAGAACCAACUUCCUUUUGGAGUCCUCAAGUUGAUUUUUGAGGGAACAAGUUUACCAGUGGAAGAGACGAUUAAAGAAUUCGUCACUAACACCAUAAGGCCAGAAGGGUCGACAUCAGAAAUACAACUUAAAGAGGAGUACAAAGAGCCCUCUCAUCUCCUCGACCUCUUGCGAAGUGCUCGCCUAGGUAGGUAUAAAAAGAUUAGCAAGCAAGAACUAGGGAGUCAACCGGAACAAGAGCAGGAAGCUGGAAAAAAGGGAGAGUCGUCGUCGUCUCGAGGAAGAGAUGGAGGGUUCUGUUGCCCAUGGAAAAAAGGCAAACAACAAGGCAAUUGGCCGUCUUUUCGACACAUCAAGGAGCUUAAAGCUGCCGGGAUCCAUCUCCAACCGAGUGCAACGAGUUCCUUGACAGACAUUUAUUUCAAUUCCUACUUCUUCUAUGGCUACCUGAAACUUCCCCAAAUAAUCGUUGAUGACUCUACGAAGCCCAAGUUCUUGAACAUUGUAGCCUAUGAAAUGUGUCCAGAUGCCCCAGAUGACUAUGCGGUCACUUCUUAUGUAUGCUUCCUUUACGAGCUCAUUGAUCAUGCAGACGAUGUGAAGGAGCUGAGAUCUAAGCACAUUCUCUACAACUGUCUUGGCUGCGAUGAAGAUGUGGCCAAAAUUUUCAACGAGAUCGGCAAUGACUUGGUAGAUCCCGAUGCUUAUAAAGAAGUGAAAACUAGUAUUCAGAAACACUACGACAAGAGAGUGAAUAUUUGGAUAGCUAAAGGCCUUCACGAACAUUUCAGGUCUCCAUGGACUAUCAUCGCUUUCAUUGCUGCUGUUUUGAUACUACUUUUUACUGGGGUUUCGACCUACUACGCUCUUCCCGAUAAAUCUUCUUAUCGGGUUUCAGACCUACUUCGCUCUUCCCGCUAAAUCCAAGUGAGUCAUGGUAAUAUAUAUCUUCAAAUUGAUAAAUGGUAGUUUUUUCUAUUCAUUCUUUCAUUCGUUCAUGUACAGAGAAUAUAUAGAGGGUAAUCACCAUUCUAAGAAUGGGAAAGAAUGAUACAAGGAAAGAAUGAUAUAGGAAAUAACAAUUAAUAUUCUAAUAUCUCAACUUUCCUAAUAUCUCAAUAUUCUUAAUAUCUCAACUUUCCUAAUAUUUAAACAUUCCUAAUAUCUCAACACUAAAUAAUAUAAGGAAAGAAUGAUAUACGGAAAACAUUCCUAAUAUCUCAACACUUCCCCUCAAGUUGGUGCAUAGAUGUCACACAUGCCCAACUUGUCUAAAAAUUUUGAGAACACUUGACUUGAGACAACUUUGGUGAGGAUAUCGGCCAAUUGAUCUUCUGAUCGAAUCUUAGGCAAUUCCACAAUCUUAUCAUCCAAAUUUUCCUUAAUGAAGAAUCUAUCCACCUCGACAUGCUUUGUACGAUCAUGUUGUACUGGAUUAUGAGCAACGUCACAUGCGACUUUAUUGUCACAAAACAAUCGAAUUGGUCGCCUAGAUAAGUAACCUAAAUCCUGUAAGAGAAGUCUUAGCCAUAAUGCCUCACAAAGUCCUAGAGUCAUACCUCUAAAUUCUACUUCUGCACUUGAACGAGCGACGACAUUCUGCUUCUUACUUUUCCAUGUCACAAGAUUACCACCUACAAAGGUAAAGUAACCAGAUGUAGAUUGCCUAUCAUCCACUGCACCGGCCCAAUCAGCAUCAGUAUAUACUUCUAUACUCUGAUGAUUAACAUUUUUAGCGAACAAAAUUCCCUUCCCAGGAGCAUUCUUCAAAUACCUCAAAAUACGCAUAACUGCAUUCAUAUGUUGCUCUUCAGGAUUAUGCAUGUAUUGACUCACUACACUCAAUGCAUAAGCAAGAUCUAGUCUUGUAUGAGCUAAGUACAUUAAUCUCCCUACAAGUCUCUGGUAUCUUCCCUUAUCCGUUGAUACUUGAUUAGGCUCAACACACAAUUUCAGACCUUCUUCUAUUGGUGUAUUAACAGGUUGACAUCCCGACAUUCCAGUCUCCUGUAAAAGAUCUAAGGCAUACUUUCUUUGAGACAGAAAAAUUCCUUCACUUGAUCGAUAAACUUCAAUCCCAAGAAAGUAUUUCAGAGGACCUAGAUCUUUCAUUUCGAAUUCUUUAGAUAGAUAAUUUUGGAGAGCUUUUAUUUCUUUAGGAUCAUUUCCUGUAACUACCAUGUCAUCCACAUAUACGAUGAGUGCGAUAAUCUUACCAUGUUGCUUUUUCAGGAACAAAGUAUGAUCUGAAUUACUUUGAUGAUAGCCAAAAGCUCUCAUUGACUUUGUGAACCUUCCAAACCAUGCUCUCGGGGAUUGCUUCAACCCAUACAAUGACUUCUUCAAUUUGCACACCUUCUGACAUUGCUUUUCUGACACCAUGCAUCCUGGUGGAAGAUCCAUAUAUACUUCUUCAGAUAACUCGCCAUGCAGAAAGGCAUUUUUCACAUCGAAUUGUUGUAAUGGCCAAUCUAGUUUUGCAGCUAAAGACAGUAAUACUCGAACUGUGUUGAUCUUAGCUACAGGUGCAAAUGUCUCUGUGUAGUCAAUUCCAUAAGUUUGAGUGUACCCUUUUGCUACCAGUCUUGCUUUAAAUCGUUGAAUACUACCUUCUGCCUUGUACUUCACAGUAUAGAUCCAACGACACCCAACUGGCUUCUUUCCUGGUGGACAUUCUACGAGUUCCCAUGUUUCAUUCUUCUGCAAUGAUUUCAUCUUUUCAUUCAUGGCUGCUUUCCACCUUGGAACAGCUAAGGCUUCCUGCACACUGUUAGGAAUAGCUACAGUAGAUAAUUGAUUUACAAAUGACUUAUUUGAUUCAGACAAACGAUGGUUAGACACAUAGUUGCUCAUUGGAUAUUUGACUUUGGUAGACAAUUCAGGUUCAUAUGUAGGUUUAGGAAUACCUCUAUUAUGACGGUGUGGUAACUGUUUCAUGAAUGGAUCAGGUUCCAAAUUAAGAACACCUUCAACAGACGACGAUUGGUUUGGUAUUUCAGUAAAGACAUUUUCGAACCCAAAUUGUUGACCACUCAUAUCCAACUCACCCGCUUCUUGGUUCACUAGUUUAGAUUGUCCAGAUUCAUUCUCCUUAGAGAUAUGAUAAUCAUAAUCGAGAGUCUGAAUUUCCUUAUGGUACUCCCCCUGAAGUUCAGACUCAGAUGAAAAAUACAUCGAAUCUUCAUGAAACACCACAUCCAUUGUAAUAUACAUUUGUCGAGUUGGAGGAUGGUAACAUCGAUAUCCCUUUUUGUGCAAUGCAUAUCCAACAAACACACAUUGCAAUGCAUGGGAAGUUAAUUUGGUGCGUUGGUGUUUGUGUAGAUGCACAAAUGCCACACAACCAAAAACACGAGGAGGUAGAUUUGGGACAGUUGGGGCAACUACGAUAUUAGUAAGAGCUUAGAGAGGUGUUUGGAAGUUAAUUGAGUUAGAAGGUACCCGAUUAAUCAAGUAUGCGGCAGAUGUGAUUGCUUCUCCCCAAUAAGAUAUCGGUGUUUUUGCUGCUAUCAAGGAAGCACGAACAACCUCUAACAAGUGCCGAUUUUUUCAUUCAGCGACUCCAUUUUGCUGGGGUGUAUUGGAACAAGUAGUCUGAUGAAUGAUGCCAUGUCCUUCCAAAUACUUUUGAAGAUCAAAACUUUGAUAUUCUCCACCAUUAUCACUAUGCAGAACCCGAACCUUUGCAUUGUACUGAGUUUCAAUCAUUUUAUGAAAAUUUUGAAACAACAAGUUCACUUCAUCUUUGGUCUUCAUCAAGCAUAGCCAUGUCAUUCUGGUACAAUCAUCAAUAAAAGUAACAAACCAACGUGAGCCACUCAAAGUUGGGACUUUGGAUGGGCGGCCCCAAACAUUAGAAUGUAUAACCAUAAAAGGAAACGGACUUUUGUUCAAAAUUAACGGAAACGAAACACGAUGGCUUUUAGCCAAUUCACAAAUAUCACAAUGGAAACCAGAAAUAUCACUCUUUGCAAACAAACUAGGAAACAAUUUUUUUAAAUAACCAAAGGAAGCAUGUCCCAGACGUCGAUGCCACAACCAAAUUUCAGACUUUUUCUUCUCCCCCUCAGAUCCAUCUGCCAUCAAGGCUUGUUGCAACUUAUUUGAAUCCUUUGACUGCAAGUCCAAGUAAUAGAGUUUUCCCCGCUUAAUACCCCAACCAAUCGUCUGUCUUGUUUGGAUGUCCUUAAUCACACAAAAUUCAGGCCAAAAAAUGACAAUACAAGAUAAGGCUGCGGUGAUUUGAGAAACUGACAAAAGAUUGUAAUUUAAAGAUGGAACAACUAAGACAGAAUCCAAAUUCAAAGUAUCAGUAAGAGUUAAGGAUCAUUCCCCAAUGACUGGGGUUAUGUUACCUUUGGCUGUGGAAACAAUUUUUUGUGAGGAAGGUCUAAGGGGUGAAACCUGUCUAGAAUCAAAAGUCAUAUGAUCUGUAGCACCAGAAUCAAUUAUCCUUGCACUAUUAAUAACAGGUGUAAAAGUAUUUAAAAACUUACCACCAUGAUUUGUAGCGGCUACCAAUGUAGAGGCUUUCUCAGCAACAUUAGCCUCUGUUUUUAUUUCGGCAACAGUUGCAAUCGAGGUUUUCUUGGAAUCCUUCUUCCGUUGAUCAAGAUUAUUAUCAUUAAUAACAAAGUGUUGAUAGCCUAAACAUGAUCUAAAGGUCCAUAGUUCAAACCCUCGGUUCCUCAUUGUUUUCCUGGUCAUACCAAGAGUCGUUGCUUUGAAAUUGUGGCAUAUCCAGAUUGGUGGGAUCAAUCUUAUUGUAGUGAGUGCAUUUGAAGGUUGACUUAUCAACAUUAGGGCUUGUCUUAGGAUGGAUGAUCGCUGUCGGACUACCAUAGCGACAAAAUAUCUAGGAUUUCAGUUCCAUGGCUCUGAUACCAUCUUCAAAUUGAUAAAUGGUAGUUUUUUCCAUUCAUUCUUUCAUUCGUUCAUGUACAGAGAAUAUAUAGAGGGUAAUCACCAUUCUAAGAAUGAGAAGGAAUGAUACAAGGAAAGAAUGAUAUAGGAAAUAACAAUUAAUAUCCUAAUAUCUCAACUUUCCUAAUAUCUCAAUAUUCCUAAUAUUUCAAUAUUCUUAAUAUCUCAACUUUCCUAAUAUUUAAACAUUCCUAAUAUCUCAACACUAAAUAAUAUAAGGAAAGAAUGAUAUACUGAAAGCAUUCCUAAUAUCUCAACAAUAUAUAUGGGUUAAUUAUGAAUGUGAUGUGUUUUUUUCUUGUUUGGUGUGUAUGAUUGUUGUAUCACUGGAUUUCAUGGACGCAAUAUUAUUAGUCUUUUCCUCCCCAUGAGUUUGCUAUAAUCUAUAUAAUAUAUGUUUGAACUCACAAUUUCCAGCUACCUUCUUUGUAUUCUUUUUCAUAGACCAGCAUCAUAGAUAACAAACUAUCCACAUAGAAAAUUUUCAGUUAACGGUGUGUAAUUCCGUGGAUGGGAUUGAAUAUUCAACACACAAUUGUUUUUUCGAAUAAGAAAAUUAUGGAUAUAUUAAAAUCAUAAUUUUGAUAUAUCUAUAUAUAUAUAUAUAUAUAUAUAUAUAUAUAUAUAUAUAUAUUUAGAAAAGCAAUUAAAAACUGCAUUUUUUAAUGAAGUCUUCUGAUUUUUAUUGAUUUUUUUUUUUCAAAUUUCCAACUUUUUUAAGAAAUCUUCUAAUACUCUUGAAUUCUUCAAGAGAUUUUUAAUCUUCUAUCUCUUUAAGGCUCUAGGACAUUUCUUUAUAAAAAUACGUACAUUCAUUUGGAGAUCAACUAGGGCUCCAUUAGACCCUAUGUUGGUCUAAAUAUUCAUUUUGCGAACCUUGGGAAUGGAUUUGAGGCAUUUGCCUACCUUGAAAUGUGAUUUACAAUCCCCACACAUUAUCCUUAAGAAAAAUAUAUACAUUCUUCACAAAAAUACAUACACUUUUUUGGAGGCUAACCUUGAUCCCAUUAGAUUCUAUUUAGAUCUAAAUAUUUAUUUGGGGAUCUUUGGAAUGAAGUUAAGUCAUUUUUCUAUCUUGAAAUGUGAUUUAGAACCCCAUGUACAUCUUUAAGAAAAAUAAGUAUAUUCCUCACAAAAAUACGUAUGUUUUUUUAAAAGCCAAUCGUGACCUCAUAGGCCUUAUUUGAGUCUAAACAUUCAUUUGGGGAACCUUGGGAAUGGAUUUAAGCUCUUCGUCCACCCUAAAAUGUGAUUUGCAAUCGCACGUAUAUCUUUAAGAAAAAUAUAUACUUCUUUUAAAAAAAAAGUGUGUACAUUCUUCACAAAUAUAUAUAUAUAUAUAUAUAUAUAUAUAUAUAUAUAUAUAUAUAUAUAUAUAUAUAUAUUUGAUAGCCAACCAAGGCUCCAAUAAUCCCUGAUAAAAAUAUAUGUAUUUUUUAAAAUGAUGUAUGUAGUUUAACAAAUAUAAGAAAAAUUAAUUAAGGGGAAAUUAAUGUAAAAUAUUAAAUACAAUUUUUUUUUUUAUGAAAAAUAUAUUUUCUUUUAUAUUUUAUGUUAAUAAAAAAUUAAAGGUUUUAACAAAGCAAAAGGUUAGAACCAGAAAUUAAGUUAAAACCAUAAGAAAAAAAAAAAUAAAAGCACCAUCACUUACUAAUAUUUGAUUUGAAAAAAUAAAAAUAAAAAUAAUAAAAAUAAUAAAAUAGUGUUACAAAGAUAUUCUUACUUUCACAUGUAAUAAGAUUUAAAAAAUAAAUAAAUAUUUUAUUUGACAUUAAUAUAAAAAAUCUUAUAUCAUAAACCUCUAAAUAAUAAAAUAAAUUUUCUAAAUUUAAACCUUAAACCAUUAAAUGUAUUAUUAUAAUUAAUAUUUAAAAUCAUCAAGUAUAUUACUUUUGGGAUAAUAUUUUCAUUUUUGUUCAUUAUAUAUUUAUGUUUUUAUUUAAUUUCUUAUUAUUAGCUAUUUAUUAUAUAUUAUUAUUUUAAGUUUAAUAUAUCCAAAAAAUAAUUAAAAUCAAUAAAUACGGAGAGUGAAAAAAUUUGAAAUUAAAGAGGUUUUAUAAGAGAAUACAUGAGCAUAUUAAGAGAAAUGGUAAAAGAAAGAAAGAAAAAUAACAAUAUUUUUAAAUGUGAUAGGUGGCAAUUGAUAGGAUGGUUAAGGAUGGUAAUGAGACAGGUUUUUUCGGAUACUCGUCCUGUCCAGGCCCUAAUGGGACGGAUUUGAAAUUUAAAUAAACGGGUUUGAGAUAUUUUUAAAGCUUGAGAUAAGUUUGGGGCAAGUUCGGGUAUUAUCUUGUCCCAUCCCGUCACACCUUGAUUAUAUAUAAAAUUAAUUUUAAAAAUUAAAUUAAAUUAAUUUUUAUUUUCUUAUUUUUAAUAUAUAGAUAAUAAUAAUAAUAAAUUUUCAAUAAAUAAGUUUUAAAAAAAUUAUAAUAAUUCAAUUAUUUAUAAAAUAUAUUUAUUUUAAUGUUUUUUAGAAAUUAAAAUAAUUUUUUUAAAAGAAUUAAAAUUUUUUCAAAAAAGGGUUAAAUGGGUAAGGCGGAACGGGUAUGAGAAUUUCUCAUACCCGCCCGCAUUAUUUAAUUUUUUUAAUGGGACAACGAUGAAAGUUAUUUUGAAUAAACGAGACAAGGUUGGGAUGAGAGCUACUCAUCUUAAACAUGCCUUGUUGCCUUUCCUAGUGAAAGAGGAAAAAAAAAAAAAAAAACAAAAGCCAAAAAACAAAAAAAGGAAAAAAGUAGGAACAUGUUUUUUUCCCAAAUAGAAAACGUAAAAGUAAAGUCCAACAAUUUUUUUUUUUUUGGUUAUAUAUAUAGCAUGGUGGGGAGGGUAUAUUCCAUAUUACAUGAGACUUCCAUGGCGGGGAAGGUAUAUUUCAUAUCACAAACUUACUCAAUUGUGUUUUUCCUUUUAGGAUAUGGAAGGGCUUUCCUUAUGCCCAAGAAAUGCAUAGAUUCAAUUGAAGAAAUUGAGGAAUAUGGUUGUUCUUUUUUUUUUUUUUUUUUUUUUUUUUUUUUUUUUUUCUUUUUUUCCUUUUUUCCUUUUUUAAAAAAAGAUGAGCCAAGGUGGAACUCAGGUGGAACACAUUGGUUCCAGUCAUUUUCUUGGGCAAAGAUAUGUCCAGGAUAUGGGAAAGGGGCAUUAAAUUAAAUAUCUUUUGAAAAGUUUAUUAUAAUCAUUUCACACAAUAUAAAUUUCACUAAAUUUUUCGAACUAAGGUUCUCUGAUAAUUACUUUAUAAUAAUAAAAUUAAUUCUUACAUUACAUGUAAUAUUCAAAUUUAAAAAAUCCAAUCUCAAAUAAUUUAAUAGCUAAAUUUAAAUUUAAUUUUUGAAACUCCAAGUUUCGAAAUGUGACUUGGCAAGAAUUUAAAGUACUGAUUUUCGACUAACUUUUCACAAAUUUUGCCUAAUUAAAUAAAAUAUUAGCAUGUGAAUGUUCACUAACAUCACGUAAUUCAUUGAUUUAGAGGAUUCAAUUUGGUUGAUGUUGAGGAUAGUCAUCGGCAGUAGACUAACAUCUUCUCGACCAAUUAACAUACCAACAGUGAUUAGGCCAAAUGUGGUGAUCGAAUUCCAUGGAAAAGCAGCAAAAAGGGAGGUGCGUUGGAGAGAAGGAAGGCGGUCAACCAAGCAGGAACAGUGGAGAAAUUGGCCUCGAGCCUAAGGAGCAUAGGAAUGAAAUUAAUGAAAUCAGUCCUAGGAUGAAAAUUUGGAUUGGGUCUGUCCAAAAAGCAGAAGAAAAGACGAAACCUCACUAUCAAUGGCCAAGGAUACCGAAGGUUCCUCUGAUGCUGAGGGGGACCUGGGAUUUCGAGAAAUUCUAUGAACCAAGGGUAAUAUCAUUCGGUCCUUACCACCAUGGCAAGCCCCAACUUCACCCAGUGGAAAUGAUCAAGCCUCUUAUGUGCCAAAAAAUUCCUGGAUGACAGUAACCAGGACAUCGAAGCUUUGUACACAAAAAAUGGAAGGAAAAUCAAGGAAGUGAGGAACUGCUAUGAUUGGAGUGGUACAAACGAGUAUGAUGAUGAGGCACUCGCCUGGAUGAUGCUUCUGGAUGGGUGUUUUUUACUAUAUUUCAUUCACUGUGUAGUGAGAAGAAAUCAGAGUAAGUUGCAUGGUUUGAAUGUUAAAGAUUAUAUGAUUACUUUUGUGCACCAGGACUUGUUCUUGCUUGAGAACCAACUUCCCUUUGGAGUCCUCAAGUUGAUUUUUGAGGAAUCAGAAUUCAAUAUUGAUGGUUCACCAAUGCAAGAGAUGAUAAAAAAAUUCGUCAUUGACACCGGUAGGCCAGAAGGGUCGACAUCAGAAAUACAGAUGGAAGAGCCCUCUCAUCUCCUCGACCUCUUGCGAAGUGCUCUCCUAGGCGGGUCUAAAAAGAGUAGCAAGCAAGAAGCUCAGGGGUUCUGUUGCCCAUGGAAAAAAGGCAAACAACAGGGCAAUCGGCUGUCUUUUUGACACAUCAAGGAGCUUAAAGCUACCGGGAUCUAUCUCAAACCGAGUAGAACGAGUUCCUUGACAGACAUUUCUUUCAAUUCCAACUUCUUCUAUGGUUACAAGGAACUUCCCCCAAUAAUCAUUGAUGGCUCCACGAAGCCCACGUUCUUGAACAUGGUAGCCUAUGAAAUGAGUCCAGAUGGUCCAGAUGGCCCAGGUGGCUAUGCGGUCAGUUCUUAUAUAUGCUUCCUUGACAACCUCAUUGAUCAUGCAGACGAUGUCAAGGAGCUGAGAUCUAAGCACAUUCUCUACAACUAUCUUGGCAGCGAUAUAGAUGUGGCCCAAAUUUUCAACGAGAUUGCCAAUGACUUGGUAGACACCGAAGCUUAUGAAAGUGUGAAAGCCCGUAUUCAGGAACACUACGGCAAGAGCGUGAAUACUUGGAUAGCUGAAGCCCUUCACAACCAUUUCAGCUCUCCAUGGAUUCUCAUGGCUUUCAUUGCUGCUGUUUUGAUACUACUAGUUCCUAUGCAUUUGAUUUCAGAAUUUAAAUUGUUUUUUUCUUUUUACUUUUUCAUGAAUUAUUAUAAACUUUUGAUCGAAUAGAAAAAACCAAAAUAUUUGACUUUUUCUAAAUGGAAAAAGUAACAUAUUGGUUUUUCUUUACUAUUUUAAUGUUUGAUAGAUGAUCUGCACCCAUCGAGUUAAUCAAUUCAAAAAGUGUUGUUCAACAGUGUUGGAAAAUCAUCUAAUCCUGUCUCCUUGUAGAACAACUUGAACAAAAAUUUAUUGCUUACAGUUAGCAACCAUUGUGGGGCAUCCUGGCUGCCCAAACACACAUUUUCUGUUGGAAUGUGAUGCAUCAGAGACAACACUUCUUUAAUUCCUUCCCAAUCAUGGGAGUCUCUAAUAAAAUUAGGAUUCCGAAGCUCUGCAUCCUCGUCCUGUACAGAAUGGUCUGCCACACAUGCCUCCUCAUUCACCAGAAUUAUAAACUAAUUUAGGAACCUCAUCUUAAGAGAUCCACCCAUAGACCAAACAUCUUAACCAUAAAUCACAUUUGAGUCCUUUCUAUGAUUUUAUUGGAAACUUUAUAGCCUCAACAACACAUAACCAUUUGUAAAUCAAGCCCUUCACUAUUGCCCCAGUCAACAUCUUAUUCAGCCUCAACAUUAUGCUAAUAGCACCUUCAACUACAAUUUCGACAAUGCCACUCCUUACUGGUGUGGUUGUAGUCUUUUGUGCACAUGACCAGUUGUAACUUUUCUCUAACUACUGAGCAUUUCUAUCACAAAGGAUUUAUUGAUUUAACAUCCUGUUGAAAAAACUUCUCCUUCAGUCGAGGUAUGCAUAGAUCAUACAUAAUCCCACAUUCCACAAACACCUUUCCACUUCAUUCCUUCCAUUCUAAUAUUAAUGCACAAAGAAGUUGCAUGCAGAACAGAGAAUCUAAAUGUCAGAGGGUCUACCUGAUCAUCAACCUUCAUAUGCUUUUAGAACAGAUUGGCAUCAGGGCAUUCUCUAGUCAAUGGUCGUAAGCCCCUACCAUAGCACAAAGUAUUUUUAAGCGGCAAGGUACUCAAGAGAAAGUAAAGAAAAAGAAAAGGAGAAAAGAAAAAGGACAGAACAAUAGGUUCCUUAUUAUUUGUACACUUCCAUUAUUAUAUAUCACAAUGUUGCUUGGUGUUUAGCAAUAGUAUUCCCACCAGCAUCUUGAGUCUGCCAGGGAGAAAUAAACGUACUCGGGUCUAGAACUUACAAAGCUCCCAACUUGCUAGUGGAAACUGGUAUAGAACCAACCAAAUUAUUUCUGUAUCCUAUGAAGAUUUGAAAAUUAUAUAAUCUUCCUAUGUCAGAAGGGAUGACACCAUUGUGAUUGUUGUCAACAAUGCCCAGCAUCAGCAAGCCAGUGCAGUUACAAAUGCUUUCAGGAAUGACACCUUCCAAAAAGUUAAGUCCAGAACCUAGAAAUGCAAGAUUUCCAAGGAAUGUUGAACAAUUCUACAUGGAAUGGUACAACACUAGUUGCUUCAUAGUGCCAAGAUUAUGGGGGAUGCCCUCAUUGGAGCCAACUAUUGGAACAAAUUAGCAUGCUAUUGACAACUACUCCACUGUGUUGCCUGCAAAUUAAAUUUUCCAUUGGUGGUCUUCUUCCACAUAUCUGGUGCCACACAGCUCUUGAUAUAGCAAGGAUUGCUCUAGACUUGAUGAGUACCUCAAAAAAUGCCAAGGAAAGUACAGUGAUUAAUCUAACAUGCUUUAAGUCAGAGGCUCUUCCUCCCAUCCAUGACCAGGGAGUCUCUUUGAUUUCAACCUUUUUAACACUCAAUAUUAGUUUUCAAUAUUUGUUUCAUCUUAUAGUAUAGAGUUACUGAAACAGAGUAACUUGCUUCAAACAUAUUCUUAAGAGACUCACAGGCGAAGACGGCACAAACCUAGAUUACCUCAAAGUGUUGGAUCCCUGCCUGUAUGCAAACACCCCUUCAUAAUAUAAGAUCUAUCCAACUAAGCACCAAAAAUCCAUAUUCCUAUACAUGACCAAAAUAGUAAAGCUAAUCCAUACAUUUUUAGGCACAUAUAUCAGGUAAAUAAGAACUAAGAAUCAAAAGAAUAAACCUAAACUAGAUGAUUCAACAGGACGUAAUUCAGAAGUGAUAUUUCACGAAAUGUGAUUUAGAGAAUUAAUACCCUGAAGGUGGUAGGCCAAACUUAGGUUCUGCAUAAAGGGAUACACCAAAAGACAUUCUGUUGGUCUUGUGUCUGGAAAGCUGCAUCUCCACCAGGACUUUCAUAAUCUAUUAAUUGUUUCACUGCAACUUUGGUGUUAUUUGCAAGCACUCCCUUAUGAACUUUUCCAAAGCAUCCCUGUCCAUGAACAUUUUUCUCACUAAAAUUGUCUAUAGCUAGCUGUAACUCCCUCCAUGCAAAUCUUCUCAAUUGGCCAAAUGCAAUUCUUUGGUCAACUUCACCUGAAAACAGAUGGAAAGAUGUCUAGAAAGAAAAUUUCCAAGAGAAUCAAAUUUUGCAUCAAAUCCUUAAAAUCUGUCCAAGUAUUUAAAAGAGAUAAAAGCAUAGUUCUUUUCAAUACAGAACUAUGGCAUGAUCUGUAAAUCUCUUCAAACUUUUUGUACUUGUAGGCAUCCCAAGAUAACAUCCAAUUGAGAACAAGCCUUUGAAAAUCUAACAAAAACUUGCUUUGAUGCUAUUAUCACCUAAAAAAGAAGAAGAAGAAAGCAUUGUAGCCAUUGCACAGAACCAGUCCCAUUCAUAAGGGUGGACGGGUGACACACCCAACCUUCACCAUUUUUUGCAUGAUUUGGUCAUACAUAAAGCAAUCAAUAUAUACUUGGUUAAACAUCAAGCUUAAUUUUAGCCUAAUCAAUUGACUAAAGCUGCAAUUACACUUAAGUUUAAACUACCAAAAGUUCACCCAUUUUCACAACAUUAAAAUUAAGCUAAAAUUACAGUGAAAGUGAUAGAACUUCAAGCCAAAAUUUAGGUGGAGAAAUGAAUUUAAUUUGUCUCAAGAGCUGAAUUACAAUGAAGUCAAUAAAUAAUAUUAUCUUCUUCGGUUCAUGAACACCAAACUGAAAUUACAACAAAAUUGAAAUCAACAUUUUGCAUCAAAUUAACCUAAUUUCACUCAUCUUUUAUCUUAAACUAAAAUACAUCUUGUAGCACUCAGUGAUCAAAGCCUGUUUUUCUUCCCCCUUACUUCCUGUUUAGACAUGGAGAGGUGAAACAAACUUUGAGAUAUUCAAUGAUUCAACAAAGCUUUAAUCAAAUACUAAACUGCUUGCUUUGAUGGAAGAGUUAGUUUCAUGAGGGAUGUGCCCAUCUUCCUUGAAGCUUGUACCUAUGCACUUACGAUUGGUAAAAGCCAGGCACCAUAAACAUAAGAGUUUUUGAAUUUUUAAGGGAAAAUCAUGCUUUCAAACACUAAUAAAAAAAGUACAUCUGUUCCUAGGGGAACUAGAACCCCUAUAUCCCCAAUCAUGAUCUAUAUAUUCCUUUGGGAACCCUCAAUAAGUGAUUACAGGUCCUCCUUAUUCCCAAAAUGAACUUUGGAACCUCAAGUACAUCCUUAAAAAAAAUAAGUACAUCUGUUUCUAAGGAAACCGAGACUCCUAUCCCCCUUAUAAUGGUCUAUCUAUUCCUUUGAGGACUCUCGAGAAUUGAUUAUAGGUCAUCCCCAUACCAAAACGGACUUUGGAACCCCAAAUACAUCUUUAAGAAAAAUAAGUACAUUUGUUUUUAGGGGAACCAAGACCCCUAUCUCUUUUAUCCUGGUCUAUAUAUUCCUUUGGGAGCCUUCUAGAAGUGAUUGGAAGCCCUCCCCUUCCCCAAAAUGGAAUUUGGAAUUUUAAGUACAUCAUUAAAACAAAUAAGUACAUCCUUAAGAAAAUUAAGUACAUCUAUUCCUAGGCAAACUAGGGUCCUAUCUCCCUUAUCAUGCUCUAUAUAUUCCUUUGGGUACUCUUUGGAAGUGAUCGGAGGUUCUCCCUAUCCUUAAAAUGGAAUUUGGAACCCCAAGUACAUCCUUAAGAAAAAUAAGUACAUUUGUUCCUAUGGGAAUCGAGACCCCUAUCUCUUUUAUCAUGGUCUAUAUAUUCCUUUGAGGACCCUUAGGAAUUGAUUGGAGGUCCUUCCUAUCCUUGAAAUGAACUUUGGAACCCUAAGUACAUCCUUAAGAAAAGUAAGUACCUCUAUUCCUAGGAAAAUCAAGACCUUUGUCUCAUUUAUCAUGGUUUCCAUAGAUUUCUUUGGGGACCCUUGGGAACUAAUUGGAGGUCCUCUCCAUUCUUGAAACGGACUUUAGAACCCCAGAUAUAUCCUUAAGAAAAAUAAGUACAUUUAUUCCUAAGAGAAUUGAGAUUCUUAUCUCCCUCAUCAUGGUUCAUAUAUUCUUUUAAUGACCCUCUAGAAGUGAUUUGAAGUCGUCUCUCACCCUGAAAUGGAUUUUGGAACCCUAAGUACACCCUUAAAAAAAAUAAGUACAUCCUUAAGGUUAAGGAAAUGCAUAUUGUUAGGAUAUGUAGAUGGAGUGAAAAUGUACAAGUUAUGGUGCUUAGAUUCAAAAUUCUCUAAUUUAUAAUUAACAGGGAUGUGGCUUUUAACGAGUAUGAAAUGUUGAGUCCAAGAAAGGAGCAACUUCAUGUAGAAAACAACCCUAGUAUGAGAGAAAAUGUGGAGUUUGUGCCUAACAUAGAAAAAACGAUUUCAAAAAAGCCAAAUGAGGAAGAAGUGCAACAUCUUGAUGAUAAAGAAAAGACAUCACAAUAGCAACAAUAUUAUUUGGCUAGAGAUAGAACGAGGAGGCAAAUUAAACCACCACAAAGGUAUGCUUAUGUAGAUUUGGUUACUUAUGCACUUGGUGUGGCAAAGAACAUUGAAAAAGAGGAAUUUCAAACUUAUCACUAGUAGAGAGUCUACACAAUAGAUUGUUGCCAUGAAUGAGGAAAUUGAAUCUCUUCAAAAGAAUCAUACUUGGAAACUAGUUGAGAAGCCUAAAAAUCAAAAGAUUGUUGGUUGCAAAUAGGUCUUCAAAAGAAAUUAAGGGAAGGAAUUUCAAGAGUAAGGAUGACAAGUUUAAAGCAUGCUUAGUGGCAAAGGGUUACACACAAAAGAAAGGAGUGGACUUCAAUAAAGUUGUCUCCAGUUGUGAAGCAUAGCUCAAUCAAAGUGUUACUUGCUAUGGUUGCUUUAUUUAAUUUAGAUUUAGAGCAACUUUAUGUCAUGACUGUUUUUCUACAUGGUAAGUUGGAAGAAUAGAUUUAUAUGAAUUAACCCGAGGAAUUCAUUAUUUCAAAAAAGACCAUGUUUGUUUGUUGAAGAAAUCUCUUUAUGGCUUGAAGCAAUCUCUUAAGCAAUGGUAUAAAAGGUUUGAUACUUUUAUUAUUGGCAAUGGCAACCAUAAGAGUGAGUAUGAUAAUUAUGUUUAUCACAAGGAAUUGUUUGAUGGUUCUUUCAUUUAUUUAUUGUUAUAUGUUAAUGACAUGUUAAUUUCCUGCAAGAAUAUGUUUGAUAUUAACAAGUUGAAAACUCAACUCUAAGGAGAGUUUGAAAUGAAAGACCUUAGAGUUGUGAAGAAAAUAUUAGGUAUGGAUAUUCAUAGAGACCAAAAAGUAGGGGAAUUGUACUUUUCACAAAAAAGUACAUUGAGAAAGUGUUAAAAUGCUUUGGAAUGCAAGGGUCAAAACCUAUGAAUACUCCAUUAGCAACUCCAAACUUUCAAGUGCUUUUGUUGGGAACCCUAUAUUACUUCGUUCCCAUGCCCUAGAUCUCAUAGGGUGCAUGCAUUUAUCCCUAGACAUCUCUAAACCUACUGUAGCGAAAAACUAAGUAUUCAAAAACCAAUAUUGAUACCAUAGAAAUCUUAGAUCUAGAGAAAAAAAAUCACAUACCUUUGAUUCAAAUGUUCUUGAAUUGAUUCCUAUUGAUGUAGAUAAGUCCAAAGUCAUAAUGGAUCUUGUAACACCAUGAUCUUCCGCCCGAUAACUCUUUAUUGUGUCUAGGCACUGAAAUGGUUGACAUCUUAAGGGUGGAGGUUAGACUUCUCUCUUUGGACUAUAUGGAGAAAAUGGCAAGACAUGGAAACCCUAACCCUUAACGGGUAUUUAUAGGCUUCUUAGUAAGCUUAAGUGACUUAAGCCCACCCAAAAAGGUUGCUAAUUAAUUAAUUAGUUAACAAUACAAGAUCCUAAUUAACCAAUUAGCUUAGUUAAGAGAUAUCACUAACUUAUCACCAUGCAACCUUGCAUAAUCACUAAAAUAUCCUUAUGCACAAAAAUGAACUAAAAACCUUUCCAACCCUCAUAAACUAUACCAUCAAGGAAUAUGAGCUCAAAGUAGGGACCACUAGGACCCAUAGGAGUACUAGCUCCCUUAGAAUAAAAUUCUAAAAUUGACUCAACAUCUCACUAUAGAAAGUCAACUGCACUCUAGUACCUUAUGUGUAUUACAACGAGACACCAAGUGCUCGGGUUCGUGACCUACAAUCUACUACAUGCAAACUCUCCAUGAACUGGUGUUUGUAGUCUAACAAAGUAGUGCUAUCACUUAUUAAGAUUAUCUCUCAAAUCCUUAAGUUAUAGAUUCCAUUUUUUUUAUGUGAUCAAAUGACAUACUCUAGCUCAAAGAAGGAUUUGUCAAAUUCCACUAAAUGAAUUAUUGUGGCCACAUAUUUCAUGAUUACAUAUCCUUUAGAUCACCCAAGGAGACGCGCUGUCUCAAUCCCAUGAGAUAUCAUGGUGCCUCUAUUGAGAAUACUUGUUGCCACCAACCUCCAUCAACAAUGACCCAAUCCAUGGGGAUAUGUGACCACUUUAGGGUCUCAUCCAUAAGUUAAAGUCUCUUAUUGAUUUCAACAUAUGCUUAAUAUUCUCUCAAGGUUGAGAGUCCAUGUAGUAUAGUCACUUAGUUAAUCAUAAAAUUUGAUAGUCUUGCAUCAUGAUUCAUCGUAGGUCCUAUCCAGUGUGCACCACAUAUACUAGCGUACUCACCAUAGGAAUCCCAUCCUAACGACCUAGAUAAGCAAUCCCUCCGAUUAGGAGGUGGUGCACUAUAGUCUCUACUAGAUUGUCCAAAUCCAUGAACCAAUUGUGGACAACUUAUCUAUUUAUAAGAAACCCAUGACUUGUAACUUUUGUGCAACUCCUAAUAUACCAAAGUCAUGUACAAUGUAAGAGACAUGUGUUGAAUGUUCAAAUCAAUAUUAAUACACCAAAAGGAUAGCAAGAGGAUGGUUAAGUCUGACUUUGUUACAUUAUGUUAUGCUUUUAAGGGCUCAAUCCCAACAACUUUAUCACCAUAGAUCAAAGAAGAAAUGGAGCACAUGUCACAUGUUCCUUAUGCUAGUGUAGUUGGGAACAUUAUGUAUGUCAUGGUUUGCACUAGGCUAGACAUUUCACAUGUAGUUAGUGUGGUGAGUAGAUAUAUGGAUCACUCUCGAAAGAUCCAUUGGCAAGCAGUGAACAAAUAUUUCGAUAUUUGAGAGAAACAUCACAUGUUGGCUUAACAUAUGAUAAAAGUAGUGACAUCUCUGAGAAAAUUGUUGGUUAUGUUGAUUCUAAUUAUGCUAGAGAUUUGGGGAAAAGAAGAUCUCAAACAAUUUGUGGUAGUGUUAUUAGUUGGAAAGAACCUUUGCAAUUUAUAGUUGCUUUAUCAACCACUGAAGUAGAAUACAUGGCGGUCAUAGAAGCGGUGAAAGAAGUUAUUUGCCUUAAGGGCUUGGUUGGAGAUUUAAGCUUACAAUAGGAGUUGAUUGUUGUGUAUUAUGAUAGCCAAAGUACCAUACAUUUGACUAAAAAUCAAAUGUUCCAUAAGAGGAGCAAACAUAUUGAUGUCAAUGCAUUUUAUUAUGGAUGUGAUCGCAAAGGGUGCUAUUGCAAUGAAAAAAAAAUCCCUAUAGUGGAGAAUCUUGCAGAUAUGAUGACUAAGUUCGUUUUUACAGUUAAAUUCAGGUAUUACUUGGACUUAAUUGAUGUUAAUAGUAUCUAAAGACUCCUUUAGGGUGUGGGAGUGAAGAAACAUGGAAGACUUUCGAGUUUGUUUGAAUCUUGAGAAUUUGAGCCAAGGUGGAGAUUAUUGAAAAGUGUCUCAGAUUCUAUUUUUGAGUCAAUUGGAAAGUUAUAGAUAGUUUCCUAAUAAAAAAAUAUUCUUGUAAGUGGGUUUCCUAUUAUUAUAGAGGAAAUAUUCUUUUAGGAAAAAACAUUUUUGAUAAUUAUACACUUAGUUUCCUAUAUAGAAUCUUUCUAUGUAAUUAGAGAAAUAUGUAUAAAAAGAUAUUUUGACCAAAAUAGUGGAAGUUUUUUUUUUGGGUAUAAUUGGGACUUUGGGAUUUGAAAGCUCUAAGAUUGUAAUAUCCUUCAAUAAUAAUGGAAAUUAUUUUUUAUCUUCACCUGUGGAUGUAGGUUUGAGGUCGAACCACAUAAAUUGUUAUGUACUUUGUGUGUUUUGUUUUUGUUAGGAAUUUGAGGCUAAUCCAAACUAUGGUAAUCACCUUGGGGGGGGGGGGGGGGGGAUAAAUAGGGUGAUGGUCUCUUUUUCACAAAUUUAAACUAUGCAAAAAUAAGAGUCAAUUAUAUGCAAAUAUAUAAUAAACAAAAUAAACACAAUUGCAUAUAAUUUAAAAGAGUUAGGGAAGAGAGAGUGCAAACAUGAGAGUUUAUAGUGGUUCGGUACUUCCUUGCCUACAUCCACUCUCCUCAACCUCCUAAUCGAGUGAGGGUUCCACUAUCUUGAAGCUUCAACCAAGUUUCCAAUCUCUUUACAAUUGGAUUAUGGUUCCAAUUCACCCUCUUGGACUUUUGGCUCCAAGCACCCUUUACACUUCUUCAAGAGAUAUCCCUCUCUUGAAUAACCUCUCAAGUGAUACCCCUCACUUGAGAAAAUCCCUCACAAAGAUAUACAAAUAAUGAUCUCACAAAAAUCCUAGUAAUAGAACUUUAGGCUCAAAGAUACAAGAAAAACUAGGAUUGAAUGGUGCACUAAAGAUAUGCAAGUUAUGAAACAAUGGUGCACUCAAAAACACUCUUCCAAGGCUCAAAUAUAAUCAAGAAUGAUUUGGAAAGGUUAAGCUCUUGAAACAAUGAAGAUUGGAGCCUUUUUAUAGAAGAGAAAAUCCAAACUAGCCGUUUGGGGGUUCGUCCGGUCGAGCUAUGGGUCGACUGGUUGACUAGCCAUUAGCAUUAAAUGCUUGGCAGGUGACCGUUGGGCCUUAGCCGGACCUCGACCGGGAAGAGAGUUACCUUGAUCGGGAAAAGAAGGCCACUAGGAGAGAGAGAAACUUUUGGCCUCCCUCGACCGGUACUCGACCGGACGAGCACAACUGGUUGACCGGUUCCUCGACCAGUUGAACUGGUUGAGCCAUUUUUUGGCUCAACACCCAACCCUUUUCAACUUAAAACCUCUUAACACAAGUUUGAAAAUUAUUUAACACAAGGUUUUAGUUGAAAACAUGAAAUCAUCCAAUUUUAAAGAUAUUUAAAACAAUAUUACUCUUGGAUGAUUUUGGUGCAUAAAUAAAGAAUGAAAUGCAUGAAAGUCCUAGUGCACCAACAACCUUACAAAGAGAUCUUAAGAAGUUUUGGUCUUGAAAAACUCUUCUCUUUGAGGUGGUCUUCUUCUUCGUGAUUUCUCCUUGGCUUGAUUUGUCUUUGGAUUGACACUUUGGAAGUCGUCUUGCCUAAUCACACUUGAAAUAUAAUCAUUAGUUCUAAACCUUGUUUUGUUAUCAUCAAAAUCAAGAUUAACCAAACCUUGGUUUCACAGUUUUCAUUUUUUUUUUCUCCCUAUUAUUAUUACUAUUAUUAUUAUAUAUACACCCAUGUGACUUGCAUGGUGGAAAGAGAAUAUUUCAUAUUCCAGGCAAGAAGCAAAGGUUACUCAAUUGUGUUUUUCCUUUUAGAAUGCAGAAGGGGUUUCCUUAUACUGAAGAAAUGCAUAGAUUCAAUUGAAAAAAUUGAGAAAUAUGGUUGUUCUUUUUCUUUUUCUUUUUCUAAAUCAUAGAUGAGCCAAGAUGAAACCCAUGUGGAACACAUUGGUUCCAGGCAUUUUCUUGGACAAAGAUAUGUCCAAAAUAUGGGAAAAUGACAUUUUAAAAUUAAAAAUGAUUUUAAAUUUUAAAUUUCUUUUUUUAUAUGUUUAAAAGCUUUUCAACUAGUAGAUUCGAAUUAUAACUUCCAAUUUAAUCGAAGAUUAAAAAUUACAAUAAUGAGAUUCUCAAUUCUUCAAAAUGAAAUUAAUUUAAUCCAUUUCCUUUGUAAAUUAUACCUCAAUUCAAUCAACCUUUCAAAAAUUAAAUUUACUUAAUGAUAAUAUUCAUAUUUAAUCAAUUUACCUUUUUGUGUAAAUUCCUAAAUUUAUAUAACAUAAUUUAAUCUUAAUUUUAUUUUGAUUCAAUUUUGUUUCACGUUUUAUAAUUUUAUAAGGUUGAAUUCUAAUAAUAAUUAAAAAUUAAAUUGAUUUGUUAUAAUAUUAAAUUAAAUAUCUUUUGAAAAUUUUAUUAUAACUAUUUGACAUAAUACAAAUUUCACCAAAAUUUUUAAUUAACUUUCUCUAAUGAUUACUUUAUAAUAAUAAAAUUAAUUAUUACAAUACAUGUAAUAUUCAAAUUUCAAAAAUUCAAGCUCAAAUAAUUUAAAUUUAAUUUUGAAGUUCCUAAUUUCCAAAUGUGACUCUCGACAAGAAUUUAAACUAACUUUCGACUAUUUUUUCACAAAUUUCACCUAAUUAAAUAAUAUAUUGACACGUGAAUGUUCACUAACGACACGUGAUCACGAUUCAUUUUGGUUGAUGUUCAGGAUGGUCAUCGGCAGUAGACUAACAUCUUCUGGACCAAUUAACAUACCAGCAGUGAUUAGGCCAAGGUGGUGAUCCAAUUCCAUGGAAGGGCAGCAAGAAAGGAGGAACGUUGGAGAGAAAGAAGGCGGCCAACCAAGCAGGAACAGUGGUCAAACUGGCCCCGAGUCGAAGGAGCGUAGGAUUGACAUUGUUGAAAUCAGUCAUAAGGUGAAAAAUUGGAUUGAGUCUCUCAAAAAAUGCAGAAGAAAAGACUCAAUCUCAAAGUCAAUGGCCAAGGACACCAAAGGUUCCUCACAUGCUGAGGGGGACCCAGGAUUUCAACAAAUCUACGAACCGAGGGUAAUUUCAAUCAGCCCUUACCACCAUGGCAAGCCCCACCUUCACCCAGGGGAAAUGAUCAAGCCUCUAUGUGCCCCAAACUUCCUGGAUGAUAGUAAGCAGGACAUCGAAGCUUUGUACACAAAAUUGAAAGUAAUAUGAGGCAGUGAAAAAGUGCUAUGAUUGGAGUAGUACAAACGAGUAUGAUGAUGAGGCGCUCGCCUGGAUGAUGCUUCUGGAUGGGUGUUUUUUACUACAGUUCAUCCGCAGCAAAGAAUACGACAGUAAAGUCGAUAUGAGUAACGUUCAUAGAAAUCACCAAAUAAAUUUUGUGGUGCAGGACUUGUUCUUGCUGGAGAACCAACUUCCCUGUGGAAUCCUCAAGUUGAUUUUUGAGGGAGCAAAAUUCAAUGAUGGUUCACCAAUGAAAAAAAAGAUAAAAAAAAUUCGUCACUAACACCGCAAGGCCAGAAGGGACAUCAGAAAAAGAGGUGGAAGAGUUGGACGAAGAGCCCUCUCAUCUCCUCGACCUUUUGCGAAGUGCUCUCCUAGGCGGGUCUAAAUAGAUUAGAAAGCAAGAAGCUCAGGGGUUCUGUUGCCCCGAUUGGCCGUCUUUUCGACACAUCAAGGAGCUUAAAGCUGCCGGGAUCCAUCUCAAACGGAGUAGAACCAGUUUCUUGAGAGACGUUUCUUUCAAUUCCUACUUCUUCUAUGGCUGCCUGAAUCUUCCCCCAAUAAUCGUUGAUGACUUCACGAAGCCCAUGUUCUUGAACAUUGUAGCCUACGAAAUGUGUCCAGAUGCCCCAGAUGACUAUGCGGUCACUUCUUAUAUAUGCUUCCUUUACGACAUCAUUGAUCAUGCAGACGAUGUCAAGGAGCUGAGAUCUAAGCACAUUCUCUCCAACCUUCUUGGCAGCGAUGAAAAUGUGGCCUAACUUUUCAACGAGAUCGGCAAUGACUUGGUAGAUCCCAAAGCUUAUCAAGAUGUGAAAGAUCGUAUUCAGGAACACUACAACAAGAGAAUGAAUACUUGGAUAGCUUAAGCCCUUCACGACCAUUUCAGUACUCCAUGGACUAUCAUCGCUUUCAUUGCUGCUGUUUUGAUACUAUUUCUUACUGGGGUUCAGACCUACUACGCAAUUCCCGGUAAUUAAUAUAUAUAUAUAUAUUGGGUUAAUUAUGUCUGUUGUGUGUUUUUUUCUUGUUUGGUGUGUAUGAUUAGAGAAAUAAAGAUGUAUAGAUUGUUAAGUUGUAUGACUGGAUUUCAUGGAUGCAAUAUUAUUAGUCUUUUCCUUCCCAUGAGUUUGCUAUCUAUAAUAUCUGUUUGAACUCACAAUUUCCAGCUACCUUCUUUGUAUUCUUUUUCAUAGACCAGGAUCAUACAUAACACAACCACAUAGAAAAUUUUGCGAUUGAAUAUUGCACACAAUUUUUUUUUGAACGAGAAAAUUGUGGAUAAAAUCAUAAUUUUCAUAUAUUUAUAGAUUGAGGGAACAAUCUUAAUUAUGCCCUUUGAUUUUUUAUUUUUUAUUUAUAAAAGAUAAAAAUAUCUUUUUAGGCAAUUUAAAUGCUUAAUUUUGAAUCAAACGAGAUUUCAUUAAUAAAUAUGACAUUUUUAAAUGAAGUCUUCCAAUCUUCAUUGAAAGAAUCUUCAAGUUUUCAACUUCUUUAAGAAAUCUUCAAAUACUUUUCAACUCUUCAAGAUAUUUUUAAUCUUCUUGAAUUCUUUUUAAGAGCUCUAGGGCUUUUCUUUAGUCUUCUGCCAAAAUACAUCACUGAAUGAAGGAGAGAACAAAGGCAUUUUUCAUUCAUCACUGAACUUGUUUGAAAAGAAAAACACACACACACAGAUGGAGUUAGAAAUGAAAGUGGAGAAAAGCACUCGACAGUUUUGCAUACUGCAUGAUAGAACUCGUUGAAAUUGUUUAUAUCCCUGGCACUAAAAUACAUCUUGUAGCACUUAGUGAUCAAAGCCUGUUUUUCCUCCUCACUUCCUGUUCAGACAUGGAGAAGUGAAACAAACUUUGAGAUAUUCAUUGAUUCAACAAAGCUUUAAUCAAAUACUAAACUGCUUGCUUUGAUGGAAGGGCAGAGAUGAUGGUACCAGGAAUUAGUUUCAUGAGAGAUGCGCCCAUCUUCCUCCAAGCUUGUACCUAUGCGCUUGCGAUUGGUAAAAGCCAGGCACCAUAAACAUAAGAGUUUUUGAAUUUUUAUGGGAAAAUCAUGCUUUCAUACACUAAUUAAUAAUAAUAAAAAAAUUCUCCAUAUUUAAAAAAAAUAUAUAUAUAUCAAGACCACUGUAGUUUUCCUUUUAAAACUUUUUUAAUUUCAAUUUUUUAAUGUUUUAUCUUUUCAUAUUUAUUGGUUUCAAUCAUUAUAUUGAACACAUUAAACACAAAAUGAUAACAUUAUUGAGAACAAAUAAAAUAUAACCUAAAAUACAAUAGACAAACAAUUGAAGUUUCUUAGUAAUAUCUAAUUUAUAAUUUUCAAGAAUAGAAGAGCGAGUAUAUGAAUACUCUUGAGAAAAAAAUUAUUAUUUUAUUAAAAAAAACAAGUACUUUUAUUGUUCUUUAUGAUUAAAAAAUAAUAUUUUAUUUUCCUCCAUUUUUUUUAAUAUAAUCUAUUAAAUUAUAUUUGUUGUUGUCAAAUUUCUUUGUAUUAUUAUUAUUUUAAAAUUUGCAAGUCAUGCAAAUUUGUCAUAAUCUCAUAACAAUAAUUAACAUACAUGUUAGAUAUAAUUUCUAAGUUUUUUAUGUUCGAUAUAGAAAUUUUUUUAUGUUGCAUAAUAUAUUUUUAUUUAAUAUAAUAAAUUUAGAAGUAAUAUAUUAAUAAAGUUGAUCAUACACCUUCAUGAAAUAAAAUAUUCAAAGAAUAUUAAAAUUUAGAUGAUCCUGUCACUAUAUCCAAUUAUGUAGGAAAAAUGUGUACAAUCUUCAUCAAAAUAUAUAGGUACAUUCUUUUAGGGGGAAUCGGGACACUCACACUUGUUAUGUCCUAAAUAGUCAUUUGGGAGACCUCGAGGAAUGAUUUAUGACCUUACCCCAACUAGAAAUCAAAUUUUGAACCUUAUACACAUCUAAAAGAAAACUACAUACAUUCUUUUUAGGGUGAAUUGGGACCCCAACCACUCUUAUUACAUCCUAAAUAGUCAUUUGGGGGACCUCGAGAAGCGAUUUGAUUCCCCCACCCCAAAAUUAAAUUUGGAACCCCAUAUAUAUCCUUAAUAUAUGUAUACACACACACACACACAUAAUUAAAAAAAUACGUAUAUGUUUUAUAAAAAUAUAUGCAUUUUUUGAAGGGUGAACCGGGACCCCAAUCACACUUACUAUGUCCUAAAUAGUAAUUUAGGGACCUCGAGGAGUCAUUUGUAACCUUCUCUCACCUCGAAAUCAGAUUUGGAAUGUCACAUAUAUUCUUCACAAAAAUACAUACAUUUUUUUAGAGUGAAUCCCAAUCACCCUUAUUAUGACCUAUAUAUUCCUUUAGGGACCAUCAGGAAGUGAUUUGAGGUAUUCCCCCACCCCAAAAAGGAUAUUGCAACCCCAUAUACAUCCUUAAGAAAAAUAAGUACAUUUGUUCCUAAGGGAACUAGGACUCCUAUGUCCCUUAUCAAUGUCUAUAUAUUCUUUUGAAAACCCUCGAGAACUGAUUGAAGGUCCACCCCAUCCCCGAAACGGACUUUGGAACCUUAAGUACAUCCUUAAUAAAAAUAAGUACAUAUGCUCCUAGGGAUAUUGAGACCCUUAUCUCCAUUAUCAUGGUCUAUAUAUUCUUUUAGGGACCUUUGGAAAGUGAUUGGAUAUCUCAUAAACUCGUAUACCUCUUAAGAAAAAGAGGUGUUACAUAGUCUAUAGGACAUAUCCCCAAAAGAAUAUGAGAAAAGAUGAAAAACCUUUCCACGAUCUCACUUAGUCCUUCAAAGUUUGAUAUCUUUUUUCCAUCUUUCCAUUUUGCAAUGGAGACUCUAGUGCACAUAACUAGGAAAUAAUCUCAUGCUCCAACAAAGAGAAUCAAACUUACUAGACAUAUCACCCUGAUAUAAUCAAAGUGCCUUGAUAUCCGACUCCACCUUAAAUUCAAUGAAUUUAUCCCAGUUAUCAAAUUCUUAUACACAUAUUCAAACCUAGACUAAUCAUCACUAAAAAGUGAUGAAGUACACAUACCCUCCCCAUGCAUGAAUACUAAAAGAUCCAUGCAUGUUAGUAUGCACUAACUCCAAACAUUCCUUGGCUCUAAUCCUCUUGGCCAUUUUACCAUCUAUAUAAAAUUCACAAACUAGAAGAUCCUUUGAAUAAAAAAGUCCAAACCUAACUAGUCUUUAAAUCCUACUCAAAUUGAUAUGACCUAGGUCUUUAUACCAAAUGUUUGAUUAGUGCUAAGUUCAAUCUUAAGAUCUAACUAUUCUCAUCAUUUGCCAAAAUGAUAAUGAAAUACAUAUAAAAAAAAAAAAAUUGGAAGAUAUUACAUUCCACUGACCUGCACAACUAACUUUGCAAUUGAAGUUAAGGUAAAUAUAAUCUCAUCAUUUAACCUUCUCACUUGUUGAAUAUCCUGUAAAGACUACAUAUUGUAGGCAUAUAAUCUAUUCACCAUAAAUGGUAAAAUCCACCACUAAAUAUUCAACAAUGAGAAAAUGAUGCAUAUUUUUUUUUCUUUUAGGUAAACUAAGCAUUUCUUUUCUAGUGUCCUAAAAGAAUACAAAGGAAUCACCUGCCCUUGAACUUGCUUUCUUAUUUCUUCUCUUGAAUUUUCUUUAUUUGGUAUUGUUGUUCUUCUUCUUGGCUAAAAAAAAUGUAAAGAACCUUUUACUUCCAUAUGAACACCCUUAUAAUCUUUAAGAUUCCCCUAAACCAUCCCAAGGGAAACUAACAAUGUCUCUAAGAUUAUAUGAACUCUACUGUUUAUAAUAGUCCUAAGGACAACUUGUUAAAGUUGACCUGCCUUUAUCACCAAAUAGCCUUUGCAAACUAGAAAGAGAACAUCAAAGUCCUUGGUAAUAGAUAUGUGUUGCUAUUGCAACACAUUAUCCAAAGAUCUAAGUACGAGACACUUGGUCUUUUGAUCCAUCUAGCACCACCUUUAAUAUACCUACUUUUUCCUUUUUUACUAGGUUGGUUCAAAAGAAAUAGCUUGUUUUGCCUAAACUAGUUUUUAUGCAAUUAGUUACUAUAUCCAAAUUAGUUCAAAUGAUUAGUUGGGUUUGGUCUAUUGUGAGAAAGAUAGUGAUAAUAAAACCAACAUGAUAUCUUAACAAAGAUUAUAACCAUGCAUAUGACAUAAUUGAGCAUUCAAGGCAAUUGGUAAUUAAUUUAGCAAAAAUGUAGUGCUCUCAAACUACAUGUCAUUUCGCAAGGUAUCUUAGUGUCAUAAGAAUCAAGCUUACAAUGGGGAGGUCAUGAUUUUAUUACUAGUUAGAGACCUUCUCAAAUUGACCUCUUUGUCUUAACCAUGAAGGUAUCUAAAGGCAAGAUUAACAUACAUUUUUAUUUGGCUCAUGAACUAUGCAAAUGGGACCACAGUGCAGGCGUUUCAACAACUUCAAAUCCACUGAUAAGUGUAUAACCAUUGUCCUUGAACUAUCAGUGUCACCAAGUAAGGAACCCCACCAGUGGGAUGGUUUCUCCCACUACAGACAUGUCUAGUCUCAUCCUAAUGGAGAGUUCUUAUCCUUUGAUUCUUAAGACCUAACCUACCGUGGGGGUGGUGAUGAGCCCAAAUCUAGAUGGGCUCGAUAAUGGAGGCAUGGGCUUUCCUAAGGCCCUCUCCCACUUAAUUUUUUGAGAUAGAUGACCAUUUUAAAACAUUGUAAUUCCCUUGAUGAAUAAAUUAUCUACUUUGAGAAUUUUCAAAAAUAUUUAUUUCCUAAUUGGAAACUUAGUGUAAUAGGAGAAUAAAUUCUCCUUCUCUUACACAAAUCCAAUUAAUAAAUAUUUUAUUUAGGAAAUGUCUCAAAGAAAUUUAUUUCCAUCAAAUUACUAAGCCUUUUGAUAAUGAUUUUUUAAUGAAAAAUUAUCUUUAAUGAAAAUUUCCAAAAUGUUUAUUUUCCAAAUUGGAACUCUAGUGUAAUGAGGAAAUUACCAAUUUAUGAGAUUUUGAAAAUCUUAAGAGCACCUUAUCCAGGAAAUCAACUUUUGCUUCUCAUAUUCAAAAAUACUUAUAAGAUUUACUUAUUUCUUUUGCUUCUCAUAUUAAAAAAUCCUUAUAAGAUUUACUUAUUUCUUACACCUUUCCAACUUAAUAAAUAUUUCCAUGACAAUUUUAUAAUAAUUUAUUCCAUUAAAUAAUACCAAAAAUAGAACCUUUUAGUAAUUCCUUAAAGGAUAAACUAUUCUCUAUGAAAAACUCCUAAAAAUGCCUAUUUUCAAAAAAGGAAUUAAAUAAUUCAUUUUGGAAAGUAUUUUCAAAAUAUUUUAUAUCUCCAUUGAAUUACUAAAACUUUCCAAAAAUUAUUUUGAUAACCCUUCCUAUCAUAAAUUAUCCAUCAUGAGCUAAGACUCCUCUGCUAGAAAAAUUACUCUCUCAAUCCUUAUUCUUGAAUGAUCCAUAUCCAAACUGAAUGGUUUCCUUAUUUUAUUUUAUUUUUAGGGGGGAGAGCUUGGAGGAUCAUUAUAGAUGUAGUUCUCCUUCUCUCGAGAUGGGGGGUUGGGAAGCCUAGAGGACCACCUAUAUAAAACCAAGUAGAUAGUUCCAAAAAGAAUAACAUUAUUCUUAGCAACAACCAGUUUAAACAAAUAAUCUUUGGAAAAUAUCUUCUCAUGAAAAUUUACUAAGAAUACCAAAAUACUUAUUCAAAAUUAACACUUAUUUUGGUAACCUUCUUAAUUAUAAAUUAUCUAUCAUGAAUUUUCAAAAUUAACUUAUUCUCUUUAACUAAAAAACUUAUGCAAAAAGGAAAAAUAUUAUUUUAUAAAGAUUUGGAACAUCAAGAGCUUUUUCUUAAAAUAUUAUUUUUAGAGAUCUCAAAGAUUUGAGAAGAUUUUAAAUAAAAUUAAAAUCUAUAAGAAUUAAUUUUAAAAAGAAAAGAAAACUUUUAACCCUUUUUCAACUUAUCUUUUCUUAAAAUAAAAUUUCUCAACCAUUCACAUUCUAAUUUAAAUAAGUUUUCCAAUUUUGAAAAAUCCAUGAAAAUUUUUAUUCAAUUGAGAAUAUCAAAAUAAUUUAAUGUCGCAUAUGCAAUAAAUAAAGAGCAUAUAUAAACAAGGAAAUAAAUAAGCAAAAUUUCCCCAUGGCCUUUAGGGAUCCUACUGCGUAGUCUAGUAAUACAUUUCAAUAAAAUCCAAAUCACCAAUAUUAUCAAAUCAAACCUACAACAAAUAAAGGGUUAGAAAAAAGGAAAAACCCUUCAUCAGUAUGCCAAAAGUGCCAAUCUAUUGUCACUUGUGCUCGAGCGCCCAAAAAUUUGAAGAAAAUGUUAGAUACAACUUGCAUUGUGAUUACUACUCAAAAAAUACUCUUUUAUAGGUUGAAACUAACUGUUUUAAACACUUUUGAGUGGUAGUUAAUACCUUUUAACUCAAUUGGCACAUUAAGUAACCUAGCAAGGGUUACUAAUCAGUUUUGGCAAGUUUUGGUGUUUUUGGUAGCUAUUUGAUCAUUGAAACAAGCCAAGAAUGAGGGAGAAUUUUGUGAAAUCCAUGGCAAUGCAAGUUGAAGCUCAAAUACAUGAAGAAUCCGAGCUUUGGAGCACUUCAUAGCCCUUUGCCAAGCUUGGCAAUAGGUUGCCAAGCCAAUCAGAGAUGCAAGGAAGAAAACUAGAGGAAAAGUCCAACAACCAGCAUUUUCGCAUAGCAUGCGAAAUAAAGAGGAAGAGCAGCUGCAGGAAUGAGAGCAGGAUUGAGUGAAAGACAAUUUCGCACACCAUGCGAAACCACAAGAAGCAGCCAAAGAAUUUCGCACACCAUGUGAAAUUUCGCAUGGUAUGCGAAAUCCUCUUGUGUACCGACUCCGUUAGAUUUUUAUCUCCAGAUAUUUUGUAUAAUUUCCUAUUUUCUCCUUGUAAUCAAGCUAGAUAUUUUCAUGUAUAUCUUUUCUAGACAUGAAAGAAAUUCAUUCAUGAAACACUUGUAAAAUUCCCGUAGAAGAAAUAUAUAGAGAUUUUGCUCUGUCUUUCCUUCUCAUUUUGUUUUCACUUUUCUUUCUAGCCAAACAACCUCUGAGGAUGAUUUCUCAGGGGAUGAGUGGCUAGGUUUUACAUUUCUUGGAGUGAUGGAAACUAGGUGAAGGACCCGAAUGCAAAGAUGGGAGUUGUCCUUGCUUUAAAUGAAAGUAGUUGUUAACGUGAGGAAAAGAUCCAAAAUCUCCCUUUUUGCCUAAGGAACCCGAUCCUAGUGACCUAAAGCUCCAAGAGACCUUUUCUUUGUAGUUAACUUCACUAAUUAUUUUUGCUUAACUUAAAAUCAAUCUUUGCAACCAAAAUUCCAUUUUCUUUAAAAACUAAUUUUCAUAAGGAAAAACACCAUUUUAUUUCCUUCACUAAUGUGAACUGUAUGAUGAAAACCCAUCCCUAUGGAUGAUCCUAGAGCCACUAGACUAAGUUAGCUAUGCUAUCCUAGUGUGAGGUGAUUUAGGUUUGAUAAAUUUUGUUGAUAACACCUGCCUGAGCCAGAAUCAAAUGGCAUGACUGUAAUGAAGACGAAUCAAGUAUGCAUACUUGAAAGAAGACAAGCAGUGCCAUGUUGUUAUAUCUUCAGCUCUUACCAUUCAUUAGGAGGAUUGUCUACUUGAAGUCCUUAGAAGAUGUAGGAAGGAAAUAGGGUGGCAAAUUUCUGAUUUGAAAGGGAUCAACCCUUUAGUCUGCACCCAUCAUAUUUACAUGGAGGAUGAAGCUAAGCCAGUUUGUCAACCUCAGAGAAGGUUGAAUCCUCACAUGCAAAAGGUGGUGCAAACUAAAGUUCUUAAGCUACUUCAGGCCGGUAUUAUCUACCCCAUAUCAGAUAGCCCAUGGGUGAGUCCUACUCAAGUUGUGCCAAAGAAGUCUGGGAUCACGGUGGUGCAAAAUGAUAAGGGAGAAAAUGUCUCUACACGCCUCACUACAUGUUGGAGGGUGUGUAUCGAUUACAGGAGAUUGAAUGCGGUGACAAGGAAUGACCAUUUCCCGUUGCCCUUUAUUGAUCAAGUGCUUGAGAGGGUCUCUGGGCAUCCUUUUUAUUGUUUCUUGGAUGGCUACUCCGGGUACUUUCAGAUAGAAAUUGAUGUUGAAUACUAGGAGAAGACCACUUUCAUAUGCCCAUUUAGAACCUAUGCAUACAGGAGAAUGCCUUUCGGCUUAUGCAAUGCACCCGCAACUGUCUAAAGAUGCAUGUUAAGCAUUUUUAGUGAUAUAGUGGAGCGUAUUAUGGAAGUCUUUAUGGAUGAUAUCACCAUAUAUGGAAGUGCAUUUGAUGAAUGCUUGAUCAACUUAGAAGUUGUUCUGAACCGAUGCAUUGAGAAAGACUUAGUGCUUAACUGGGAGAAGUGUCAUUUCAUGGUACAACAAGGGAUUGUCCUUGGACACAUCAUCUCCAAGCAAGGCAUUGAAGUAGACAAAGCAAAUGUUAAACUCAUUGUUAAGUUACCAUCCCCAACAAAUGUCAAAGGAGUAAGGUAAUUCCUUGGCCAUGUCAGGUUCUAUAGGAGGUUUAUAAAGGAUUUCUCUAAGCUUGCAAGGCCUCUUUGUGAACUAUUGGUGAAGGAUGCUAAAUUCAUAUGGGAUGAUAGAUGCCAAAGGAGUUUUGAAGAAUUGAAGCUAUUUCUGACAACCGCACCAAUAGUGAGGGCUCCCAACUGGCAACUGCCCUUUGAGGUAAUGUGUGAUGCCAGUGACUUUGCUAUAGGAGUUGUUCUUGGCCAAAGAGAAUAUGGAAAGCCCUAUGUGAUCUACCAUGCGAGCAACACAUUGAAUGAGGCGCAAAGAAACUACACAACCACUGAGAAAGAAUUGUUAUAUGUGGUUUUUGCCUUAGAUAAGUUUCGUGCUUACUUGGUGGGGUCUUUCAUUGUGGUUUUCACUUAUCACUCUGCUUUGAAGUAUCUGUUGACUAAGCAAGAUGCGCAAGCAAGGCUGAUUAGAUGGAUUUUCUUGCUUUAAGAGUUCAAUCUCUAAAUCAAAGACAAGAAAUGAGUGGAGAAUGUGGUAGCAGACCACCUUUCAAGGCUAGCUAUAGCACAUAAUACCCAUGGUUUGCCCAUUAAUGAUGAUUUUCCAAAGGAGUCUCUCAUGUUGGUGGAAGUUGCCCCUUGGUAUGCUCACAUUGCGAACUACCUAGUCAUAGGAGAAGUUCCAAGUGAAUGGAAAACACAAGAUAAGAAACAUUUCUUUGCAAAAAUUCACGCCUAUUAUUGGGAAGAGCCAUUUCUAUUCAAGUAUUGUGUGGAUCAGGUAAUAAGGAAGUGCGUUCCUGAAGAAGAGCAACAGGGGAUCCUCAGCCAUUGCCAUGAAAAUGCAUGUGGAGGCCACUUUGCUUCUUAGAAGACAGCCAUGAGGGUGUUGCAAUCGGGUUUCUAUUGGCCAUCACUUUUCAAAGAUGCCCACACCAUGUGCAAGAGUUGUGAUCGAUGCCAGAGGCUUAGGAAAUUGACACGCAGGAACAUGAUGCCUUUGAACCCCAUUUUGAUAGUUGAUCUUUUUUAUGUUUGGGGCAUUGACUUCAUGGGACCUUUCCCUAUGUCUUUUAGCUACUCUUACAUCUUGGUAAGAGUAGAUUAUGUUUCUAAGUGGGUUGAGGCAAUCCCAUGUAAACACAAUGACCAUAAAAUGGUUCUCAAGUUUCUCAAGGAGAACAUCUUCUCAAGAUUUGGGGUGCCCAAAGCCAUAAUUAGUGAUGGGGGUACUCAUUUUUACAACAAGCCUUUUGAAACUCUCUUGGCCAAGUAUGGGGUGAAGCAUAAGGUAGCUACACCUUACCACCCUCAAACUAGUGGGCAAGUUGAGUUAGCGAACCGGGAUAUUAAAAACAUAUUGAUGAAGGUGGUGAACACAAAUAGAAAAGAUUGGCCAGUCAAGCUCCUUGAUUCACUAUGGGCAUAUAGAACAGCUUAUAAGACCAUUCUUGGAAUGUCUCUGAUUCGUGCCCAGUAGGGUAUUUUAAUCAAAAAUAUUUAUAAAUCCUAUGACCUUAUACUAGCGUAGCAAAGCUACUAUAGUACAACAGCUCUAGGGUCGAACUCUGGGAUGGGUUUUCAUUCUACCAGUGAUAGACUCAAGAUUAGAAAUUGAAUCUGAUGAUUUCCUUUGUCAAAAACUUAAAGUUUAAAAGAAAAUAAAAUUUGUUUUGAAAGUGGUGUUUGAAACUAAACUAACAUAGAACUAGGUAAAAAUGGAAGAAAGAAAGUCUCCCGGAGCUAGAGGUUGCUAGGAUCAAGUUCAGAAUGCAAAGUGGGAAAUUCCGGAUUUUUCUCCUCGUAUUAGGGACAACUGAUUACUACUCAAAAAGUGCUAUUUGAUAGCUUAUAAUUAAUCCUUUUAAACACUUUUGAGUAGUAGUUUAGGCCUUUUAACUCAAUUGGCAUGUUAAGGAUCCUUUAAAGCAAUUUUAAUCACUUUGUGCAAGUUUUGGUGUUUUUGUUAGUAUUUUGAUCACCAAAGCAAGUCAAGACUGAGGAGAGCUAUGAGGAAUCUUGGGCAAAGCUUAGAAGUCAUUUUCCAAGAGUGAAUCCGGAUUGCAAGGAGAAAAAGCAAAGAGAAUCUACCAUAGAGCAUAUUCUUGAUGACAGUCACAGAGGCCACUUUUGGAGCACUUUCUGAAGUCCAAAUAAUGCAUGCUAUAUACCAUUUCAAAGCUCAGGAAGUCAACAAUCUAAUGCUUCAAACGGUGUGCAAUUCGGAGUUGAAACGAAGAAGUUGCAGCCAUUACAAGCCAAUCACUCCGAGUUGAAGGAAGCAUUUUGCAAAGUGCUGCGAAAUCACCCUUUUGUUGCGAAGUGAUUUCGCAGCAUUUUUGUACAGUAAGUUGUUUCUCCUUCUGAUGAUGCACGAUUUAUGCCGCGAGAAGGAAGCUAGGAACCUCAAGGUGGAAGCCAACUUCGCAGCCCUGUGAAGAUAGCUUGGUGUUGCGAAAAUAUUUCGCAGCCCUCUUGAGUGUCUGCGAAAUCUCGCAGACACCAUUUUUCUCCUGCGAAAUGGUUCCUGAAGCCUCCCGAUAUUUGCUACCGACAUUGGGAGAUAUUUUCCAUUAGAUUUUUGUUGUCUAAAUCCCAAAAUACUCCUUGUAAACCUCCAAUUACAAGAUUCCUUAGCUUUUAAGUUAGUAAAAAGACUAAAUAUCUUUGUAACAAUUAGUUUUAUAUUAUGUUCAUAUAUAUACCUCUCGGGAGCCUGUUCUCGGAGAGGAGUUCCUUCUGAAAAAGUUUGGGUAAGCAAGUAAAGUCUAUUUUCUUUCUACUGCCUUACCUUAUCACUUUGUAUUUUCAUUUCAUUUCUAAGUUAUGAAUUCUCUGAGGAGUUUUCCCCAGAGAAUGAGUAACUAAACCUCUAGUUCCUUGGAGCUAAGGUUGCCGGGGAAGGUUCCAAGUGCAAGAAUGCAAAGCUUUGUGGUUUUAGCUUUUAAUGAAGAGGAAGUGAAAUCCUUUAAUGAUUUCUAUGUUUUUAGUUAACUUAAAACACCUUAGAGUCACCUGGGCCAACACUUGGUAAGGCAAGUGAUUUCCAACCAUGGAAAUGCACUAGUUUACCUCUUGCGAGCCUCUGGGAGGUGAUUUCAAGGUAGGAUUUUCUGGAAUUACCAACACUUGGUAAGCUUUUGGACUCCUAGGAGACAUCCAUUAGUUAUCUCUUGCGAGUUUGUGAAGGGAAGUCCAAGGUUAAAGAUCAUCUUGAAUGGUAAGUGCUCGUGAGAGGCAUGAACCAUUGCAAGUUGCAUCAGUGAGAGAAUUAAAGUGAAAUCUAAUUGAAGGAAUCUCUGUACAACACCGGUUAGAGAAUUGACUAUAUGUUGAAUCUCUAACGCGAGGAAAUGAACCAUCUGACCGGAGCUAUGUCUUUUGCAUGAGGAAUCACCCCAGUGAACCUAACUCUCCAGGGAAUGCUUUUCUUCCUAAAUUAUUCCAAACUUCUGUUAUGUUAGUUAGUUUAAGUAUAAACAUUUACCAAUCAAAGUUUGUGUUUUACUUCUUAAGCUAACCGUGAAAUGAAACAAGACCAAUUCACUUGGAAUUGGUAUCAUUGAUAGCUUGCUAAUCCUUCCCAGUGAACGAUCCUAGAGCCGCUAUACUAUAGUAGCUUUUUCUUUGCUACCCUAGUAUAUGGUGUAAUAGGUAUAAAUUUUGUUGAUUACUCCCUCAUCCAAGGAGCACCAGCUGGACAUGAAUCAGCUGAGACACCAAUUGGGCACGAAUCAAAUGGCGCCGUUGCCGGGGAAGAUGUCAAGUUUAUAUUGAUACCAUUUUUGAGCACUUGUGAUUUUCAUCACAAGCUGGUAACGUUUCUUUCACUUUACUAAUUUUCAUUCUUUCUUUAUGUAUUCAUAAUCUAAGUUUAUCUUAUUAAAUUUAGCCUAGUUUAAUUUUGCUGUUGUAGCCUUGUUUCUCUUGUUGUCCUCUGUUUUUUUUUUAAGUUGUAGAUAGAUACUAGUUGUGUAUGCCCAAGUGGAUACGAGACAGUGGAGGAAGGCUUGUUAAGUGUGAUACACCUCAGAGGGGAGAAUUUGAAGUAAUCUUGAAUAUCAUGGAAGCUACACCUGAAGAUCAGCAUAGUCACCAAGGUCGUCAAGACAAUCUCAAUGAAUUCAGAUCAAUGAGGGACCGUAUGCAUCCACCUCGUAUGAGUGCACCAUCAUGCAUAGUGCCCCCUACAGAGCAGCUAGUGAUCAGACCGUAUCUUGUUCCACUUCUACCAACUUUCCAUGGGAUGGAAAGUGAGAAUCCGUAUGCACACAUCAAGGAAUUUGAAGAUGUUUGUAAUACAUUCCAAGAGGGAGGAGCUUCAAUUGAUUUGAUGAGGCUUAAGUUAUUUCCUUUUACUUUAAAGGAUAAGGCCAAAAUUUGGCUUAAUUCUUUAAGGCCAAGGAGUAUCCGCUCUUGGACUGAUUUACAAGCUGAAUUCCUCAAGAAAUUUUUUCCUACUCAUAGAACAAAUGGCUUGAAAAGGCAAAUUUCAAACUUCUCAGCUAAAGAGAAUGAGAAAUUCUAUGAGUAUUGGGAGAGAUACAUGGAAGCUAUAAAUGCUUGUCCUCACCAUGACUUUGAUACUUGGCUAUUGGUGAGCUAUUUUUAUGAUGGUAUGUCUUCCUCAAUGAAGCAACUCCUCGAGACAAUGUGUGGAGGAGAUUUCAUGAGCAAAAAUCCAGAGGAAGCUAUGGAUUUCUUGAGCUAUGUAGCUGAUGUUUCAAGGGGAUGGGAUGAACCAACUAAAGGAGAAGUGGGAAAGAUGAAGUCUCAGUUGAAUGCUUACAAUGCAAAGGCUGGGAUGUAUACUUUAAAAGAAGAUGAUGACAUGAAAGCAAAGUUGGCAACUAUGACAAGAAGAUUGGAGGAGCUGGAACUGAAAAGAAUACAUGAAGUGCAAGCUGUUGCUGAAGCACCAGUGCAAGUGAAGCUGUGUCCUAAUUGUCAAUCAUUUGAACAUUUGGUGGAGGAAUGCCCUGCAAUUUCAACUGAAAGGGAGAUGUUUAGAGAUCAAGCAAAUGUUGUUGGACAAUUCAGGCCCAAUAACAAUGCGCCAUAUGGAAAUACCUACAACUCAAGUUGGAGGAAUCAUCCAAAUUUCUCAUGGAAGGCCAGAGCAACUCAAUACCAACAGCCGGAUCCACCAUCUCAACAAUCUUCAAGUAUUGAACAAGCAAUAGCCAAUCUCAGCAAGGUAAUGGGAGAUUUUAUUGAAAAGCAAGAAGCCACUAAUGCUCGAGUCGAUCAAAGAAUUGAUAGAAUGGAGAGUAUGUUGAAUAAAAGGAUGGAUGGAAUGCAAAAUGAUAUGAACCAAAAGUUUGACAACAUCCAGUAUUCAAUUUCAAGGCUUACAAAUUUGAAUACACUGCAAGAAAAGGGAAGAUUUCCUUCUCAACCUCACCAAAAUCCCAAGGGUGUCCAUGAAGUGGAAAGCCAAGAGGGAGAGUCAUCACAGAUGAAAGAUGUCAAAGCCUUGAUCACUCUAAGGAGUGGUAAGAAAAUUGAGCAGCCAAUACCCAAGCCACAUGUUGAGAAAGAAGAAGAGAUAAAGAAAGGGAAUGAAAUGGAAGAUAAAGAGUGUGAGAUCAGUGAAGAAAAGAAGGACUCUGAUUCAACAAUGAAAGCAAUUCCAGAGAAAGAGCUUCUGAAGGAAGAAAUGCUGAAGAAAUCAACUUCUCCACCUUUUCCCCAAGCAUUACAUGGGAAAAAGAGGAUUAGAAAUGCAGCUGAAAUCCUUGAAGUCUUGAGGCAAGUGAAAGUUAAUAUUCCACUGCUGGAUAUGAUUAAACAAGUUCCAACAUAUGCAAAAUUCCUAAAGGAUUUAUGUACUAUCAAAAGAGGGUUAACUGUAAACAAGAAAGCCUUCUUGACUGAGCAAGUAAGUGCAAUCUUACAGUGUAAGUCUCCUUUGAAGUACAAAGACCCUGGAAGUCCUACCAUUUCAGUCAUGAUUGGAGGAAAGGUAGUGGAGAAAGCCCUGUUAGAUUUGGGAGCAAGUGUGAAUUUGCUUCCAUAUUCCGUCUACAAGCAAUUGGGACUUGGAGAGUUGAAGCCAACAGCAAUCACUCUAUCUCUGGCAGAUAGAUCGGUGAAAAUUCCAAGAGGGGUAAUUGAGGAUGUAUUGGUUCAAGUGGAUAAUUUCUACUAUCCAGUAGAUUUUAUUGUUCUUGAUACAGAUCCUACUGUAAAGGAAGCUAAUUUAGUUCCUAUCAUCCUUGGAAGGCCAUUUCUUGCAACUUCAAAUGCAAUCAUCAACUGUAGAAAUGGGCUUAUGCAACUCACUUUUGGUAACAUGACACUGGAUCUCAAUAUUUUCUACAUGUCUAAAAAGCAAAUCACUCCGGAGGAAGAAGAAGGUCCAGAAGAGCUAUGUAUAAUUGAUACUUUGGUGGAGGAGCACUGCAAUCAACAUAUGCAAGAAAAGUUGAAUGAAAGUCUUGAGGAUAUUGAGGAAGGUUUUUCUGAAUCUCCUAUUGGGCUUGCUACUCUACAAAGUUGGAGAAAGAUAGAAGGAAUUCUACCUUUGUUCAAUAAGGAAGAGGAGGCAGCUGUUGAAAAAGAAAUUCCAAAACUCAAUCUGAAGCCUUUACCUGUGGAGCUGAAAUAUACAUAUCUUGAAGAAAAUAAUCAAUGUCCUGUUGUGAUAUCCUCAUCUCUGACCAGUCAACAAGAGAAUUGUUUAAUGGAAGUUCUCAAGAGGUGUAAGAAGGCAAUAGGAUGGCAAAUAUCUGACUUGAAAGGCAUUAGUCCUUUAGUUUGUACUCAUCAUAUAUAUAUGGAGGAGGAAGCAAAGCCAAUUCGUCAAUUUCAAAGAAGGUUGAAUCCUCAUCUACAAGAGGUGGUGCGAGCUGAAGUGCUGAAGCUACUUCAAGCAGGAAUCAUUUACCCUAUAUCUGAUAGCCCUUGGGUGAGUCCUACUCAAGUGGUACCAAAGAAGUCAGGGAUCACAGUGAUUCAAAAUGAAAAAGGGGAAGAAAUUACUACACGCCUCACUUCAGGUUGGAGGGUGUGUAUUGAUUAUAGAAAGCUGAAUGCUGUCACUAGGAAAGAUCAUUUUCCAUUGCCAUUUAUUGAUCAAGUGCUGGAGAGAGUCUCUGGACAUCCAUUCUAUUGUUUCUUGGAUGGGUAUUCAGGGUAUUUUCAGAUUGAAAUUGAUUUGGCAGAUCAAGUAAAGACCACUUUUACAUGUCCAUUUGGAACAUAUGCUUAUAGAAGAAUGCCUUUUGGUUUAUGCAAUGCACCUGCUACAUUUCAAAGAUGUAUGUUGAGUAUUUUCAGUGAUAUGGUGGAGCGAAUUAUGGAGGUUUUCAUGGAUGACAUCACCGUAUAUGGAGGUACAUUUGAGUAAUGCUUGGUUAAUUUGGAAGCAGUUCUUCAUAGAUGCAUUGAAAAAGAUCUGGUGCUCAACUGGGAGAAAUGCCAUUUUAUGGUACGUCAAGGAAUUGUCCUUGGCCAUAUCAUCUCUGAAAAAGGCAUUGAAGUUGAUAAAGCAAAGGUGGAGCUUAUUGUCAAAUUACCAUCUCCAACAACUGUAAAAGGAGUAAGGCAGUUCCUUGGCCAUGCAGGGUUCUAUAGGAGGUUUAUAAAAGGUUUUUCAAGUCUUUCAAAACCUCUUUGUGAGCUGUUAGCUAAGGAUGCUAAGUUUAUAUGGGAUGAAAGGUGUCAGAAUAGCUUUGAUCAACUGAAGAAAUUUUUAACAACUACUCCAAUAGUGAGAGCCCUUAACUGGCAAUUACCUUUUGAACUGAUGUGUGAUGCCAGUGACUUUGCUAUAGGAGCUGUGCUUGGCCAAAGAGAAGAUGGGAAGCCCUAUGUGAUUUACUAUGCAAGUAAAACACUGAAUGAAGCUCAAAGGAACUACACAACUACAGAGAAAGAAUUGUUAGCUGUGGUAUUUGCUUUGGACAAAUUUCGUGCUUAUUUAGUGGGGUCUUUCAUCAUUGUCUUCACUGACCAUUCAGCCUUGAAGUAUUUAUUGACAAAGCAAGAUGCAAAAGCAAGGUUGAUUAGAUGGAUUCUUCUGUUACAAGAAUUCGAUCUUCAAAUCAAAGAUAAGAAAGGAGUGGAGAAUGUAGUAGCUGACCACUUGUCAAGGUUAGUUAUAGCACAUAAUUCCCAUCCCUUGCCUAUCAAUGAUGAUUUUCCUGAAGAAUCACUCAUGUUUCUAGUGAAAACUCCUUGGUAUGCUCAUAUUGCCAAUUAUUUAGUAACUGGUGAAAUUCCAAGUGAGUGGAAUGCACAGGACAGGAAGCACUUCUUUGCCAAAAUUCAUUCUUAUUAUUGGGAAGAGCCCUUUCUCUUUAAGUAUUGUGCAGAUCAGAUUAUUAGGAAGUGUGUCCCCGAAGAUGAGCAGCAAGGGAUUCUAUCUCAUUGUCAUGAGAAUGCAUGUGGAGGCCACUUUGCCUCUCAGAAAACAGCCAUGAAGGUAUUGCAAUCAGGGUUUACUUGGCCAUCUCUUUUCAAAGAUGCCCACAUCAUGUGAAGAAAUUGUGAUAGAUGCCAAAGGCUUGGAAAGCUAACAAAAAGAAAUCAAAUGCCUAUGAACCCCAUUCUGAUAGUAGAGUUAUUUGAAGUAUGGGGCAUUGACUUCAUGGGACCUUUCCCAAUGUCUUUUGGUAAUCCAUAUAUCUUGGUGGGGGUAGAUUAUGUUUCUAAAUGGGUUGAGGCAAUCCCCUGUAAACAAAAUGAUCACAGGGUGGUUCUCAAGUUUCUUAAAGAGAACAUUUUCUCAAGAUUUGGGGUGCCCAAGGCCAUAAUCAGUGAUGGAGGUGCUCAUUUUUGCAACAAACCUUUUGAAGCUCUGUUAUCCAAGUAUGGAGUGAAGCAUAAGGUGGCUACACCUUAUCAUCCUCAGACUUCCGGGCAAGUUGAGCUAGCUAAUAGGGAAAUAAAGAACAUCUUGAUGAAAGUGGUGAAUUCCAACAGAAAAGAUUGGUCUAUUAGGCUUCAUGAUUCAUUGUGGGCAUAUAGAACAGCUUAUAAGACUAUUCUUGGGAUGUCUCCCUAUCGUCUUGUCUAUGGCAAAGCAUGUCAUCUCCCUGUGGAAGUUGAAUACAAAGCUUGGUGGGCAAUAAAGAAGCUGAACAUGGACUUGAUCAAGGCAGGAGAAAAGAGAUUUCUAGACCUUAAUGAGAUGGAGGAAUUAAGAAAUAAUGCUUAUAUCAAUUCCAAAGUUGUAAAACAGAGGAUGAAGAAAUGGCAUGACCAACUCAUCUCUAACAAGGAAUUUCAGGAAGGGCAAAGAGUUUUGAUGUAUGACACAAGACUCCAUAUCUUUCCUGGGAAGCACAAAUCGAGGUGGAUAGGCCCGUUUGUUAUUCACCGAGUAUGGUCCAAUGGAGUGGUGGAAUUAUUGAAUUCCAAUGGCAAGGAUAGCUUUAAAGUCAAUGGAUAUCGUCUCAAGCCAUUCAUGGAGCCAUUCAAAUCAGAAAAGGAGGCAAUCAACCUCCUUGAGCCUCAAAAAGUCUAAGCAAAGAAGGGUUUGCUAGACGUGGUUUUACCACAGUCCAAAAUUUUUGUAAAUUUUGUAAAUUUUCAAGUUGUUUCCAUAUUUUUGAUCUUAGUUUUUGAUCUUAAAUCAUGUUUUUAGGUGUGUUUUAAUUGUUUUGAAUGAUCCCAGGUGGAAGAAAUUUCAAGGAGAUUGAAAGAAAAAAAAAUCGGGUCGAAAUCAGAGCCAAAACAGAGGAAAAACAGAGGAAAAACAGGGGAAAAACAGAGCUCUGCGAAAUUUCGCAGAGUGAAGGAAACCUCUGCGAAAUCAGCACUAUGCUGCAAAUCCAUUCCGCAGCACUGUAGAAGUCUCUGCGAGGGUAUUUCGCAGCUACGAAAGCAAAUUUGGCACACGAGUGCCACUUCGCAGUACAGUAGCAUCCAUUUGGUAGCUGCGAAACACAUUGCGAAAUGGAAAAGCGUGAUUUCGCACCAAAAGUCCCAUUCCGCAGGGUAUUUCGCAAUUGCGAAAGUGGUUUUGGCACACGAGUGCCACUCCGCAGCACAGUAACAUCAAUUUCGCAGCUGCGAAACUCACUGCGAAGUUGCUGCGAAAAUGGCAUUUUGCUGCGAAAUUGGCGUUUUGUUGCGAAACUCAAACUGACACUUAGGCUUCCGUUUUUCCUAUUUAUACCGGUCAUUUGAGCUGCGAAAAGGGUUUCAAAAAUCAGAGCACCAUUCUCGCAGCCUCUUCGUCUUCUUCAGUGAGCCUCGCCGUCCAAACCCCCGGUCAUCCUCUCAGAUCAUCUACGUCAGCCAAAGUUCGGUAGCCUAAAAUGGCGCGAACACGAGGGGCUAAGUCUUCUUCUCCUUCGAACCGCAAGAAGAGUCUGCGAAAGGAGCCAAGUCCAGGUUCUGUUCCAGAACCUGCUCCAGAGCCCUCGCCGUCGAGACCAAUUCCUCCUCCGGUGAAGCCCGUGCCACCAAAGCCGCCGGCAAGACGAUAUCUAACCAGGUCAGGAGGUAGGCCAUUACAGAAGAGACCCAGGGUGGAGAGCUCAGAACCCAUCGAUUUGACUGAGCAAUCUCCAGAGCCUUCACCAAUCCCAUCACCGGUUCAAACUCCAGUGCCAUCUCCGGUUCCCUCGCCAAGUCCCCUGCCAGUUCCAUCGCCGGUACCAUCUCCAACGCCGCAAGAAAAAUCUCAGGAGCCCCAAGCGCCACUUCCCGAACCCCAAAUUCAAGCUGAAACAGCUCUGGAAGAAGUAAUUAGGAGGCCAAUGCUACCUCAGCCCCCAAUUGAAGGAAACUUGGAUUGUCGAACUCGAGCAUUCCAUUCCGAGCUUUGUUUCGACUUAGCAGCAUUCAGAGUGAGGCCGGAGCUUGCCCAAUCAUUCCAGCUGCUGAGGAGGUAUCAUAUGGAGCAUCUGCUAGCUCCAAGAGACUUUUUCUAUCCCCGAAUAGCCACGGAUUUCUACCAAUCCAUGACAACCAAAGAGGUCAGGAAUCCAACCUUGAUUCAUUUUACUAUCGAUGGGAGACAUGGUAUAUUGGGAGCACGACAUAUUGCUGAAGCCCUGCAAAUUCCCUUUGAGCCAACCCAAUUCGAUAAUUUUAGAGCUUGGGCAAAUCCUACUGAGCUAGAGAUGGUUCGCACCCUUUCUAAAGGAGCUGCAAAUCGAUCACAUCUGCUGAGGGGGGAGCUUCCUCCAGUUAUGUUUUUGAUUGAUGCCUUUUUGAGGCAUAAUAUCUAUCCAUUGCAGCAUUGGACCCAAAGAAGGGGAGUCCUCCUGGAAGCUCUUUACAAGAUGUCAGAAGGAUUUUUCUUUGGGCCUCAUCAUCUGAUCAUGGCAGCCCUUCUCUAUUUUGAAGAGAAGGUGGACAGAAAGAAGCUUCAAAGAGCUGAUUGCAUUCCCCUCCUCUUCCCAAGGCUGCUAUGCAAAAUUUUGGAGCAUAUGGGAUAUCCCUUUGAGCCUCAGCUGGAGAGAAAGCGAAUAUGCCGUGAGCCAUUCACUCUUGAUAAAUGGAACAAUAUGACGACCUACAAAAUUGAUCAGCCUGGGCAGCCUCAGCCAGCUGCAAGGAGAGCAUCCCCAAGACAUAUACCCGAAGGUAUAACAGUUGCUGCUCUUGCCAUUCCUAGAGCUCCUCCAGCUGCACCUGCUUCAUCUCAGCCAUCCACAUCAGCUGAGCCGAGGAUGGCUAUUCCUAUAUCUGAAUAUCGAGAGUUGUGCCGUGCAUUGGAGACUCUUACAGCUUCUCAGAGCAGUCUUGCUCAAGAGAUGGCAGCCAUCAGAGCAUGCCAAGAGAAGAUGUUAGCCACUCAGGCUCAACAAGCUGCCAUCUUAAGGCAGCUCUAAGUCCAUUUCGAUCUGCCACAAGCUGUAGAGCCCUCCACUGAUACUCCAGCAGAGCCACACUCUCAGCCUUCAGAAUCUCAUCCUCCAGAGCCAGAAGCCCCAGCUGAUCUACUAAAAAGGCAGCAGAUCCAUCUGCCUAAUUCUAGCCACAACCCCACUCAUCAGACUACUAUCUAUCUAAUAUUUCUAUGUAUUUCGUUUUUUUUAGUUGAAAAGAAGUCCCAGUAUUUUGGUACUAUAUAUGGGAUUCCUUGUGUUACUUGUCCUUGGCACUAUACUCGAAUGAAUUGAAAGUAAUACAAGUUGAAUAUUUCUUGUUUAAAGUUAGCAUUAAGUUAUUCUUAUUUCCUUUUCUCACAUAUUCUAUUCUUUUUGAAACAUGUGGUUUUCCCCAAUCAAUAUUCGAAUUUGAUAUCAGCAAGGAGGUACCACUUCCUCCCUUUAAUUACAGUCACUCAUAUCACAUUGAGGACAAUGCUCAGUUCGGUUGGGGGGAAUGAGGAAGGAAGUAUGCUAAAUCUUUUUGGUAUUGCAAGUAUAUUGGUUAAUUAGUUGUAGUUUUUGCUUUUUACUCUUGUUACUCUAUUCUCCAUGAAUUUUGAGGAAAAAUUUUCAAAUUAAACCAAGAGAAAUUGAACUGUUGUUUUUCACUUGACUUAGAGUAUGGAUUAUGCUUACUAAAGUGGUUCAAUUGUUGAAGCUUCUAUUGAAAUUGAAUUGAGUUCUUCCACUUUAAGCUAUCCACACAAUGUGCACAUUAGAUUCCGAUUAUAAGAUGAAAAGCUAUUUCCCUCCUGACUUAGGAUAAUUUUGGGACUUGGUAUAUUUGACCUCAUUUGAUAAAAAUUGAAACACCCUGCAAAAGGCCAAAGAGCCUUUGAAAUAAAGAAAGUUGUUUGCUUGCCUUGAAACCCGAGUAAGGUCUGAGGGGUAUAUGGUGAAAAUCUUUAAAGCCUGGUGCCCUAAGCCUUAAUUGGUUGGGAGUCACCGACCUCAAUGCUCAUUAUAAGGGUGAAUAGGUAAAGUUAGCAUAUGGUAGAUGCUUGGGUAUUAGAAAUUCAUUCUUAAAAGUCCGGGGAAAAAUCCGAGGAGUUAGUGGUUGAAAGAUCCUUAAAGCUUGGUGCCCUAAACCUUAAUUGGUUGGGAGUCAUCGAUGGACCCCCAUUACAUGGACAAGUCAGAAAGAGUACCCCAUAAAGCUACCUUGAAAAAAAAAAAAAAAAAAAAAAAAAGGUGUGUUCUUUUCUUAUUGAUUAUGGUCAGAUUAUUGCUAAAGUGUUAAAAAGAGAUAGGUUGGGGGGUGAGAUUAGUAGCAUAUUAUUCUCGGAAGCUAAGGAACUAAUACACAUAGAUUUGUGUGGAAGAUUAAAGUUUGAUUCUUAGGAAGUGGAAAUGAUUUUAAAACUUCAGUUUGCAUAAUGCACUCCCUUGAUUGAUAGUGUUUAGCAUAGUUUGUUAUGACUCUUGUUGAGAUUUGGGUUUGUAUUUCUUUAAUGCUUCAUGUGAGAAUUAGAUCAUCAUGCCACUUGAGAAUUAUUUUCUUUCAGCAUGAUGUUGUAAAUUUUAGAUUAGUUUGCUAUUUAUUUUCAUUUUUCUCUCCUAUAUUGCUAAGGGACUAGCAAUAUGUCGGUUGGGGGGAGUGAUUACUACUCAAAAAGUGCUAUUUGAUAGCCUAUAAUUAAUCCUUUUAAACACUUUUGAGUAGUAGUUUAGGCCUUUUAACUCAAUUGGCAUGUUAAGGAUCCUUUAAAGCAAUUUUAAUCACUUUGUGCAAGUUUUGGUGUUUUUGUUAGUAUUUUGAUCACCAAAGCAAGUCAAGACUGAGGAGAGCUAUGAGGAAUCUUGGGCAAAGCUUAGAAGUCAUUUUCCAAGAGUGAAUCCGGAUUGUAAGGAGAAAAAGCAAAGAGAAUCUGCCAUAGAGCAUAUUCUUGAUGACAGUCACAGAGGCCACUUUUGGAGCACUUUCUGAAGUCCAAAUGAUGCAUGCUAUAUACCAUUUCAAAGCUCAGGAAGUCAACAAUCCAAUGCUUCAAACGGUGUGCAAUUCGGAGUUGAAACGAAGAAGUUGCAGCCAUUACAAGCCAAUCACUCAGAGCUGAAGGAAGCAUUUUGCAAAGUGCUGCGAAAUCACCCUUUUGUUGCGAAGUGAUUUCGCAGCAUUUUUGUACAGUAAGUUGUUUCUCCUUCUGACGAUGCACGAUUUAUGCCGCGAGAAGGAAGCUAGGAACCUCAAGGUGGAAGCCAACUUCGCAGCCCUGUGAAGAUAGCUUGGUGUUGCGAAAAUAUUUCGCAGCCCUCUUGAGUGUCUGCGAAAUCUCGCAGACACCAUUUUUCUCCUGUGAAAUGGUUCCUGAAGCCUCCCGAUAUUUGCUACCGACAUUGGGAGAUAUUUUCCAUUAGAUUUUUGUUGUCUAAAUCCCAAAAUACUCCUUGUAAACCUCCAAUUACAAGAUUCCUUAGCUUUUAAGUUAGUAAAAAGACUAAAUAUCUUUGUAACAAUUAGUUUUAUAUUAUGUUCAUAUAUAUACCUCUCGGGAGCCUGUUCUCGGAGAGGAGUUCCUUCUGAAAAAGUUUGGGUAAGCAAGUAAAGUCUAUUUUCUUUCUACUGCCUUACCUUAUCACUUUGUAUUUUCAUUUCAUUUCUAAGUUAUGAAUUCUCUGAGGAGUUUUCCCCAGAGAAUGAGUAACUAAACCUCUAGUUCCUUGGAGCUAAGGUUGCCGGGGAAGGUUCCAAGUGCACGAAUGCAAAGCUUUGUGGUUUUAGCUUUUAAUGAAGAGGAAGUGAAAUCCUUUAAUGAUUUCUAUGUUUUUAGUUAACUUAAAACACCUUAGAGUCACCUGGGCCAACACUUGGUAAGGCAAGUGAUUUCCAACCAUGGAAAUGCACUAGUUUACCUCUUGCGAGCCUCUGGGAGGUGAUUUCAAGGUAGGAUUUUCUGGAAUUACCAACACUUGGUAAGCUUUUGGACUCCUAGGAGACAUCCAUUAGUUAUCUCUUGCGAGUUUGUGAAGGGAAGUCCAAGAUUAAAGAUCAUCUUGAAUGGUAAGUGCUCGUGAGAGGCAUGAACCAUUGCAAGUUGCAUCAGUGAGAGAAUUAAAGUGAAAUCUAAUUGAAGGAGUCUCUGUACAACACCGGUUAGAGAAUUGACUAUAUGUUGAAUCUCUAACGCGAGGAAAUGAACCAUCUGACCGGAGCUAUGUCUUUUGCAUGAGGAAUCACCCCAGUGAACCUAACUCUCCAGGGAAUGCUUUUCUUCCUAAAUUAUUCCAAACUUCUGUUAUGUUAGUUAGUUUAAGUAUAAACCUUUACCAAUCAAAGUUUGUGUUUUACUUCUUAAGCUAACCGUGAAAUGAAACAAGACCAAUUCACUUGGAAUUGGUAUCAUUGAUAGCUUGCUAAUCCUUCCCAGUGAACGAUCCUAGAGCCGCUAUACUAUAGUAGCUUUUUCUUUGCUACCCUAGUAUAUGGUGUAAUAGGUAUAAAUUUUGUUGAUUACUCCCUCAUCCAAGGAGCACCAGCUGGACAUGAAUCAGUUGAGACACCAAUUGGGCACGAAUCAACAACAACAUAAAGGAUGGUUGUUUCUUGAACCGGUAUAGAUUUAACAAUGAAGAUUUAAUCCAUAAAAAGUCAAUAGAAAUGGUAGUCAAGUUCCAUUAAUGGCUUUAGACACUAUGGGUCUUCACCUUGAGCCACUUUCCAAUGGCUCGUACAUGAUAACUAAUGGUCUUAUGUGGAUCUAGCAAUAAGUAUCCACAGAGACCUAAAAGCUUAUCAUGUAUUGGCCAUUCAAAGUGAUUCAAAGGGAUUUAAAGCAAAACUUUAGAUUUUAAAAACCAUUUAUGAACUCCAACUACCUGUAUUUAAAGCACUAGAAUUUUCCACUUUUGCAUCUGGACUUUUCACCUAGCUUCCUUCACUCCAAGAAACUAAAGGUUUAGCCUCUCAUCCUCUGGGAAAACAUCCUCAGAGGUUGUUUGGCUUCCAAGAAAAAGAAAAUACAAUAAAAAAGAGAAGGUAAAAGCAGAGCAAAGCUCUGUAUUUUUCUUCAUUUCAAAACUAUACAAAAGAUGUGUCGUCCUCCUUCCCCUGAGAACAGGCUCCCAAGAGAUAUUUAUAUAGAAAAUUACAAAACAAAAUAUCUUUUGGAUAUUCAUCCUUUUUCCAAACUUAAUAACUAAGGAAUCCUAUAAUUGGUGGAUUACAAGGAGAGUUUGGGAAUUUAGACAUCAAAUAUCUAAAGCAAAAUAUCUCACAAUGUCGGUCGCAAAGAUGGGAAGCUUUAGGAGAAAACCACGGCACUGCAAGAUGGCCGCAAAACUCUCCGGGUAAGCGUUAUCCUCGGAUCCGAAUAUGUAUAUCCGGAUAGUUGAAACGCCUUCUCUCCCAUCCGGAUAUGUCUACCGAAUAUGAGACAUCCGGAGAAGGUAGAACUUCGAUCGGACUGUGAUACAUCCGGGUAAGUGCUAUUAGAAAAGAGGAUCCGGAUAUGUCUGCUAGAGGAAGUUGAAACGCCUCUUUUCCCAUCCGGCUCCUGAAUUCCGGAUGUCAUCCGGAAUGAUGGCGGCGCUGGAUGUAAGUGGCAGUAGCCGGAUUCCGGAUGUGAUACAUCCUGGUGGUAAGUGGCGGUAGCCGGAUGGAAUUCUUACCCGGAUGGAAUGAGCUGGAUCCCAUACUCCUUGUAUUCUGGAUUUGCUUAAGGAUUCCAAAGAACUCUCCUCAAUCUCAUAUUGCUUUGGUGAUAAAAAAGCUAUCAAAACACCAAAACUUAACACAAUUUGAUUAGAAUUGAUUGCAAGGGUCCUUAACAUGCCAAAUGGGUUAAAAGGUAAUAACUACUACUCAAAAGUGUUUAAAAGAGUUAAUUACCAGUUAUGAAAUAACACUUUUUGAGUAGUAAUCACUCCCCCCAACCGACAUAUUGCUAGUCCCUUAGCAAUGAAGGAGAGAAAAAUAAAAAUAAACAAUACUAUAAUUUACAACAUCAUGCUGAUCAAAAAACAAUUUCCAAGUGGCAUGAUGAUCUAACUCUCACAUGGAACAUUAAAGAAAUAAAACUCAAACUUCAACAAGAGUUAUCAAAUAACUUGUCUAAUCACUAUUCUUAAAGAGAAGACAUUAUGCAAACUUAAGCUUUAAAAUCAUUUCCACUUCCAUAGGAUCAAACCUUACUCUUCCACAAAAAUCUAAGUGUUAUUUAUUAGCUUCUGAAUAUAGUAUGUUGAACUAAUCUCUCCCCCAAACCUAGUUCUUUUUCAAAGCUUCGCAAACUGGUCAACCUCCAAUAGGCUAAGAACGCACCUCUUUUUUUCACAAUUUUUUUCUUGUAGGAGUACAAGGCUAAAGGUAUUUUUUUUCUAAAUUGUCCAUGUAACGGGGGUCCAUCGAUGACUCCCAACCAAUUAAGGCUUAGGGCAUCAAGUUUUAAGGAUCUUUCAACUACUAACUCCUUGGAUUUUACCCCGGACUUUUAAGAAUGAAUUUUUAAUACCCAAGCACCUACAGUAUGUUAAACUCCACCUAUCCACCCUUGUAACGAGCAUUGAGGUCGGUGACUCCCAACCAAUGAAGGCUUAGGGCACCAGGUUUUAAAGAUUUUCACCAUAUACCCCUUAGACCUUGCUCGGGUUUCAAGGCAAGUAAACAUUUUUUCUUUCUUUUUUUUUUUUUUUCAAAGACUCAUUGGCCUUUUAUAAGGUGUCCCAACACUAUUAAAUGAGGUCAAAGGUACCAAGUCUAAAUUUUCCUAAGUUAAGAGGGAAAUAGUUUUUCAUCUUAUACUCGGAACCUAUUGUGCACAGUGUGUGAAUAGCUUAAAGUGGAAGAACUGAGGUUGAAUUCACUAAAAGUUUCAACAAUUCAUCAACUUUAGUAAGCAUAAUACAAAAUCUAAGUCAAGUAAAAAGACAAAAAUUCAAUUUCUCCCAUUUCAUUUUGAAAAUUUUUCCUUAAUAACCAUGGAGAGUAGAAAAAAACUUUAAAAAUUUUAAAAAUUAAGCAAAAAACAACUAAAUUACCAAAAUACUUAGCAUUAUUAACAAAAACUUCCUUCCUCAACUCUCCUCCCAACCAAGCUGAACAUUGUCCUCAAUGUGACAACAACGAUUGAACAAUAGGGAGGAAGUGGUGCCUCCUGAGUGGUAUGAAGUUCAAGUAGAAUAGGAGAACCCACAUGUUUCAAAAAACAAUAAAAGAUAUGAGUAGAGGAAUUAAAAAAAUAUAAUGCUAAGUGCUCACAAAUGAUAGAGAUUUGUAUUACUUGAUGGCAACACAAUUUUAUAUAAAAAACAAGCAAUACAACCAAUCCCACUAUAUAAUACCAAAAAUAUGGGAUUUCAUAAAGGAAAUACAUAAAGUAAAGUAUGUAAAUGAUCAGAAAUAGGGAGGAUGAUGAUGGUAAGCUGAUGGCUCAGGUAGAUGUCUCUGCAUCUUCAGUAGCCGGCUCAGGAGGGGCAUGGGGCUCCGUGGCCUCUGAGUGGGGCACUGCAGUGGUAGGGGUAAGAUGCUCAGUAGCUGAUGGAAGACCCAGAUGGUGCUGAAGCUGCCUCAGGAUGGCAGUGUGUUGAGUCUAGGUGGUCAAAAUCUGCUCCUAGUGAGCACGAAUAGCUGACAUCUCUUGAGCAAGGCUACUCUGAGUCGCAGUCAGUGUCUGCAAUGUGUGGCAUAGAUCUCUAUACUCUGAAACGGGUAUGGUCAUCCUAGGCUCGGCUGAAGUAGAGGGCUCUGAUGCAGUUGGAAUAACUAGAGGGGUACUAUGGGUGGCAGGAAAAGCAAAGGGUAUACCCUCAGGUAUGGGCUCUGGAGAUGCUCUCCUGGCAGCUGGUAUCUCAGCUGGCUGUGGGUCCUCUGGCUGCUGUGGCUGUGGAAGCUCUGGAUGCUCUGCUCUAUAUGCUGUCAUAUUGGUCCACUUGUCGAGAGUGAAUACCUCUUGGCAUAUACGUCUGCGCUCCAGCUGAGGGUCUGAUGGAUACCCCAGAUGCUCCAAAAUUUGACAUAGCAAUUGUGGGAAAAGAAGUGGAAUAGCAUCUGCUCUUAGCAGCUUCUUCCUAUGCACCUUCUCUUCAAAGUAGAGAAGGGCAGCCAUAAUCAGAUGGUGAGGGCCAAAGAAAUAUCCCUCUGAUAUCCUAAACAGGGCCUCUAGCAGAACUCCUCUCCUCUGCACCCAAUGCUGAAGUGGAUAAAUGUUGUGGCGCAGGAGUGCAUCAAUGAAGAACAUGCUCGGAGGAAGUUCCUUCCUCAACAGAUAUGGAUUUGUGGAUGUUCCUCUGGACAAAAUAUGAACCAUUUCAAGCUGGGAAGGAUUAGUCCAUACUCGGUAAUCCUUUAGACGGGCUGGCUCAUAUGGAAUAUGCAGGGCCUUUGCUAUGUGGCGAGCUCCUAAAAUACCAUGACGUCAUUCAAUGGUGAAGUGGAUAAGAGUAGGAUCUUUGAUCUGAUUAAUAGUCAUGGACUGAUAGAAGUCCAUUGCUACUCGGGGAUAGAAAAAAUCCCUGGGGGUCAGCAAUUGCUCCAUGUGAAAUCUGUGUAGUAGAUGGAAUGAGUCUGCGAGCUUCGGCUGAAACCUGAAGGUGGCUGUGUCAAAACACAGCUCAGAGUGAAAUGGUCGAGCCCGACAAUCUAAAUUCCCCUCAAUGGGCGGCUGAGCGACCAUCGGACGCUUGAUCAGCACCUCAGGAGCUAUCCCUGAGGGAAUUUGAGACUUUGCAAAUGGCGGUUGCGACGGCUGAGGCUCCACUGGAUUCUCUGAAGAUAGCGCCGGAGACAGCUCUGUAGAUGGGUCCGGAGAGGGCUCUGGAGAGGAGUCCAGAGACUGCUCCGUUAAGUCUAUUGGCUCUGAAUCUACUACCCUAGCUUUCUUUUGUGGGGGAUGCCCCCUUGACCUGGUCUGAUAACGCUUCACCUAAGGACUCAACGGCGCGGGUUCCGCCGGAGGUGGUGCGGCUACUUAUCGCGGAGGCUCUGAUGUGGAGCCUUGAACAGGCGCCUCUCGCUCGACUCUCUUGCGGCCGGACGAAAAUGAUGACUUUGCUCCUCUGGUUCGCGCCAUGGCGGACCGAAGAGAAUGGUCAGAGGUGAUGGCCGGUGGCUCGCUCGGCUUCGGGCUCAGGUGAGAGAGCGAACGAACGGUUGCUCUGGUGUUUUUUCUUUCUGAAACCUUUUGGCAGCUCAAAUGACCGGUUUUUAUAAAAAAUAAAGGAAUAUAAAGGGUCAUUUUGAUUUUCGCAGAGGAAGGCUGAUUUCGCAGCAAAAGGUUGUUUUCGCAACAAAAGGCCAUUUUCGUAGCCCAUUUCGCAGCUGCGAAAUGGGGGGAACUAUGCUGCGAAAUGGCACUCGUGUGCUUAAGUGUGGUUUCGCAGCUGCGAAAAUUUUCGCAGAGAGGGGCUUGAGGCUGCGAAAUGAUUUCGCAGCAAAAUAGCGAUUUUGCAGCGAAGUGGCGAUUUCGCAGAGGCUUUUUUUAGGCUGCGAAAUCUCGCAGACCCUUGUUUUUCCCCUGUUUUACACUCUUUCUUGCUCCAAACGACUUUCCUUCAAUUUCUUUGCAAUGACUCCUGAUUUUGAUCAUCCAAAAACCUAUAUUACAUCAAAACAAAUUAGAAUGAAAUUAAGGUCAAAAAUAAAAAUCAAAACAUGCAUAUACACAAGAAAAAACACUAGAUUAAACUAAAAUCAACGCAAAAGGAAACAAAAAGAGGGUGAACUUUUUAGUCUUUGAAGAGACUAAAUUCAACCACGAACUGAGUGUUUUCAUGUUAGAGGUGGAUCAAGGAGGAUGAAUUCCUCCUUGUCUCGGGAAAAUGAUUCCAUAUAGGGCUUGAGACGAUGCCCAUUCACUUUGAAAGUUCGAGUGCUCUUGAAGUUGAGUAGUUCCACUACUCCAUUUGAUUGCACGUCAUGAAUUAUAAAAGGACCCGUCCACCUUGAUUUCAAUUUUCCCGGAAAAAGAUGAAGUUUAGAGUCAUAAAGCAAGACUCUUUGUCCCUUAGUAAAAUUCUUCUGAUUUACCAACUGAUCAUGCCAUUUCUUCAGCCUCUCUUUUGCAAUUUUUGAAUUGAGGUAAGCAUCAUUCCUCAUUUCCUCCAAUUCGUUCAAAUCCAAACAUCUCUUUAACCCGGCUCUUGUCAAAUCCAUGUUGAGCUUCUUGAUUUCCCACCAUGCUUUAUAUUCAACCUCCACUGGGAGAUGGCAUGCUUUGCCAUAAACAAGGCGAUAAGGAGACAUUCCAAGAAUGGUCUUAUAAGCGGUCCUAUAAGCCCAUAAUGAAUCCAGGAGCUUAAUAGACCAAUCCUUCCUAUUCACAUUCACCACCUUCAUCAAUAUAUUCUUGAUCUCCCGGUUGGCUAACUCAACUUGGCCACUUGUUUGAGGGUGAUAAGGUGUAGCUACCUUGUGCUUGACCCCAUAUUUGGCUAGAAGAGUCUUAAAAGGCUUGUUGCAAAAGUGGUUUCCUCCAUCACUGAUAAUGGCCUUAGGCACUCCAAACCUUGAAAAGAUGUUCUCCUUGAGAAAUUUGAGAACCACCUUAUGAUCAUUGCUCCUACAUGGGACUGCUUCUACCCACUUAGAGACAUAAUCCACUCCCACCAAAAUGUAGGAGUGUCCAAAUGACAUUGGAAAUGGUCCCAUGAAGUCUAUCCCCCAAACAUCAAAGACAUCCACUAUCAAGAUGGGGUUCAAGGGCAUCAUAUUUCGGCGUGUUAGCUUCCCAAGCCUUUGACACCGAUCACAUCCCUUGCACAUAGAGUGGGCAUCCUUGAAAAGAGAGGGCCAUCAAAAACCUGAUUGGACCACUCUCAUGGCUGUUUUCUAGGAAGCAAAAUGACCUCCACAUGCACUAUCAUGACAAUGGGAUAGAAUUCCUGAUUGCUCUGGUUCAGGAACACAUUUCCUUAUGAUUUGAUCCGCACAAUAUUUGAAGAGAAAAGGCUCCUCCCAAUAAUAGGCAUGGAUCUUAGCAAAGAAAUGCUUCUUGUCUUGGGCACUUCACUCACUUGGAACUUUUCCAGUAACCAAGUAAUUUGCAAUGUGAGAAUACCAUGGAGCUACCUCUAUUGACAUGAGAGACUCCUCAGGGAAGUCAUCAUUAAUAGGUAGGCCAUGUGAGUCAUGUGCUAUCACAAGUCUUGACAAGUGGUCAGCUACCACAUUUUCUACUCCCUUUUUAUCCCGGAUUUGGAGAUUGAAUUCUUGAAGCAAAAGGAUCCAUCUUAUCAAUCUUGCCUUGGCAUCUUGCUUGGUUAGCAAGUACUUCAAAGCAGAAUGGUCAGUGAACACCACUAUACAGGACCCUACUAAAUAGGCACGAAACUUAUCCAAGGCAAAAACUACUGCCAACAACUCCUUCUCAGUAGUUGUGUAGUUCCUUUGAGCCUCAUUCAAAGUUUUGCUUGCAUAAUAAAUCACAUAGGGCUUUCCAUCUUCUCUUUGCCCCAAAACAGCCCCCAUAGCAAGAUCACUUGCAUCACACAUUACCUCAAAAGGUAAUUUCCAAUUUGAGGCUCUCACUAUUGGUGCAGUUGUGAGGAAUUGCUUCAGUUCCUCAAAACUCUUCUGACAUUUCUCAUCCCACACAAACUUGGCAUCCUUUACCAAGAGUUCACAAAGAGGUUUUGAGAUUUUUGAGAAAUCCUUAAUGAACCUCCUAUAGAACCCGGCAUGUCCUAGGAAUUGCCUAAUUCCUUUAACAUUUGUGGGAGGUGGCAACUUAACAAUUAGCUCCACCUUUGCCUUAUCUACCUCAAUGCCAUUCUUGGAGAUUAUAUGUCCUAAGACAAUUCCUUGUUGUACCAUAAAAUAGCACUUCUCCCAAUUUAGCACUAGGUCUUUCUCAAUACAUCUUUGGAGAACAGCUUCUAAAUGCAACAAACACUCCUUAUAAGAACCUCCAUAUACAGUGAUGUCAUCCAUGAAGACUUCCAUGAUGCGCUCCACCAUAUCACUGAAGAUGCUUAGCAUACAUCUUUGGAAAGUUGCAGGUGCAUUACAUAGACCAAAGGGCAUCCUCCUAUAGGUAAAAGUACCAAAGGGGCAAGUGAAGGUUGUCUUUUCUUGAUCUUCCAAAUCAAUCUCUAUUUGGAAGUACCCCGAGUAACCAUCCAAAAAACAGUAGAAAGGAUGCCCUGAGACUCUUUCAAGGACUUGGUCCAUGAAAGGCAAUGGGAAAUGGUCUUUCCCAGUCACUGAAUUCAACCUCCUGUAGUCUAUACACACCCUCCAUCCUGAGGUAAGACGUGUAGAGACUUCCUCCCCUUUCUCAUUUUGGAUCACAGUAAUUCCAGAUUUCUUUGGGACUACUUGGGUUGGGCUCACCCACAAGCUAUCUGAAAUGGGAUAUAUGAUCCCUGCUUGAAGUAGCUUCAGAACUUCACCCCUUACCACCUCUUGCAUGUGAGGAUUCAACCUCCUCUGGGGCUGCCUCACUGGUUUAGCAUCUUCCUCCAUGAAGAUAUGGUGGGUGCAUACCAAAGGGCUAAUCCCUUUCAAAUCAGAAAUGUGUCAUCCAAUGGCCUUUUGCAUUUUUUGAGGACUCCCAAAAGACUAUCCUCUUGAUCACUUGUGAGAGUUGAAGAAACCACCAUUGGACAUUUCUCAUCUUCCUCCAAAUAUGCAUACUUCAAAUCAACAGGAAGUGGCUUCAAAACUAGUUUUGGAGGGUCCUCCCUAGCUGCUCCUUGUGAGUCCUCCUUAUUGAACAAGGGUAAGAUCUCUUCCCUUCUCCUCCAAGGAGACAUGACGACUAACACAUCAGAGGGUUCAGGUAACCCUUCUUCAAGCACUCCAAGGCUUUCAUUCAAGCUCUUUUCUAAAUUCUUGUCACAAUGCUCUUCAACCAAAGUGUUGAUCAAGUACGCCUCCUCCAAUCCUUCCUCCUCUUCGGGGUGAAGAUGCCUCUUGCAUAGGUGGAAUAUGUUUAGUUCCAAGGUCAUGUUUCCAAAUGUGAACUGCAUCACCCCAUUCCUACAAUUGAUGAUGGCAUUGGAGGUAGCUAGGAAAGGUCUCCCUAGGAUGAUUGGCACAUGAUUUGUUUCCUUAAUAGUGAGAUCAGUAUCAAGCACCACAAAAUCCACGGGAUAGUAGAAUUUGUCCACUUGAACUAAAACAUCCUCUAUCACUCCCCUUGGGAUUUUGACUGACCUAUCAACUAAGGAGAGAGUGACGGUUGUGGGCUUCAAUUCUCCAAGUCCCAGUUGCUUAUACACAGAGUAUGGGAGCAAAUUCACACUUGCCCCCAAGUCUAGUAAAGCCUUCUCCACAUGUGUCCCUCCAAUGUUGACUGAAAUGGUGGGACACCCCGGAUCUUUGUACUUAACUGGAGACUUACACUGAAUGAUGGCACUUACUUGCUCAGUGAGGAAUGCCUUCUUUGUCACAAUUAACCCUCUCUUGACCGUGCACAAGUCCUUUAAAAUUUUUGCAUAUGUGAGGACUUGCUUGAUCAUAUCAAGGAAGGGUAUAUUCACCUUCACUUGUCUCAAAAUUUCAAGAAUUUCUGAUGAAUUCUUGAUUCCCUUCUUUCCAUGUAAAGCUUGAGGAAAAGGGGGAGGCAUAUGUUUCUUCAUCAUAUCCUCUUUAAUCACUAUCCUUGGCUCAUCUUCAAUGCUUGAAUCAGAUGCAUUUUUCUUCCCACUCUUCUCUUCUUGGUUAUUGCUCUCUUUAACCAAGGUUCUCCUUGACAUGAGUUCUUCAUCUUGCCUCACCUUAGGCAAGGGUUGGUCAACCUCCUUCCCACUCCUCAAGGUGAUCACAGCUUUAACCUCCCUCAACUUUGAAGACUCCCCAUCUUGGGUUUCAACUUCAUGAACACCCUUUGGAUUUUGGCUUGGUUGAGAGGGAAACUUUCCUUUCUCAAUCACUGUGUUGAGGUUGGUAAGCGUAGAGAUGGAGUAUUGAAUAUUAUCCAUCUUCUGAGAUAGAUCAUUUUGCAUCCCAUCCAUUCUCUUAAUUUGAGAACUUUCAACAUUUUCAAUCUUUUGGUGCAAUUGGGAGUUGAUUGCCUUUUGUUCACCCACAAAGUCACCCAUGACUUUACUUAGGUUCACAAUGGCUUGCUCCACUGAAGAGGUUUGUUGAGGUGCUUGGGUUUGGGCUUGUGGUUGGUAUGGAGGUGGCCUUGGUUUCCAAGAAAAAUUUGGAUGGUUUCUCCAGCUUGAAUUAUAGGUGUUUCCAUAAGGUGCAUUGUUGUUGGGCCUAAAUUGCCCCACAACAUUGGCUUGAUCACCUAACAUUUCCCUAACAGCUGGGAUGGUUGGGCACUCAUCUACCACAUGAUCACAUGAUUGGCAAAUGGUGCAUGGCAUGACAUGGGCUUGUGUCUCGGAAAUGGCUUAGACUUCAUGCAUUUUUUUCAACUCAAGUUCUUCCAACCUCCUUGCCAUUGUUGCUACCUUAGCUUUCAUGUCCAUGUCUUCACUUAACAUGUACAUUCCAACCUUUGGAUUUACAGGAGCUUUCAUCCUUCCCAUUUCUCUUGAGUUGGGUUCAUCCCAUCCUCUUGAUACCUCAGAUACAUAACUUAGAAAGUCCAUGGCUUCUUCCGGAUUCUUACUCAUAAAAUCUCCCCCACACAUGGUUUCAAAAAUUUGCUUCAUGCAGGAAGACAUCUCAUCAUAAAAAUAGCUCACCAAGAGCCAUGUAUCAAAGCCAUGAUGAGGACAAGCAUUGAUGGCCUCCAUAUACCUUUCCCAACAUUCAUAGAACUUCUCAUUUUCUUUUGCAGAAAAAUUUGAGAUUUGUCUCUUCAACCUAUUGGUCCUAUGAGUGGGGAAAAAUUUCUUCAAAAAUUCGGCCUGAAGAUCAACCCAAUUCCUUAUGCUCCUUGGCCUUAAAGAGUUAAGCCAUAUUUUUGCCUUGUCCUUCAAAGUAAAAGGGAAUAGCUUGAGUCUCAUCAAGUCUAUUGAAGCUCCUCCCCCUCCAAAAGUAUUGCACACCUCCUCAAACUCCUUGAUGUGGGCAUAUGGGUUCUCACUCUCCAUUCCAUGGAAAUUUGGUAGGAGGGGCACAAUAUGAGGCCUUAUAAUCAGCUGCUCAAGAGGAGGUACGAUGCAUGAGGGUGCACUCAUCCUUGGUGGGUGCAUUCUAUCCCUCAUGGAUAGAUAUGCAUUUGGAUUAUCCCCUUGAACGUGUUGAGAAUUCUGAUCCUAUUGUGGAGGGUCCAUGAUGUUUACACAGAUAUCCAACUCUGUGUCUUGAGGAUUCUCAAUCCUUACUAGUCUUCCCUCUUGGUUCCGAAUCCAAUAGGGCAUGCACAAGUUACAACUUCCCUGAAAACAAAACAAAGACAACAAAAACAAAAGAAAACUAGAAGAAAAUUAAGGUUAGAAAGAAAAUGAAAGUAAACUUAACAAAAGGAAUUCUACAAUAAAAAAAAAAUGAAGUUAGUGAAAAAGGAAUUCACCAAACUUGUGAUGGAAAUCACAAGUAGCCUCUAAAAAGUUGUAUCACUAUAUCGUGGCACCAUCCCCGGCAACGGCGCCAUUUUGAUUGUGCCCAGUAGGGUAUUUUAAUCAAAAAUAUUUAUAAAUCCUAUGACCUUAUACUAGCGUAGCAAAGCUACUAUAGUAUAGCAUCUAUAGGGUCGAACUCUGGGAUGGGUUUUCAUUCUACCAGUGAUAAACUCAAGAUUAGAAAUUGAAUCUGAUGAUUUCCUUUGUCAAAAACUUAAAGUUUAAAAGAAAAUAAAAUUUGUUUUGAAAGUGGUGUUUGAAACUAAACUAACAUAGAACUAGGUAAAAAUGGAAGAAAGAAAGUCUCCCGGAGCUAGAGGUUGCUAGAAUCAAGUUCAGAAUGCAAAGUGGGAAAUUCCGGAUUUUUCUCCUCGUAUUAGGGACAACAACAUAAAGGAUGGUUGUUUCCCGAACCGGUAUAGAUUUAACAAUGAAGAUUUAAUCCAUAAAAAGUCAAUAGAAAUGGUAGUCAAGUUCCAUUAAUGGCUUUAGACACUAUGGGUCUUCACCUUGAGCCGCUUUCCAAUGGCUCGUACAUGAUAACUAAUGGUCUUAUGUGGAUCUAGCAAUAAGUAUCCACAGAGACCUAAAAGCUUAUCAUGUAUUGGCCAUUCAAAGUGAUUCAAAGGGACUUAAAGCAAAACUUUAGAUUUUAAAAACCAUUUGUGAACUCCAACUACCUGUAUUUAAAGCACUAGAAUUUUCCACUUUUGCAUCUGGACUUUUCACCUAGCUUCUCUCACUCCAAGAAACUAAAGGUUUAGCCUCUCAUCCUCUGGGAAAACAUCCUCAGAGGUUGUUUGGCUUCCAAGAAAAAGAAAAUACAAUAAAAAAGAGAAGGUAAAAGCAGAGCAAAGCUCUGUAUUUUUCUUCAUUUCAAAACUAUACAAAAGAUGCGUCGUCCUCCCUCCCCUGAGAACAGGCUCCCAAGAGAUAUUUAUAUAGAAAAUUACAAAACAAAAUAUCUUUUGGAUAUUCAUCCUUUUUCCAAACUUAAUAACUAAGGAAUCCUGUAAUUGGUGGAUUACAAGGAGAGUUUGGGGAUUUAGACAUCAAAUAUCUAAAGCAAAAUAUCUCACAAUGUCGGUCGCAAAGAUGGGAAGCUUCAGGAGAAAACCACGGCACUGCAAGAUGGCUGCAAAACUCUCCGGGUAAGCGCUAUCCUCGGAUCUGGAUAUGUAUAUCCGGAUAGUUGAAACACCUCCUCUCCCAUCCGGAUAUGUUUACCGAAUGUGAGACAUCCGGAGAAGGUAGAACUUCGGUCGGACUGUGAUACAUCCGGGUAAGCGCUAUUAGAAAAGAGGAUCCGGAUAUGUCUGCUAGAGGAAGUUGAAACGCCUCUUUCCCCAUCCGGCAUGAUGACGGCGUUGGAUGUAAGUGGCGGUAGCCGGAUUCCGGAUGUGAUACAUCCUGGUGGUAAGUGGCGGCAGCCGGAUGGAAUUCUUACCUGGAUGGAAUGAGCUGGAUCCCAUACUCCUUGUAUUCUGGAUUUGCUUAAGGAUUCCAAAGAACUCUCCUCAAUCUCAGAUUGCUUUGGUGAUAAAAAAGCUAUCAAAACACCAAAACUUAACACAAUUUGAUUAGAAUUGAUUGCAAGGUCCUUAACAUGCCAAUUGGGUUAAAAGGUAAUAACUACUACUCAAAAGUGUUUAAAAGAGUUAAUUACCAGUUAUGAAAUAGCACUUUUUGAGUAGUAAUCAGUCUCUUUAUCGCUUAGUCUAUGGCAAAGCAUGCCAUCUCCCUAUGGAAUUGGAAUACAAAGCUUGGUGGGCAAUCAAGAAACUCAACAUGGAUUUGAGCAGAGUUGGGUUGAAGAGGUUCUUAGACCUCAAUGAGAUAGAGAAAUUGAGAAAUGAUGCCUACAUCAAUUCAAAAAUUGCAAAAGAGAAAUUGAAAAGGUGGCAUGAUUAGUUGAUUUCCCGUAAGGAUUUUCGAAAGGGACAAAGAGUCUUGCUCUAUGACUCUAAGCUCCACAUCUUUCCGGGUAAGCUGAAAUCAAGGUGGAUAGGUCCUUUUACCAUUCACCAAGUGCAUUCAAAUGGAGUAGUGGAACUACUCAACUCCAACAGCACCAGAAGCUUCAAAGUGAAUGGCCACCGUCUCAAGCCCUUUGUGGAGCAUUUUUCUCGCGACAAGGAGGAAUUCAUCCUCCUUGAUCCACAUCAAGCUUGACAAGACCAAUCCUUUUGAUGGACUUAGUCUUUCUAAAGACUAUCGAGUCUAUAUCUUUUUGUUUUAUUUUUUAUUUGAGAGUUUUCCUGUAUUAUUACUUAUUUUUAUUUUUAUUUCUCGUUUUUAUUUUAUCUUGGUUUGAUUUAACUUAGGUUUUUGAUGAUCAAUUGUAGGGGGACUUCAAAUAGAGGAAAAACCAAGUAAAUUCGCACACACUGCGAAAUUUUCAUAGGGCAUGCGAAAUUCAUGAAUCAUUUUGCAUGGGGUGCGAAAAUAAAAACACCUUGCGAACUCAUUUUGCACACUUCGUGAAAUUUUCAUAGAGCAUGCGAAAAAUUUCGCACACCUAACACCAUUUGGCACACUGUACGAAAACCUAAGGGGUUUGCGAAGUAAUUUCGCACCCCAUAUGCCAUUUCGCAUGCUGUGCAAAACUCAAGGGACGCUGUGCAAAAAUGAAAAGUCCCUACCAUUCCUUUUUAAACCCCUGAGCCCUAAUUUCUCCAUUUCGCAAACACCAAACACCCUAUGAAUUCCUCAUUUUCCUCUGCCACCUUGCGACCUCAUCCAUAUCCAUUCAAUAUCCUGCCCCGUGCACAUCACUUUGAAGACUCACACUCCAAGCCAUAUUGGAGCACGGACCCGAGGAGCUCUUCCCGCCCCUUCACCGAGUCGCACUUUGAGACAAAUGGCCUCCACUGCUCAGGUAUCUAGUGAUUCUCCAUCUCAGGCCAUGGAGGCCCCGCGGAUUCCACCUUCUGAGGGUGGAGCGCCCACUAGUCCUUCAUUUUCGGCUCCUCAGCGCAGAUAUGAGAUGAAGAGACCACCUACUACACCAGGGGCGACUAUUUUACGCCCUGAGAGUUCAGUACGACGCCCUCCUACCAAGAGGGCUAGGACUUUAGGCUCAGACGAGUCAUCCAAAGCUCCACAGCCUGAGCCUCCGGUAGCUACACAUGCUAGAGCUCCUGCAGAUUCUGAGCUCCUUUUUGACAUGUCACUAGAGUCUAUUAUCAGACGCCCGAUGGUCACAACACCGCCCAUUGAGGGUAACUCAAAUUGUAGAGCGAGACCGUUCCACUCGGAGUUAUAUUUUGAUCAAGAGGUCACGCAACAGUAGCCUGAGCUCUGAGACUCAUAUGGCCUACUACAAAGGUACCAUCUUGAGCACCUUAUGACUCCUCGUGAGUUCUUUUAUCCUAAAGUAGCACUAGACUUUUACCAAUCCAUGACUACUCGUGGCGUCUCAAGUCCUACCGUGAUACACUUCACCAUUGAUGGACGUCAUGGUGUCCUCGAGGCCAGACAUAUUACAGAGGCUCUAUAGAUUCCUUUCGAGCCAGUGGAUCCGUUUGUUUUCUGCCAGUGGUCCCCAAUAUCUCAAAGGGACAUGGUCCGUAUUUGAUCCAGAAAGACCUCUUCAGAUUCAAUCCUUCUACGAAAGGAGCUUCCACCUGGGAUGCUCCUCAUAGAUGUGGUGCUAUGCUCCAACCUCUUUCCCUUACAGCAUUCGGUAUAGAGGUAAGGAGAUAUUUUGGACACUUUAUUUCGUAUAUCAGAGGGCUUCUACUUUGGCCCGCACCACUUGAUCAUGGCCUUUCUUGCCCACUUUGAGGAGAAGGUCCAUAGGUGAUUCGUGCCCAGCUGGUGUACCUUGAUUUUGGUCCUCAGACGGGAGUAAUCAACAAAAUUUAUAACCUAUUAUACCAUGUACUAGGAUAGCCUCAGCUAGCAUAGCAUAGUGCCUCUAGGAUCGUUCACUGGGAUGGGUUUUCACUUUACAAUUGAUAUUAGUUCAAAGCUGAAUUUGUGCUUUUUCAUUUCAAGGUUAGCUCUAAAAGAAAACAUAAAGAUGUUUGAAAAGGUUGGUUUUUAAGUGAAACAAAAAAUAAAGUAACGGGAAUUACUUACUAAGAAAAGCGUUUCUUGGAGUUUUAGGAUCACUGGGGUCAGGCUCCUCAUGCAAAAACAGAGCUCCUGUCACUUGAGUCUUUUCCUCGUGUUGGGGAUUUAACAUAUAGUUAUUUCCCGAACUGGUGUGGUACAGAUGCUUCCCUUUAAUGGGUUCAAACACUAAAUCCCUCUCACUGAUACAUCUUGCAAUGGUUCAUACCUCUCACCUAGCAUUGGCCAUUCAAGAUGAUCCUUAACUUUGGAUUACCCGUCAAAAGCUCGCAAGAGAUAACUAAUGGAUGUCUCCUUAGAGUCCAAAAGCUUACCAAGUGUUGGCUAUUCUAGAAAAUCCUACCUUUAAACCACCUCCCAAAGGCUCGCAAGAGGUAAACUAGUGCAUCUCAAUGGACGGAGAUCACUUGCCUUACCAAGUGUUGGCCCCGGUGAUUUCAAGGCGUUUUAAGUUAACUAAAAAGAUAAAAACCAUUAACGGGUUACACUUUCUCUUCAUUAGUAGCUGAAACAACAAAACUUCCAAUUUUUGCAUUUGGAAACUUACCCGGCUUUCUUCACUCCAAGAGACAAAAAGCUUAGCCACUCAUCCUCUGAGGAAACAUCCUUAGAGUUUGAUUUGUUAGAAAUAAAAAUAACGAGAAAACAAAAAUAUGAAGGAAAAACAGAGCAAGUGCUCUGUAGAAUAUUUUUCUUACUAUCGUCGAUUACAUAUCUGAUAUAUGAUUCCUCUUCUCUUUACAUUGGUUCAAAGAUAUAUAUAGAGAAGAUAUUUUCUAAGAAAUAUCCCAAUAAUAUCUUCGACUGAUUACAAGGAGAAAAUAGAAAUUUACACAAAAUAUCUUGAGAAAAAAUCUAACUUAGUCGGUGGCAAAUAUCUAAGUUUACACAGGUGGAUUUCACAAGUUUGAAUUGUCCAUUUUGCAAGUUGAAUUUGUGAUUUCACAACUUGGAGGUGAUUCCGCAACUUGGAGAUGAUUUGCAACUUGUUUCGUAGCUUGGAGGUGAUUUCGCAACGUGGUUCGCAGCUGCGAAGAUGGAGUUUCAACUUGCGAAGUGGCACACGUGUGCUUGGAGGUGGUUUCGCAGCUGUGAAACACCUUACUAAAUUUCGCAAGUAGAUUUUAUUUCGCAGCUCAUUUCGCAGCUGCGAAAUGGGCUUUGGGCUGUGAAAUUUUCGCAUAGCUUGAUGCAGUUGUCUUCAAACGGCCAUAACUUCUUCAUUUCAACUCCAAUUGACACAUCGUUUGAAGUGUUGGACUCCUGACUUCCUGAGCUUCGAAAAGACAUAUAGUAUGAAUGAAAUGGACUCCAGGAAGUACUCGAAAUGUGUCCAACAGUUGCUGUCCUCUUAAAUUUCUUCAUGUUAGAUUUCUCUCAUUUUCCUCCUUGCAUUCUUGAUUGACUUUGGCAAAGGACUACGAAGCUCCAAAGCUUGGAUUCUUCAUGUAAAUGAGCUUCCAUUUUCUUUGCCAUGGAUUAUAUAAAGCUCUCCCUCAUCUUAGAUUGCUUUGGUGAUCAAAAAGCUAUCAAAAACACCAAAACUUAACACAAUUUGAUUAGAAAUGAUUGCAAGGGUCCUUAACAUGCCAGUUGAGUCAAAAGGUAAUAACUACUACUCAAAAGUGUUUAAAAGAGUUAAUUACAAGCUAUAAAAUAACACUUUUUGAGUAGUAAUCAAUAGGAAGAAGCUUCAGAGGGCGGACACCAUUCCAUUACUAUUCCUAAGGUUGUUGUGCCAGAUAUUGGAGUAUAUGGGCUUUCCUACUAAGCCUCGGCUCAAGCGUCGUCGCCUUUGUCGAGAGCGAUUCACUCUCGACAAAUGAAAUUAGUUGGCGGGAUAUUCUGCACCUCCAGGAGCCCGUCCCAUGGUAUCACCUCCAGUGCCCCCAUAGCCAGAGCAGGGCAAGCUUCUGGCAGAGACUACACCACCAGUGCCCACACCUGAGGCUAUUUCUGCUACUCCCCCUAUGACUCCUACUGUUCCAUCACCAGUCACUCCUACUACAUCCAAGCCUUCCAUCACCAUAUCGGCUUCGAAAUUUCACACCCUUGUGCAUACCUUUUAGACACUGACCACCACACAUGCGGCUCUCUUCCAGUAGAUGGCUGACAUGCGUGCACAUCAGGACCAACAGACUGCUAUACUUCGCCAGAUUCAGCAGCACCUCAGACUUCUACCUCUACCUCAGCCUGAUCUUCUUGCAUCAUCAAAGCCUUUAGCUCCAACUGAGGACACUACCACGGUAGAGGUCCAGAUCCCACCACCUCAAGAGCCCACCACAAAUGCCAUUGCUUCACAUGAUCCUCAGGAUAACCCUCAGACAGUUAACACAAUCACAGCUACACCUGAGAAUGCAUCAUCUCCACCUGAGGCUCCCACUACUUGAUCAUAGGACAUCUCUUUAUCUUAUUGUAUUUACAUAUUAUAUUAGUGGAGAUUUGUCAUUGUUUUGAUGCUUUAUAUUCUGAGACUGGAUGUAUUACCUGAUCAUAUCUCAUAUUGUACUUUCUCAUAUUAGUAUAUAGACAUCAUAUUUUUUAUAUUACUUGGCAUUUUUCUAUUUCCUCUACUCAUUACCUUUUUGUUUUCUGACUCAUGUGGUUUCUCUUAUACAACUUAGACUUCAUUUCACUCAGGAGGUACCACUUUCUCCCUUUAUUUUCAAUUGCUCUUGACACAUUGAGGACAAUGUUGAUCUUGGUUGGGGGAAGAGUUGAGGAAGGAAGUUUUGUUAAUAAUGCUAGGUUAAUUUGUUAAUUUAGUUACUUUUUGCUUAAUUUUAAAAGUUUUUUUACCCUACUCUCCAUGGUUAUUAAGGAAAAAUUCUCAAAAUGAAAUGGGAGAAAUUGAGUUCUUGCAUUUUUACUUGAAUCUUAGAGUUUGUAUUAUGCUUAUUGAAGUUGAUGAAUUAUUGAAAAUCCUAUUGAAUUCAACCUUAUUUCUUCCACUUUAAUCUUACCACACAUUGUGCACAUUAGGUUCCAAUUAUAAGAUGAAAAACUAUCUCACCCCCUGAACUUAGGAAAAUUUUGACUUGGUACCUUUGACCUAAUUUUAAUAGUGUUGGGACACCUUAUAAAAGGCCAAUGAGCCUUAAAAAAAAGAAGAAGAAGAACAAAGUGUUUCACUUGCCUUGAAACCCGAGCAAGGUCCAAGGGGUAUAUAGCGAAAAUCUUUAAAACCCGGUGCCCUAAGCCUUGAUUGGUUGGGAGUCACCGACCUCAAUGCUCGUUACAAGGGUGAAUAGGUGGAGUUUAACAUAUUGUAGGUGCUUAGGUAUUGAAUUUCAAUCUCAAAAGUCCGGGAAAAAAUCUGAGGAGUUAGUGGUCAAAAGAUCCUUAAAGCUUGAUGCCCUAAACUUUGAUUGGUUGGGAGUCAAUGAUAGAUCCCCGUUACAUGGACACUUUAGAAAACAAUUCCUUCAGCAUUGCACUCCUACAAGAAAAAAAUGUGAAAUAAAAGAGGUGCGUUCUUAGCCUAUUGGAGGUUGGUCAGUUUGCUAAAGUUUGAGAAAGAACUAGGUUGGGAGGAGAGAAUAGUUCGACAUACUAUAAUCGGAAACUAAUAAGCUUAACACUUAGAUUUUUGUGUGAGAGUAAGAAUUAGACCUUUGGGAGUGGAAAUUCUUUUGAUGCUUAAAUUUGCAUAAUGCCUACUCUUUAUAAAUUGUGAUUAGGCAAGAAAUUUGAUGACUCUUGUUGAAGGUUGGGUUUUGCCUCUUUGAUAUUCCAUGAGAGAGUAUAAUUCGCAUCAUGCCACUUAAAUUUUUUUUAGAGUAAUCAGCAUGAUAUUGUAAAUUAUUUCACUGUCUAUUUUUCUUUAUCUCUCCUUCAUUGCUAAGGGACUACCAAUGUGUCGGUUGGGGGGAGUGAUUACUACUCAAAAAGUACUCUUUUAUAGCUUGAAACUAACUGUUUUAAACACUUUUGAGUAGUAGUUAAUACAUUUUAACUCAAUUGGCACAUUAAGGAACCUAGCAAGGGUUACUAAUCAGUUUUGACAAGUUUUGGUGUUUUUGGUAGCUAUUUGAUCAUUGAAACAAGCCAAGAAUGAGGGAGAAUUUUGUGAAAUCCAUGGCAAUGCAAGUUGAAGCUCAAAUACAUGAAGAGUCCGAGCUUUGAAACAUUUCAUAGCCCUUUGCCAAGCUUGGCAAUAGGUUGCCAAGCCAAUCAGAGAUGCAAGGAAGAAAACUAAAGGAAAAAGUCCAACAACCAGCAUUUUAGCAUGGCUAUGCGAAAAUUUCGCAUAGCAUGCGAAAUCAAGAGAAAGAGCAGCUGCAGGACUGAGUGAAAGACAAUUUCGCACACCAUGCAAAACCACAAAAAGCAGCCAAAGAAUUUCGUACACCAUGAGAAAUUUCACAUGGUAUGCGAAAUCCUCUUGUGCACCAACUCCGUUAGAUUUUUAUUUCCAGAUAUUUUGUAUAAUUUCCUGUUUUCUCCUUAUAAUCAAGCUAGAUAUUUUCAUAUAUAUCUUUUCUAGUCAUGAAAGAAAUUUAUUCAUGAAACACUUGUAAAAUUCCCGUAGAAGAAAUAUAUAGAGCUUUUGCUCUGCCUUUCCUUCUCAUUUUGUUUUCACUUUUCUUUUUAGCCAAAUAACCUCUGAGGAUGAUUUCUCAGGGGAUGAGUGGCUAGGUUUUAUGUUUCUUGGAGUGAUGGAAGCUAGGUGAAGGACCUGAAUGCAAAGAUGGGAGUUGUCCUUGCUUUAAAUGAAAGUAGUUGUUAACCAUUAAUGGUUUUUAUUUUAAGGUUUAGCUUUAAAUCCCUUAAAAUCACCUUGAAUGGCCAAUACUUGGUAAGCUUUUCAGAUUCUAUGGAUGCUUAUUGCUAGAUCCAUGGAUGUCCAUUAGUUAUCAUUUACGAGCCAUUGGAAGGUGGUUCAAGGUGAGGGUCUUUAGUGUUUGAAGCCAUUAAUGGGAAGCAAUUACCAUUUUUCAUGAAUCCUUUCGAUCAAAUCUUAAUUGCUAAAAAACAAAACCGGUUCGGGAGAUAACCAUCCUUUAUGUUAUUGUCCCCAACGCGAGGAGAAGAUCCAGAAUCUCCCCCUUUGCCUGAGAAACCCGAUCCUAGUGACCUAAAGCUCCAAGAGACCUUUUCUUUAUAGUUAACUUCACUUAUUAUUUUUGCUUAACUUAAAAUCAAUCUUUGCAACCACAAUUCCAUUUUCUUUAAAAGCUAAUUUUCAUAAGGAAAAACACCAUUUUAUUUCCUUCACUAAAAUCAACUGUACGAUGAAAACCCAUCCCUGUGGAUGAUCCUAAAGCCACUAUACUAUGUUAGUUAUGCUACUCUAGUGUAAGGUGAUUUAGGUUUUAUAAUUUUUUUGUUGAUAACACCCGUCUGGGCCAGAAUCAAAUGGCACGACUGCAAUGGGGACAAAUCACAUUGCUGAAAGAAGUGCUUGAGCCGCUCAAGCGUAAACAUUACUUGAGCCACUCAAGCACUAACAUUGUUUGAGCAUUGCAUUUCUUACCUACACUCUCGAGGUUGCUUCUGCACUUUUUUCAACUACCUUAAGCUUUAAAAUCUUGCCUUUUUUUGGUUGAGGAAUAUCCAUUGAACCGCUAUGAUUGGCGAAAUGCUUCCAUGCUCUCUUUGGGUUACAAGAUUGAUUAAAAACCAAAAUUUUACAUAAUCACAAGUCAUAUACUCCUCAAAAUGAGAGUUUAUAGUCAAUCUAGCCAAAAGGAAAAAAACUUUUAUAUCCAAAAAGAAAAUCCUAUGCUCUUAAUCACAAAGCUUACAACCUAAACUAGAAAACAAUAGAUUAAACCAAUAACAAUCAACUAAUCUGAACAUAAUAAUGAUAUUCAUUCAUCCAUUUAGGCCAUGGGAUGAAUAACCAAACUUAAAAAAAAAAAACAAAAAAAAAAACCAUGAGCACCCUCUAGAAUAGAUCUAGCUAACAAGAACAUAACCUGAGGCUCUAAUACCAAUUACCAGGAAUACUAGAUUUCUCUAUUCCCUGUCCCUGGAUCUAGUAGGGUGCAUGCAUCUAUGCUAAGCACCUCUAAAUCUAUUACAAUGGAAACAUAUGGCUACAAAACCAUAUAAAGAUAAAAAUCUAGAGAAAACAAAGCUCAUACCGAAUCUAGAUGUUCCUAGAUCAAUUCCAGAUGGUGAAGAACAUGCUUAAAGGUCUCAUACACUCAAGAUCUUCCACCUGAUGACUCGAACCACAAUCUUGGUACUCCAAAGUGUGGGCUUUGGAAGAGAUGAAGAUAUGACUCUCUCUAUCUUUCUUUAGAGAUGAAAGAUGGAUCUCAUCAAAAAGUGGUGGAAACAUUAACCCCUAAGGGGGUAUUUAUAGGGUUCCCCUACUAAGCUUAAGUGACUUAAGCUCACCAAAGCUUGGGUCACUUAAUCUAACCUAAAACUAGUUCUAAUUGAUUAAUUAACCACAUAGAGUCAUCUAAUUAAUCAAUUAGCCCAAUCUAGAGACCUUGUUCACUAUCUCCUGUGCAACCAUGAAUCAUUACCAAAACAACCUUAUACACAAAAGUGAAUAUUGGCUCUCUUAGAAUUCAAUUCUAAAAUUGAUUCAACAUUCCACUAAAGAUAAUCAAUUGCACUCCAGUACCCUAUGUAAAUAACAACAAAAUGAAGUUUGAGUUCAUGACCUACUAUCCAUUACAUGCAGACUCCCCAUGAAUCGGUAUUUGUAAUUUAACAAGGUAGUAGUAUCACUUAUCAAGAUUACCUCUCCAAUCCUUGAGUUAAAAAUCUCAUUUGGAUCACCCAAGAAGACACAUUGUCUCCAUGAGAUGUCAUGAUGUCUCUAUUGAGAAUACUUGUUGUCACCAGCCUCCAUCAAUAGUGACCCAAUCCAUAAAGAUAUAUAACCACUUUAGGAUCUCACCCACCCACAUGUCCAAUCCUCAUGUUGAUUUUGAGACAGGCUCAAUAUGCUCUCAAGUUUGCAAGUCAAUCCAAUAUAGUAGUUUGUUGAAUCAUGACAAUUAAUAGUCUUGUGUCAUGAUUCAUCAUAGCUCUUUUCUAGUAGGCAUGACAUACACUAGUGCAAACAUCAUAGGAAACUCAUCCCAACAAUCAAGACAAGUAAUCCAUUCCAUUAGGAGAUGGUGUACUACAAUCUCUAAUGGAUUGCACAAAUCUAUGAACCAAUUAUGGACAACUUAUAUAUCUACUUACAAGAAACCCUUGACUUGUAUCUUUUGUGCAACUCCUAAGGCACUCAAGUCAUGUACAAUUUAAGAGAUAUAAACUAAAUGCUCAAAUCAAUGUCAAUACACCAAAGGGAUAACGAUGGGAUAGUCAAGUCUAAUUUUGUUACAUCAUGUCUUACUUUUAGGAUCUCAAUCCCAACAGUAUCACAUGGUAGUAGAAGAUAUAUGUUGAACUUUAUUGAUUAUUACUCUAGAAAGGUCUGGGUAUAUAUAUUCAAACACAAGAAUGAUGUCUUUGGGUAGUUCAAACAAUGGAAAGCUAUGUUCAAGAAGCAAACUAGAAAAUAAAUCAAGCACUUGAGAAUUGACAAUGGUAUGAAAUUUAUAUGGGAAGAGUUUAAUGAGUUUUGCAAGAAUGAAAGUAUUGUGAGACAUUACAUAGUUAGGCAUACUCCACAUAAAAAUGGUGUUGCAAAACAAAUGAAUGGAACUCUUUUAGAGAAAGCAUGAUGCACGCUUUCAAAUGCAGUGUUGUCAAAUGGAAUUUUAGGCUGAAGUGAUAAAUUCUACUUGUUAUCUUGUGAAUAGAUCUCCUUCAAUUCCUAUUAAUUAUAGGACUCCUGAAAAGAGAUGGUCUGGUUCUCUUUCUAAUUAUGGUAAUUUAAGAUUUUUUUUUUUCUUGUCCUACUUAUACUCAUGUAAAUGAAGGUAAGUUGGAACCAAGGAGAAGGAAGUGCAUAUUGUUAGGAUAUGCAGAUGAAGUGAAAGGGUACAAGUUAUGGUGACUAGAGUCAAAAUUCUCUAAAUUUAUAAUUAACAGGGAUGAGACUUUUAAUGAGUUUGAAAUGUUGUAUCCUAGGAAUGAGUAACUUGAUGUAGGAAACAACCCUAGUAUGAGAGAAAAUGUGGAGUUUGUGUCUAAAGCUUUAGAAACCAUAGAAAAAAAAAAUUAAAUAAGGCCAAAAGAGGAAGAAAUGCAACAUCUUAAUGAUAAAGAAAACGCACCAUAAGAGCAACAAUAUUAUUUAGCCAAAGAUAGAACAAAGAGGCAAAUUAAACCACCACAAAGGCAUGCUUAUGUAGAUUUGGUUGUUUAUGCACUUAGUAUGGUAAAGAACAUUAUUGAAAAUGAGGAACCACACACUUAUCAUGAAGUCAUCACUAGUAGAUGGUCUACACAAUGGAAUGUUGCUAUGAAUUAGGAGAUUAAAUCUCUUCAAAAGAACUAUACUUAACAACUAGUUGAGAAACCUAAAAACUCAAAAGAUUGUUGGUUGCAAAUGAUUCUUCAAAGAAAUGAAGGAAUUUCGGGAGUGGAGGAUGCUAGGUUCAAAGCACACUUAGUGGCAAAGGGUCACACACAAAAGGAGGGGGUGGGUUUCAAUGAAGUGUUUUCCCUAGUUGUGAAGCAUAACUCAAUUGGAGUGUUACUUGUUAUGGUUGUUUUAUUUAAUUUAGAAUUGGAGCAACUUGAUGUCAAGACUACUUUUUUACAUGAUAAGUUAGAAGAACAAAUUUAUAUGCAUCAACCUAAGGGAUUCAUUAUUUCGAGAAAAGAAAACCAUGUUUGUUUGCCGAAGAAAUCUCUUUAUGGUUUGAAGCAAUCUCCUAGGCAAUGGUAUAAAAGGUUUGAUACUUUUAUUAUUUGUAAUGGCCACCACAAGAGUGAGUAUGAUAAUUGUGUUCAUCAUAAGGAAUUGUUUGAUUAUUCUUUCAUUUAUUUAUUGUUAUAUGUUGAUGAUAUGUUAAUUUUCUACAAGAAUAUGUGAUAACCCGACUCUUGGUAGCUUGGCAUGUAAGGGUAUCAACAAAAUUUACACCUAAGGUCCUUACACUAAAGUAGCAAAGCUACUAUAGCAUAGUGGCUCUAGGAUCGAACACUGGGAAGGGUUUUUACUUUAACUGGUGAAGUUCGGAGGAUGGAGUGAACUUUUCUUAAUAAAAAUUAGGUUAAGAUGAAAACAUAAAAAGAUGAAGGCGUUGUAAACUAAACUAACAUGAAAAUAGGUUAAAAGAUGGAAAAAGAAGUUUCUCAAAGCUUUGGAUAGCCAUGCUUAACUCACUGUGUAAAAAUGGAGAUUUUGGGACUCUUCACCUCGAGUUGGGGAAGCAACUAAGGUGAUGCUUACUUCCCGAACCGGUAUGAGUUUAACAACUGAGUUUUAGUCCUUGAAAACUUACAAAAAGGGUAGCUGAACCUCAUAAAUGCUCUUUUAUUAGUAUAGGUCAUCUCCUCGACUUGCAAUACAAUGGCUCGUAGGAGAUAAUUAAUGAACGUCAGUGGAUCUAACAAUAAGAAUCCACUGAGACCAAAAGGUUAUCAAGUAUUGGCCAUUCAAAGCAAGUUAGAGGGAUUAAAAGCUUUACUUUGAAUGAAAACAUUUAUGACGCUUAGCUACUUACAUUUAUGGCUUGGAAAUCUUCAUCGUGACACGGGAGCUUCACAUGGCAUCCAUUACUUCAAGAAACUAAAAGGAUUUAGCCUUUCAUCCUUGGGGAUUUCAUCCUCCAAGGAUGUUUGGCUACUAAGAAAAUGAGAAAGAAAAGAGAAAAGAAGCGUAUGAACAGAAGUGCUCUUAUAACUUAUAAAGUUACAGGUUACAAGAUGAUCGUGUCUGAGGCUCUUCACCUCUAUUUAAAGACAAUAAAAAGCUAAAUUACAAGAGCUAUUACAAAAGCAACCUUUUCAUUGGUUGAUUACAAGGGUAAAAUAGAUUUUUACAAAGCUAAAAGUCAAGCAAAAUAUCUUGGAGAACCGGCAGUGGAAUAUCAUCAACAGCGUCUCAAAACAGGGGAUUUCAAAGGCAUUUCGCAAAGGGGGGGAGGGGGAGGGGAAGAUGAAAGGUCCAAAUUUUGCAAGGUGCCUAAAUCCAGCUUGCGAAAUUUCGCAAGGUGGUUUCUUCAUGGUGCGAAAUGGCCAAAUUUCGCACCAUGAGGAAAAUCCCCUUGCGAAAUUUUGGCAAGGCGAAAUUCACCUUGCGAAAUGGUGUUCCCAUUGCUUGUGCUCGUGUUUCCACUUGAAAUUCAAGCCUGUAAACGUCCAAAAUCCUUGCUUAACUCACCCAAGUAGCUCCUCCAUCAAUUGGUAUGCUUGAAUUGGUUCAUAAGCUGAUGAAAAACAUGUAAACUUGCCACUAAAAAUGGUUAGAACUAAUUACUAAGGAGCUUAAUGAAUUAAUUGGGUUAAAUGAAUAUGAUUACUACACAAAGGUGCUUAAAACCCUUAUAAUUAGGUCUACAAAAUAGCACUUUUUGGUAGUAAUCACACCCCCCAACCGACUCAUUGCUAGUCCCUUAGCAAUGGAGGAGAUAAAAACUAAGCAAACAUAAUAAUAUACAUAAAAGAGGUCAUGCAAAUCACUCCAAAAAAUAAUUGAGUGGCAUGACUGAUAUCAAAACACAUCUCACAUGGUGAACUAAAGAUAUGAAGAUUCAAAAUGCAAUAGGAGUUGUCAAAGCUAAAACUUAAACAAAAAGUACAAAGAGUGGAGAUUAUGCAAUUAAGUAUCAAAAGAAUCUCUACUCUCAAGGUUCCGAAUCAAACUCUUCCAUAAUGAGCUAAGUGUUAAUGAGAUUAGCUUCCAGAUAUAGUAUGUACAACUAUCCUCUCCCCCCAACCUAAGCUUUUCUCGAACUUUGGCAAAAUUAACCAACUCUUAAUAGGUUAGGAACGCACCUUCUUAUUCACAAUUCUUUUUAUUCACUAAACUUAACCAAUUCACCUAUGUAGCAAGCAGAGGAUCGAUGACUCCCAACCAAUCAGGGUUUAGGGCAUCGGGUUUUAAAGGCUUUCGCCACCCAUUCGGAUCAUGCUUAGGUUUCAAGGAAAGAAUAGAAGCUUAUUCUCUUUUUUUUUUUUUUUUUUUUUUUUUUUUAAGACUCAUUGGUCUUUUUGAGGUGUCCCAACACUAUUAAAAAGAGGUUAAGUAAUGAACCAAGUCAAAAUUUUCCUAAGCUUAAAGGGUGAGAAAGUUUUACAUCAUAUAUCCGAGAUCUAAUGUGCACGGUGUGUGUAAAGCUUGAAAUGGAAGAAAAAAGUUCGAAAUCAAAGAGGGUUUCAAUAGAUUAUCAACUUUGAAAGCAUAAAACAAACUCUAAGACUUAAGUAAUUAAGUUAAAACUCGACUUAUCCUAUUUUAUUUUGAGAAAUUAUCUUUAACAACCAUAGAGAAUGAAACAAAAAUUUUUGAAAAAGGUCAAAAACUACUAAAUCAACAAAAUAACUAACUAAAAUAGGAAAUACUUACUUCCUCAACUCUCCCCCCAACCGAGAUGAACAUUGUCCCCAAUGUUUCUAUCGAAAAAGACGAGGAAGGAAUGAUAUACCUUAUGGUGAUGUGGUAUUCAAGGCGUGUGAGUGCAUCCACAUGAUUCAAAAACCAUAAGAAACGUGAGAGAGGAAAUAAGAUACAAAAAAUGAUGCUUAUAUAAACUGAGAGAGUUGAGUACAAGAUAUAAGCAUGAGGUACAUACAAUCUCAGAAUAUAAAACAUGUAUCAUAUACAAAAUGGAGAUAGAAAUAUCCAAUCAUGGAUGUGGCUCCUGAGGUGGAGGAGGUGAUAUGCCCAGGUGAUGGUGGAUCUGAGAGAGCAUGGCGGAGUGCUGGUCCAGGAUAGCUGUAUGCUGAGCCUGAAUAGAUGUAUGCUGAGCCUGAUGUGUCUGUAUGGUAUCCAUCUGUCGUCUGAUGGCCUGCAUCUCACGGACUAAGGUGGCCUGAGAGGUGCUCAAUGAGUGAAAGGACGACAUGAGAGCUCUGAACUCUGUAGCGGAGACAGCAAUGGAUGGCCCGGCUGAAGACUCAGCAUAGGCUGGAGCAGGAGUGACUGGUGGUGUGGGAGUAUCAGUAGUGCAAGUCACUAGAGCAGGUACUGAAGAAGAAGGCUCUGUGGUAUGUGGGUCCUGCUCUGGUGAUGUCUGUGCUGUAGGUGCUGAGGUUGCUGGAGAAUCGGGAGGCGCUGGAGAAGCUGGAGGCGCGGGAGCUAAUGGUCUAGGGAUACCCUAGUCCAUGGGUGAGAGGUCUAAGAAAUGGGUCCAACUCUCACUGGUAAAGAGCUCUCGACAAUGAUGACGACGCUCUAGAUGGGGCUGAGAAGGGUAUCCCAUAUCCUCUAAGACCUGAGAGAUCAGCCUUGGAAAUAAGAGUGGAAUAGUACCAGCUCUGUGUAGGCGCUUCCUAUGCACCUUCUCCUCAAAAUAGGUAAGAGUAGCCAUGACUAGAUGGUGGGGUCCAAAGUAGAAUCCCUCAGAGAUGCGGUAAAGCGCAUCUAAGAUAGCACCUCUCCUCUGGACGACAUGCUGGAGGGGAAAAAGAUUGGUGCGGAGCACCAAAUCGAUAAGUAACAUCUGUGGAGGAAGCUCCCUCCUCAAAAUGGUCCUACCAGUGACUCUACCUCCUGAUAAGGUAGACACCAUGUCGGGCUCUGAAUACUGAGACCAAUGCCGGAAGGAACCAAGGUCCUCAAGGAUAGGCGGAAAAUGCAUAGCGGCGGCUAUAUCUCGGGCCUCUAAAAUACCAUGCUGGCCAUCAAUAAAAAAAUGAAUGGCUAUGGGGUCCGGACGCCUCUAGUAGUCAUAGUCUGGUAGAAAUCUAAGACUACCCUAGGGUAAUAGAAGGACCUAGGAGUCAUAAAUGGCUCGAUGUGGUACCUCUACAGAAGGCGGUAUGACUCCUCUAGCUCUGGUAAUAGGCGGAGAGUCUCAUGCUCCAUACAGAUCUCGUAGUGAAAUGGCCUAUCUCUGAUAUCCGUGUUGCCUGGGAGGGGUGGCCCUACUAUCAUAGGCCGCUUGAGGACCUCUGCUAGGUGUGAAGGGCCUGGGAUAGUAGAUAUUGGAGGUGAUGGAGGGGCUCUGGAGGACUCGCCUGGUCCUGAAAUCCUAGUCCUCUUAGGUGAAAGACUGCUCACAAGGGGUGGCAUUGGUGCCCUGGAAGACCCAGAUGAUCGUCUGGUCCCGUACCCGUGCUGAGUAGAGGGAACUGGGGUCUGGGCAGGCUGAGAUGGUGUAGAACGACCACCUCUCUGUGAGUGGGCCCCACGCUGACUAGCUGAAGAGGAUGCCCCCCGUGUCUGUGCCAUGGUAUAAAUACUGAAAUAAGACUGAAAAGCACGAAAAAUAGAGCAUCCCUGAUUACUACCAAAAAGUGCUAUUUUGUAGACCUAAUCAUAAUGGUUUUAAGCACCUUUGAGUAGUAAUCAUAUUCAUUUAACCCAAUUAAUUCAUUAAGGUCCUUAGUAAUUGGUUCUAACCAUUUUGUGGUAAGUUUUGGUGCUUUUUGAUAGCUUUUUGCUCACCAAAGCAAUCCAAGAAUGAGGGAGAGCUGUAUAUAGUUCAUGGCAAAGCUUUUGAAAGCUCAAAUUCAUGAAGAAACCAAGCUUUGGAGCUCAAUAACCCUUUUCCAAAGUCGUUCAAAGUAUGCAAGGAAAGAACAAACGGAGAGAGGAAAACAGAGUAAGGAAAAUAGGGGACAGCAACUGCAGCCUUCCUUCGCACUUUUAGAGCACUUUCCGAAGUUCAUUUUCUACAUGCUAUAUACCAUUUCAAAGCUCAGGAAGUCAAGAAUCUAAAGCUUCAAACCGUGUACGAUUUGGAGCUGAAAUGAGGAAGAUAUGGCCUUAGGAAGACAACUGCAUCAAGCUAAAGGACAAUUUCGCACCUUGCGAAAUUGGAACUCCAACGUGCGAAAUUUAAAGUGGAUGGCAGCUGUGUAGUUGCGGUGAAGCCCAGCAUGCGAAGUUGAUUUUGCAACUUGUGGACUUGGAUCUCAACAUGAGAAAGUGAAUUCUAAGUUGCGAAAUCAACUUGCGAAAUUUUCGCAAGUCACCAUGCAACGUGCGAAACUGGGAUAUUUAUGCCGACUCUUUUUCUUCUGAUAUUUUUGUGUCUAAAUUUCCAUUUUCUCCUUGUAUUCAGCCACUCAUGUAAUUCCUUAGCUAUGAAGUAUCCAAGGAAGGGUAAAUUACCUUCCUAUAUAAACUCUCUUGUAAACACUGAAAAAAGGACUCUCGGGGAGCUUUUUCCAAGAGACCAACUUAUGUAAAUUUUACACUUAGUGAAAUACAGAGAUCUCUUUUGCUUUCUUUUUCUCUCUACUAUUUUCUUUUUCUUGGAAGCCAAACAGCCUCUGAGGAUGUUUUCCCAGGGGAUGAGAGGCUAAACUUAUAGUUUCUUGGAGUGAAGGAAGCUAGGUGAAAAGUCCAGAUGAAAAGGUGGAAAGCUUCCGUGCAUUAAAUUCAGGUAGUUGGAGUUCAUAAAUGGCUUCUAAAUCCAAAGUUUUGCUUUAAAUCCCUUAGAAUCACUUUGAACGGCCAAUACAUGGUAAGCUUCAGGUCUCUGUGGAUGCUUAUUGCUAGAUCCAUAUCAGUCCAUUAGUUAUCAUGUACGAGCCAUUGGAAAGUGGUUCAAGGUGAAGACCCAUAGUGUCUUAAGCCAUUAAUGGACCUUGACUAUCAUUUCUAUUGACUUUUUAUAGAUUAAAUCUUCAUUGUUAAACCUAUACCGGUUCGGGAAAUAACUAUAGGUUAAAUCCCCAAUGCGAGGAGAAAAAUCCGGAAUUUCCACUUUGCAUUCUGAACUUGAUCCUAGCAACCCUUAGCUCCGGGAGACUUUCUUUCUUCCAUUUUUACUUAGUUCUAUGUUAGUUUAAUUUCAGUCACCACUUGCAAAACAAAUUUUAUUUUCUUUUAAACUUCAAGUUUAUGAUAAAGGAAAUCAUCAGACUCAAUUUCUAAUCUAGAGUCUGUCACUGAUAGAGUGAAAACCCAUCCCUGAGUUCGACCCUAGAGCUGCUAUACUAUAGUAGCUUUGCUACGCCAGUAUAAGGUCAUAGGAUUUAUAAAUAUUUUUUUAUUAAAAGACCCGACGGGGUAUGAAUAAAUCCCAGGGGUAAAGUGUCAAAAAUAUAGUUGAAAUGGUAACCAGUGCAAAAUUUGCAAGGCAUGAAUAGUGGUUGCUAAAUUUGGCAACGGGCACUAUUCACGCAACACUAAUCACAGGCACUAUUCAUCUUCUUUUCCAAUGCUUACUUUGAAUUUGAGUUUUCAUUUUUAACGGUUUAAAGUUCAGAAAAAGGGUAUGGUUUUAAUGGAAACAUGAUUCUAAAUGCAAUGGAGUAAGUUUGGGAGCCUAAAACACAUUGCAAGAUAGAGAUUUUUGCAAAAAUGGUGGCCGGCCAUGUGGGUCUUUGAUUUGAAAAAAUGGAUUUUUGAAAUGGUUUUAAUGGAUGAAAAUGCAUGUUUAUGGUCCCUUAAACAUUGAAAUGACAUAAACAAGCAAUUUAAGGAGCCAAAAAUGGAGAAAAAUGAAAAAUUAUUCACCUUGGAACAAUGAAGCACGCGGCCUAGAGAGGAAAUGCAAGGGGAAUAGUGUUUUAUGCAUGAAAAAUGAAGUUGAGAAGGCUUUAAAAAGGGUUUUUGGCCAUGAAUUUUUUUUUGAAAAUUUGUCUAAGUACGGGGAUGAACUGAGGAGUGUUAAAACUACAAAAUUGAAGUUUGAAAAUGAAUUUAAAAAGAAUCAAAUCCUUGGUAAGCAUGAAGAAAAAAUUUCGCAAGGUGAAAAUUCACCUUGCCAAAUUUUCGCACUGGCUACUCCCCUUAAAAACCAAUUCCGAGAGGUUGUAAAUUGCAUCUUGCCAAAAUGUGCAUUUCGCAAGGUGAAAAUUGACUUGCGAAAAUUUUCGCACUGGUUACUCCUUGCGAAAGUGCAAUCCCAGCGAAAGUGCAAUCCCGAGAGGUCGUAAAUUGCAUCUUGCCAAAAUGUGCAUUUUGCAAGGUGAAAUUCACCUUGCCAAAUUUUCGCAACUCACUUUUUGAGUUGCGAAAUGGGCUUUUAAGCUUGGACUUAGAUAUAUUUCUCCCCUAUUUCACCUUUCUCUCCACAUUUAUGAGCUUGUGAGCUUUUGUACCUGCUAUUGGACAUCAAAGCUCCAUUAAAAACAUUAAAAAAUCAAAAUCAAAACUAAGAAACCUAAACAAAAUAUGUGCAAAAGUAUUAAAAAUGCAAAGUAAACAAGAAUGUAAUACUAAAAUUAAAACAAAAAGAGAUGAGCACUUAACUUUUCAUGCUAAGCUCAUCAACUUACCACACUUUCUCAAGGAUGUGAUGGGUCAUGGAGGAUGAGUACCUCCUUGUCACGGGAAAAUGGCUCGAUGUAGGGUUUGAGUCUUUGCCCAUUUACCUUGAAGAUCUUUGCACUUUUUGAAUUGAGUAACUCAAUUACUCCAUGUGAGUGUACUUGGUGGAUGACAAAAGGCCCUACCCACCUUGAUUUGAGCUUUCCCGGAAAUAUGUGAAGCUUAGAGUCAUAUAGCAAGACUCUUUGUCCCUUGAAAAAUUCUUUCUUGGUCACCAACUGAUCAUGCCAUCUCUUUAGCUUUUCCUUAGCUAUUUUUGAGUUGAGAUAGGCAUCAUUUCUCAAUUCCUCAAGCUCAUUCAAAUCCAAACUCCUCUUUAGCCUAGCCUUUGUUAAAUCCAUGUUGAGCUUUUUAAUGGCCCACCAUGCCUUGAACUCAAUCUCAACGGGAAGAUGGCAAGCUUUGCCAUAAACAAGACAGUACGGUGACAUCCCAAGGAUAGUCUUAUAAGUCGUCCUAUACGCCCAUAGGGAAUCAAGGAGCUUAAACAAACCAAUCUUUCUUAUUGGUGUUCACCACCUUCAUCAAGAUGUUCUUAAUUUCCCGGUUGGCUAGCUCUACUUGGCCACUCGUCUGAGGAUGAUAAGGUGUAGCUACCUUAUGCUUAAUUCCGUACUUGGCCAAAAGAGCUUCAAAGGGCUUGUUGCACAAGUGAGUGCCUCCAUCACUGAUGAUUGCUUUAGGCACUCCAAACCUCGAGAAGAUGUUUUCUUUUAGGAACUUGAGAACCACUUUGUGAUCAUUGGUUCCACAGGGUAUAGCUUCAACCCACUUUGAAACAUAAUCAACUCCUACCAAGAUGUAGGAGUGGCCAAAAGACAUAGGGAAAGGUCCCAUGAAGUCUAUGCCCCAAACAUAAAAAAGAUCCACUAUCAAGAUGGGGUUCAAAGGCAUCAUGUUUCUCCUUGAAAGCUUGCCUAGUCUUUGGCACUUAUCACAUCCUUUACUUACCUCAUGGGCAUCCUUAAAAAGUGAGGGCCACCAAAAGCCCGAUUGAAGAACUCUCAUUGCCGUCUUUUGAGAGGCAAAGUGGCCUCCACAUGCAUUCCCAUGGCAAUGAGAUAGGAUCCCAUGCUUCUCUUUUUCAGGCACACACUUCCUUAUAAUUUGGUCUGCACAAUACUUGAAGAGAAAAGGCUCCUCCCAAUAAUAUGCAUGGACCUUGGCAAAGAAAUUCUUCUUGUCCUGAGAGCUCCAUUCACUUGGUAUUUCUCCCGUGACCAAGUAAUUGGCAAUGUGUGCAAACCAUGGCACUUCCUCCACAAGCAUCAAGGAUUCCUCAGGGAAAUCAUCAUUUAUGGGAAGUCCAUGGGUGUCAUGAGCGAUGUUGAGCCUUAACAAGUGGUCAGCUACCACAUUCUCAAUACCUUUCUUAUCUCUGAUCUGGAGGUUGAACUCUUGAAGCAAAAGUAUCCACCUAAUCAACCUAGCCUUGGCAUCUUGCUUGGUUAGCAAAUACUUCAAAGCUGAAUGAUCCGUGAAUACCACAAUGGAAGACCCUAUCAAAUAAGCUCUGAACUUAUCCAAAGCAUACACCACAGCAAGUAAUUCCUUCUCAGUGGUGGUGUAAUUCCUUUGAGCAUCAUUCAAAGACUUGCUUGCAUAGUAGAUCACAUAAGGUUUACCAUCUUCUCUUUGUCCCAAAACAGCCCCAAUGGCAUAAUCACUUGAGUCACACAUCACUUCAAAUGGCAACUCCCAAUUUGGUGCUCUCAUAAUGGGCGCUGAUGUCAAGAAUUGCUUAAGAAGCUCAAAACUCCUUUGACAUUUAUCAUCCCACUCAAACUUGGCAUCCUUCACCAAUAAUUCACAAAGAGGUUUGGCAAUCUUGGAAAAAUCCUUUAUAAACCUCCUAUAGAACCCGGCAUGCCCAAGGAAUUGCCUUAUUCCUUUUACAUUGGUGGGAGGUGGCAACUUCACAAUUAGUUCCGCCUUAGCUCUAUCUACCUCUAUACCCUUCUUUGAGAUUACGUGCCCAAGAACAAUACCUUGAUUUACCAUAAAAUGGCACUUCUCCCAAUUGAGUACUAGGUCUUUCUCUAUGCAUCUUUUCAAAACAUCUUCAAGAUGUGACAAACAAUCCUCAAAAGAAGUCCCAUACACAGUUAUGUCAUCCAUGAAGACUUCCAUGAUUCGUUCAACCAUGUCACUGAAGAUGCUAAGCAUGCAUCUUUUGAAGGUAGCAGGAGCGUUGCAUAAUCCAAAAGGCAUCCGCCUAUAAGCAUAGGUGUCGAAUGGACAAGUGAAGGUAGUCUUCUCCUGGUCCUCCACAUCAAUCUCUAUUUGAAAAUACCCGGAAUACCCAUCCAAGAAGCAAUAAAAAGGAUGCCCAGAUACUCUCUCAAGGACUUGAUCCAUGAAAGGUAAAGGGAAGUGAUCCUUUCUCGUUACUGUGUUCAACUUCCUGUAGUCAAUGCACACCCUCCAACCAGUUGUGAGGUGUGUGGACACUUCAUCUCCAUUUUCCCCCUUGACUACGGUUAUCCCGGACUUCUUUGGAACAACUUGGGUUGGACUCACCCAAGUGCUAUCUGAAAUGGGGUAAAUGAUGCCCGCUUGAAGAAGCUUCAACACUUCAGCCCUUACUACCUCUUGCAUAUGAGGAUUCAAUCUCCUCUGUGGCUGACGAGUUGGCUUAGCUCCCUCCUCCAUAUAAAUAUGGUGCGUGCAAAUCAAUGGGCUUAUCCCCUUCAAAUCAGAAAUUUGCCAUCCGAUGGCCUUCUUGUGCUUUCUAAGGAUUCUUAGAAGAUUGUCCUCUUGUGAAACGGUUAAAGAAGAAGAAAUUACCACUGGGGCUUUAUUGCCUUCCUCCAAGUAAGCAUACUUCAACUCGGCAGGAAGGGUCUUCAAUUCAAGCUUAAGGAUUGCAUCCUUAGCUUCUUUCAUCUCUUCCUCAUCCUUGAACAAAGGGAGGAUCACUGGCUUUUGUCUCCAGUUUGACAUAACAGCAUUCAUUCCCAUGGGUUCAGCUAACCCAUCAUUAAGAUCUUCAUGGAUUUCAUCUGGAUUCUCUUCAAACUAAUCAAGCAUACUCUGAUUACAAUGCUCCUCCACCAGGGUAUCUAUCAUACACACUUCUUCUAGGCCCUCAUCUUCUUCAGGAUGGAUGUGCUUUUGACAUAGAUGGAAGAUGUUGAGUUCCAAUGUCAUAUUCCCAAAAGUGAGUUGCAUGACCCCGUUCCUACAAUUGAUGAUUGCAUUGGAUGUUGCAAGGAAUGGUCUUCCAAGGAUGAUUGGAACAUAGUUGAUCCCUUUGACAAUGGGAUCCGUAUCAAGCACCACAAAAUCUACUGGAUAGUAGAAUUUGUCAACUUGAACCAAUACAUCCUCUAUUACCCCCCUGGGGAUUUUCACUGAUCGGUCAGCUAAGGAUAGGGUGAUCGAUGUUGGCUUGAGUUCUCCCAACCCCAGGUCCUUGUAUAUAGAGUAUGGAAGCAAGUUAACACUUGCCCCCAAAUCAAGCAAUGCCUUCUCCACUUGGGUUCCUCCAAUAUUGACUGAGAUUGUAGGACACCCCGGAUCUUUGUAUUUGAUUGGAGAGUUGCAUUAGAUUAUAGCACUCACUUGCUCGGUUAGGAAGGCUUGCUUUGUAACAUUGAGUCCUCUUUUCACAGUGCACAAGUCCUUCAAAAACUUUGCAUAUGUGGGUACUUGCUUGAUCAUAUCAAGUAAAGGAAUAUUCACCUUCACUUGUCUUAGCACAUCAAGAAUCUCAGAAGCAUUCUUGAUUGGUUUCUUCCCACGCAAGGCUUGAGGAAAUGGAGGAGGCAUGUGCUUCUUCAUCAUGCCUUCCUUUAAAAGAAUUUGAGGUUCCUCAUCCAUGCUAGGAAUGAUGCUUUCUUUCAUCUGAACUUCCUUACCCUUUUGUUCUUUCUUCUUUUCUUCUUUUCUAUCAGCCUUGUCUUCGUUGGCUUUCCUCUGAUCAUGCUCCGGCUGAUGCACUUCCUUACCACUUCUCAAAGUGAUAAUAGCUUGCACGUCCCUCACCUUUGAAGAAUCCUCAUCUUUAGAUUCCACUUCAUGUAUCCCCUUAGGAUUUUGGUGAGGCUGAGAGGGAAACUUCCCUUUCUCAUUGACAGUGUUCAAAUUUGUAAGCCUUGAGAUGGAAUAUUGGAUGUUGUCAAUUUUCUGAGACAACUCAUUAUGCAUCCCAUCUAUCUUCUUGUUCAAUGUACUCUCUACGUUGUCAAUCUUCUGAUUUAGUUGAGAGUUGAUGGAUUUUUGGUCACUCACAAAGUCACCCAUAACCUUGCUAAGGCUUAUGAGUGCUUGCUCAACUGAGGAUUGACCUUGACUCUGUUGGCUUGAUUGGGCUGGUGACUGAUAUGGGUUUGGCCUUGGCUUCCAUGCAAAUUUUGGGUGGUUCCUCCAGCUAGAGUUGUACGUGUUGCCAUAGGGAGCAUUUGAAUUUGGCUUCCAUUGGCCAAUCAGGUUAGCUUGUUCCUCGAACAUUUCUCUUGCUGCUGGAAUGGUGGGACAUUCUUCCACCAUAUGUUCAAAUGACUAACAGAUGGAGCAAGGAUUGGCUUGUUGUUGAGGUUCUGAAAUAGCUUGGACUUCGUGAACUUUUCUCAACUCCAUUUCCUCCAUUUUUCUAGCCAUGGCAGCUACCUUGGCUUUCAUCUCCAUGUCUUCACUCAGAUUGUACAUCCCCCCUCUUGACAUUUGCUGAACUGGCCUCUUCCCCAUUUCUCUGUUAUUGGGCUCAUCCCAUCCACGGGAAACCUCUGAGACAUAACUUAGGAAAUCCAUAGCCUCCUCAGGGUUCUUGCUCAUGAAAUCACCCCCACACAUUGUCUCCAAUAUCUGCUUCAUUGAAGAUGACAUGCCAUCAUAAAAAUAGCUCACCAACAGCCAUGUAUCAAAGCCGUGGUGAGGACAUGCAUUGAUGGCCUCCAUAUACCUCUCCCAGUAUUCAUAAAAUUUUUCAUUCUCACGUGCUGAGAAGUUGGAGAUUUGUCUCUUCAAUCCAUUUGUUCUAUGAGUAGGGAAAAACUUCUUCAAAAAAUCAGCUUGAAGUUCUGUCCAUGUUCUUAUGCUUCUCGGCCUCAAGGAAUUGAGCCAUAUCUGGGCUUUGUCCUUUAAUGUGAAUGGAAAGAGCUUCAACCUCAUAAGCUCAAUAGCUGUUCCCCCUUCUUGAAAAGUAUUGCACACAUCUUCGAAUUCCUUUAUGUGCGCAUAUGGAUUUUCACUUUCCAUCCCAUGGAAAGUAGGAAGCAGAGGCACGAUGUGUGGCCUGAUAAUCAAUUGCUUUGUAGGAGGAAUGAUGCAAGAUGGUGCACUCAUCCUCGGAGGGUGCAUCCUGUCCCUCAUGGACCUAUACAAGUUCGGAUCAUUCUACUGCCCGUGUUGUGAAUGUUGAUCCUCUGGCUGAUUCUCCAUGACUUCCAAAAUAAUCUCUAAUUCAGUAGCUCGUGGAGUCUCUAUCCGCACUAACCUUCCCUCUUGGUCUCUAAUCCAAUAGGGCAUGCACGGAUUCAGCUGGAACAAAACAAAUAAACAAAACAAAGAAAAAGAAAAAAAAAACAGAGCAUGCGGAAGGAAAAACAAAGUAUGAAAAAUAAACUAAAAAUGAAAGUUAAAAGCUAAAAGAAACUUAUCUAAACUAAGUUAAAAAUGUUCUAAAACUAAAAUAAAAAGUUAGUAAAUGAAAAAUGAGAUAGAAUUCACCUCACUCAUGAGAAGUCUCACAAGUUACCUCCGGCUGAUCUAUUCACAGUGAAGUAGCACCCCUCCUCGGCAACGGCGCUAUUUGAUAACCCGACUCUUGGUAGCUUGGCAUGUAAGGGUAUCAACAAAAUUUAUACCUAAGGUCCUUACACUAAAGUAGCAAAGCUAUUAUAGCAUAGUGGCUCUAGGAUCGAACACUGGGAAGGGUUUUUACUUUAACUGGUGAAGUUCGGAGGAUGGAGUGAACUUUUCUUAAUAAAAAUUAGGUUAAGAUGAAAACAUAAAAAGAUGAAGGCGUUGUAAACUAAACUAACAUGAAACUAGGUUAAAAGAUGGAAAAAGAAGUUUCUCAGAGCUUUGGAUAGCCAUGCUUAACUCAUUGUGUAAAAAUGGAGAUUUUGGGACUCUUCACCUUGAGUUGGGGAAGCAACUAAGGUGAUGCUUACUUCCCGAACCGGUAUGAGUUUAACAACUGAGUUUUAGUCCUUGAAAACUUACAAAAAGGGUAGCUGAACCUCAUAAAUGCUCUUUUAUUGGUAUAGGUCAUCUCCUCGACUUGCAAUACAAUGGCUUGUAGGAGAUAAUUAAUGAACGUCAGUGGAUCUAACAAUAAGAAUCCACUGAGACCAAAAGGUUAUCAAGUAUUGGCCAUUCAAAGCAAGUCAGAGGGAUUAAAAGCUUUACUUUGAAUGAAACAUUUAUGACGCUCAGCUACUUACAUUUAUGGCUUGGAAAUCUCCAUCCUGACACGGGAGCUUCACAUGGCAUCCAUUACUUCAAGAAACUAAAAGGUUUUAGCCUUUCAUCCUUGGGGAUUUCAUCCUCCAAGGAUGUUUGGCUACUAAGAAAAUGAGAAAGAAAAGAGAAAAGAAGCGUAUGAACAAAAGUGCUCUUAUAACUUAUAAAGUUACAGGUUACAAGAUGAUCGUGUCUGAGGCUCUUCACCUCUAUUUAAAGACAAUAAAAAGCUAAAUUACAAGAGCUAUUACAAAAACAACCUUUUCAUUGGUUGAUUACAAGGGUAAAAUAGGUAUUUACAAAGCUAAAAGUCAAGCAAAAUAUCUUGGAGAACCGACAGUGGAAUAUCAUCAACAGCGUCUCAAAACAAGGGAUUUCAAAGGCAUUUCGCAAAGGGGGGGAAGAUGAAAGGUCCAAAUUUCGCAAGGUGCCUAAGUCCACCUUGCGAAAUUUCGCAAGGUAGUUCUUCAUGGUGCGAAAUGGCCAAAUUUCGCACCAUGAGGAAAAUCCCCUUGCGAAAUUUUGGCAAGGCGAAAUUCACCUUGCGAAAUGGUGUUCCCAUUGCUUGUGCUCGUGUUUCCACUUGAAAUUCAAGCCUGUAAACGUCCAAAAUCCUUGCUUGACUCGCCCAAGUAGCUCCUCCAUCAAUUGGUAUGCUUGAAUUGGUUCAUAAGCUGAUGAAAAACAUGUAAACUUGCCACUAAAAAUGGUUAGAACUAAUUACUAAGCAGCUUAAUGAAUUAAUUGGGUUAAAUGAAUGUGAUUACUACACAAAGGUGCUUAAAACCCUUAUAAUUAGGUCUACAAAAUAGCACUUUUCGGUAGUAAUCAAUAUGUCUGAGAUUAACAAGUUGAAAACUCAACUUCAAGGAGAGUUUGAAAUAAAAGACCUUGGAGUUGGGAAGAAAAUAUUAGGUAUGAAGAUUCAUAGAGACCGAGAAGUAUGGCAAUUGUACUUAUCAUAGAAAAAGUAUAUUGAGAUAGUGUUGGAACAGUUUGGAAUGCAAGGGUAAAAACCAAUGAGUACUCAACCAGCAACUCACUUCAAACUUUCAAGUUCUUUAUUACCAUAGACCAAAGAAGAAAUGGAGUACAUGUCACAUGUUCCAUAUGCUAGUGCAAUUGAUAGCAUUAUGUAUGUCAUGGUUUGCACUAGGCCAAACAUUUCACAUGUAGUUAGUGUGGUAAGUAGAUAUAUGGAUCACCUUAGAAAGAUCCAUUGGGAAGCAAUGAAUGGAUACCUUGGUACUUGAGAGGAACAUCACAUAUUGACUUAGUAUAUGAUAAAAGUAGUGACAUCUCUGAGGAAAUCGGUGGUUAUGUUGAUUCUGAUUAUUCUAGAGAUUUGGAUAGAAGAAGAUUUUUAAUAGGGUAUGUAUUCACUUUAUGUGGUAGUGUUAGUAGUUGUAAAGCAACUUUGUAAUCUACAAUUGUUUUAUCAACCACUAACGUAGAAUACAUGGUGGUCACAGAAGCAGUGAAAGAAAUUAUUUGCCUUAAGGGUUUGGUUGGUGAUUUAAGCUUACAAUAGGAGUUGAUUGUUAUGUAUUGUGAUAACCAAAGUACCAUAUUUGACUAAAAAUCAAAUGUUCCAUGAGAUGAGCAACCAUAUUGAUGUCAAUGCAUUUUAUUAUGGAUGUGAUCGCAUAGGGUGCUAUUAUAGUGAAAAAAAAAUCCUUAUAGUGGAUAAUCUCAUAGAUAUGAUGACUAAGUCCAUUUCUAUAGUUAAGUUUAUGCAUUGCUUAGACUUGGUGUUAAUAGUAUCUAAAGGCCCUUUUCAGGUGUGAGGUCGAAGUAACAUGGAAGACUUUUGAGUUUUUUUUUUUUUUUUUUUUUUUUUAAUCUUGAGAAUUUGAGCCAAGGUGGAGAUUGUUGAAAAAUAUUUCAAAUUCUAUUUUUGAGUCAAUUGGACAAUUGUAGAUAGUUUUCUAAUAGAAAAUAUUCUUGUAAGUGAGUUUCCUAUUAUUAUAAAAGAAAUAUUCUUUUAGUAAAAGACAUCUUUGACAAUUAUACACUUAGUGUUUUAUAUGGAAUAUUUCUAUGUAAUUAGGAAAAUAUAUGUAUAGGAAGAGAUUUUGACCAAAAUAGUGGAAGUCUCUUUUUAGGUGUAAUUGGGACUUUGGGAUUUGAAAGCUCUAAGGUUGUAAUCUCCUUCAACAAUAGUGGAAAUUCUUCUUUGUCAUCACCUAUGGAUGUAGGCUUGAGGCUAAACCACAUAAAUUGUUAUGUACUUUGUGUGUUUUGUUUUCAUUUUCUUAUUCUUUUAUCCCUAUUAUUAUUCUUUGUCAUGAUUUUUCCCAAUAGAAGUAUAUAUAUACCAUGAGACUUGCAUGGUGGGAAGGGUAUAUUUCAUAUUAGUGACAAGAAGCAGAGCUUACUCAAUUGUGCUUUUUCUUUCAGAAUAUGGAAGGGGUUUCCUUAUGCUCAAGAAAUGCAUAGAUUCAAUUGAAUAAAUUGAGGAAUGCUUUACUCAAUUGUGUUUUUCCUUUCAGAAUAUGGAAUGGGUUUCUUUAUGCUCAAGAAAUGCAUAGAUUCAAUUGAAUAAAUUGAGAAAUGCUUACUCAAUUGUAUUUUUCCUUUCAAAAUAUGGAAGGUGUUUCCUUAUGCCCAAGAAAUGCAUAGAUUCAAUUGAAUAAAUUGAGGAAUAUGAUUGUUCUUUUUCUUUUUCUUUUUAUUUUUUAAAUAAUAGAUGAGCCAAGAUGGAACUUACGUGGAACACAUUGAUUCCAGUCAUUUUCUUGGACAAAGAUAUGCCCAAAAUAUGGGAAAAAGGCAUUUUAAAAUUAAAAAUGAUUUUAAAUUUAAGAGUUUCUUUUUUAUAUGUUUAAAAACUUUUUAAUGGGUAGAUUUGAAUUGUAACUUGCAAUUUAAUCUAAAGAACAUUCGAAAAUUAAAAAUUACAAUAAUGAGAUUCUCAAUCCUUCAAAAUGAAAUUAAUUUAAUCCUCUUUCUUUGUAAAUUAUCCCUCAAUUAAAUCAAUCUUUUAAAAAUUGAAUCUACUAAAUGAUAAUAUUCAUAUUUAAUCAAUUUAUUGUUGGAAUUUAUAUAGGUGAAUGGAAAUUAGGACUUCUUUUUUUUUUUCCCCCUUGGAAAACAUGCUAUUUCUUAACAGACACAACUUGUUUUAAAGAAUAUGUCUUGUAUUUAAAAGACAUCUUAAGAUACAAUCCUUCAAAGGAUACUAGACACAUCUUUUCUAAUAAGUCACCUUCAAAUCUUUAAAUAGGGACCCCACAUAGCAUUUUCAUUCAUUCAUCCAUUCUCUCCACUCUUUCUCAUUUCUUGUCAUUCAAGUUCUCUUUAACUUCUAGUCUAGUCAUUUAUCUUUUCUACCAAAUAUUUGGUAUACAAGAGAGUACAAAUCACCAAGUGAUUCAUUGUUUCUUGUGAUUUGAAGUACUACUAUCACAAGAAAGUGAUCGUUGUAUCCUGGGAGACGAUUGUCAAUAAACCGUAAGCACCUAAGCGGGACAAAUUCGUCUUAAGAACACAGAGUCAAACUCUUGUUUCGAUCAACCUUAUUUGUAAGUUCCAAUUUUCUAAUUACUUCAUUUUAUUUGAAUAUUUAUUACACACACUUAUUAUCCAUAUAUUUUGAGUGAUAUGGAUAACAUUUAUCUUUUUGUAUAAAUUCCUAAAUUUAUAUAACAUAAUUUAAACUUAAUUUCAUUUUGAUUCAAUUUUGUUUCAUGUUUUAUAAUUCUAUAAGGUUGAAUUUAGGGAUGGCAAUGGGCGGGUUUUUUCGGGUACCCACCCCGUCCCGCCCCUAAUGAGACGGGGUUUAAAUUUAAUAAACGGGUUUGGGACGGGUAUGAGAUUUUUUUUUAAACCCGGGGCGGGUUCGGGUAUUGCUCCAUCCCACCCCGCCCCACCCCGUUUACAUAUAAAAUUAAUUUUAAUUCAACGAGCUUAAUUCCACCCAAGAAUCCCUCUUCCCAAACCCAGAAACCCCACCAUUUUUCCUUCACGAAAGCUCUCAAAACUCCACCUAAUCAGAUCUGUUCAAGAACAAUUUGAUCACCAGCCUCUUACUCGGUCAACACCCAGAUGGGAAAACAUGCUUUCCACUGCAGCAAGCUUGUACCCUCUCUAUGUCACUGCUGGAGGGGUUGUUGCAUGUGUGAAGCCAUCUGUUUUUGCUUGGUUUGUGGCGAGAGGCCCAGCUUCUUAUAGCUUAUCACUUGGGUUAAUCAUGUUGUCCAUGGGUAUCACAUUGAAGCUCAGGGACUUCUUCAAUUUAUUGAUCCAGAGGCCUUUUUCUGUGAGUUUUUUAUGGUUUGGAGUUUUUGGGUGUUUUGGUAUUUGAUUGUUUUUGAGACAUGGNNNNNNNNNNNNNNNNNNNNNNNNNNNNNNNNNNNNNNNNNNNNNNNNNNNNNNNNNNNNNNNNNNNNNNNNNNNNNNNNNNNNNNNNNNNNNNNNNNNNGUUGAAUUCCAAUCAUAAUUAAAAAUUAAAUUGAUUUGUUAUAAUAUUAAAUAAGAUAUCUUUUGAAAAAAUUAUUAUAAUCAUUUAACAUAAUACAAAUUUCACCAAGUUUUUCUAACUAUGGUUCUCUAAUAAUUACCUUGUAAUAAUAAAAUUAAUUCUAACAAUAUAUGUCAUAAUCAAAUUUCAAAAAUCCAAUCUCAAAUAAUUUAAUAGCUGAGUUUAAAUUUAAUUUUUGAAAUUCUUAAUUUCCAAAUGUGACUUGACAAGAAUUUAAACUAUUGACUUUCGACUAAGGUUUUACACAUUUUGCCUAAUUAAAUAAAAUAUUGACACGUGAAUGUUCACUAACAUCACGUGAUUCAUUGAUUUAGACGAUUCAUUUUGGUUGAUGUUGAGGAUAGUCAUCGGCAGUAGACUAACAUCUUCUGGACCAAUUAACAUACCAGUAGUGAUUAGGCCAAGGUGGUGAUCCAAUUCCAUGGAAGAGCAGCAAGAAAGGAGGAACGUUGGAGAGAUAGAACCAGAAGGCGGCCAACCAAGCAGGAACAGUGGCCAAACUGGCCUCGAGCCUGAGGAGCAUAGGAUUGACAUUGUUGAAAUCAGUCAUAGGGAUUGGAUUGAGUCUCUCAGAACGGCAGAAGAAAGAACUCAAUCUCAAAGUCAAUGGCCAAGGAUACCAAAGGUUCCUCAGAUGCUGAGGGGGACCCAGGAUUUCAAGAAAUUCUACGAACCGAGGGUAAUUUCGAUCGGUCCUUACCACCAUGGCAGGCCCCACCUUUACCCAGGGGAAAUGAUCAAGCCUCUAUGCGCCCGAAACUUCCUGGCUGAUAGUAAGCAGGACAUCGAAGCUUUGUACACAAAAAUUGUAAGUAAUAUCGAGGCAGUGGAAAAGUGCUAUGAUUGGAGUAGUACAAAAAAGUAUGAUGAUGAGAAACUCGCCAGGAUGAUGCUUCUGGAUGGGUGUUUUUUACUAUAUUUCAUCUGCAGGGAAGGUAUGAUAAACGUUCUUAAAGUUCACGAAAUAGAUUUUGUGGAGCAGGACUUGUUCUUGCUGGAGAACCAACUUCCCUUUGGAGUCCUCAAGUUGAUUUUUGAGGGAGCAAAUUUCAAGGUUGAUCUACCAAUGGAAAAGAAUAUAAUAAAAUUCGUCACUGUCAUCGGAAUGCCAGAAGGGUUGUCAUCAGAAAUACAGCUGAAAGAGGUGAACUAAGAGCCCUCUCAUCUCCUCGACCUUUUGCGAAGUGCUCUCCUAGGCAGGUUCCACAUGAUUAGGAGUCAGCCCGAAAAAGAGCAGCAACCUAAGAAAAAAGGAAAGUCGUCGUCGUCGUCUCAAGGAGGAAAGUGGGGGCUCCGUUGGCCAUGGAAAAAAGGCAAACAACGGGGCAUUAGGAAGUCUUUUCGACACAUCAAGGAGCUUAAAGCUGCCGGCAUCUACCUCAAACCGAGUAGAACGUGUUUCUUGAGAGACGUUUCUUUCAAAUCCUACUUCUUCUUUGGCUACCUGAAACUUCCCCCAAUAACCAUUGAUGACUUCACGAAGACCAAGUUCUUGAACAUGGUAGCCUAUGAAAUGUAUCCAGAUGCCCCAGAUGACUAUGCGGUCACUUCUUAUGUAUGCUUCCUUUACGACUUCAUUGAUGAUGCAGACGAUGUCAAGCAGCUGAGAUCUAAGCACAUUCUCCACAACCUUCUUGGCAGCGAUGAAGAUGUGGCCCACAUUUUCAACGAGAUCGGCAAUGGCUUGGUAGAUCCCGAAAUUUAUGGAGAUGUGAAAGCUCGUAUUCAGAAACACUACGACAAGAGAGUGAAUACUUGGAUAGCUGAAGCCCUUCACGGCCAUUUCAGGUCUCCCUGGACUUUCAUGGCUCUCAUUGCAGCUGUUUUAAUACUAAUUCUUACUGGGGUUCAGACCAACUACGCUCAUCCCGAUAACUAUAUAAAAUAUUUAUAUAUAUCGUCAAUUAUAAUUGGGAUUUGUUUUUUUCUUGUUCGGCAUGUUUGUGAUUAGACAAAUAAAGAUGUAUAAAUUAUUAAGUUGUAUCACUGGAUUUCAUGCAUGCAAUAUUAUGAGUCUUUUCCUCUCCACAUGAAUUUGCUAUAAUCUAUAAUGUCUGUUUGAAUUCAUAAUUUCCAGCUUGCUUUUUUCCGUUCUUUUUCAUAGACCAGGAUCAUACAUAACACAACAUUCACAUAGAAAAUUUUCGGUCAACAAUAUGUGAUUCCGUGGAUGGGAUGGGAUUGGAUUUACUCACACACUUUUUUAUCAAAGGAGAAAAUUAUGGAUAAAAUUAUAAUUUUGAUAUAUUUAUAAAUUGAGGGCUCUCUAAUUUUUAUUUUUUAUUUUUUAUAAAAGACAAAAAUAUCCAUUUUUAGGUAAUUUAAUGUUUAAUUUUGGAUUAAAAAAAUUUCAUAAAUAAAUACUACAUUUUUUAAUGAAGUCUUCCGAGCUUCAUUGAAAAAAUCUUCAAAUUUUCAACUUCUUUGAGAAAUCUUCGAAUACUCUCCAACUCUUCCAUAAAUUUUUUAUCUUCUUGGAAUCUCUUUUAAGAGCUUUAGGGCUUUUCUUUAGUUUUGAAAAAAAAACACACACACACAGAUUGAGUUAGAAAUGAAAGUGGAGAAAAGAAAAGUACUCGACAGUUUUGCAUACUGCUUGAUAGAACUCGUUAAAAUUGUUUAUAUCUCUGGCACUAAAAUACAUCUUGUAGCACUUAGUGAUCAAAGCCUGUUUUUCCUCCUUACUUCCAAUUUAGACAUGGAGAGGUGACACAAACUUUGAGAUAUUCAAUGAUUCAACAAAGCAUUCAUCAAAUAUUAUACUGUUUGCUUUGAUGGAGGGGCAAAGAAGAUGAUACCAGAAGUUAGCUUCAUGAGGGAUGCGCCUACCUUUUGAAUGGUUGGAUAUGAUGAUAUUGUUGGAAAGUGUCUCAAAAAUUAUUUUUGAGUCAAUUGUAAAAUUAUAGAUAAUCUCCUAAUACAAAAUAUUAUUGUAUUUAAGUUUCCUAUUAUUAUAGUGGGAAUAUUAUAUUAUAAAAUUUUUUUUUUUUUUUUUUUUAGGGAAAGAUAUCUUUGAAAAUUAAUAUACAUUUAGUUUUCUGUAUGCAAUCUUCCUAUAUAUGUAAUUAGGAAAAAAUACAUAGGAAGACAUUUUGAUCAGAAUAGUAGAAGUCUUUUUUUUUUUUUCGGUGUAAUUGAGACUUUGGGAUUUGAGAGUUAUAUGAUUGUAAUCUCCUUUAAUAAUAGUGAAAGUUCUUCUUUGUCUUCAUGGGUAGAUGUAAGUUUGAGGUCGAACCACGUAAAUCAUUGUGUACUUUGUGUGUUUUAUUUUCAUUUUUUUUCCUAAUAUUUUUUCUUUGUCAUGUUUUUUCACUAUAAAUUGGUAUAAGAGCAUAGGUUCUUAGACAUGGAAUGAUAAUAGAGUUUGAGGUUGAGAAGUUUGAUGGAAGAAAUAAUUGAAGUUUGUGGCGCGUUAAGAUGCUAGCCUUAUUAGUUCGACAAGGAUUGUCCAAAGCACUGAAAGGUGGAGAGACUCUACCAACAACAAUGUCUAAUGAAUAAGAGGAUGAACUUAUGGAGAAAGCGCACAAUGCUAUUCUAUUAUGCUUCGAUAAUGGGGUAUUUCGUGAGGUUGCAAAAGAGGAUACGACUACUGAGUUAUGGUUGAAGUUAAAAAGUUUGUGUAUGGCGAAGUCUCUUAUAAAUCACUUGUAUUUAAAAAAGCGAUCAUUUACUCUCUAAAUGACCCUUAAUUGUUAGGUUAUUUAAAUUGUGUUUUCUAAAAGUUUCAUGGUAUAAAUGGUAAACUUUUACAAAGUGAAAAGUAGCGAUGAUGUUUGUUAAAAAAAUGAUUUAAUUAACUUGGUAGUUUAUGAUGUUCACUAAUUUUGUUUUCAAACAUACACCAUAUUUUAUUAAUUACAUAAAAUUUGCUUAAGCUUGAAUAAGAACAGCCCCUUUUAAUCACUACUUUAAAAUUAAUGAAAUCAAAGUUCUUAAUUAAGAAAUAAUUGAUCUUAAUUUAUUUCUAUAAUUAUGAAAGAUUAGGGUGACCCCAAUCACAUUAAGUACUUUUUCAAAUGCAUUAUGAUAAGUGAUAACCACUAUGGAGGCAAUAAUUUAAUUAAUUUAUUUGUAUGCCCUAUCAUGCAAAAUGAGAGUGACCCUAAUUAAUAUAUGUAUAUAAAUGGGCACUUGAUCAAUUGAGAAAUAUCUAUUGAAAUAACUUCUUUUUUUUCCAAAAAAUUAUUUUUUAUUUUUAUUUUUUAUUGGGUAGGUAGACUUAAAGGGUCAGUAACCAAAUGGGUUGGCAAAAAAAUUUAAAAUUUAGUUAAAUGUAUAUUUCAGUUAAUUAAUUAUCUUAUAGCUGUCCAAUUAAUUCAUUAUUGAUUAAUUAUAUUAAACAUAAAUAAAAGUCACUUUCUUAAAGUGGAGAGUCCAACAUGCAUGAACGCCUUUUUUUAUUUUCUAAUUUUAUUGUUUAUUUUUGGAUAGAAAGAUAGCUUUUGACUGUUGCUCUUUCUUUUAUUGUUAUUAUUGUUAUUAUUAUUAUUAUUAUUAUUAUUAUUAUUUUGGCUCAGAUGCAGUGGGCUAAGACAAAUCUCCAUUCAAAAUUGAACAAAAUCCUCCAUUUCAACAUUUUCUUAAGCCCUUUAUUCAUUUUCAUUUUUUUUUCUCUAUAAUUUAUAACAUGCUAUAUAUAAUUAUAAUCGAUUUUUUUUUGGGUUAAAAUAUGACAAAAUUUCUAGAUCCCUUUUAAGUUAGUUAAUGAAAACUUCGUAGAAAGACAAAUAUACUCAGUGUCAUGAAAAUCAUUUUUUAACUUAUUUGAGAAAUUGUUUUAUAUUUAAUAAAAAAAUCUUUUCUAAUUUACUUGAGAAUUUAUUUGAGGAUUUAUUUAAUAUUUAAAGUGUGUUUGAUAAUAUUUUUACUUAAAAUAUUAUUAAUAAAAGUGUUUUUUUUAUUAAAGUGUUUUUUAGAAUAAUCACUUAUCAAAUGUUUCUUCAAAAUACAUUAAGUAAUUUUUCAAUAUUGCAAAUGAUUUUUCAAAAUUUUGAAAAUAUUUCCUAAAUUUUACCACAUAUCUAUUUUUAAAAAAAUAUUUUUUAGACUAAAACCAUUUUCUAAAAUCAUUAUCAAACGAUUAACUUCCACAUCAACAAAAAUUACCCAUUAACAUCAUACUUUAAACUUUGACUUUAAUUACUUAAUACACUCAAAAAUAAGAAGUUAUCUAAAUAUAAAACAAAAUUAAAAAAUUAUUAAAUUUCAACCACCCUACAUACUAUCAAACCAAAGUGGACACAAAAAUUUUGCUCACACUUUUAUCAUAUCAUGGAAUUAAAUUUAUAAGCUAUGGAUGUGAAAUAUGGGUCUACCAUGGUAUAAAUUAUAAAAAUAUUAAAAAAAAAAUUAGGGUAGGGGUGAAGCCCAAUUCAAAUUGAAGUACAAAAAUAUCAUACAUGGUGAGACAACUACAAUUCACAGCUAAGAUCCAUUUAUUUGUCUUGUAUGGAAGGUUAAGGGUCACUAUCUUUCUGGUCACCCAAUGGAUAUAUAGACCAUCACAGCUAAGGUCCCAGCCCCACCAAUCCACCAUGGACAACAUUCUCUUAUCAUAGUACUGUUUGAAUGCCUAGAUCACAUGCCAUUGUAUGCCUUGAUAGAUAAAAGAAAAUUUAUGAUAAUUUGUAUAAGAAACUUAAAUUUAUUAUUUUUAUUUUUAUUUUUACUAUUUACUAGUAUUACUAUUAUUUAGGUUCAGGUGUAAAUAGAUCUUUGAUUUUAUAAAAAAAUUAUUGAACGUUAUUUUAUCAUGUAAUUUAGUUUUAGAAAGCAAUUCGAAAACAUUAAGAUUUUUCUUGGUUAAACAUCUAUAUUGGCUAGAUAGUGAUUAUAAUGUUUACAAUAAUAUUUAUUAUAAGUUUAAUGCUAUGACAUGGAAUCGUAUUGUGCAUGGCAGGUUAUUUAACCUUGAUGUUACUAAUUUAGACUAAUAAAUAAAUAAAAGAUUGGUUAAUAUUGGUCUUAAUAUUAUUUAAAUUGAAAAUUAUUUAAUUUGUUUAUAUCAAUAAAGGUAUCUUUGAUUGCUUAAUCUCAAAUCCUCAUUUCAAUCACUAAUUUUGGGUUAUGUGAAUAUCAAAUUAAUGUAUUUUUGUAUUUUAUCGAUCUUCUAACUAACGUACUUAGCAUAUGUGUUUAAUAAUGUAAAUCAUAAAUAACUUGGUUUAUGAGAUAGACAUUUUGAUAUUGAUGUGUUAAUUAAAAAGUCAAACAACAAGUAUCUCUUUGUCGUGUUGUCUCUCAUGGAAAUGACCCUAACAUUAUCUUUAAGCUAGGUUUAUUUCUAAGCUCAUCAAGCAUUAUUAUUUGUUUAAUUAUUCCCUUUAAUAUGAAAUAAAUAAAUGAAGAUUGAAUCCAUUAAUAUAUUUUUUAUCACUUGAUUAUUAAUUGAUUGAGACACUUAAACCAAUCUUACUAUGCCCAAUAGUAAGAGAAUUGAUUUCAUAAAGAUACACUAAAUUUUUAUUAAAACUUCACACUUAGCUCUUUAUUUAAGUUGACGUAUUAGUGUUAUUAGGAGACGAAAAAUAUUAACCUAUCUUAAAUAAGGAAGUGAUGACUUGAAAAUGAAGUAAAACAACUAAAAAAUAAGCAUACAUACUUCGAUUUUAUAAUAUUUUUAACACAUGGCACAUGAAUCUUAGGAUAACGAUGUAUUGUAUUUAUGUAAAUUAUAUUAAGGCUUUAGCCCUAAUUGACCCAGUACUCGUUAUUUGUAUAAUAUAUACAGGACAAUGUGAAUUUUUAGAGAAUCAAAUAACAAAUUAAAUGUCGAGUUAUUAAUCAUUUGAGUCAUACACAAAUAAGUAUAUAAAUUUUUUUGCCAAAGCAUGCAUUACCAUGCAAGAAAUACCUAGUUUGCUUACCCUAAAAAGGGGUCAAAUUUGUUAAUUGAGAAUGAGAUCUCUUUUACAAAGACUCAACACGUAUAAUCAUGGCUCUUGGGAAAACAUUGAAUCUAUGGUAUUAAUUGGUAAUGUUCCCAAUUAAUACCAAUUGGAAUAACACUUUAAAAUAGUACGAAGAAAAGGAAAAACCCUAUUUAAAAUAUUGCAUGGUACCCACCAAUACCAACUAGAUUCUUUAUCAAAAUUAUUACCACCUAACUCAAAUUCAUACACUAAAUUUUCUGAUAAUAUUCUUUGUCUAUGUAAAUAAAAAUGUUAUAUCUAUAAUUAAUUUUUAAGUAAAAGUAUGGACUUUUCAACAAGAUGUAUGUAUAUUUAUUGUAUCAUACAUCAAGAUUGAAGAUAGUCUUCAAUCAUUGCAUAAAAAAGUUUAAUUAUUAUUAGAAAUGGAUCCAUGAAUGAGCAAAAUAACUUGAAAUAACCUUACACAAUGUAAAAUAUUUAAAAGAAUAAAUUAAUAAAUAAUAAUCCAAGUGUUUAACGAUUAGGGUUUUGACGAUAUGUUAAAUCAUCGCUUAUUUUUAGAGAUUAAAUAGAAUGUGUUUGAGAGUGUUUUUACUCGAAGUAUUUUUAAUGGAAGUUUUUCCUCAUAAAGUGUUUUUAGGAGAAUAACGUAUCAAUUAUUUCUAAACAAACACUAAAAGUAUUUCCUUAAUCUUGUCAACCAACUAAUAUUUUUUCAAAAACACUUUUUGUAAAAACCCACACCCUACCGUGUGUAGAUAUUGUCCGCUUUGUCUCUAAAAAGGUUUUUAUAACUUUAAAACACGUUUACAGGGUUAAGAAGAGCUUAUACUCAUAUGGUAUAAGAAACUUUUUUUUCUAUUUGAUGUGAGAUAUCACAAACAUCCUCUUAUGCAGACAUGUUCUCGUUGUAUCUCUUGGGAUUGUGGGGUCAAAUAGAUAGACACCCCUCAUAGGGUUAGACUAACUUCCACACUAUGGUUAGAAAUUAUCUCUAAUACCAUUUGUAAUAACCUACAUCCAACCAUAUAGAUAUUGUUAAUGACAUAUACCCAAUUAUAUAGAUAUUAUCCGUUUUGGGCUCAAAAGAUCCUUAUAACUUUAAAAUACGUCUACAAAAUUAUAAAGAACUCAUACUCAUAUAGUGUCAAAAAUUUUCAAAAUCACUAUUAAACAUACUCUUGAUUUAAAACUCGGAUAUUUAUACCUCACAAUUAAGUGAUUCAUUUACCAUUUCUUCCAUCAUGAGUCUAUUUCACUAUCCAUUGAUCCCUUGUUUAUUGACAAAAUAUUAUUUUCUAACCAUUUUUAUCCCUUGACACUAUCUUCGACUAUUUCUUUUUUUAUUAAAAUUGAUUAGAUAUAUAUAUAUAUAUAUAUAAUAUUGUUUGUCGAAUUUCCAAGGAAAUUAGGUUGAUUUGCCAUUCGAAUUAGUCAAAGGUAAUGUUUUAAGGGAACAUCCCACAUCAAUAAGAAAAAAGAUUUACUGUCUUCUGGCAGAUUUACUCUUAUAUUAGCUGUUAAUUUUCUUUAAAAAUUAUUAAAUUAUCUUAAUACUUAAGCAAUGAUUAUAAAUUGGGUAGUCAUAUUUGGAUUAGUCUUACACAUCACCUCAUAAAGAGUGUAUGACUUUGUAUUUAAGCCAAUCUAUAAGUUUGAAGCCGGCCUAUUAUUUUAAUUUCUUUAGGUUGAACUUAAUUCAACUUAAAUAAUUACCACUUGCACCUCCACCCCAAUAGGAAAACUCCCCCCAAAAAAAAAAAAGAAAAAAAAAAGGGUUUUUCUACUUAGAAUUAGGAAAUCACUACUUUUUCUUACCUUAAUUUUCUAUUUAAAAAUGGGAAAUGAUAAUAAUUUUAUCAUAACAACACUACUUUGAUAACAAACUAAAGCCCUAUUUGGCCAUAUUUUCUCAAACUUUGUUUUAAAAACUAAUUUUAAAUUAAAGAAUAGAAAACGGUUUUUAAAAAUAAAUUUUUGGUCAAGGGGGCCAUAUUUUCCUUUCGUUUUUAAAAAACUGAUAAAAACAAUUUCUACUUUUUCCUAAAAAUUAUUCUAUAUUUCACUUUAUUUUUAAAAAUUAUUUCCCAAAAAUAAAUAGUAUUAGAAAAUUUUAAAAACGGGUUUCUAUUUUUAAAAACAAAAAACUGUUUUUAAAUCAUUAUACCAAACAGACUCUAAGUUUUAAAGAAUUUAAACAAAAAAUGAAUAAUAAAAUUUGAUCACUCAACGAUUCUCCAUCGAAGUCAUUAACUCUUUUCCUCUAAUUCCCCUCAUUUAAACUUACUUCCAAUAUUAAUCACAACAAAUAAGUAAAAUUUAAUAGUUCUAAACAAAUUUUAAGUUUCGUAUUACUUCAACUUAAAUAGUUAAGAACAAAUUAAACAAAAUUUGUAUCAAGUUAAUUUAAACUAUUAAGUAUUAAUUUAAUCUAUGCCUACAAUAAGAGACAUAUUUGAACUUAAAUCCUAAAAAUUAAAAAAAGAAAAAUAAAUAAAGACUAACAAUGUUGACCAUGAUUUUUAAGUGGUUUUAUCAUCAUUAUGAGAAGUUUGUAAAUGAUAUCAUUUUUUUUCUUUAAAUUUGAAAGUUUGUGAAAAAUGUUUAGGAUGUUUGUUUCCAGUGAUGAAUUCAGAGACGUAGAGAACUCCAAAAUGUGGGUCAAAUAAUUCAAAAUCAAAUUGAUGAUAAAGAUAUGGGCAAAUAAUCCAAAAUGUGGGAAGACAAUGAUGAUGAUGGCUGCCUAAUACAUACUUAAUCAUCAAGAUUUUGGGCAAAAAUCUCAAUUGGUGGGCCCAAUCAUAAAAUGGCUUUUCACUUUUUGUUUGUUUAUUUAUUGGGUGUCAUUCAAAUAAAAGAAUGCUCUACAAGGUGCCACUUUGUGUUUUGGGUCUAAUUGGGCCCAAAAAUUAAGAUAUGGUCCAUAUAUAUUCCAUAUUUAAUAGAAAAGAUAUGAGAUAUUAACUAACCAAUAUACCCUUAAAAUUUCCGGCUCAGAUUGUUGUAAAUUAAUGGGUUUGACAGGUGGUAAACUUGAAAUGCCAUGUCACUUGACUGAAAAAUCUGAAAUAAAGGGCAUAAGGGUCACCACCCUCCUACCCCUUUCUCUCCCUUCGUAAACAACAUGCUCACAGACGAUGUCAACUGUGAUUGUCCUCCUAUUGGUUUCUUCAGCAGUUGAGGAUUGUGAGCAACUUAGAAAAGCCUUUGCAUGUAUUUUAUCAUCAUCAUUCCCAAAUCCAAAUGACGGUGAGUCUGAAUUAUUUUCUCACAUUUUGAUUUGAUCAUGUUGGUUCCUUUGAUGAUGUGGUGGAUGUUUGUUUAUUGGGUUAGUACAAGGUUUGAGGAAAGACAUUUGUUUUGAUCUCGUGUUGGGGUGUUUAAAAAAAUUUUGAACUUAAUAACAUAGUGUUUUUGGGUGCAGGGUAGGGGAUAAAUGAGGCUUUGAUCAUAUCCAUCUUGGCUCAUAGGAAUGUAGAACAACCUAAGUAAAUUCAAGAAACUUACAGUGAAUAUUAUGGAAAAGAUCUCCUCAAAAAUGGCAUUUCACAAGUCUUAAAAUUUUUCACUUUAGAAUCUGCUUGUUAGGUUUAUAGUCCAGAGAAGAAAUGGGUAUCGUCUAGACGGUGAGCUUUGGGGAUGAGCUAGCCCACUUAUGAUGAAUAAGAAACUAAAUUGGGUUUCAUUUUUCCCCUUUUCACUUAGCUAUGACAUUGGAAUGUGGUUAACUCGCCCAUAUGCACUCGUUAAGUUGUAGCUAGAUCGAAUUCCUGCAACUGUACAAGGCAUUUACACAAAGUGUGUAAGGCUAAUGUACUAAAUAUACAAGGGUGUGUAUUUUAAGGGGUUUUAAGUGAUUUUAAUGAACUUACUCAUUUACUUUUUCCAAUCAUGGGGACAUUCCUAACACAUAUUGCUUGACAACACACUAAUUGUAUGCAUUUUAUUUGAUGUUUAUCAUGUUAAUUCAUUCUAUUAGCUCCCAUACUAAUGAUGAAUAUGAACCGAAAUGAGGGUAAACUUUUUCCUCCUUUUCCCUAAUCCAUGAGAAUGAAAACAUUGUUUACACACCCAUAUGUACUCGUUCGUUCGUACCUAUUUUGGAUUUCGUUAUUGUACAAGGCAUUUACACUAAGUGUACAAUGCAAAUGUGUUAAUUAUACAAGUGUGUACAAGACUUUCUAUCUUGAAAGAUUUCAACUGCUUUUGAAAAAAUUGCUUGCUCAUUUCUUUUUUCUAAGGGGUACAUUCCUCAUAGUCAUUGCUCAUAGGAUAUAUGUUUGAUAAUUUUUGUCAAAAGGAACAACAUAGCAUACUUAUUUUUAUCAGAAUUUGCACUUUAGAUAUUGGUAGUUAAGACCUUAGAAUCGGCAUUCAUGAUGAGAAAAUUAACAUGAAAAUAUCAUUAUGACACAUUAUCAAACAUAUAUCCUACAUCCACCAUUACUAUAAAAAGAAACAUUAAUAUUUUGUCUGUAACCUGAAAAACAACAUAGAGUCUAGCUGAGGGUUCUCUUCCUCUUAUGCCUCCAUUUUUCUGGAAACAAAAUCAACUCAGAAGAUAAGACUUAAGUUCAAAAUAUAUAAUUUCUUAGUUAUCUCAGCAACAAAUAGAUCUAGUAUUAUUGAUUUCUGCAAAGAACCCAAUAGAUCUAGUAAAGCCAGAAUCCCAAUUAGGAUAUCCCCACCAAAUAAUAGUACAGAAAGCAAGAUUCAAUUUU